AGCCAAGUGAAGGUGCAGAAGGAAGAAUUUCGGGCAAUGUUCUUGCUGGUGACAAAGACUCCCUUUCAUUUGGUCGAACACCAGAGGAAAUUCUACGAAUUGUGUAUGGAAGUGGGAAUGAGAGUAAACCCGGUGGAUUUUACCCCAAAGGAGCUGAAGGUCGAAUAGCCCAGUCACAUCUUAGAUUGAACGAGGCAUUAUUGAACUUCAAUUGAUGAUUAGAACUGCUGAGUCUAGUAGUUUUCUUAUGGUAUUGAUGAUCAAGUAGUUCUUUUUAGUUUAACUUUCAAUGUAUUAGUAAUUUAUCUACAUCCCAAAUAAGUUUCUUUCCACUGUAAUUUCUAAGGAUAUAUUGUGAUAUUGAAUAAGAUUUGGCUUGUUCUUAGUGUUUUGGAUUACCAAAACUACAUCAAAAUAUUAUUCAAUGACGAUGCAUCUGAGGGUUGUCAAUCUAUAUUUAUGAGUAUCUAACAAUUGAGGCAUAAAGAUGACAAAAAUACUAAAAAAGAAAAAUUUCCAUGUCUUCUUUUUAGUCAUCCUAAUGAUCAAAAGUAGGAAAAUAUAUGUCCAAAAGAUCAUUCUUCAUUCUUCAUUCUUUUUAUAAGAUGAUAGAAUAUAAUAAAGAUUUUGAAAGUACAAGUCAAAGUGUUGCUAUUGAAAUUCAUUGUUCGUUUUGCACUUUCAUGAAGAGAAUAUUGUCUAAAGCUAAAUUUUACGGUUUCAAUUACUAUAAACAAUAAAUAGAUUAGGGAGUACAAAUUGACGAAAAGAGAAACUAUCAAUCAAGAAUUGAACAUUUAAUGAAUUAACAAUUUCUGUUAACACAAUAACACUUGAAAAGAGUAAUACAAUGCUACCUAGAAAAUAAUAAGGCUCAGAAGUAAGUUAUGAAGGUCGAAACAAAAAUUUAAAAAGAAGUAAAAAUUUAAGUAUUCAUAAGGAUUAAGGCCAAAAGCUAGAGGGAGGCUUUCCAAAAAAAAAAAAAAAAUUCUAGGGAAUGGAGGGAGGAUUAAAAUUUCGGAAGAGCAAAGAAAAGGGCCUUUGAUGUUUUAAAAAAAAGGGCCUUACAAAAGAAAAUGAAGAAGUAAUGAUAUCGUGUCGGGUCUUGAUUCAAUAGUAUUUAUGCAAUCAGGGGAAAUCCAGUAUGAUUUGCUUGCGGGAACAAAUGGGGACAGUAAAAACUUACACAAAGUACUAUAUCCUAAGAAGUAUAAAGGCGGGAAUGGAGUUAGGAACAGUGGUUUUGGUCCCUCAUUGGCAUCCUGAGUGUGUGGGCUUUUUGAUCAUUUUACAGUGAUUUUCAAAGAGUGAAGCGGUGCCAUUGGAGACAUUUGUGGCUAGAAUUUGUUUGUAGACUGUAUACUGACCAUUAUAUCCUUAGGUACCAAUUUUGCCCCCGAGUGACUAAUUGGUUAUCAAAGCCAAGGUUGGCUUUUUUGUCUGAUCGCCCAGCUUCUUGAAUUGUCUUCACAGAGCAAACGGUGUGCUGCGCUUUUUCCUAUGCGGUGGCUUCCUAUUGCGUGGUUUUGUGACUUUUGUCUGCUACGUUUCAUCAACUUUCCCUUUUCAUUAGGUACCAAUUUUGCACUUUUGCCUAUCAAAUGCUACAGAUUAGUGCAGAUGAUAUACUACCGAUGGCACAAAAGGUAAUAUUGUUACAGUAAAAAAAUUUCCCAGUCAAUUUUAUAACUUCAAUCAAUUGUCGAAAUAAAAUCUGUCACAGAAUCAACAACCAGAUGUGCUUUAUGUCAGCAAAAGACUUGGAAAAGAAAUCUACUGCCUCCAAGUGAGGAAAUGUACUCAUCCUCUCGGAAAUAAUAUAGUAACAAUGUACAACAAAACAGCAUGCCUACCAACUGAAGUAGCACUACUGCCAGUUCCAGCAAAUCAACAAGAACCCACCUGCACGCUACAACACCCCAGCCAAGUGACCAAAGACAAACUAUAUCAACAUUCGACCAUCACGAUCACAUUGUAGAGAUCAACUUUUGCGGUUUUGCCUAGCUAAUGUGUAUAGUAUGCACUUUAUGAUGCUUUUGUCAAACUUAAAGCCUCAUGUCCAUCCACUGUAUUUCUAACAGCUAGAAGAAUCCUUUUGCCGAGGCUAAUUAGCUCUUGCUAACUUUUGAUGGCCGACUGAGAAUACUUACUAAUGGCCAUAUAUAAAUUUAUCUCAUGUAUGAAUGUAAAAAUAUAAAUAAUUAUAAGAGCAUCCCUGAAAAUUCUUGAAAACUCAAUCCCUGAAAAUCUGAGCACCCUCGAGCCUCGCGCGAGGCCCAGGCCAACUAGUAUAUAUAUAUAUAUAUAUAUAUAUAUAUAGUUUAAACUUGCACAAACUACUUGAAUAUAGAAAAGGAUAAUGUACCCAUGAUUUUCAAAAUGCCAAGAAAGCGGCAGGACCAAAAGGGCUUUUCCAUCAAAUGCAGUGUUUGCUCUUUAAAGUAAUUUCUGCAAAUCAAUUCAUGACAAAUAAAUGACAAAAUAACACUUUGAGACGAAUAUCCUGAGAGAUUUCGGAAAAUUAAGAACAAAAUAUGUAACAGACAGACAAUUAAAUAUGCCAUGGUAGCUGUACGCGAAGUACUAAAUAUUUGCUUCAAAGACCAAACUUAGCUGUGGUAAGAAUAAUAACCUAAAUCCCAAUUGAACUCUAAAACCUUUUUAUUUUUGGCAAGCUCUUUAGUCCGGAGAUGUCAGCUCCAAAUUUAUUAAAUAUUAAAAUUAAAAAUAUACGAGUGGACUAUAAAAUCAAAAAGUUUCCUUAAUUGAACUCUAAAAUCUUUUACUUUCAAAUUUUUAAAAUAAGGUCUGCAAUCUUCUUUAAGUCAGAAAAAAAAAAAAGAAUCGAGCAAGCUUUGGUAAGAACAAGAACCAAAUGUUAGGUAAUAUAAAAUCCCCAAUUUAACUUGAAAACAUUUUUUAUAUAUUUUUUAUACGAAUUAUAGGGAAGAAAAAAAGAAAUCGUGCAAGAAGAUUCUAAAUCUCCUUAUAUCUUGAUAUAUUAAAUGAAAUAAUUUAUCUUUUUCAGUUCAAGUGUAUGAUGCCAUUUGUGCACCCUAUCAAGUGUGUUGGCCUUGGGGGCAGGUUUUGCAUACCAUUCGUGUGUUUGUCUCCAUGCAUAAAAGAAAAUUUGUUGUUAGUCUAACCUCAAGAAAAAGUCAGAGAUUCCAGUAUAAUCAAAAAGCGGAUAGACUUCAUUAACUUCAUGUCACUAAAUUGCCAUCUUGACACCCUUAGAUAACCUUUGACUAUUUUAUUAUUUAAAGUUUGGAAAAUCAGAAAAUAAUACUAUACAUUUAAGUUUUAUACUUUUCUAGCUCCUCGCUUUUAAAAUGAUGCAUUUUCGUCUCCUAUACACGAGAUUUUGUACUGAUAGUCCAGCACUUUUCAGAUUGUUUAGUUUGGCCCCCACAUAUGAAAAAAGUGCACCGUUUUCAUCCCAAAGAUCAUUCUUUGUCACAUUUUCACGUCAAAUUCUAAUUUUGUCAUAAACCAAAUCAAACUCAAAACAUAGUCUUUUUUUUUCCUUGAGGUACCAAAGCUCAUGCUUUGAAUUUUGCAAUAAUAUAAUGAAAAGCUGAGAGUUUUUUACCUCAACUAAUAUCUUUUCUAGAUGCCUAAAAUAGGUAAAAUUUAAUUUAGAGGUGUUUUUAGGAUACAAUAAAUGGUUUUUUCAUUAUAGUGCAAUUUUUUGUGAACUUAAAGAGUUUUGUAAACAAUUUUAAAUUUUUUUCAAUCUUUUAAAAAUUUUCAUCAAAUAUGUACCACUCUCAUUGUGAUAGUUUUGUCUUGCUUGGCUUCAAAUUGUACCAAUAGUAAUUUUUAACAAUAUUUUAUGAAAUUUACAAAUAUAAUAAUCACAAAUUUUGUCAAAUCUGUUUAGCUAUUUCUAGUGAAAAUUUGAUUGAAAAUAAAAUUUGGGACAAAAAUUGUGUGUUUUUGAAUAUGUGAGGGACCAAACUCAUCAUUUUAAAAGUGAGAGAUUAAAAAAAUAUAGACCUCAAAUGGAACGGAUCAAAAUGUAUCAAAAUAUGAGGGACUAUUUUUGCAAUUUUCCCUUAAACUUUCAUCUUAUUUCUGCUUUUUGUUUCACAUUUUUUCAUAAAUACUUUAGUCCCAUCAAUAGGCUUGACAAAAAAAAAAUUAACAAAUAAAUACAAGUCAGAAAAACGAAAUUAGUUCUUAGAGCAGAUUAGGACUUGUUACAAUUGUAAUGCUCUCAGGCCCAUAUAAAGCCACAUCGGGUAGAAUACAUAGGCCCGUUUGUUUUUGCGCUGUUUUUUUUUUUUUACAUAAAAAAGUACUUUUAGAUGUUAAAAAUACUUUUAACGUGUUUGGUGAAUAUCUGUUGGAAUGUAUGCCCUAAAACUAUGAUUUUGUUUAAUACAUUCCUUAUUAUGUUUUGUAUUUUAAUAACUUCUUCUUUAUCUAUUAAAUGCUAGAUAUAACUGAUAAAGUCCUUAGAAUACUUACUAAUGUGAUGGUGGUCACAAGUAUUAAUGACUAUGAGAUAUCAAUCACAUUUAUAGUAAUAUUCUUAAAUUUCUCUAGUCAUAGUACUAAUGAGAUAGGACAUCAUUAGUACGGAAUGACUAGUACACAACUAGUUUCUACUUAAUGUAUGUAGUGGUUGUUCUCAUCAACCAUGGUAUAUAGAUACCUAGGUUAAUGUGUAGAUGAUUUGUAAAAUACAAAUACAUUGGAAUGAUCCGCAUAGAGAUCCCAUUAGGAUAUCUAUCUAGUGCCAAUGAUCGUAUCUCUUGUGGUAAUUUAUGUAAAUGAUCCUAUGACUUGAGAUCACCAUAGUAUCUUGAGUGUGAAUCACUACAUUUUGACUCUAUUGCUUGUUACUUACUGAAAGUGACUUAGAGAAUAGAGAUUGGGUGUAGUGUGAAGCACGGAAAGGUAAUGAGUGAUCAAGAAAGGAUUCAUCACUCCGAUAGUAGGAGUUGAUAUCCAGAUGGCCACUAGUGGGAAAUUAACCCUAAAAGGUCUAUUACAUUAGGUUAAUUGAAGAAUAUUUUCAAGUUAACCUAAUCUAGGGUUAAUUCUGGAAACUAGUAAAUUUAAUUAGCCAUUAAGGAAUUGGCACUUAUUCCUCAUUCCUUGACUAAUUGGAUAUCGGUGGUGAAAGGAUAAUAAUUACAUGGUAACUUCUCAUGGAAAGGUUAGGUCAAAAUUCCCUUGACUAAUUCCGGGUACUUGGGUGGUCAUGAUGUGUUGCUAGACACCACUCAUGAUUUGUAAUUAUGAAUUAAUUAAUUAUUGUAAUUAAUGAUAAAAUAAAGUUGUUUAUUUUAUCUAAUUCUUUUUGGGAAUUAUAAGUCAUAAUUAUUGCCAAUGUAUUUGGAGCCUAUUGGAUCACACGCAUUACAGUUUUGAUUCUAGAUUAAAAUUAUAUGUCCGAGUGAAGACUUGGAAAUAAAAUAUAAGAUACUUUCGAGAUUUAAUUACAAAUAAAAUAAAUUCCAGGCCUAUUUGAGCAGAUAGGAGAAAAUAUUUAUCUCCUAUCUAUCAGAUAGCUGAAGGAUAGAGUUUAUUAUUGGAUAAAAACCUAUCUCUUCCUUUUUCUUUCUAUGAAUCCGAUCUCUAUUAGAACAAUGAAAAACCUAUGACUCUCUCAAGGAAAAAAUAGGGUUUUGGCAUACAUAGAGAGUGGAGAAAAAAAGUAUGUGAGACAUACAUAGAGAGAAAAAUAUAGACAAGGAAAGGUGAAAAGAAAGGCCGGCAACUUUCAUCCCUUUCACACAUAUAUCGUAGAGACGAUCCAAAUAUCACUCUUGCGUGGAUUUCGGUAGAGGCAGGACAUCUGGACUACUCAAGGGGUUGUUCGUCUUCUCCAAUUUGGCAGAGGAACGUCACACGAAUUAAGAUAAUCCGUUUUCCCCUUUCUUCUUGAACCAUACGCAAAAUCUAGGGUGAUCCUGAGUGGGUUUUUGGGAAAAUUUUUAAUUAUUUCCGUUGCCUUUCUGUCCCAAAAACCUAUCAAUAUCAUCCCACAAAAUUAGAAGUGAAGAUUUUGGUGUUAAAAGCACUUUUAGCAAAAUCUCAAAUUUGGUGCUUUUAGAGUAGCUUUUGUACUUUAAAAAAUUAAAUAUUAAAUUUAACCAUUUUAUCCUAUAUUAUAAACUAAAUAAAGAGAUACAUACAUUUUAAAAUUUUUAAAUCACACAUUAUCUAAUAUAAUAAGUACUUAUUGAACUAUAUCUCUAAAUAAUGACUUAAAAUCACUUACACACUUAAUAAGUACUUUUAUUAAAAAUUCUAUUAAAAAAGUAUUUUUUAAUAAACUACUGUAAUCCCAAACUGGCCCAUAAUAUGCAGAAUUGCAUAGACAACUCCUAAUUUGGAUGACGUAUUAGUGUACUUUCCACAUUUCUACUCUUAAAACAUUCUAAAUUUCUUUUCUUUGACUUUAUAUAUGAAUUUCAUUCUAGUUGGUCUUUGGUUGAAAUCAUUUGAUAUAUGAAUUUCAUUAUAGUUGGUCUUUGGUUGAAAUGAUUUUAUAUCUGAAUUUCAUUAUAGUUGGUCUUUGGUUGAAUGAAAUAGUCAGGGUCUUAUCAAAAGAAGAUCGUGAGCUAUUUGCUAUCCUUUGUCAUGCCAUUUGGUUAAAUCAUAAUGAGGCACUUUUGAAAGGUAAGCUUCAUGAUCCUAUGAUGAGCUUUGCAACUAAUUAUCGUCAAGCCUAUUGUGCAGCUAACCUUAAUGAUAGUAACUCCUCCCUCAAAGUGUUGCUCAAACGUGAUUAGCUCCCCCACUUCAAUCACUAUCAAAUCGCAAUCAUGAGGGACAGUUUGUUGCAAGGUUAUCCAAACGUUUUGAAGGUCUGGUGACAGUUGACAUAGAUGAGGCGAUUGCAGCUCGUGAAGGGUAUCCAAUUGGUUUGAAAAAAAAAAUGUAAUUAAGGAUUCCAAUUGUAUCCUUAAGGGUGAUGCAUUUAAUGUUAUUAACCACUUGCAUGAUGAAGAAAAGGUGUUGUCAGAUAGUGAUCCUAUAAAUGAGGAUAUCUGGCUAUCCAUGCUAGAAGCAAAUACUGUUGAUGUAAAAUGAGUUUCCAAGGACGCCAUAAGGUGGCACAUGAUUUAGUUUUUUGUACUAAAAUUUCUAAUCUUAUGGAAUCCCCAUGGAAUUCUCCAUCCAACUCUGUUAAGCAAUUCAUAUUGGAUGAAUUUCAGUAAUUUAGUUAAUAAUAUUUUCUAUUUUUAUCAAAAAAAGAAUUUCACUUUCGUUGGUGAGGUACUACUUGACCAUUAUCAGAGAGUGUGACGGCCCCACCUCCCCCUAGGGCGUACCCCAGAGCUUGGCGGGUCGUCUGCCCAUCCCUCGUCAGGACUCACUCAUGCACCUCAAGCAAAAGAAAAUAAGACCACAAGAACAAGGGUAACAAUAAUUCCAAACUUAAAACAUAUACUUAUAUACAUGUCUAUCUAAAAGGAAUACAACUCAAAUAUACAAAGGUUCUCUAUUCUUCACGUCCAACCCUUGCUAAGCGAUAGGGCGAGAACUAUUACAAAAUUCAAAAGAACUGGACUAAACUAGUCUAUACGGAUCUCUCGUCCUUGCUCGCAUUGUGACGCCCCCGCUUCUCCCAAGGGCGAACCCUAGGGUAUCGGCGGGACGCCUGCCUAGCUCGCGCCAGGACUCGAAACACAAAGCUAAUAAAACUAUAUUAAACCAAAAGAGUUCUAUUUACAUCUUCAAAAGUAUAUCUAUUCAGACCACCAUAUUACAUUAUAAUAACAAUCAGCAGAAGGUGGACCCUAAGGUGGGUCCUUAUACAAACCACCAAAACAAAAAGGAACAUCUUAACCGACCAACUAUUACAACUAACCCUAACUAUACUAGUGGCAGUGUCCAAAAGUUUCCCCGUGUCGCCCCCUGCUAAGGAAAACAAAGGAAACGGGGUAAGCUAUAUGCUUAGUAAGUACACGGGGGUAAACACGUAAAUGUCAUAUUAAAAUAAACAACUAUUUCACAAAAUGCCAAGUCAAGUGCAAAAGUAACAAUACAAAGGGAGGAUACAGGUUGGCUUCAAAGCCAAAUCGUUUGCCAUGCGUGACCUCCUGUCGACACUCCGUCGACCACGAAUAAGGUCCGUAGAACUCCACUUGUACACCCACCUAACACCUUAUCACCCUCACUGGCCAGUCACCUCACGAACUUGCUCGAGCGAACGAAAUCACAAACUUGAGCUUGAAUCACAAGCUCGGGUCACAAACUUGGUUCAUAACUUGAACCUACGAACUUGGUGACCUCAGACUAGGUUGGACUAGCUUCGACCAAGCCCCGGCCGGCUCGAAUAGUCCAUCUAGAUCUUGAGAUCGGGCCCACAACUUCAACAUAUUUCACGAACUCACGAAAGUCACCCCGAGCUCCAAGCUCAAGGGGUUCAAACCCAAAAUUAUUCAUUUAGACAUGUCCUGUAUAAAUAUGCACGUAAAUUAGGGUUUAGGUCGAGUGCGAUGAAGUACACCCUCGCCUAGGUACCCUUUCAUUCACCUUAAACACAUAAACAAGUUAUAUACAAAAUGGCCCGAAUACUUACCCAAAACACAAAAGUAGUACAAGAGUGGAAAUCACUUCGUGCGUUUUAACUAGUAGUAGGCCCCACCGGCUCCGCCUAUUUCACCACGGUCUCAAGAUGAAGGUUGUAUGAUGGCUAAUGAACUCAACCCAACUCCAAGAUGGAUUCUUUAUGCUUCAAGAUGAAGAUCUAUAGCAGAAAUUUGGUUGAACUUUGCCAACUUCCCUUAGUUUUUUUUCCUCAAGGUGGCCGGCCCUCUCUCUCUCUUUUCUUUCUUACUUGUUUUGUUUUUUUUUUUAUGGAAAUCCUAUGAUAUAUACAAGAUGGUCAAAGCCUUGAAAGAUAUUUCUAUUUCCACCAAUCACACAAAAGCUUCAUUUUUGCUCUCAAGCCCUUACACCUUCAACUUUGCAUUUGAUCAACUCUUGCCCUUAAACAUUUGAUAAUCUUUCAAUUAACUCCAUAGGUUAUAACUUAAUCUAAUCUAAAACACUUAACCACACUUAAUUACUUCACUAAUCACCCUCCUAUUUUAAUCACCUCUACUUAAUCAUACUUAAUCCCACAUAAAAGCAAUUAAACAACAACCUUUUGUCAUGGGUAGUAUUAAGGGUUUUAAACCCAACUUAAAAUUCUAACAAAUCAUAACACUAGAAACUUUUCUAGUUUAGGGUUUUCUAACUUUUAAACUCACUUAACCUAUAUAAAAUGGAUCAAAUCCUAUACUUCCCCGCACUAAAACACACACUAGCAUAACUAACUUAAUCACCACUCGAACUUAUAAUUAAUACAAAAAAAACUAGGGUUUCAAUCCUAACCCCAACUUAGGGUUUUCGAAGUAGUCCCAAAACCAAAUGUUACCGCACAAAUAAUGAAUAUAACCCUAAUAUCAAACUUAAGAACUGACCGGGGUCUCACACGCAUCCCCUGUAAAGAAAACAAAACUAAAGGAAUGAGCUAGAAGCUCAGUAAGGUUCCAAACACAUAGACAAACAAUAAGAUCAAUGCAUUAACCAUAGAUGACAAAUAAUUCAAGAAACAUUUACAAUGGAAAGCGAUAAUAACACAUUCAUUAAAAGGAUAUGGGCUCACAGGGAGCCAUUCAUUCAUUCGUUUAUUCAUUCUCCUUUCAUUCCCUUAUUCCUCCAAUCAUUUAAAAAUGCAUUUUGAUAAGUAAAACUCCUCAUUUGUAUUGACAUUCGUUCGUUCAUUUCAUUCACCCCCUCCGGGACGUUGGCCAGGCUCCACCCGACAACAAGGUAAUACUCGAGUAUACCAAACGUUCACCCAGGGUCACCAAAUCGCCCGACUGAGUCCGCUUCUGGCUCGAGUAUACCGGCAGCGAAGGGCAAGGGCCCAGUUCAGCCAAACGGCUUACAUUCAUGCGCAACUAGCAUUUAGUUAUUUAAUCAUUGAAAAUUUCACAUUCAUUUAGGUCGAGUGCGAUAAAGUACACACUCGCCUAGAAAACUCAUUUUAAACAAUCAGUGAAAAUAUUUAACAUGUUGUCAUUCGUUCAUGACAAGUCAUAUAAUCAAGAACAAGCCACAUAGUCAAUGAAAAUAUAACAAACAAGGAACACUCACCUAUUUAAGCAAAAUAACGUCCAAAGUUUCCUUCCGGAUAAUACUCUCAAUCACCAAGGAACCCUAAUAAUAACCAAGGGAAAAUAUUACGGUUAAACCAUCCAAAGAUUAGGUGAAUCAGAGAAAAUCCGAGUAACUAUUAGUACAAAGGAUAAAUAAUGUUUUGGAAGUGAAAAGAAUACAUUUAAACAAAGGACAUGAGUAAACUAUUUGUAUUUAUUAGUCGUAAAUUUCAUUUUUCCAAGGGUAUAAGGUUUGGCCGAAAUCCAACUUAUGUGCCUUGAUAAAAGAGGUUGCAAAUAUCCUAGAUGGUUCAAGUGGUAUUCGCUCUCAAACCUUAUUCAAGUCGCAAGUAUCUACCUAGUCCUCGAGCGUAAAUUUGGGCAGCACGCCCUUUGUAUUUACCUAUUUUCCAGCCUUUUAUGGCUUCGUUCUUUUCCUCAAUCAGUCCCAAAGUUAUACACAAAAUAAUCUCAUUUCAAUAGCUAUUCACUAGGCUCAAAGUCAUACAAGUACAAAAUCAAGCUAAGGACAUGUGCGGAAAUGAAGUUAAGUUGAAAACAAAAGACAGAUUUGACGUUGUUUUGCGUAACGGACACAACCGAAGCUACGCAUAUCGGAUUCAGGUAUAAUUUAUACUGUUUCAAAGCUAAGGCAGAGAGUUACAACUUUUAUGAAGACCACUUAGUCCAGUUUACAAUGUAUCCAAGUCAAAUUCACAAAUUACAGUACCAAAUUCCUACCGACAGGCCAGUUAACCGUAAUAUGUUUCAAUCACCAUAAUUCUGGAUACCGAAGUCCGAUUGAGGUGUUCGCAGUGGAGUUGGAAAGCUAAAAUAUAGGGGUAAAAGUUUCAUGUUUUGGCCAAAGACUGGUUUGGUACGGAUCAAGGUGAAAAAUACAGCCAACAUGAGGAAAUGUCAAAACUGUCUGCUGGACUCUACCUAGGGCAGUCUCAGAGGUAAUUUUGUCUUUUCACGAGCUACAGGGCUCCGAUUGAGCUGAAAUUUCGUUGAAAACUAUAAAACAUCAUUCCUUACAACUUUCAUAUUUUUUACUAAGGCUGAUUCGGUCUCUAACAUACUCAAAUAGAAACGGGCAGAACUGAACCAUAAGAAAUCUCAAUUCUGGAAUUUCAAGAAUUUAAUGUGCAACUUCACAUUUCUAGCUUAAAACCACUACUACUACCUCCUAUACAAGCCUACAUAGACCAUAUACCAUCCAAACAACCAUCAUUCCAACAACGAAAGCUGAAUUUUUUUACACUGUAGAGCUGGAAUUUACCAAAACUAAUACUAAAACCAUGAAAGUUACCUAACAAGCCAUAACUUUCACUUGUAAACCAAUAAGUAGCACAACCAUGAAAUAAUAUCAUCCUUACCUAGAAUUGGAGAAGCACAACAGCCCCUAGGAAGCUUGAACCACCAAAACUCUCCACUCCAAGAUGAUAAUCCACCCUCCUAAGCAACUUCUAUGGAUUAUUUGGUGAAUCUAUCUGUUAUUUUUGCAAGAUUGAGCCAGAAAGCAAGCUUGAAUGAAGUGGUUUCUUUCUCUCUUUUUCCUCUCUAAAUUUCGUGCACAAUGAAGCUUAGAAGAUAGAAAUUGAGCUCCAAGAAAGAGAUAAGAAGCAUAGACUUGAGUUGGUCAACAAUGGGUGGAUGCUUGCCAAGUGUCAUCACAAGAUUACAUCUCACUUUUUUUUUCUUUCUUCCUUUUCUUUAGUCAACAAAGAUGGCUGGAUUAAGGGGUAAUUUAGGGCUGGUUAGUCAAGUAAACAUAAAGGGAUUAAGGUAAUAAAGUGAUGGUCAAGUGGUGUAUUCCAUCGGUAACAAACGGUACCUGUCGUUCAACCCGUUUUUUCGUAUUUCGCACGUACUAGGGUUUUCACUUAUAAUUCACUAUCUUAUAGUUAUUACUUCUAUUCACACACUUAAUAUCAUCUAAAACUUACCCUUAAUCACCAAAUUUAGUACACAUUUUGUACCGGUUACUCAUACUACGAAAAGACGUAAAACCCUAAUUCAUGCUAACUUAAAAACGAAUGGUGAAACCCUACUUUUUAGGUUCAUUUGCACUUAUUGUGGGGUGAUUGAGUAGUAAGGCUACUAUAAAGUAAUAAUUUCCAAAUAAAAGGGAAUUUUUAAGAAGAAUAUAAGGAAUUUUAUGAGUCCUCACACUCUCUCCCCCUUAAAGAAAUUUCGUUCUCGAAAUUUUUACCUUCAGUUGCCUCAGAUGUCUCCGGAGCUUGUUGGUUGUCUAAGGCAUAUACCUUUGUCGGUACUUUUGUUCGGUUCCCUCUUUCAUUUACUUGUUUUGAUUUGGUUCCAUCCAGUGGUUGAGUACUACCCUCUCGGAUAGUUAUUCACUUGAUGAUCACCACUUCCACAAAUCAAACACUUCCGCCCUUUUCGCAAGCAAUCAUUCUCCGUGUGGUUUGCCUUCCCACAGUAUCCACAAGCCAGGUGAGACGCCACUUUUUGGCUUUCUUGAGAAAUUUCCCCAUGACCUAUUUGACUUUCUUUGGUAGAUCUUUCAUCUAGUGCUCCUAAUAUCCACGGUGGACGGGGUACAUGGCUCACUUUUUGUACUUUCAAAGGCGUUAUCUUUCCGCUGGAGUCCUCAGAUACACCACCAGAUGCACCCCUUUUCCAUGUUUGGGAUGCUUUUACCUGUGCCUUGGCAUCCUCAAUCCUUUCAGCUUUCUCAAGAGCCUCCGUAAAAGUAUUGACUUGCACCGCCGCUAAUGCUUCUUGGAUUUCCAAAUUCAAUCCUUGUAUGAACCGUCUCACUCUCCUCCGUUCCGUGGCCACCAAUUCAGAAGCAAACUUGGAUAGUUUCGUAAAUUUCAUUUCAUAUUCGGCCACACUCUGGGAUCCCUGGUGUAACCCAAUAAACUCAUCCUCCCUCCUUUCUUGGACUAAAGGUGGGAGGUACUUCUCGUUAAAUUCCCUUAAGAAGUUAGCCCAGGUCCAUACAGUUUGUUCUCUCUCCCACUUUGCUUUAAUCACGUUCCACCACGCUCGGGCCGGUCCUUCAAAUUGAAAUACCGCAAAGUUUACUUGUCUUUGUUCGGUAUAGUUCAAAGCUGCAAAAAUAUUGAUCAUAGCCUCAAGGCACUGUUCAGCCACAUCCGGAUCAGGCCCUCCCAGGAAUUUCGGAGGUAGAAAUUUUGAAACCUCUAAAGAGUCCUAUCCUCCCCUAUUUCAGGAUUUCGGGGUUGAUUCACCGGCAUUUGACCUUGUUGGUCUACAAGUCAUGCCAGGAUAUUUGUCAUUUGUUGUAUCGCCGUAGCUGUUUGAUCUCCGGCCUCAACUCUUGGUCCAGGUUCUUGCUCGACCAUUGUUUCUCUUUUGCCUCUUGGUUCUGGAACUCGCUUAGUUCCACGGCCACGGCCACGACCACGUCCACGACCACGACCACGUCUCCCUUCCUUACCCUUGUCUCUCUCUCUCUCUCUUUUUUUUCCCAAAAGUUGAUUUAAUAUGUAAUCAAAAUAAGUCGACUAAAAUAACAAGAUAUAACACAGCAAUUUCACAUCAAAUUCACAAAGAGACAUAUUCACGAUGGACCAUAUCAUAUACACGUAGAGACAUAUCAGGUUAGACAUGAUCAAGUGCAGCAAGUACAAUACUUAGAGGUAUUCACAUAUCAUAAGCAAAGUGCAAGGGCAAAACGAGGAAAACACGACACGUUGUCCCACACUCAGUUCUAAUAACCCACAUUCGGUCUCUCACAUUACUAUCUAUCCAAACUAGAUGUCUGUUGACUUCAGGUACUCAUUCUAGCCAGAUAUUAGCCUAUUCAAGUUUCCUCAAAAUGAAAGUCUCAAGUACUGAGUAUCGCCCUCAACUUUGGAGUACUCGGGCACGAGAAUCCGAAAUAAUAUGAUUCACAUCUCGAGCUGGCCAGUUCCAAAAGUAAAUGAUCUACAAUCGAGAUUCCUACCUGACGUACCUAUCUAUUGUCCUCAACUACCAUGAUGACGAUUUAAGGCUAUAACACUCCAUGAUUCAUACCUUGUAAGGCCUGGUGCAACCCAAUGAGUACAAACAAUUUCACAAUGAUGCACAAAGAUAUAUCAAAUUUAAGCACAAUAAAGAAACUUAAUUAAAGAGAAAAGAUAAGAAAUGCAAACCAAAUAUCAAUCCAAUAGCCUCUUCAAUAGAUGGCGAUGCUAACCAAGAUGUACAAGUGAAGGCUCACUCCUUCCUCACCCCAAACACACUUUGGUUGAGCCAAGGAGUUUUACAACUAUUCUAGUUAACCCUCAACAACCCACACUUGAAAGAUCACUCACCCAAAUAAGAACUAUUUUAUACAAAUGAGGCAAACUUCACCAAGGUUUUACCACUCCAAGUGAUAGGUUCACCUUCACCAAGGUUUUACUCCUCCUAGAGAGUAACCUUCACUUCAGCAACCUCACAACCCAACUUUCCCAACCCCUUAUACAACCAACAAAGAAUCUUUCUAUUCAAAAAUCUCACUUGUAAGCUUGUAUUUUGUGUUGGCAAAAGUCCCUUGUCUUCUUGUGCUUUGGGGUAUUUAUAGAAGGUGAGAAAUGGCUUCAAAAGGCUCUCUAACGGUCAAAUAUUAAAUGCUGUCAAAACUAGCCGUUGGCCUGUCGGACGUCCGAACCACCUGUCGCACGUCCGAACCCUGCGUCCAAACCACCUGUCGGACGUCCGAACCCUGCGUCCGAACGUUGACAGAGAGUCAUCAAAUCUUUGCGAAAUUUCUCGGACGUCCGAUGCGAUCGAUGUGCGUCCGAGGCGUGCGUCCGAUCCUUCCGGACGUCCGAUGCUUCCUCACGAGCGUCCGACAGAGUUUCCUUCUUGAUGUUCUUCAUCCUUUCGGACGUCCGAUAGCGUCCGACAUGAGUGCCCUGUUUUUGCUUCUUCUUUUAUGCCACAAGAAUCUGUUCUAACAAAUUACUCACAUAAAAACAUUAACCCAAAUCUACAUAUUGGUUUGUUAAUCAUCAAAACCAAGGAUUGAUCGACCAAGGUCAACAAUCUCCCCCUUUUUGAUGAUGACAAACAAAAUGAAGAUUUCUUUUAUCAAAUAAGUUCAAAUAAAGCUCCCCCUUAGAAAGUGCCAACAUACAAAGAAAUUUCAAUAAAUCCUACUCCCCCUUUUGGCAUCAAUCAAAAACAAACUCCCCCUUUAUUUUUCAAAUCAAGACCAUAUUGAAUAUCAAAAUUUUCAAUUGUACUUACAACCAUAUAGCACUUCUUGGAUCAAAUCUUCAUGAUGUACCUAAAUAUGAGAAAUUUCAUUUGGUACCCUUUCUUUAUAGGGUUCUUGGGAGUUAAUACAACAUGAUCUAGCAAUCCACAUGGAUUUCAUACCUUUUCUCAUAUUUUUAUUUACAUAGCAAUCAUUUUGCAUAUGUCCAAAUUUGCAACAAAAGUGACACAUGAUAGAAGUAUUUUGCACAUAAGUGGAUUUAAUGCAACUAAUUUUCUUACUUCUUAUCAUAGCAAACUUAUUUGUGCCUUGAAAAGAUUUGCUUUCUUUUGUUUGAGAAAACUUUUGUUUUUCAUUUUGGAGAAACUCGUUCAAGUCAUUAAUUCUUUUCUUUAACAAAUUCUGUUCCUCCAACAUUUUUUCAUAAAACUUUGUUUUCUCUUCCAACUUCCUUUUCAAAACAUUUUUUUGAUUUUUUAAAUCAUCAUUUUCCAUUCUCAAACAUUUGUUUUCUUGAAAAAGUUUGGAGUUUUCUUCCAACAAAUCAUUUAUUUUUGUUUUCAAAUCUUUAUUUUUAGCAUAAGAUUUUCUCAAACUUUUAUGCAUUUUAAUCAUAAGAAUUCUCACAUCAUCAUCUUCAUUAUCUUCAUCACAAGAAGAGUGAUAAGAACUUACCUCCUCUUCUCCAACGGCCAUUAGUGCCAUUUGGGCCAACUCUUCCUUUUCUCUUUUUGAAUUGCAUUCAUCCCAUGUAAUUUUGCAAUCUCCUCUUGAACAUCUCUUGUUGAAGAUCUUCUUCAAACUUUUGAUGUGAGGAGUUAUAUCAUUGUCCACUUCCAUGAUUUCAUUACCCAUGAAGGAUGGGUUAUCCCCCACUUGAGAUGCUUCAAAAGCUAUGCCUCUCUUAUAAAUUCUUGCAUUUUCUUCCUCUUGCACUUUGAAUUUCAGCUUUAAUUCAUAAGAGGUUAGGGUAUCCACAAGAGAUUCAAUGGACAUAGAAUUUAAAUCCUUUGCCUCUUCUAUAGCAUUUAUUUUGUUUUCCCAUUCUUUUGGCAAGGCAUUCAAAAUCUUUCUAUUUUUCUCACCCAAAGAAUAUUCUUUUCCAAGCAAUUUAAGAUCUUGAAUAAUGUCACAAAAUCUACUACACAUCUUAUCAACAUUUUCAAGAGGAUGCAUUUUGAAAAAUUCAUAUUGAGAAACAAGCAAAGAUUUCUUUUGUUCUUUAAUAUCUUGGUUACCUUCAUGAAAUACACACAAUUUAUCCCAAAUAUCUUUAGCUGAUUUACAACCUUUAAUCCUACUAGAUUCAUUUACAUCUAAUGCAUUGUACAAUAUACACAUGGCCUUGGCAUUCAAAGAAAGGUAUCUCUUGUCUUUUUCAUUCAAUUCUUGUCUAGUCUUUAAUCUACUCAAAUUAGUGAUAGAGUCAAUUAUUCUGGCUUCAUAAGGACCAUCUUCUACCACAUACCAUAAUUCAAUAUAAACGGAUUGUAAGAAAAUCAUCAUUCUUUGUUUCCACAUGCUAAAAUAAGAACCAUUAAACAUAGGUGGUCUGUCAAUAGAUUGCCCUUCUAAAAAAGAAACUUUUAUGGUUGCCAUGAUCUUUACUCUAAGCGGUUAAGCUUGAUCAAAAGAGACCAAGCUCUGAUACCAAUUGUAAGGCCUGGUGCAACCCAAUGAGUACAAACAAUUUCACAAUGAUGCACAAAGAUAUAUCAAAUUUAAGCACAAUAAAGAAAACUUAAUUAAAGAGAAAAGAUAAGAAAUGCAAACCAAAUAUCAAUCCAAUAGCCUCUUCAAUAGAUGGCGAUGCUAACCAAGAUGUACAAGUGAAGGCUCACUCCUUCCUCACCCCAAACACACUUUGGUUGAGCCAAGGAGUUUUACAACUAUUCUAGUUAACCCUCAACAACCUACACUUGAAAGAUCACUCACCCAAAUAAGAACUAUUUUAUACAAAUGAGGCAACCUUCACCAAGGUUUUACCACUUCAAGUGAUAGGUUCACCUUCACCAAGGUUUUACUCCUCCUAGAGAGUAACCUUCACUUGAGCAACCUCACAACCCAACUUUCCCAACCCCUUAUACAACCAACAAAGAAUCUUUCUACUCAAAAAUCUCACUUGUAAGCUUGUAUUUUGUGUUGGCAAAAGUCCCUUGUCUUCUUGUGCUUUGGGGUGUUUAUAGAAGGUGAGAAAUGGCUUCAAAAGGCUCUCCAACGGUCAAAUAUUAAAUGCUGUUAAAACUAGCCGUUGGCCUGUCGGACGUCCGAGACCUCCUGUCGGACGUCCGAACCCUGCGUCCAAACCACCUGUCGGACGUCCGAACCCUGCGUCCGAACGUAGGCAGAGAGUCAUCAAAUCUUUGCGAAAUUUCUCGGACGUCCGAUGCGAUCGAUGUGCGUCCGAGGCGUGCGUCCGAUCCUUCCGGACGUCCGAUGCUUCCUCACGAGCGUCCGACAGAGUUUCCUUCUUGAUGUUCUUCAUCCUUUCGGACGUCCGAUAGCUUCCUUUCGGACGUCCGACAUGAGUGCCCUGUUUUUGUUUCUUUUUUUAUGCCACAGGAAUCUGUUCUAACAAAUUGCUCACAUAAAAACAUUAGCCCAAAUCUACAUUUUGGUUUGUUAAUCAUCAAAACCAAGGAUUGAUCGACCAAGGUCAACAAUCUCCCCCUUUUUGAUGAUGACAAACAAAAUGAAGAUUUCUUUUAUCAAAUAAGUUCAAAUAAAGCUCCCCCUUAGAAAGUGCCAACAUACAAAGAAAUUUCAAUAAUUUCAAUAAAUCCUACUCCCCCUUUUGGCAUCAAUCAAAAACAAACUCCCCCUUUAUUUUUCAAAUCAAGACCAUAUUGAAUAUCAAAAUUUUCAAUUGUACUUACAACAAUAUAGCACUUCUUGGAUCAAAUCUUCAUGACUGUCCUAAAUAUGAGAAAUUUCAUUUGUACCCUUAUAUUAAAUAAAAUUACGGGUUUUACAAAAAAUGAAUUUUGAUUAAUUUUUUAUUUGAAAAAAUGAGUUUUUGUUUUUAGAAAAUGAAUAAAGAAAUGGGACUAAAAAGUGCGAUGAUUUUGACCCAAAAUAAUAGUUUAAAAAGGGUUUUUAAUGAAAAAUAGGAGUCGCUACUUAGUAUUGAGUUAAGGUAUACCAAGUCAUCUAAAAUGAAUUUUUUAAAGAAAAAGUAGAGAAAACCUUUUUUAAACGACUCCAAUUCUGUGAAAAUCAAGAGAAAAGGGGUCGGGAGUCACAUUUGAGAAAGGGAAGGUAAGGAUAAAAUCCAAGGCACCCUUUCAACCUAAUCAAGGCUAGUUGCGUGAUUUUAGUCAAAAAAUUUUCUUAAUUUAACCUAAAAAUUUAUCACAUUUGGAUAUUACUAUAUGAAUGCAAAUCUAGACCUAAUGGAUGGUCGUCGGGGUCGGAAUAUCUCUUCAAAACUUGAUUGGUGCAAAUCACAUUAAUUGUGAUACCUAAGAGUGACUCUUCGAAGAGGUCACGAUCAUGCAAAAUAUGAGAUUCGAAAGAAAGAAAAGAAAAGAAAAAAUAAUAAUAUACAUGACCUAAAGGAAUGCAUCAUAACGAGUGCGGGAACUGUGAUUCGUGACUUUAAUUUUCCCUUAGAGGGAAUACGAGCGUGCUAAGACUAGAAAGUCAUACUCGUCCAUAUCCCAUAUUUAAAGGGUAUAUUCUCCUAAUUUUGGUCAAGCAAAUGAUCUAACCUAUUUCUAAUUUCCUAAAUGAGAUGCAAAUCUAAAUGUUAUAUUUUUGUACAUGGGGGUAAGGGAUAUAUAUAAGGGAAAUAUCAUGCAAAAUGAUAAAAACCCUAAAAAGUAGAAAAUAUGCAUGAAAUGUCAUGAUUAUCACACAAGCAUGAUCUAACUCGUGAAUGGUCCCUAAGGGUCUAGCGUUAGACUAUCCCAUGUCUAUAACUUCUCACUAGCGUUGGACUAAUGUGGUAACGUCAUGCAUUUAUUAUAACUAAAUAAAUCAUAUAAAACAUCAUAAAGCAAAUAAACACAUAAACAAAAUUGUUCGUCAAGGCAGAGACAUAUGAUGCUGUAGUAUCUUCAUUAUGAAAAAUGAUGAAUAAAGAGACAUAUGCAGAACUUCUUUCUAAAACAACUGCUUAAUUCGGGAAAGUCAAGGUAAAGGAAGAAAAAUUAACUUGUUACUUACAAAAUCUUGAAGAAAAAUCUGCAAUCUAUUCAAAAUGGGAAGAAAGUUCUUUAAAAGGAACUUAUUGAUUUGGAAAGGCCAGGCACGGAAGUUAGCUCAACUAUUGACCAAAAGCAUGAAACUUUCAAGGAGAUCUAGACUGAAAUAUUCCAAAUCCAUGAUGAACUCUCUUUCAUUAAAAAAUGCUAGUGUUUUAACUGAUUACACAGUGAAAAAAUUUAAAGGCAUGAAAUCCGCACUUGAAACAUACAAAAUAGCUAUAGUAGAUUACAAGUUUGAUAUUUAGAUUUUCCCUCAUGUUCCUCCUUUUCCCUUAGAAAUUUUAAGGCAGAAUUUUUUUCUUUUCAUUUUCUUUUCACAUAUAAUGAAACUUUUUUUGAAUAAUAAAACAACUUUUCUUUAUCUUGUGAUUUUUUUCAAGAUAAAAGAACUUAAAUUUAGCAUUUUAUUUUCAAAGAGAGGAAAAAAAGACUUUACAAGGAAAACGAUUUAGUUUGGGAGGUGUAACUGAACUUAGAAUGUGCCCUUUAAUCAGUCUACAUAUCCAAAAGGAAUCAAGCCACACGUAAUUUCUGCCAUUUACAAUUUAACCUCAUGCAGACCAGGAGUAUCUAUUUAUUUAUCAUUUUAAAUUGGUGGAGUGUUUCAGGAAUUUAACCACAUACUACACUAUUGUGAUUGCCAUUCAUAAUUUUAGUUCAUGUGGGUUAGAAACAACAUGUAGCUUUUUAUUUAUGCAUCAUGAGGCCUUGAGAUUAGCAAUAAUAUUUCUUCAAGUAUUUGUCAUUGAUGUGGCCAAUCCUUAAUCUAGUUUCAACAACUAACUUAUACGAACCAUUUGAGUAUAUUUCUUGAACAACAUACGGGCCAUCCUAUUUGAAGAUAAAUUUUUUUGUUCACCAUGUGUGAGGACCCAAAUUUUUCCUUACUUUUAAUUCUAUUUUAUUGGCUUAUUUAAUUAUUUAUUUACCCGUUUUCUCCGAAUAAUUUAUUUCAACCAUUUUAAAAUCAUUUACAUGGAAUACUGUCCCACUUAUAUUUUAAAACAUCCCGUUAGCAAAUUUAAUUUUUUUUGGAGGUUCGUUUAUUAAGAAAAAGUGAAUACAUGUUUUUCGACGGCAAUGUUUGAAUCGAGAGUGCAAUAAUCCUAGCGAAUUAAGAAUGAGUAAUAGUAGACUAAGAAAAGUUAAUUGAUGGAUUAGAGGUGAGUGAGUUAAAAAUUUAAGCUUAUACCGCGAAUGCGUCGAAAGUUUCCUGAAAGUCGCACCUGUACAAACUAAUUGGAGAUUUGAGGAAUUAAUACUUGUGAGAACUUAUGUUUUUAUUUCAAAAAUAGUUAUUUUUAGGAUUAUUUACCCUAGUAUUAGUGAGUUAUAUUAUCGUUACAAGAAUUUCUUUUGAUUUUCGCUUUAUCGCGCUCGAAUCGGAAGUUCGCAUAUUUCGCGUCAAAACGGUUAAGUAGUGAUUUAAGAAACUAAAACUAGACUAUGAAGAGUGAAUAAUUAUAAUGUUAAAAGAAGUACAUUAGAGGUUUAGUGCACAAGUGAAACAAACCCGAGAGAAAACGGAUACGAAACGCGCACGCGCGAGUACUAUUCAUAGUUGACUUUUACACAAAAUUUUAACCACAAAACACUUAAGCUUCCAAGGGAAGCUUCAUUCAUCAGCCACACUCUCUCUCCUCACCUCCAUAGCUCACAAAACCAGCCAAGGAAGAAAAGAGAAAGCUCUUCAUCAUUCUUGCUCCAUUCUUGAACAAUUUCACUCCAAAAUCUUCACUCAACUUCCAUAUCACUUAGAGAUUAGCUUAAGCUUGGUGGAAGACUUCAUCUUGGCGGUUUUCUUGGAGCUUUUGUGAUCAAAAUUUCUGGUUCUUCAAGGCUUCAAGAGAUAUACACCUCAACUCAUCCAAUCUUUUAUUUCUUGGCUUUAAUGAGUUUCAUUCUUGGCUUGAAGCUUGUAGCUUUCCAACGGUAUAAAAUUCACUUUCUAGUUUGAAAUGAGUGAGGUGUAAUGAGUCGGCAAAGUUGCUGCCCUGUUCUGUUGGCCUAUCCGAGAGAAAGGUAGAAGCUGCAUUUUGUGGCUCUAUUUUCUCUCACUUAUGAAUCGAUUUUGAAAACGAUUUGUUCUGAUGAAAUGUAGCCUUAUGAUUCUAGUUUCCAACGCCACCAACCAUUCGCAAUUCCAAGUUGUAUUGAGUGAGAUAUCAUCCAAUUUUCAAACUGUGACAGAACUGGAAAACCCUUCUUUUGGGCUGGCCGACUGGUUUAGUUGUUUGUGAGAUGUUUUAUAUUGAAAUUUUGAUGUCAACCAACUAUCAAUUGCUUAUGAAAUGUGAAUUACUUGACAAGCUCCCGUAUCCUUAACAAGUGUGUUAUAUUAUAAAUUGUGAAUUACUUGAACUUUCUGGCUUUAAUUCUUGUACAUAUGUUAUUGUUACUUGUUACUUGAACUAUGUGUUCGCAAGUGCAUGUUUUGUUUUUUUCUUGGCCUCACGAGCAUCCGCUCACCCCGUUAGAUUUGUUUUCCUUAACAGGAUCUGAACUGGAAGGGAUUAUGGAAAAGCCUAUUGAUGGCUCUUUUGGCUAGAAUUUUGGAAUGUAUUUGUCUAGACAUCAUUUUGGGAAGUUGUAUAUUUUGGAAAGUGGAUGUAUUUUGAACUUGUGGUGUAAGAUUGGAUAUUUAUAUAUGGAAACGACUUCUCUUUCUUACUUCGCCUUGUCUUACUAGUUAUUAUGGUAUUAAGUUUGAACGGGAAUUGUAUCGAGUCCUGGCGAGAGUUGGGCAGGCGUCCAGCCGAUACCCUUUGGUUCCCCUUAGGGAGUGGGGGCGUCACACCAUGAGUGAGAAUGAUCAGUCUUCAAAUAGUAAGUACUAAUUCCUCAACUUGAAAAGUGCGAGGUCGAACACACUUAUUGAAUACUUUUGAGAGAUGAGUUUGAUAGCACUCAAUUCAUUGUUGGGUUUCCAAUAUCUUUUUAUCAAAUGCUUCUAAUUCCUCAAGACGAAACUAAGCAUUAUCUUUCUCAUUGAACACUUUUUGACUUGCAAUCUUAAAUGAGGGCAUUUGUCGUUCAAGUGAAAGAAUAGAUUCGACACCAUAGACCAGUGCAUAUGGAGUAGGUUGCAUGGGAGUUUGCCCAAUGAGCCUCUCCAAUUUAUUGAUGCCUAUCUUUUUUCAAUUUACUAUGAUUUUUUUCUUUUUAACAAUUGCAUAAGGUCUUGUUAAAUGUUUCGGUAAGUCCAUUUGCAGUAGUAUAAUACAUUGAAGAAUUAAUAUUAUUUAAACUUAAACUUUCACAAAGUUUAUUCAUUGCAAAAAAAGCUUGCCAUUAUCAGUGAUUAAAUAACGCAAAACUCCAUUCGAUAGCUGAUGUUAAAAUGGAUGAAAUCUACUACAUUUUUUUUCUUCACCUCUCUUAGAGGAAUUGUUUCAACCCACUUUGAGAAGUAAUUUGUUGCAACCAAAAUGAAGAUGUGUCCACUAGAAAAUUUUGGAGUGACCCAACUAUGUCCGAUUCCCAAGCAUCAAAUGGUCAAGAAACAGCAGUUAGAUGCAAUGGUUCAGGAGGUUGAUGAAUGAAAUUGCUAUAAAAUUGAUAAGUUUGACAUUUCUUUGCAAAAUCAAUGCAGUUUUUUACCAUUAUUAGCCAAUAGUAUCCCAUCCUCCUGAUGUAAAAAUAUAGUUUAGGCCCGGAUUGAUGAGUCUUACAUACUCUAGAGUGAGUCUCUUCCAUUGCUUGCAUGGCUUCAUCUUCUCCAAGACAUCAUAGAAACAUUUUCAUCAAAUGAUCUUGAUGAGAAUAUAGAGACCAAGGCCCAUUCCAUUCAAGCACAUGGGGAAUUGGAAGAUUCAAGUAAAGACUAGUUCGCGGAGUACUAGCUUGCUAAUUAGGGUUUUAGUUUCCAUUAUUAGUUGUUUGUUAGCAUUAAUAAUUUCGGUCAAUUUUCACUUCACUUUGGCCGAAUUUGGAGUCUUAAUUUUAGUCAAUUAGUUGUUAGACAUUUUCGCCCUUAAUGAAGGGCAAGGUCGUCCAUUGGACAUGCUAGGGUUUGAGUCCUGUAAGGCUAUAUAUAGCCUAGGUUUUCAUUCAUUAAAGGACAAUUCAGAUUUUAUAAAAUAUAUGUGAGUUAUUUCACUCUCUCUUGCCUCAAGAGAAUUUCCUUUGAAUACUUGAGAAUUAAUCUCAAGUUGUUCAUCGAACUUAUCAAUCAAGUAGUCUCCUUGAUUGUGGCGUUCUUCUAUCCAUACUUUUGGUUCACUAAAUUUGCUAGUCGUGGGUUAAGGAAUCUCCUUAGUUCGUGGCUCGUGAUUCUAGAAGGGUCAAAGUUCCGCCAAUCAUCCCAACUUGGUGUUCGUCUAGAUCCGUCUCACAUCAGUUGGUAUCCAGAGCUAGUCGACGACAUCAAGUAUAUCCCGUUGAGUUUGUUCGUAAGCUUUCUAGUCAAUUUUAUUUUGCAAUUCUGGUCGUGUCUUCCUUUGUGUCAAGUCCGAUUGUUAUUACAAAAAAAAAAAAUUCUGUCCGCCUUUGUUGUCUUGUUGAGUCACUCUUUGAUUUCUUUUGCUUCGUGUCCACUUCGUGCAUUACUUGUUGUGUGAUUCUGUCUUGAAGCCUGCCUUCAAGUGUAGCCGUGUUUUGUUCGUUGCAUAUUCUGUUUAAAUAUCAAACAAAAAAAAAAAAUUUUCUGCGACGGCUAGGGUUUUCACUUGCAACUAGGGUUUCCUUGGGUGCAAGUUUCUUGCCAAAUCUGUCCAAACUUUAGUUUAUUCCACCAAGUUGUUUUCAUUAAUUUCCUAAACUGAUUUUUGUGGUUAAACUUGUUUGGGGUUGGAAUCUUGAAGAGGAACUACAAUAAUCUAGGGAUUCUUGAGUUUCUUGAAACUAAUCUUGAAGUCUCAAAAUCUUGAUACAUGUUUUGAUAGUUAUUGGAGGAUUGAAGGAGAACAUUGGUUUGACAUUAAAUUCUGGAAUUUUACCCAAGAACAGCCGAGUAAUUGUGUGUUCUUAGAGUCAAAAAAAAAAAAUAGAAAAAAAAAGAAAAAGAGAAAGGGCACUCGGGUAGCAAACAACAAAGAAGGAAGCCGCACUUUUAUUUGCCAAAUUCUGUCUUGUUGCAAUUGUUUCAACAAACCAGAAAAUUACAUCAAGAAAAAGACUACUCAAAAGUUUUGACCAACCUCUUCUUGAAAAUCUUGCACACCUUGAGCCUUGAUCACUUGUAUCACCCGCUGAGUCUUUUGAGGAUCUUGACCAUCUUGAUUCUUGAAGAUUUGCACUUCCCUACGUAUAAACAGUUUCUUGUACGUCCUUGCAUCCAUACGGGGCUUUCUUGGCUUAGGAGUAAACCUCUUGGGAGUUUCUUGAGCAGGCCGCUUGGGGUAUUCUUGGGUGACGUUGCUUGUGUCAUCUUGUGAAGCCAUUGUUAGCACCAAGCGUCAAAACUGUCCUUGUGUGGAGCAAAGAGGGGAGGGCCGAAUUGUUGUUCUUGAGGGAGAGUAAGGGACGAAAAUUUUGAGGGGAUUUAAGAAGAGGUAAUUCUGGAAAAUUUUGGGGUUAGGAAGCUACCAAAUCUGGAAAAUUUUUUAGGAAAUUCCAGCCGACUUUGAGGGGAAUUUAAGAAGACAAGAAAUCUGGAAUUUUUUUCGUGGAAGCUAUUCUGAUUUGAUAAGGUAACAAAUCUGGAAAUUUUCAGCGGUUAGGAAGCUACCAAAUUCUGUUUUGCAGCCGACUUUGGAAGGUUUAAAAGGAGCAGAAAUUUGGAAAUUUUUUUAGCUACCAAAUUCUGUUUUGCAGCCGACUUUGGGAGGUUUCAAAAGAGAAGGAAAUCUGGAAUUUUUUUUGGGAACAAUUCUGAUUUGUUAUAGCUGACUUUAGGAAGGUUUUUGGAGAGGGAAUCUAGAAAAAUUUUGGAAGGUUUUUGGAGAGGGAAUCUGGAAAAAUUUUGGUAAUAAUUCUGUUUGGUUAGCCGACUUUAAGGAAAUUUCCAAAUAAGUCCAACACCUAACUUGUUUCCAAAAAUCAAUUGGGCAAUUAAGUAAAGCACUUGGGAACUCCAUCAUCGUACUUGGACUUUCUUUUUCUUUGUACAUCAAUUCUUUCCUCUUCCAUCCCUUAUUCAUUACUUGAGCUUUCCAUUUCUACUUUUGGUUUCCUUGUUCCUUUGAUACAAUUGGGAGCUAUUUUGAUUAAAGUUUGAUUGAACUUCCUUGAGAAAAUUUCUGAUUUCUUCAAAGGAAACAAACAAGUGGUUUGAGAAGUGAAUUGGUGAGAGCAUUAGAGUGCCAUACACACUUGAGUGAAAACACGAGAGGAGUGAAACACUUAAGGAAGCAAGUGAGGCAUUUUCUACUAACAAUUUGUCAAGUUUUGCAGGUUUCACCAUGUCUCAGGAACAUGAAAUUACCAUUGCUCAGUUAUCACUUAAAAUGGAUAAUAUGUGGAAGGAAAUGCAGAAGAGAUUUGACCAAAGGUUGGAAACAAUCCAUGAGCAAAUUGAUCAACUAAGUUCGUCUAGGGCUUCUUCUAGGAAAUCUAGGGGACAAUCCACCCUGGGGGAAUCUAGUGACUCCAAUGCUGAUUCGGAACAUGAGGCAUACGAGCAAAGAAGACCAAAGCGAAACACAAGAGCAAUCGGUGAUGCCAUCAAGGGGAUUAAGAUGAAGAUUCCUCCAUUCCAAGGCAAAUCUGAUCCGGAUAUAUACCUUGAAUGGGAGAGUCGAGUAGAGCUAGUAUUUGAUUGUAAUGACUACACCGAUGCACAAAAAUUGAGACUUGCCGUAGUCGAAUUCACCGACUAUGCCAUAGUUUGGUGGGAACAAGUGGCUACAAGCAGAAGAAGGUGUGGAGAGCCACCUAUAACCACUUGGACUGAGCUCAAGAGACUGAUGAAGAAGCGAUUUAUACCAAGUCACUACCAUAGAGACUUGUACCAAAAACUUCAAACCUUGACACAAGGUCAACGCUCAGUUGAGGACUACUACAAGGACAUGGAAAUCUCCAUGUUGAGAGCUGAUAUUCAAGAAGAUAGAGAGGCUACAAUGGCAAGAUUUCUCAAUGGUCUGAGGGUUGACAUAGCCGAUCAACUGGAGCUUCAAUACUAUGUGGAGAUAGAAGAUAUGGUGGAGAAGGCUAUCAAGAUUGAGCAAAGGCUCAAGAGGAGGGGUACAACCAGAAAUUCUAACCCUCAUCCACAAACAUUUACUCAACCAUUCCAGCCUAGCAGGGAAGAGAGAGGUUCGAAUACUUGGACCACUCCAAAGCCGAAGCAAGAUCAAGGGUCAAGCUCACGGCCACCUUUUACUAAAGCCGACUCCAAGGUUGUUUCAAAACCAACAAUUGAAACUUCAAAACCUAGGAAUCGUGACACCAAAUGUUGGAGGUGUCAAGGAAUUGGGCACAUUGCAAGCCAAUGUCCAAAUCCAAGAACCAUGCUUGUGCUACCAAAUGGAGACAUUGUCACUGAUGAUGAAGAGGAGGAGUACAAAGACAUGCCUUCCUUGGUUGAAGAGGAAGAUGAGAUAGAGGAAGUUCCAACUCAAGACAAAGUUGGAUUGGUAGCAAGAAGGGCACUAGCUACGCAAGCUAGUAAAGAUGAACUUCAACGUGACAACAUCUUUUACACUAGGUGCCAUGUGACCAACAAGGUAUGCAGCUUGGUGAUUGACCCCGGAAGUUGCACUAAUGUUGCUAGUGCAUUGAUGGUGGAGAAACUAAACUUGCCAACUAGUGAGCACCCCCGUCCCUACAAGCUUCAGUGGUUAAACAACAGUGGAGAGGUACGUGUUCUUAAACAAGUUCUGGUUACUUUUCGCAUUGGUAGGUAUGAAGAUGAUGUUAUGUGUGAUGUAGUACCAAUGCAAGCUGCACAUAUACUCUUAGGGCGUCCUUGGCAAUUUGACAAAAGAGUCACUUUUGAUGGUUUCUUGAACAAAUACUCUUUUAUGCAUAAUUGUAAAAAGAUUACACUUGCACCUCUUACACCUCAACAAGUACAUGAGGAUCAAGUUAGUCUACAAAAAGAGUAUGACUUGCAUGCUACCACCAAGAAGGACAACGCCAAAGCUAAGAAAUUAGUGUUGGCCGACCCUUCUUCAAGCAAGUUGGAUCACUCUCAUUCGGUCUUCGAACCCGCACAGGAGAGAAAACCCAGCAUGCUUGCCAAGGUGAAAGAUGUGAGAAAGGCCUUGCAUUCUAAUCAGGUUUUAUUUAUUUUAUUUGGCAAGGAAUCCUUACUCACUAAUGCUCUUGAUGCUUCUUUGCCUAGUGUUAUUACUAACCUCUUACAGGAGUAUCAAGACGUCUUUCCUGAGGAUAUACCUAAUGGAUUGCCUCCAUUAAGGGGAAUUGAACAUCAAAUUGAUUUCAUUCCUGGAUUUUCCCUUCCAAACAAGGCACCAUAUAGGACCAAUCCUGAGGAAACCAAGGAGCAACAACGACAAGUGGAGGAGUUGCUUGGUAAGGGUUGGAUUCAAGAGAAUCUAAGCCCUUGUGUUGUACCAGUUCUACUUGUUCCAACCAGCACUAGUCGGGUUACAAUGGCCUUUGAUGCCGCUUUUGCACGUCUUGAUGCGUACAACGCGCAGCCCAACCAAACCUUGGUUCACCGGGCGUCCGCUCACGGUCCACCCAUAGGCUUGAGACGUCACUUGUGUAGCCAUUAUCAUGGAACUCUUGCUGUCUGCAACAUGUAUCUACCACCACCACAAGUUUUCCUGGUGUCCCACAAGGGUGUCUUGAUCUUUCUUCGCUUGAGAAGGCGACAUGCAGGCUGCUUGGUGACUAUACACAUGCUCUCAUCACCUUUGUUUUGUAAGAAGAGUCAUGAUUUGGGGACAAAUCGCCUUUAAGAGGAGGGGAAUGAUGAGAAUAUAGAGACCAAGGCCCAUUCCAUUCAAGCACAUGAGGAAUUGGAAGAUUCAAGUAAAGACUAGUUCGCGGAGUACUAGCUUGCUAAUUAGGGUUUUAGUUUCCAUUAUUAGUUGUUUGUUAGCAUUAAUAAUUUCGGUCAAUUUUCACUUCACUUUGGCCGAAUUUGGAGUCUUAAUUUUAGUCAAUUAGUUGUUAGACAUUUUCGCCCUUAAUGAAGGGCAAGGUCGUCCAUUGGACAUUCUAGGGUUUGAGUCCUGUAAGACUAUAUAUAGCCUAGGUUUUCAUUCAUUAAAGGAUAAUUCAGAUUUUAUAAGAUAUAUGUGAGUUAUUUCACUCUCUCUUGCCUCAAGAGAAUUUCCUUUGAAUACUUGAGAAUUAAUCUCAAGUUGUUCAUCGAACUUAUCAAUCAAGUAGUCUCCUUGAUUGUGGCGUUCUUCUAUCCAUACUUUUGGUUCACUAAAUUUGCUAGUCGUGGGUUAAGGAAUCUCCUUAGUUCGUGGCUCGUGAUUAUAGAAGGGUCAAAGUUCCGCCAAUCAUCCCAACUUGGUGUUCGUCUAGAUCCGUCUCACAUCAUUCAUUCAUUCUCCUUUCAUUCCCUUAUUCCUCCAAUCAUCUAAAAAUGCAUUUUGAUAAGUAAAACUCCUCAUUUGCAUUGACAUUCGUUCGAGUGCGAUAAAGUACACACUCGCCUAGAAAUCUCAUUUUAAGCAAUCAGUGAAAAUAUUUAACAUGUUGUCAUUCAUUCAUAACAAGUCAUAUAAUCAAGAACAAGCCACAUAGUCAAUGAAAAUAUAACAAACAAGGAACACUCACCUAUUUAAGCAAAAUAACGUCCAAAGUUUCCUUCCGGAUAAUACUCUCAAUCACCAAGGAACCCUAAUAAUAACCAAGGGAAAAUAUUAUGGUUAAACCAUCCAAAGUUUAGGUGAAUAAGAGAAAAUCUGAGUAACUAUUAGUAUAAAGGAUAAAUAUUGUUUUGGAAGUGAAAAGAAUACAUUUAAACAAAGGACAUGAGUAAACUAUUUGUAUUUAUUAGUCGUAAAUUUCAUUUUUCCAAGGGUACAAGGUUCGGCCGAAAUCCAACUUAUGUGCCUUUGUAAAAGAGGUUGCAAAUAUCCAAGAUGGUUCAAGUGGUAUUCGCUCUAAAGCCUUAUUCAAGUCGCAAGUAUCUACCUAGUCCUCGAGCGUAAAUUUGGGCAGCACGCCCUUUGUAUUUACCUAUUUUCCAGCCAUUUAUGGCUUCGUUCUUUUCCUCAAUCAGUCCCAAAGUUACACAUAAAAUAAUCUCAUUUCAAUAGCCAUUCACUAGACUCAAAGUCAUACAAGUACAAAAUCAAGCUAAGGACAUGUGCGGAAAUGAAGUUUAAGUUGAAAACAAAAGACAGAUUUGACGUUGUUUUGCGUAACGGACACAACCAAAGCUACGCUUAUCGGAUUGGAGUGAAAUUUAUAUUGUUUCAAAGCUAAGGAAGAGAGCUACAACUUUGAUGAAGACUACUUAGUCCAUUUUACAAUGUAUCCAAGUCAAAUUCACGAAUUACAGUACCAGAUUCCUACCGACAGGCCAGUUAACCGUACUAUGUUUCAAUGGCUAUAAUUCAGGAUACCGAAGUCCGAUUGAGGUGUUCUUAGUGGCGUUGGAAAGAUAAAAAAUGUGGAUAAAAGUUUCAUGUUCUGGCCAAAGACUGGUUUGGUACGGAUCAAGGUGAAAAACGCAGCCAACAUGAGGAAAUGUCAAAACUGUCUGCUGGACUCUACCUAGGGCAGUCUCAGGGGUAAUUUUGUCUUUUCAUGAGCUACAGAGCUCUGAUUGAGCUGAAAUUUCGUUGGCAACUAUAAAACAUCAUUACUUACAACUUUCAUAUUUUGUACUAAGGAUGAUUCGGUCUCUAACAUACUCAAACAAAAACCAGCAGAACUGAACCAUAAGAAAUCUCAAUUCUGGAAUUUCGAGAAUUUAAUGUGCAACUUCACAUUUCUAGCUUAAAACCACUACUACUACCUCCUAUACAAGCCUACAUACACCAUAUACCAUCCAAACAACCAUCAUUCCAACAACCAAAGCUGAAUUUUUUUACACUAUAGAGCAGGAAUUUACCAAAACUAAUACUAAAACCAUGAAAGUUACCUAACAAGCCAUAACUUUCACUUGUAAACCAAUAAGUAGCACAACCAUGAAAUAAUACCAUCCUUACCUAGAAUUGGAGAAGCACAACAGCCCCUAGGAAGCUUGAACCACCAAAACUCUCCACUCCAAGAUGAUAAUCCACCCUCCUAAGCAACUUCUAUGGAUUAUUUGGUGAAUCUAUCGGUUAGUUUGCAAGAUUGAGCAAGAAAGCAAGCUUGAAUGAAGUGGUUUCUUUCUCUCUUUUUCCUCUCUAAAUUUCGUGUACAAUGAAGCUUAGAAGACAGAAAUUGAGCUCCAAGAAAGAGAUAAGAAGCUUAGACUUGAGUUGGUCAACAAUGGGUGGAUGCUUGCCAAGUGUCAUCACAAGAUUACAUCUCACUUUUUUUUUCUUUCUUCCUUUUCUUUAGUCAACAAAGAUGGCUAGAUUAAGGGGUAAUUUAGGGUUGAUUAGUCAAGUAAACAUAAAGGGAUUAAGGUAAUAAAGUGAUGGUCAAGUGGUGUAUUCCAUCGGUAACAAAUGGUACCCGUCGGUUCAACCCGUUUUUUCGUAUUUCGCACGUACUAGGGUUUUCACUUAUAAUUCACUAUCUUAUGGUUAUUACUUCUAUUCACACACUUAAUAUCAUCUAAAACUUACCCUUAAUCACCAAAUUUAGUACACAUUCUGUACCGGUUACUCAUACUACGGAAAGACGUAAAACCCUAAUUCACGCUAACUUAAAAACGAAAGGUGAAACCCUACUUUCUAGGUUCAUUUGCACUUAUUGUGGGGUGAUUGAGUAGUAAGGCUACUAUAAAGUAAUAAUUUCCAAAUAAAAGGGAAUUUUUAAGAAGAAUAUAAGGAAUUUUAUGAGUCCUCACAGAGAGAAGACUAAAGUGUUAAUCUUGGCUGUUAAAAUGUGACAGCCCCACCUCACCCUAAGGCGAACCAAAGGGUUUGGCGGACUGCCUGCCCAACUCUCGUCAGGACUACGGAGUUGAUUCACACAAACCCAAUAUAGUACGCGCUACAGGACCCAAAGAAAAUGAACAAUCGGAAACUACUAAGGUGAGAACACGCUUACCAAACCAUAAAAUCAUAGUCUCAACGGAAUACAUUUAAUAGACAAGGUUAAACACUUAUACAUAUAGUUACAUUGGGGUCUUGAACAAAUUAAUAUACAGUGCAAUCCGAGGUAUUCAUACUACACAAAAUACAAUUAGGGCUUCGUUUUCAAAAAAACUUAACAACAUGACAUAUAUACUAGCUUGACCCUUUUCUUCCAAAACCGUGAUUUCAGAGUUUGUCCCCUGUAAGGAAAACAAAGGUAAUAGAAAGGGGUUAGCUUUUGCUCAAUGAGGUACCAAACAUAUAGGGGUAAAAUCAUGGCCUUUCACAUUUAACCAAUCAGAUACAUAUACCAGAUAUAAAGGAAAGCAGUUAGACACAGUGAUUCAAAGGGAAAGGAUACAAGUGGCUCUCAGGAGCCAGAUUUUCAUUUGCAGUACUUGAUCCGAACCCGUUGACUCUCCGUCAACGUAAAUAGAACCAAUAUAUCGGUAGACCCCACUUUACACCAAUUUCCCGUCCAUCAAACAUACUCCUACCGGGCCCGAACGCCGAACGCCGAACAGGAAUAGUAAUGGUAAUACUCGAGUAUACCGAAAUCAAGAGUCUCAAUACCCAAAGAUUCCCAGAACAGACUACCAUGGUUCGUUAUCUAAUCGACCAGGCCUUUGCCAGCCGACUUAAGUAACUAGCCAUAGGUGUUGAGCUCAGAGGUCACAGAAAGGUCGUUGGAUACCAGCCUCCUAACGACGUCCGAACAGACUCAGAUACAGUUAACAGAUUAUACACAGUAAAUAGACAUAUGAACAUACAAGAGAACGAGUGUGAUAAAGUACACUCUCGUCUCAAACAGAAUAAACAGAUAGUGCAGUCAUUUAAAUCGUAGAUUACAGGGGUAGAAACCAAGUUAAGCAGCAAAUGAGGGGAGUGGUACACUCACCGGUUCCAGUACAGAUACUUCAAAAGUUUUUACCCGAGUGGCUUUAAUCGCCAAGAAACCCUAAAAUAACCAAGAUAAAACAAUUAUAGUUCGCACAUCUACAAACCCAGUAAAUGGAAUGCAUAAAAGAGGCUCGACUACAAGUCGUAUGCCUUCCCAGGUUAAGUACUAGUACAAAAAAAUAAAAUAUGACUUUUGAGGAAAAAGAUAACAGUUGGUCCUAGGGUUACAAACAACUCCCAAAACCCUUCAUUUUUACCAAGAUCAAUUCAAAUUGAAGGAAUCGCGUAGCCCUAAAAUUUUGGGCAGCAUGCCCUCUGUAUUUUGCUAUAUUCCAGCCAUUUAUGGCUUCAUUGUUUUUCCUCAAGUUAGUCCAAUUCAACACAUAAGAAAUCUCAAUACAAUAGCCCUUCAACUAGGUUCAAAUUCAUCCAAAUACAAAGCAAGUCUAGGAAUGCAACUAGAAAUCAAGUUUUAAGGACAAAAGCUAAAUAGCAGGUUUGACGUCUCUUAGCGGAACAGACACAACCGAAGCUACACUAAUCGGAUUGGGAUGAAAUUUAUACCGUUUCGAAGCUAAGAUAAAGAUAUACAACUUUGAUGAAGACUACUUAGUCCAGUUCGUAGUGUAUCUAGGUCAAAAUUUCAAAUUACAGAACCAGGAUCUCACAAUCAGACUAGUUAACCGCACUAUGAUUAAACGACAAUAACUCAGGCUACCGAAGUCCGAUUGAGGUGUAUCUUAUGGCGUUUCGAAGCCAAGACAUAUACCUACAUUUCUUAUGAAAAACUCCAAAGCUAAAUCAUGCAUUUUCAGAGACAAAAAUUGAAAUCCCCACGAAGAUAGAAAACUGUCCGCGAAAAUAAGGUUUAUGGGCAGUCAAGGGUAUUUCAGUCAUUUCACAUGAUACGGUGCUCCGAUCUAGCUGAAAUUUUACAGGAAGAUAUAAAACAUCAUUUCCUACAACUUUUAUGUUUUGUUCUAAGCCUAAUUCGACCUCUAACAUGCUCAAAUAAAAUCGGACAGAACAGGCCUGUUUGGAACCCUAAAGCUGAAAUUUCCGCACAAAACCGAAAUUUUCCGCAAACAAUCGUAACUAACCUAUACAAACUCCUUUUCACACCAUAAAAAACCAUCAAUCCAUGACUAAACAAUAAUUUAUAUAUUAAAACAGAAAAAAACCUCAAUAAAUAGGAAAAUUAGACAACUCAACCAUAACUUAUGAAAUAAUCCACAAAAUGACAUGCUUCACCACUAAAAACCCUUAAUUGAUCAUUAUUAUCAUGAAAGGGAAGAUAUCUUGACAACUCACCUUGGAAACUCCAAGAAACUAGAUAGCUAGAGCUUGUUCUUCACAAAUGGCUCCACUAAAGGCCUUAAACUAGCUUAUCAACUUACUUUUGUGGAGGGAUUUGGAAUUUAAACGGUAGGUUUGCAAGAUCCAAGCAAGAAAUGAAGAAACAAGUUGGAAGCUUUCUUUCUUUUUCUCUCCAAGAUGCUCGGCCAAAAGAGAAGGAAAUGAAGAUGAUUUUGGGUCAAUUUUUGAUAUUUGGUAAAGUUAAUGAAUAGUGGUCAAAGUCCAAGAACCAACCGUAGCGCGACACCUAGCACCUUUAAGGUUUAAACUUAUCCUUUUGUCUCUCCAAGAUUAACCAUCUAAGCAACCUCUAAUUAUCUUUUAACACCUAGUAAAUUAAUCCCUGUAUACAAAACUUAAGCUAAUUGGCCGAAUUGUAUCGCACUUACCGCAUUAGCAGGUCCCACGUCUAAUAUACACUCUUAAAAUCUCAUGAACUAACUUAUACUAGAAAAAUAUUUUAAAAACUCUAUUCACUUAUAAAAUCUCUGGAAAAAUCGAAAUAGUGGGGUAUAAUGAAGAGAAAUGCAGGCGAGGAAAUAAAUAAAUAAUAUAAAAUUAGGGAAAUUUACGGGUCCUCACAUAAAAUAAAUUAAAGACUCCACGUUCUAGAAUGUGGGUAAUCCAUCUGAUUUUUAUUUGCAAGAUAAUGGCCAUGUCAAUUGAGGAGUUGCAUCAUAGACAUCCUUCCACAUGAACAUUCCCAAAAUCCAGUUGAAUAGGCCACCAUCACAUGUGUUCAAUUUUAGCUACUUCAAAGAUGACUUAAGGCUUUUGAAUUAGGAAUCUUUCAACUCUUAGUUUUGUAUUCAUCGAACUUGGACAGCAAGUUAACACCAAAGUCCUGGUGAAUAGGUCUUGGAAACUUGUUAGUAGUCAUUUUUCACAUACACUGGGAUGGUGAAGUAUUUGAAAAACAUCUCUAAAAACAUCUAAUUUAUACGCAGCCAUAGUUUUACAGCAUCUAAGCUUGACAACUUCCAAAAUUUUUUAAUGGAAAGUCAUAAGACAACUUACCUUUCGACUUGUAGCCAUCUUCCACUAGCGUCGGUGGGAACUAAAGCUUCAAGGCUUUGGAACUUCACAGGCACUGCUAAAAUCCACCAUUUCUGAAAUGAAUUUACUGGACGCACUUCGAGUUCGAGAACUACUCAUGCAUUCCAGCAAUUUCAAAAGCCAAAUUAGGAAGCAACGCAAUUUGGCAAUUCUUGGAGGUUGAAACUUCUAAUGGAGAAAUAUAGUUUUGGUUCUCAAUAUUUGGCACUUGUAAAAUAGGAAAAAUGCACUUUACAUCCUCAAAGGUUGGGUUGAUGACCAAUUUCGUCCUCAAAGUUUCACUAAUUAUAAAUUUUAUCCUCAAAGUUCCUGAAUUUUGGCCAAUUAGGGACAAUUAACAGAAUAACACUCAAUUUGGAUAGAAAGCUGAACGUGAGAAACACACUCUGUUAGAACCAACAAAAAAGGGAUAAAAGCCGUUCGGAAGUGUAGACACUAAUAUUAUAACUUUCGAAUUCUAAAUUUUGUACCUUUGCUUUAUUUUGUUUAUGGUCCAUAUUUAGUAUGAGCCAUGUCAAUGACCACUUGGAAUGCACUUUGACAAACCUAUGCCUCUUCUUUUUUGAUGGUUUUAGUUGGUUAUAUUAAUUUGGAUACAAUAUCCAGUUUGGUUGCUACUUCAGAUUGUUAAAAUUUAAGGCAAAACUCUACCAAAACUUUCCUUCUUACCUUAUUGACAUGUAAAUCAACAUCAAGAUAAAAACAGCUGGUGGUUUUUUUAUAUAAUGCCUAUUUUAGGUUGGAAUUGAAAAUCAUACCCAUAAAUAACUGGUAGUUUUUUCAAAUAAUGGACGAAAGCAAUAAACAGCUGAUAGUCUAUGGGAAAUAAAAGAAACCCACAAAGAAUCCCAUGCAUUUUUUUUUUACGAAAUGAUAAGAGUUUUUAUUCAUAGUUAUCAAAGUAUAUACAAGUUGGAUUCAGUCCCCUGAUACGAUAGUAGUGCAACAUUGCACUAAGGAGAUAAAAAAAGAAGUUAUAAAGAGGUGAUAAUUUUUGGACAAGAUAAAUGAAAGGGGUAAUUUCAGAAACCUCCCCUGAGGUUCUUACAAUUUCACUCACCUCCCUUAGUUUUGAAUAAUUGCACUAACCUCCAUUUAUGCAGUAAAAUGACUAUAAUAUCCUUCACUUACCGAUGAUUUCUAAAAAAGCCUACAACUAAAACUAAUCUUUCACUUUAAAACAACAGCUACCACACAAAACAAACUUUUAUUCUCUCUCUUCGAUCCUCUUGCUUACCUUUUCUCUCCUGUAUUUCAUAGUCCACUUUUUUUCAUAGUCGCCAUAUCCGCUUGCUACACAAUUAUCUAAUACAUCCCAUAUCCUCAUUAUUAUGGAAAUAGAUCCUCUUUUUUUUUUUUUCCUUUUUGGUAAGUAUUAUUGAAUUGAAAUUGCUAAAUGACAAGUUGUCAAAGCAUAUUUGUUGUCAAACUAAAUGAAGAUGAAAAGAAUGGCGGUGAUACAGAGUAUAAGUAAGAAAAUAAAAAUGAUGGAUAAAAAUGAAACAUAGAUUGAGGAAGAUUACACUAUUAUACCAAUUGUGCAAAAAAAAAAAGAAAUUUGGGAUAUAAGAACUAUAAUCAAAUUUGCCUAAAAACAUAGAAUGUAGUCUCUAAUCUUGCUUUUGGUUGCUCCAUGUUGGUAUUCUUAGUGGGUUAGAUUAUUUUAGCAUCAACAAGGUUGCAUCCAUUUUGAUUGAAUUUGAAUAAUGACAGUGGUCAAUUUAGAGGCAAAAUUUAGGCAAAAAAAAUUGAGGAUAAAGAUUAGGUUGAAUGCAAAUGUAAAUUGUCAUGAUUGAUUUGUACAAGAAGCUUUAGGGCUGCAAAGUUGGGCUUUCGAAAUUAUGAGAAUACGAGGAUUAAGUUAAAGUGGCUUAUUGAAUUCGUUAGGGUAGUAGUUAUGCCGAUUGCAACAGUUGCAAUGUGGAAGAAAUUCAUGAGCUAGUUUUCCCCCUUCUAACUAACAAAGGGGUAUUUUAGGCUUUUUAGGACAAAUUUAGCAUAGUGGGUUUAUAUUGUUACUGAAAUGCUAAUAGUAGUGAAGGUAGGUGUAAUCUUUUAAAUUAGAAGGGAGCUACCUUCAAUAGUCAAAAACCUCCCCUGAAGUUUCUGAAAUCAUCCCUAAAAUUAAAGUUAUAAAUAGCUGGUAAUUUCUACACAAGAUAAAGAAACAACAACCUAUCAACUUUUUAUAGCUUUCCUCUAUUUUUGCAAAUAGGUUUCCUCUAUUAUAUAUCUUUUUGAUAGGUAAAAAAUAAAAAUUAAAUUAAAUUAAAUAGGAUGGGCUAAUUUAAUGCGUUUGGAUAGAUACUCAAAUCCAAGUCAUCUAUAAUGCAUGAAUAAGUGGAUGUCAACCAUUUAUGUCAACCUUCUUGCCAACAAAUGACUGGAUUUAGAAUGGUGAGGGUGGUUAGAACUUUUUUUAGAACUACAACAAGUAGAAUAGCGGAAAGGACAUAAAUGAAGUAAGAACAGGUUUUACCCAUUUUUUAUUGGGUGCAAAGUUGGUUCUAAUGGGGCAUGCUUCUUACGUACAGCUUUCCGUCCAAAUUAAGUGUCAUUCUAUCAAUUGUCCCUAAUUGGCCAAAAUUCAAGAACUUUGAGAAUGAAAUGUAUUCUUGGUGAAACUUUGAGGACUUUGAGGACAAAAUUGGUCAUCAAUGCAACCUUUGAGGAUGAAAAGUGCAUUUUUUCCUUUGUAAAAUUUAGGUGCUUAAAGUUUUGACAGAGUCAAAUCUAGUCCCAGUGGCUGGUACCUAGUACAAUUUUAGUCCUUAAAGUUUCAGCAAAAAAUAAAUUGGGUCCCCAAUUUUACCAAUUUGAAGCAAACUUAGGAUAGUUGACAUAUUUUCUCAAAUAUUGACGGAAUCAAUCGCAUCCAGUCACAUAUUGUUGAAUUAAACUUCUUAAAAAAAAGCAAAAUGGCGAGUAAUCUUGAACAAUAAAAAUAACUCGUACGAUGGGAUGUUUAGUAAUUAAUUAAUCAAGAAAUAGAAAAAGAAAGGAAAUUGGUUAAUCUAUAUGAAAAAAUUAAGUAUUUUGAAUUUUUUCUAGGGGGCUGUAGGGAUAGAGAGUGAAUAUAAGUUCUAGAUUGAUGAACUGGGCUAUACAACUAGUUUUAGUUUUUUAGUUUAAAAAAUUUUCUUCUUUUUACGAGUUAAUUAUUUAGAACAAGAGUUGUUGGUUCUUAAUUUUGUUGUUUAAAGUUAGUUGCUAUUUUGCUUCUUUAUUUUAAAAUUAAUUUAACGAACACAUGACUAGAUGUGACUUGAUUUUGUUAGUAAUUACAAAAAAUUUCUUCAAAUGUCCUAAAUUUGCUUUAAAUUGGAUACAUCAGGAACUAGAUUUGUUGCUGUCAAAACUUUAGGAACUAAAUCUACAUGUAUGCUAAACAUCGAGGACCUGAAUUAUUUUUGCCAAAACUUUAAGGACUAAAAAUGUACAUAAACUAUACCUUAAGGACUAAAACUGCAUUUUUCUCAACUUCUAAAAUACUUCCUUAAUCCUUCAUGAAGAAAUGAGGUGUGCAAGAAUUUUUUGUUAUCUUUUAAGAGUUGUUACCAUAUUUGCCAAAAAGAGGUCCCCAAGUCCUUUAACUGCCACUCUGCGAGUAAAAUAAAUUUAAGACAGGGAAAUUCUACAAUGUGGUAUACCACAUAGUGGUAAACCAUAUUAUAGAAACAAGAGUGUGACAAAAAAAAAGAAAAGAAAAAAGAUAAAACUCAUGAGAUACCACAAAUGCGGUAUACCACAAGGUAGAUGAUCCCACAAAUGUGCAUAGGGUAGGUAUGGAUUCAUUGGAGGAAAUAGGCAAUUCUAGAAAUCACUUCCAAGCAACCUGGCAGUUCCUGAAUUUCACCAAAUACCAAAAACAACUUUAACAUAUUGCGCUUGCUUAAAAGUUGCAACUUCCGCACGAGUUGUUACCAUUCAGUGCUGUGGUUUAGACUUUCUAAUUAAAAAAUCCUAAUUAUUCAAUUAAUUAAACUCAAUUAUCUUGAUUUUUUGCAAGUAUAAGGGUCAAGACGAGUGUAGGAAUAAUCAAGGUCGAUCCCACAGGGAAUCGGAUAAUUAUUAUGGCUUUUUAACUCGCUCUAUUAUCUAAACAACCAAGAAUACAAGAAAAAUAACACUAUAAACUAGAUAACACAAGAAAAUAAAUUUGGAAAGUUUGGUAGAAAAAUUUUCUAAGAUUUACGAAACCAUUGUCACUCAAGAUUAAAAUAUAAUCCAGUUGAUUUAUGCCUUUUACUUAUGACUUGUCAAGGAUAUACUUCCAAUUUUGUUCAAAUAAUGUGUUCGCCAUUAUCCAAACAUACUAAUAUCAAACCUUCAUCUAUUUACAUGAUGAAUUAACUUAGCACAAGUUCAUUAAAAUAUAUGAAGUAGCCAAAUUAAAUCCACCUAAAUACAUCUACUUUCAUGAACAUGAUCUUAGGGUUCAUGAAUCUUGUUCUACACUUGCAUGGUAAUAUUUAAUGCACAAUAAAUAAUAGGAUGAUUCAUAGUUGCUGAUCAAGAACUGUAAAUAUAAAGUAUAGAUACAUGAACUAACAAAUUCACAAGACAGCACAAGUCAACCAAUAAGUACUCAUAUCAUGAUGCAAACAAGUUCAACUUCACUCUAAGAGAAAAUAUCUUUGUUAGACAAACAUUAGGUAUGUUUAAGCAUAAUGUACUCAUGAAACAAGGCAUGACUGGUAACAAGAAUUUAAAGAUCAAAUGAUGAGAAAUUCGUAUUCAAAAUAUUGCAAUAAACUCCACAAGUUUCCUCUUGCAACUUUUGCUUCAAUCUACUGAUCUCACAAGUUUUUCUUCUACCUAAGACUCUCCAAAGUUUGUCCCUACUCAGCUAAAAUGAAAAGCACAACCUCUAUCUAUGGAGAGUUCUCCAAGUCUCUUUGUGUCUUCUCCAAUGCGAACUCUUGACAAACGUAACAUCCAAAAGUCAAGAUUUGUGGUUCCAAUAGAAUCAAUAAGAUUUGAGAUGACAAAACGUUUUCUUGAAGUUGUUUGAUAUUGUUUUUCUAGCCACCAAAAUGUCCCAUCAUCUUUUCCAUCCAAAACAAGAAAGCACAUGCCAAAAGGAAUGGUUAUGCAACUUGCAAAAGGCACUUUUCAGUUGGGACAAACCACAUGAGAAACCAAUUCUACUUCUAAGGUUUCAAGGCCAAUUUCUUGCAAAGUUUCUAAAGCAAAAGAGUAAAACCAAUCUGCCAAGAAUCCCCACCAGAAACCGGCUCGACUUCUGGGGUUUCUCCCCCUAUCUCAUGCCCAUUUUUAUCUGUUGAAAACUUCUUGCUUUCUUCAUUUAUCUUGGCACACAACCUUCCUUCAUAUCCUUUACCUCUUUUCCUAGAAAAACCAAUUUAAUGAGCAAAAAUAUACAAAACUUCUAAGAUUUGAUCAACAAUGCUUAAACAUCAACUUUUAGGAUAAUCUCAACUUCCAUUCUUGAUUUUCAUCAAAAAGUGACUAAAAACUUUUAAAGAGCCACAAAUAUAGUGCAUAAUAAGCACUUAUCAAACUCCACCCCACACUUAAAUCAUUGGUUGUCCUUAAGUGAUAAGAACUUCAAUCCAAAAGUUUGAUAUAACACAUGCAUAUUAGAAAUUCAAUUCCUUAAAACCCAGCAAACAACCAGCAUACAAUUAUUCAUUUCUUCUCACGUACACAUAAUAUCAAGCAAAGGAGACGUCAUUAUACCCUAAUUUAAACAUAUCAUCUUAAUUUCUCAUCCUCAUCCAAUUUCACAAUCAAGUAACUCACAAAGGUCAAUAAAAACAUUCCUAAAACCUAUGAUCAUCUUUGCAUCUUUUCCACGUCUCAUACAAUGAUUCACCCUCUUAAUAAGAAAAACUCGUUAUAUCCAUGUGUAAUUUAGCAGUUUUACUAGUUAGGAAAUAUUUAUUCAAGAAAGCUCUAGAUAAAUCCUCUCAAGUGGUGAAAGUGUAUGGGUUGAGAAGAAUACAGGGAUAAUUAGAAUUGAUCCUACAAGGAAUCGGGUAAUUACUACAGCUUUUGGCAUGAAUCUAGUAGCUGCCAAAGAUUGAAGUACCAAUAUUUUAUUACAACCCCAAGGGUCCCAAGUCCUAUGUUCAAGCAAAUCAUUCAAACAAGCUUACAAAUACAUUACUUCAAGUAAUGGCUAAAGGAAUUCGUAGAACAAAUCCAUUGAAGGAAUUGAAUUUGAAGGAAUGCCACUUCAAACCCUAGUUCUAGUUCAACUUGAGGAGUUGAAGAUUAUUGAAGAUAUUUGUCUUUUGGGCUGAAUUUUAUCUUUUGUUUAUUAUUAGUUUUAUUCAUUUAAUAGGCUGGCUACUUUAGUCAUUUGUUAGUUUUUUAAGUUAAUACAUUUAGCCAAGCUGUGUUGAGCUUAAAUAGGCUGAGUCCAUUAGCUAUUAGACAGAAUAAGUGAACCCUAAUCCAAUUCAAAUUUGGGCUAGUUUAAGUUUUACCUUAUAAACAAUUCUUAUUCUCAUUUUGAAAAGAGAGGCAAGAUUUGAUGAAUAAAAAUUGAUAUUUUUCUCUUGGUUCCUUGUGAACUUUCUUCGAAUUUGUCUUGAGUGUGUCUCGACAAAUUUAACUUGGCUUAUCAAUUAAGAAUUGCACUUGAUUUUGGCACAUUUUACCAUCAACCAGAAUUCACUAAUUCAUUUAGUUGUAGGUUAUGAUUGUAUCAACAUAUUCAUGACUCUAGGAAUUGGAACGGUUUUUUAUUUUCACAAUUCCAAAUUUGAGUACCAAUGUCUAGAUCAGGUCUUGUGGGAUACGAGUUUCUUUCAACUCUAACGGGUUUUGUAUCCGCUACUAUCACAGCCAGGUUGAAAGUAUCAAGUUAUAUCUCUAUUGGUUUGUUGUUUGAGUCAAUUUUCCAUGUUUCAAUUCGUUUAUAGGAUUUCUUGUUGAGUCAUCUUUUUGUCCUUGUUGAAUUGUUUGUUUUGUGCCCUAAUUGUGCCAAAAAAAUUGUUUUAGUAUUCAUCAUUAUUGUUGCUUAGUGUAUUUCAUUAUUGUUCAUCACACUAUUCAUUGUAUUGUUCAUCCAAGCACUAUUCCUAUUAUUGUUCAUCCAAAAACAUUUUGUCGUCGUCCUCAAAUCUAUGGCGAUUUUGAAUUAAUUCUUGGCUGGAGUAGUAGGUUUCGACUCGGUCAACUGUGUUUCAGCAAUCACGAGAUUGUCUCUCUUCUAUUAAUGAAUUUAUGGCACCUUUCUUUCACCGAAGGUGCUUGAUAACCAGGCACAAAGCAGGAAUAAGCAUAGAGCGUGCGUGCUCAGCUCUCACCCUCCUCUCAUCCGCAAAGCCAAGGCGGGAGAAAAAGCAUAACUCCCGGCUAUCAUAGGUUACCUUUCUAUCUUCCUCCCCCAUGAUGCUUCCAAAGCGAUCGCUAUCAUUUUCUUGCUUUCUUCUUGUCUUGAAUUGUUAUAGAAUGGCUUUAUAUCAGGUAUAGUUGGGAAGUGGGGUGAAGCCUUAGUGAACAUAGCAAGUGUACCGGGGAUGUUGCUCGGGCGUAGUAGGGCUGGACACCUAAGAUGAAAGAGCCUUCUCUGGCAGCGGCACUAUACCUUAGUCUCUCUAGCUUCCAAUCUAUAUAAAACUAGUCAGCAGAGGUAAGCUUGUCUAGCAUUCCCUCAUGCAAAGGGCGACUUUUGUCUCGGUUCUCUCUUGUUAGGCAAUUAUUGAGGUGAAAACAGCUCUCUUGGCAGUUAGUUUCCCCGUCAUCUUAGUGGGACUAGUCUAUCUCUAAUAAACUUUCACUUGAACUGCCAAGACUCGGUUUUUUGUGGUAACGUGCUUCUAGAAUUACGUUUAACGUCCCUUUAUGACUUUCUCGAUCGGUGCCUUGGAUUAGUAGCCGGGCUCCGGGACAUUACUACGACGGCUACUAUCGACCCGAGCCCAAAGAAGGACUAAAGCGAGAAGUUCAUUGGCCAUACAUAGUUAAGAAGGAUGAGGGUCAACAUCCUUCAUUACCCAAAUUGUUUCUUGAAGCUUUUUGAAUUUUCUGGAAUCUAUUGAUUGAACUCUCAAAGUUCUUGGAAGAAUUUUUAGGCUUUCUUCAAUUCUUGAUUUCAAACUUGGCAAAUCUUGAAAUUCUUGAACAUCUUGAAAACCCUAAUUGUUUCAUGAAAUUUCUUGUGGCUGAUCAUUGUUUUCUUGGCAGUUCUUGCUAUGGAGUGGAAAAAAAGAAAAAAAAAAUGACCAGCUAUUGAAAUUUGAUCUUGUUGAUUCCUUAAACAAGGCUGUUUGUUAGUUUGAAAACAAGACGAAGGAAGAAAAAAGCAAUGAACAGAUUUGAUUUUGAACUCUUGAAGUAAAGGCUACUAUUUUUGUUAAAUAAAAGAAAAGGAACAACCAUAUUUUUGGAAAAAUAAAGAAAACAAUCACUUCAUCUUAUCCUUUCCUAAUCUAAAUAAGAUUUGAGCGAAACUAGUGAUUUUUUUGCUUUCUUGUCCUAGUAAGAGUUGGAUUUGGACAAAAAAGGGUAACAAUUCCUAAUUCUAGUUGGAAAAAGGUGUCUUAUUCAAAUUUUCAUGCCUGAUUAUUUUCUAGAUUAGAUUCAGAUCAUAUUCGCUAGCUAUAAAGUCAAACGCUUGUUCGUGUAUUCUUUAUCUCUUUAGGGAUUCUUGAGUCAUUAAAUUCCAACUAUGUGUAGUGUCCUCCUUGAGUCAAAUUCUUGUGUCAAAAUCAAUCUUUUGAGCCAAAUUCAUUGUGUCAAAUUCAGCUAUAUUGAGUUAAGUUUCUUAAUCUCCAAAAAUCUAAUUGUGGUAUAGUCUUGUUGGUUUUUGAUUGCUGGUUGAGUUGAAUUGCCUUGAGCUUGUUUUGGGCCUAUUCAAGGAAGGUAAUCAAGGACCUUGAGAGAUUGGUGAAAUCAUUAGAGUGCUAAACACUUGAAUGCAUGAGUGUGAGUAGAUACACGUAAGGAAGUGCGUAGUGUAUUUUUUUCUCUACUUAACAUUUUCUUGCAAGUUGAAAUAAAAUGUCUAACGGCAAAGGUUCAAAGUAAGUUGAUCCUAAUCUUAUGAUGGAUGAAUUUCAACAGAUCUUGAACAAUACUCUCAAGCUGCUCCAUAGAUGACUUGAUCGAAUGCAGAAUAAGGCUGUUAAAAGGAGGGGAUUUAUGAGAUCUAGUUCCAAUUUCAAUUUCAAUUUCAAUUUCAAAUUUCAAUUUUAUUUAAUUCAAUUUUAGCUUUAUUUUAUUCUUGUUUUUAUUUUAUUUUAUUUUAGUUGAUUAAGUUUGCAAAAUGAUAGUUAGUGUUUAUUUUUGCUUAUUUUAGUAAAUUAGGUUCAUCAUUUUUUUAAGACAUUUUUGCAUUAAAUUUCUAAAAAAAAGAAAAUUCUCACAAAAAUUUGUUUUAAUUCAAGUGUUUCAAAAUAAAAUAAAAAUUAGUGAUACAUUUAACAUUUUUUUUGAUUACCCUAAACUUGUUUUGAAAAAAAAAAAACAAAAUAAAAAAUAGGUGGAGACCAUGCAAACUAGCUAAGUGGGAUACGUAAGGGUUAGACAAGUGUCCUCAUUUUUUGUUGAUAACACAACAUUUGCUAGAUUAGGUGGCAGGACACUUGUUGAUUUGUGGGAUUUUAGAGAAAAAAAAUCUGAAAAUGAGAAAUAAGGAAAAGAAUUGGCUACGGGACAGGAGGGGAAGAAAAAAGAAAAACUAGAAGGGAAGCUUGGGAUAGAGGAAACGAGGAGCUUGGCGAAAUCUAGAAAAAGGAAAAGAAAACAGGAGGAAGAAAGAAAAGGUUACGGGCUGAACAGAAAAAAAAAAAAGAAAAAAGGAAAAACCAGAGGGAGCUUCGGGGGAGGAAAAAAGGUGGGAAAGAGAGGAAGAGCUUCGGAGAGGAGGCAAGAAAAAAAGAGGUGGCGGCUGAGGGAAAAGAAAGCUGCAACCAAGAAAGAAAAAAAAUGAACAAGAAAGAACGAGAAAAGAGAUUGAGAGGAGAACUUUGGGCAAAAGAAAGAAAGAAAGAAAAGGGAGAAGCAGCCCGAGAGAGGAGAAACAGAGGCUUCGAGUAAGAGGAGGGAAUCUGGGGAGCAAGAAAGAAGGAGCUUUGGGCAAGAGAAAGAGGAAGAAAAAAGGGUUUCGGCUGGGAAGAAAAAGAAGGGAAAGGGAAAAAAUGUGACAGCCCCACCUCCCCCUAAGGCGAACCAAAGGGUUCGGCGGACCGCCUGCCCAACUCUCGCAAGGACUCAGUCAUACCUCAAGCCAAACCGGAAGAAAACCACAAGAACCAGCAUAACAACAAACCUAAACUUAAAGCAAAACUUAUAUAUAUUUCUAUCCCAAAAGAAGGUACAAACUCAAAUAUACAAAGAUUCUCAAUUUUUCAUACAUCCAGCCCGUGCCAAACGCUAGGGCGAGAACCAUAACAAAGUUCACAAACUAGACCAGGCUAGUUUAUAUGGAGCUCUCGUCCUUGCUCGCCUUCCCCUAUUAAGGAAAACAAAACUAACGGAAUGAGCUAAAAACUCAGUGAGGUUCCGAACACAUAAGUAAACAAUAAGUCCAAUGCAUUAACCAUAGAUAACAAAUAAUUCAAGAAACAUUUAUAAUAUAAAGCAGUAAUAAUACAUUCAUUAAAAGGAUAUGUGCUCACAUGGAGCUAUUCAUUCAUUCAUUCUCCUUUCAUUUUCCUUAUUCCUCCAAUCAUUUGAAAAUGCAUUUUUGUAAGUAAAACCCUUCAUUUACAUUAUCACUCGUUCAUUCAUUUCAUUUCACCCCCUUCCGGACGUUGGCCGGACUCUACCCGACAACAAGGUAAUACUCGAGUAUACCAAACAUUCACCUAGGGUCACCAAAUCGCCCGACCGAAUCCGCUUCUGGCUCGAGUCGAUCGGUAACGAAGGGCAGGGCCCAGUUCAGCCAAAGACUUACAUUCAUGCACAUAUAAGCAUUCAAUCAUUGUCAAUCAUUCAAUCAUUGUAAAUUUGACAUUCAUUUAGGUCGAGUGCGAUAAAGUACACACCCGCCUGGAAAACUCGUUUUAGCAAUCAUAGAACGCAUUUAACAUGUUAUCAAUCAUUCAUAACAAGCCAUAUAGUCAAGAGAAACAUAACAACAAGGAACACUCACCUAUUUACGCAAAAUAACGUCCAAAAUAUCCCUCCGGAUGAUACCCUCAGUCACCGAUGAAACCUAAGAUUAAGCGAGAGAGAAUAUUACAGUUCAUCUAUUAAAACAAUUAGGUGAAAUCAAAGAAAAUCCGACUAACAACGCGAAGAACGUAUAAAGAUGACUUUAAAAGUGAAAUGAGGGCAUUUGGAUCUGAGGACAGAAAUAAUUAAGGGUUUCCCAAAUCAAACACCAAACUAAACGAAAAAGGGUUAUAGAAAUUUCCAACGGAAACACUUGGACCGAAGACAAAUUAGAAUCCAGCUAGAUAGGUUAAAGAAAUAUUUUUCUGAAUCGUUUAUAUGGCUCAAAAUCAACAUAUAUUCAAGUAGAUAUUAUAUAACAAAUGUAUUGAUGAAAAUCAUGUGAAAAGGAGGAUAAAAUACCAUAAUUUCACACUUAAAACCUUACUUGAAAGUAGUUUUCUCGAAGCCGAGAAAACCCUAAUUCAUACCUCUUUAUUUUGGUAAGGAGUAAGUAAACAUUUGAAGUUUCAAACGAAAGAGGUAUCAUGUGUUAAAAUAGUAAAACGGUCACGAUAUUCGUCAAGCGAAAAUAUAUAAGUUCGAAUAGAAAUGUAUCUCCUCGAACACCCUUCGAGAGAACCGACGUAGUUUUCAAUGAAGUACGUCCAACUUGACACAAAAUCACAUUUCCAAAUCCACUUUAACUCACUCACAUGACAAGAAAAUAAAUGGGCAGCAUUUCCCUUUAAAAACUUCACUUUCACCCUACAAUCAAAUACCCAUUCUCAUAGCAAUUAACCACGAUCACACAUACGGUUCAUAAGCAUAAGCAAUAAAAUACAUCCAAUUUGGAGCACAAUACCCUUCAAUCAAGGCCAAUUAGGAGCUUAAGAACCAACUGUAAGAAAGCCCCAAAUCAAAACCCUAGAACUGCAAUUUUCCGCAUAAAUCUGAAAUUUUUCGGAAAUAACCACAAUUAAUAUGCACAAGCUUCAUUUUAUACCAUAUCAAGCUAUCCUUCCAUAACCAACUAACAAUAAUCAUAUAAAAUCAGAAAAUUCCCCAAUAAAUCAGAAAUUGAUCCAACCUUACUUAAAAUCAUGAAAUCCUCUCCAAAAUAGCAUAACUAACCUCUAACAACCACCAAUUAACCAUUAUUAAAGCAAGAGAUACUUUCUUAUCCAACUUACCUCAAGACUCAAGAAAGCUAGCAACUAAGGGUUUCCCUUUCAAAAACAACUCCACCAAGACCUUUAAUCCUUCUUAGCUAGCACUCGUACGGAGUAGUUUGGAAUUCCACCAGUUAAAACUCAAGAUUUGAGUAAAAAUUGAAACUAGAAAAUGAAGAGCUUUCUUGGUUUUUUUCUCAAGACAACCGGUCAAGCAAGGAGCAAAAUGAAGAUAUUUUGGCCAAAAACAAGAUAAGAAGGAAGAAAAAGCAGACAGUCAAAGUUGACUACCGGAGAUGACGUCACAAUCCGGCCGGAUUCCAGGCCAGAUUCUAGGCAGUGGCGGAUCAAAUUUUUUUUCAAAUCCCUCAAGCAAUCCGGCCAAGAACUGGCCGGAUUUGCGGUCGGAUUUGGUACAAAACAUUUUCAGCAGAAAUAUUUCUUUCCAAGCUCACAAGCCGCGUUCGUCCAUACUUCCAACAAAGAUAUAUAUAUAAUCUCGCACAAAUACACAUGAUAUAAACAAACACACGCUCAUAUUUAUAAUGAAAAUCUUCCUUAGAAAACUUGGUUAGCAAAUUUUCAUUUUAAAAGGGAAGUGAGAAUAAACAAGAAAAAUGCGGAGAAUAUGUGGAAAUUUUAGGGUUUUCACACUUUCUCCCCCUUAAGAAAUUUCGUCCUCGAAAUUUUUACCUUCAGUUACCUCAGACGAGUCCGGAACUUGUCGGUUGUCUAAGGCAUAAACCUUUCCCGGUACAUUUGUUCGAUCCCCUUUUUCACUCGCUGGUUUUGAUUUAGUUCCAUCCAGUGGUCGAGUGCUACUUUCUCGUGACUGUUUCCUCAGGUAGUUACUAACUUGAUGAUCACCACUUCAACAAAUCAAACACUUCCGCCAUUUUCUCCAACAAUCGCUUUCGGCGUGAUUUGCCUUUUCACAGUAUCCACAAACCAAGUGAGAAGCCACCUUUUGGCUUUCUUGAGACAUCUCCCCAUGUCCGAUUUGACUUCCUUUUGUAGACCUUUCAUCUAACGCCCCUAAUGUCCAUGGUAGGCGGGGUAUUGAUUCACUUUUUUCACUUUAGAAGGUGCUAUCGUUUCACUAAAUUCCUCCAAUACACUACCAAAUGCACCUCUUUUUCGGGUUUGGGAGGCUUUUACCUGGGCCUUUGCAUUCUCAAUUCUUUGAGCUUUCUCAAGAGCCUCUGUAAAAGUAUUAACUUGCACCGCCGCUAAUGCCUCCUGGAUUUCCAAAUUCACUCCCUGUAUGAACUGUCAUACUCUUCGCCGUUCUGUGGCUACCAAUUCAGAAGCAAACUUGGAUAGUUUCGUAAAUUUUGUUUCAUAUUCGGCCACACUUUGAGUUCCCUGUCGUAGCUCAAUAAACUCCUCCUCUCUCCUUUCUUGGACUAAAGGUGGAAGGUACUUCUCGUUAAAUUCUCUUAUGAAAUUCGCCCAUGUCCAUACAGUCUGUUCUCUUUCCCACUUUGCUUUAAUAACAUUCCACCACGCUCGGUCCGGUCCUUCAAAUUGGAACACCGUAAAGUUCACUUGUCUUUGCUCAGUAUAGUUUAAAGCCGCAAAGAUGUUGAUCAUGGCCUCCAGCCACUGUUCAGCUACAUCCGGAUCAGGCCCUCCAAUGAAUUUCGAAGGUACAAACUUUUGAAAUCUCUCAAGAGCCCGAUCUUCUCCUAUCUCAGGGUUUUGGGGUUGAUUCACAGGCAUUUGGCCUUUUUGGUCCACCAAUCUUGCUAAAAUAUUUGUCAUUUGUUGUAUGACUGUCGCCAUUUGGUCCCCGGCUUCAACCCUUGGCCCUUGUUCUUGCUCAGCCACUGUUUCUCUUUCUUCUCUUGGUUCCGGGGAUCGCUUAGCUCCACGGCCGCGACCAUGUCUACGACUGCGCCUCAUCUCCAUACUUUUUUCCCCUCUCUCCUUUCUUUUCUUUCCAAAAGCUAAUUUAAUAAAUAAAUGAAGUAAAUUGACUAAAAUCAUAAGAUCUAACGCACCAAAUACGCAGAAAGACAUAUACAUGACAUGACACACCAUAUAUACAAAGGGACAUAUCAAGUUAGACAGAUAAUCAAAAGCAGUCACUAUCACACAUGUAGGUAUUAACAUACCACAAACAAAAGUCAUGUAGUAACAACACAAGGCAAAUAAAAAAAAGGUGAUAUCGUCCUAGUUUCAGGUAAAAUAACCCCGUCCGGUCUCUCACGUCACUUUCUAUCCAAACUAGACAUCCGUUGACCUCUUGUACUCAUUCUAGCCAAACAAGGCCUGUUAAUAUUCCCAAACUGCAAGUCUCACGCACUUAGUACCGCUUCAACUCUGGAGUACUCGGGCAUGAGAAUCCGAAAUAAGAUAAUUCACGUCUCGAACUGGCCAGUCCCAAGAGUAAACUAUCUACAAUCGAAAUUCCUACCUGACGUACCUAUCUAUGGUCCUCAAAUACCAUGAGAAAGAUUUAGGUCUAUAACAUUUAUGAUUCAUAGCUUAUGUUCGAACGAGCACUUAGUCCUUCAUACUUAUUCACCACUUGGCCUAAACUCACUCCGCGCAGAGACCCCGCGAAGCAGUUACUGAUACCAACUGUGACAGCCCCACCUCUCCCUAAGGCGAACCAAAGGGUUUGGCGGACCGCCUUCCCAUCUCUCGUCAGGACUCAGUCAUAUCUCAAGCCAAACUGGAAGAAAACCACAAGAACCAGCAUAACAACAAACCUAAACUUAAAGCAAAACUUAUAUACAUUUCUAUCCCAAAAGAAGGUACAAACUCAAAUAUACAAAGAUUCUCAAUUCUUCAUAUAUCUAACCCGUGCCAAAUGCUAGGGCGAGAACCAUAACAAAGUUCACAAACUAGACAAGGCUAGUUUAUACGGAGCUCUCGUCCUUGCUCGCCUUCCCCUGUUAAGGAAAACAAAACUAACGGAAUGAGCUAAAAGCUCAGUGAGAUUUCGAAUACAUAAGUAAACAAUAAGUCCAAUGCAUUAACCAUAGAUAACAAAUAAUUCAAGAAACAUUUACAAUAUAAAGUAGUAAUAACACAUUCAUUAAAAGGAUACGUGCUCACAAGGAGCCAUUCAUUCAUUCAUUCUCCUUUUAUUUACUUUAUUCCUCCAAUCAUUUGAAAAUGCAUUUUUGUAAGUAAAACACUUCAUUUACAUUAUCACUCAUUCAUUCAUUUCAUUUCACCCCCUUCCGAACGUUGGCCGGACUCCACCCGACAACAAGGUAAUACUCGAGUAUACCAAACAUUCACCCAGGGUCACCAAAUCGCCCGACUGAGUCCGCUUCUGGCUCGAGUCGAUCGGUAACGAAGGGCAGGGCCCAGUUCAGCCAAAGGCUUACAUUUAUGCACAUAUAAGCAUUCAAUCAUUGUCAAUCAUUCAAUCAUUGUAAAUUUCACAUUCAUUUAGGUCGAGUGCGAUAAAGUACACACCCGCCUGGAAAACUCAUUUUAGCAAUCAAAGAAUGUAUUUAACAUGUUAUCAAUAAUUCAUAACAAGCCAUAUAGUCAAGAGAAACAUAACAACAAGGAACACUCACCUAUUUACGCAAAAUAACAUCCAAAAUAUCCCUCCGGAUGAUACCCUCAGUCACCGAUGAAACCUAAGAUUAAGUGAGAGAGAAUAUUACAGUUCAUCUAGCAAAACAAUUAGGUGAAAUCAAAGAAAAUCCAACUAAUAAUGCGAAGAACGUAUAAAGAUGACUUUAAAAGUGAAAUGAGGGCAUUUGGAUCUGAGGACGGAAAUAAUGAAGGGUUUCCCAAAUCAAACACAAAACUAAACGAAAAAGGGUUAUAGAAAUUUCCAACGGAAACACUUGGACCGAAGACAAAUUAGAAUCCAGCUAGAUAGGUUAAAGAAAUAUUUUUCUGAAUCGUUUAUGUGGCUCAAAAUCGACAUAUAUUCAAGUAGAUAUUAUAUAACAAAUGUAUUGAUGAAAAUCAUGUGAAAAGGAGGACAAAAUACCAUAAUUUCACACUUAAAACCUUACUUGAAAGUAGUUUUCUCGUGGCCGAGAAAACCCUAAUUCAUACCUCUUUAUUUUGGUAAGAAGUAAGUAAACAUUUGAAGUUUCAAACUGAAGAGGUAUCAUGUGUUAAAAUGGUAAAACGGUCAGGGUAUUCGCCAAGCGAAAAUAUAUAAGUUCGAAUAGAAAUGUAUCUCCUCGAACACCCUUGAGAACCGACGUAGUUUUCAAUGAAGUACGUCCAACUUGACACAAAAUCACAUUUCCAAAUCCACUUUAACUCACUCACAUGACAAGAAAAUAAACGGGCAGUAUUUCCCUUUAACCAUUUCACUUUCACCCUACAAUCAAAUACCCAUUCUCAUAGCAAUUAACCACGAUCACACAUACGGUUCAUAAGCAUAAGCAAUAAAAUACAUCCAAUUUGGACCACAAUACCCUUCAAUCAAGGCCAAUUAGGAGCUUAAGAACCAACCAUAAGAAAACCCCAAAUCAAAACCCUAGAACUGCAAUUUUCCGCAUAAAUCUGAAAUUUUUCGCAAAUAACCACAAUUAAUAUGCACAAGCUUCAUUUUAUACCAUAUCAAGCUAUCCUUCCAUAAUCAACUAACAAUAAUGAUAUAAAAUCAGAAAAUUCUCCAAUAAAUCAGAAAUUGAUCCAACCUUACUUAAAAUCAUGAAAUCCUCUCCAAAAUAGCAUAACUAACCUCUAACAACCACCAAUUAACCAUUGUUAAAGCAAGAGAUACUUUCUUAUCUAACUUACCUCAAGACUCAAGAAAGCUAGCAACUUAGGGCUUCCCUUUCAAAAACAACUCCACCAAGACCUUUAAUCCUUCUUAGCUAGCACUCGUACGGAGUAGUUUGGAAUUCCACCGGUUAAAACUCAAGAUUUGGGUAAAAAUUGAAACUAGAAAAUGAAGAGCUUUCUUGGUUUUUCUCUCAAGACAACCGGUCAAGCAAGGAGUAAAAAUCAAGAUAUUUUGGCCAAAAACAAGAUAAGAAGGAAGAAAAAGUAGCCAGUCAAAGUUGACUGCCGGAGAUGACGUCACAAUCCGGCCGGAUUCUAGGCAAUGGCGGAUCAAAUUUUUUUUCAAAUCCCUCAAGCAAUCCGGCCAAAAAUCCGGAAUUGGCCGGAUUUGGUACAAAACAUUUUCAGCAGAAAUUUUUCUUUCCAAGCUCACAAGCCGCGUUCGUCCGUACUUCUAACAAAGAUAUAUAUAUAAUCUCACAUAAAUAUACAUACUAUACACAAACACACGCUCACAUUUAUAAUGAAAAUCUUCCUUUGAAAACUUGGUUAGCAAAUUUUCAUUUUAAAAAGGAAAUGAGAAUAAACAAAAGAAAUGCGGAGAAUAUGUGAAAAUUUUAGGGUUCUCACAAAAAAAGAUAGGGAGAAAGGGAGAGAAGGUGAGGGCUGAGGAUCAAGAGAGGAUCAGAGGGAUCAAAGAAAGUAAAACUGCAAAGAAAAAGGGGAAAAGACCAGAAAAGGGGAGAAGAAAAUUGCAGAAAAUUUUUUCUGCUGAAAGUUGAGCCAGGGUUGAUGAAUCCACUCUGUUCGUGACCUUAUUUCUACAAAUCCCAAUCUCCUUUUGAGGAAAUUUUUCUUGCUGCACCAUCUACAAUCGUCAGUGACCAAUUGGUAUUCAUAAAACAUUUGGAGAAAACCGCUGCAACGUCUUCAAAUUGGGGUCUGAACUUGCUGCCUUUACUAGACUUGAGGAACGGCGAACAAAAUUUCUGCUCCGUGUCCAUCACUUCAAGCUCAAUCUCUUUGUUUCCCUCACAUCGAUUCAGUCUUCAACUGCAUGCAGGUAAUGAAUACAUCUUUAGUUAGCCGACUUAACUCUUUCUAUGAGGUUUUGUUGGACCAUCGCAUGAGCUUUAUUUGGUUGAUAUGUUUGCACUUGUUAUUUGCUCUUUUUGUGAUCCUUGUUGCAUCAAAGAUUUGAGUUUUGAUGGUUUACGAUUUGCUAAAACAGUUUUAAAGAUGUUUUAAUGUUUGAUGUUUGGGUGAUGAGGUCGAAUCCUCAAGUGUUGUUUCACCAAAAACCAGCUUAGGUCGCCCUUUCUUGUAUUAUUCAGUCGAUUCUCUUUUGAUCUUCAAUGGCUUGGUGUUCAUGAUUGGGUUGUGUUAAUCAAAGUGUUCAGUUGUUAAGGGGUGUUGAGUAUGCGGACCCGAAUUCUUAUUUUAUUCUACUUACUUUUAUUUCGUUUUACUGGUUUAUUUAAUUAUUUAUUAAACCGUUUUCUCCGAAUAAUUUAUUUCAACCAUUUUAAAUCCAUUUACAUGGAACAAUGUCCCAUUUAUAUUUCUAAAACGUUUCGCUAGCAAAUUUAAUUUUUCUGCGACUCGUUUAGCGAGAAAUAGUGAAUGCACAUUUUUCGAGGCAAAUUCGAUCCGAGAGUGCAUUAGUCUUGGAGAACUAAGGAUGAUUAAUAGUAGAAAUAUUAAUUGAGGGAUUAGUGGUGAAUGAGUUAACUUAAGCUCAAUUAAGAGCACCAAUGGCUCACUAAUCAACCGUUGACUUUUGGAGCCAAGACCACCUUUAUGUCAUUUCUCUUGUCACUCAAUCAAGUUACCCAACUAUCACACAAACACUCUUCCUUCUCCUCUACUCAUUGGCCGGCCAUCCCCCUUCCCAUUUCCCCUCAAAAUUUCAGCUUUUGUCUUCCAUUUUUGCUCCACAAAGCUCUCCAAAAAUUGCUUCUUGUCUUGGGUCUUCAUGCAAGCUUGGAAGAGGACAUCUUGAAGAGAAGAGAUGGCCAGCUGCUUGGGAUUGUUUUAGGGAGUUUCUCAUACCAAAAAUCUAGAGUUUCCUCUUGUGUUUGGAAGGUAUACACAUUUCUCACCAAAACUCUUGCUUUCUUGUUUCAUUUCUUGGCUUUGAAGCUUGUAGCUUACUUCUUGUUGUUGUUGGUUGGAUUUGGUUCGUUGAAGUGGGCUCUAUGAACUCCCACCUUGGUUAAAUGAGGGCUGCCAUGAUAUUUAUGUGUGUAUUAGUGUGUUUGUGAUGAGUUUUAAUGAUAGAAACUAGAAGAGGAAAAAGAAAGAGAGAACCGAGAGGAGAGGGAGAAGUGUUGGCCAAAAUUUUGAGUUUUUGUUACUCUGUUUUGAUGCCAUAUUUUCCUGACUUUCUUGGCUCAUUUGAGAGCUGAUAUGUUCAGCUUUAAGUGGACAAAUUUCUAGCCAAAAACUCUUUCGUUUGGUGCUUCAAAAUUCCAUGAAAAAAAUUGGCCAAAAAUCUGGAACUUUCCUUUCCUCUGCUGACCGAAUGGUCAAAUCUGUUUUGGGGUGUUUCAUUUCUAAAAUUUUAGUGUUAUUUAACCAUAAAUUGCUCAUUAAAUGUUGUUAGAAUUUUGGUUUAAAAAAUGGAGUGAAUUGGGGCUGAUUUCGUUGGACAAAACUUAUGGAAAAGAAAGAAUGAUAAGAUUGGCAGAUUGGUUUCAAAGAAUUUCACUAACUUUGAUCAUUUUGUUAACUGCCUUCCCAUGCAAGUUCUUGCCUAAAUUUUGGUAGGGAGGUAGUCCAUAUAUGAAAGUUUAAGUGUACCAAAUUUUGCAUAAUUACAAUACCAUUUCGAUGCCCAAAUGAUUCCCCAAAGAUUGCACUUCAAAGUUGGAAAAAAAAACUACCCAGGUCAGUCAACCAGGGGUUCUUUGUCUGUGUAUAAAUCUUUGUACAAAAGUCAAAAUUGAGUGCCGUUUGUGACAUUUAAAACUAGCACCAAGAGCUUUCCAAUGGUAUAAAAUUUCCCUACCAGUUCAUUUUGAGUGAGCCGUAGCGAAUCGGCAAAGUGGACUGACCUGUUUUAUCUGUUUACCCGAGAGAAACUGGAAAACUGUAUCUUGUGGCUCAAUUUCGUCUCACUUGUGAUAGGAGUUUGAAAAUGAUGUCUUUUGAUGAUUUGAAGAAUUUUGAAUCUAGUUUCUAACGUGAUAAACCAUUCUCAAUUUGGACUUAUGUAGAGUUAGAUAUGGUCUGAUUUCAAAACUGUGUCAAAGCUGGAAAUUGGGAAAUUGUUGAACAGGUUGUGAAAUCCAGACAUCUUCAAACUGUUGUAUCUUGUGGUUCAAAAAUUCAAAUUUAGUUUCACUUGUUGUGUUUGAAACUUUACUUGAAACUCUUUCUGUGUUAUAAAUUCCAAAGGUUGAUUCAAUUUCUGUGAAUUUUACCAAAUUUCCAAACGUGGCUUAAAAACAAGAACUGGUUCUGCCCUGUCUUCAUGAAACAACAACUUUGAUCUGAGAUUUGAAUAGUUUCUAGUUAGAAUCUAGGAAAAGUGUCUUCCAGAAAGUUUUAGUACUUUGAAUUUAGUUUCCAACGGCAUAAAAUUUCCAAUUUUUGAACUUACCAAACUUAAGAUAUGAUUUUUCAAGUGUUGUCAUCCAAAGCUGGAAUUUCUGGUUUCCCAUGAAUUGAACAUUUUAAGAACUUCCAAUUCCCUUUUUAGAUUGAGGGUUCAUUUUAAACUCAAUUUCAUGAAUGAUACAAGUUCUCUUGUAACUUUAACACUUCAUUUUUGAAACUCGAUUUCCAAUGGAAUAAACCUCUCUUGAUUUUUUUCUUAGUCAUUAACUUUCUUGGUUAUUGCGCCUCAUUUUCAUACUUGAGAAAUGGACUUCAAUUCUUAGUCUGAUGCAUUUCAUUUCAUGAGUUUGAACUUUAAAAAUGGAGCGUUUUAACUCAAGAGAUUUUUAGAGAAUUUCUUCAGUUUUCUACUCAAAACAUGAAACGUUUAACUUUGACAAUUUCUAUGAAAUGAGUGGAGUUUUGGAUGAUUUUUAUCUCCAUUAGUUUGAAAAAUGUAAACGUCCUUUAUAUUCUAAUUUUUGGGUCAUCAGACUUGAAGUUUUGAGAGAUAAAAACUACCUACCUUUUCUCGAUUUUCGUGCCAAAAGUGAAAUUUGUACUUUCUUUUGGAAUUGAGAUUUACUUACCACGACUUGAAUCAAAAAUGACUUUUGAGUUCUCUUUGAGCAUUAUUUCAAUGAUUUAGCAAAAAGCUCCUUUAACUUGAUUUGAACUUGUGACCUUAAACCUUUAUUUGUGAAUUUUGAUUUUCAAUAAAAUAAACCUUUUUGAUGUAUUGUUCUAGUUCUAGGUAAACGAACUUUCUUCUUUGUAUGCUCAAUGGUCUAGAGUAUACGUGAGUGAUGGAUGGUCACUAUUUCUUCAGGUGCUCAAGAGGGCUUCGAAAGGAAUCCCGGUGUGGACAACUGAAGGGCUUUAUUUGCUCACUUGCUUUUGAACUGGUGAGUGUCAAGUGCAUAACUUGUUGUAUAAUACUUGAAAUACUUCUUAUUGAAUAUGUGAAUUGGACUUGUCGAAACGAGUGUGUACUUUAUCGCACUCGUUCUCUUUUACUUGAUUUGAUAAUUGACUUGCUCAUACUUAAAAUUAUACUUGUGUUUGACUCGACGUCGAUUGGAGAGCCAUCUCAUCGACUUGUACUUGUACUUGUGGGGGACGCUCAAAACUCAUUGGUUAACCUUGCGACUUGAGCCGGCAUGGGUUUGGUCGGGAAGUUUGGUGAACCAUGAGGAAAUCAUAAAACAAAAGAUCUUGCUUGGCAUAUUUGAGUAGUAUCACCUUUUCUAGUCGACGUACAGGUCCGGUAGGGGGUGUAAUGGUGGACGAAAUUUGGUGAAAGUGGAGUCUACGGAUUUGGUAUUUGCUCGGUUGACGGAGAGUCAACGUGUGAUAUUUGGAUCAAGACCUUGGCCAAGCUAUGUGGAAUUCAGCUCCUGAGAGCUCCCGUAUCCUUAUUGAUUGUAUUUUACUGUUAUUUGUGAAUUACAUGAACUUGCUAACUAUAUUUUUUGUACAAGUGUUGUUGCUACAUGAAGUUAUUUGUUUGCAUGCUUUUCUUGGUCUCACUGAGCGUUAGCUCACCCUCGUAGUUUUGUUUUCCUUAACAGGAGCUCGGAUGGAAAGAUUUUUGGAGAAGCUGACUUUACCAACUUUUCAUUAGAAUUUGGAUGUAUAUAGUUUAGUUAGUUUUUGGAUGGUUGUAUUUUUGGGAAAAGUUGAGGUACCUUUUGAAAACUUUGUGAUGUAAGACUUGAAUGAUUGUAUAAGGAAGCGACUUUUCUUUAUAUUGGCUUUUAUUAUUGGUUGUGUAUCGUUAAAUUUAAAUUUGACUCGUAUUGAGCCCUGGCGAGAGCUAGGCAGGCAGCCCGCCGAUACCAUAGGGUUUGCCCUAAGAAGAAGUGGGAUCGUCACAGUUGGUAUCGGAGCUUAGGCGUCAGAUCUCUGUAGUGUAUCUUAGACUAAAAAUUUAGGAUGCAGGACUGUGGGACUGGUUUGAAAGUUAAGUGACCGCUUGUAGGAAUGAAAAUCAGAGCGCUAGGUUUGAAAUACCUGGAAUAGGGUUAGGAGUUCUUAGUCAUGAUCUUUUGGUCAUAGAAAUUUGUGAUAAAUCUUAAGUUAAUUUGUUGAAUAGCACCAGUGAUUAUAAGGUCCUAACCUUUAGUUUUGUGGGUUAAUUGUAGGUCAUGGAAGGAAAUGGUAGAGAUGGGUCCCCUCUGAGGCACCUUCCAACGAUUCGUUAUUGAGUGAGGCCUUGGGGCCCUCUUUGGCAGUGGACCCUAAUUUGUCGUAAUAGGUCUUUAUGUGACUGUUGGAGAACUUACUCGUACCCUAACGAAGUGGUGCUACCGAAAAUCAAUGAUUGAAGGCGGUUAUUCGAGGAAACUAGGGUAGUCCGAGAGGAUAAUCGAGGACUGAGGGCGACUGUGGAUGUCCAAACUGUUAGAGUUCAUGAACUGGAGACAGAUGUACUUGAGGAGUGGAAAAAGGUUGAGGCUCUUCGUGAGCAGGUUCAGGAGGUUAAGCGCUAACUCACUAGGGUAGCACAUGAAAUUAGAGACCAGAUUGAGGGAAUGAUGGUCGAGUGUGUUACCUUGGUUGAACAAGUGGUGGAUGGCAAGAUACUUGACGAGGGACAUGAGGAAGAGACUCCUAGUGCUGAAAAUGAAAAUGAUCCUACUGAAGUAGCAGAGACUUCUGAGUCCGCCAGUCACUAAGCUAGUGAUUUAAUCUACUUUAGUAGUUUUUGUCUAGAAUAGUCAGGGUGGUGCUUGUUCAAAGGCCAUUGUAUUUUGCUUAAUUAUGCUACCUAUCUUUUGAAGCACUUGAACGUUACUUAUGAGGUGUUUGACUUUAUUGCUCCAUGACUUCUAAUCUAUGCUAUGAGUUGUUCAUAAUUACAAUUAUUUUUGGCAUCUCUCCUAUUUAUUUUCGUUUUGCAUGAUUAAAGUGUCAUUUUAAACUUUGCGUAUGUGUAUGUAUUUCACGUUAUGCCUUUAGAAAAUAUUAAAAUUAUGGAUAGGCGGGGACGUGGACGGGGUCGUGGGCGUGGGUUUCGGCAACCUCACACUCCCGAGAGAGAUGAGGGAUCAGUGAUUGGUCUGAACCAAAACCCUAGGAACGGAGAGGGUGACCUAGUGACUACGACCCUUAGCCGCAUAAUUGAUAUUUUUGAGCGUUUAAUUGAGCGUCAAGGCCUUAAAACAAUCAACCAACCUAGGAACCAAGAGAGGGGUGAGAAUAGGUCUUUAGAGUGAUUCAUGAAGUUUGCCCCACCUAGGUUUCAUGAAAGAUCCGAUCCCAAAGCAGCAGAAAUUGGGUUGAGAGGAUGGUAUAAGGCACUAGUGAGAGCAAGAGGUUAGGGAUUCUUCUCGAGUAACUUCGUGAGUAUUAGAGAGUGAGUUAGGGUGUGAAACUUUUAUAUUAAGGCAUAAGAUCUUCAUAUUUUGUUAUGUGUAUAAGUGAUGAUAGUAGUUCUUGUGGAAGACCCAAGAACUCGUCCAUAUCAAGUAGAGAAUAGUUAAGAUUCAUAUUUUUUGGGAAACCUGUAAGCGAAAGAACGGAAGAGUAAAAUGGCCAGAAUUUUCCAGUGUGAAUAGUUACUUAUUUUGAUUCUCUGAUUUUCCUGGUAGGCUAGGAUUUGAUUUAAGUCAAACGGUGAGAUGACAAAUUUGGGAGAGAUACGUAAGGAAAUGGACAUUCUUCGAAAGGAGGUAGAAUUUCAAAAGAAAUUGGCUGACUACUGAGAAGGACGGUAGAAACAAGAAUAUGCAGAGAAGAUUGAGUUGCUAUAUAAAAACGUGGAACUAGAGAAGAAAUACAAAGAAAAUUCUCAAACUGAUCAGACCGUGACUUCUCGUGUGACUUAUGAAUACUGUGGCAAGUUUAACCACACUGAAACUGAGUACUGGAAAAAGCGAGAAAAAUGUCUGAUCUGUGGUAGUGCUGAACAUCAGGUUUCAAGCUGCUCUAGUGCCUCUAAGAAAAAGAGAAAAUACUCUGUAGCCUACUAGGUCCGCUACAAAGCAAUCAAGUGCCAAAAUGAGUGAUUAAUGCUAAUGGCUGUGAGAGAGAUCCAAGUAGUGGAAGCUUUACGAAUGGGGAUGGAUUUGACUCCACUCGAAGGAUAGAGAUUGUAAUCUUUUGUAUAGGAAAUAAAGUUCUUUUGUUGUUUUGUACAUUUGCGAUUUAGCACGUUUUCCUAUGGUUUUGUUUGUCCCCCUUUCUUUUGAAAUUAUUUGAUGAAUUUAUCCUCACUUGGUGUAACUAUUAUGAUCUUUUAUUAAAAAAAAAUUUACCUUACUUUAAUUGAUUUUAUGGCUUACAUGUAUAUUUAAUUUACUGUCCCAGACCUUUAGACCUAUAAUAAGAUCGUGAACCGUACUUGAGAAUAGUUUACAAAUCUUGAGAGAGCGCCAACUUCUUUUGCUAAGUUCUAUAAAUGUGAAUUGGUUGGAAGAAGUAGCCUUUCUAGGUCAUAUAAUCUCUAAGGAAGGAAUUACCGUGGACCAGCUAAGGUAGAAGUUGUUUCUAAGUGAAAACGACCAGAAAACCCUACCGAAGUUUGGAGUUUCUUGAGGUUAGUCGAAUAUUAUCGUCAGUUUAUCAAGGACUUUUCUAAGACUGCAAAACCCUUAACCAUGUUGACUAAGAAGUAUGGCAAGUUCAUAUGGGAUUUUAAAUGCGAGAAAGGGUUCAAGAGUUGGAAAAGUAUUUGACUGAGGCAUCGUAUUAGCCUUGUCGAGCGGAGAAAAUGGUUUUUGUGGUUUAUAUGGAUGCUUUAAAGAAUGGUUUAGGAUGUGUAUUAAUGUAAAAUGGAGAAGUGAUUGCGUAUGGCUCCCGUAAGUAAAAACUCAUGAACAGAAUUAUCCGACCCAUGACUUGGAGUUAACGGCAGUGGUGUUUGCCUUGAAAAGUGGAGACAUUAAUUAUAUAGAGUGACUUUCGAGAUUUUUACUAACCACAAUAGUUUUAAGUAACUAUUUUUUUCCUGAAAGAGUUGAAUUUGAGGCAACGUAGAUGGGUGGAAUUUUUGAAGGAUUAUGAUUUUUCGCUUAACCGCCACCCCGAGAAGGCUAAUGUAGUGGCAGAUACCCUAAGCCGUAAGGUGUAAGUGGCUAGUUUAGUGGUGUGAGAAUGGCAUAUGCUAGAAGAAGUAGAGAUUGAUGAGAAUCCACAUGAGGAAAGACCGGUAAAGCUUUUAGAUCGAAAAGUGAAGGAAUUAAGACGCAAGCAAAUUCCCCUAGUGAAGGUUUUUUGGAGAAAUCAUGGAAUCGAGAAAGCGACCUGGGAAGUAGAAGAAGAGAUCUAGAAGAAAUAUCCAAAGUUGUUUCUAAAUCAAGGUAUGAAUUUCGAGAACGAAAUUCUUUUAAGGGGGGAAGGAUGUGAGGACCCGAAUUCUUAUUUUAUUCCACUUACUUUUAUUUCGUUUUACUGGUUUAUUUAAUUAUUUAUUUAACCAUUUUCUCCGAAUAAUUUAUUUCAAUCAUUUUAAAUUCAUUUACAUGGAACAAUGUCUCAUUUAUAUUUCUAAAACGUUUCAUUAGCAAAUUUAAUUUUUCUGCGGCUCGUUUAGCGAAAAAUAGUGAAUGCAUAUUUUUCGAGGCAAAUUCGAUCCGAAAGUGCAUUAGUCUUGAAAGACUAAGGAUGAUUAAUAGUAGACUAAGAAAAGUUAAUUGAGGGAUUAGUAGUGAGUGAGUUAAGCUAAGCUCAAUUAGGAGCACCACUGGCUCACUAAUCAACCGUUGAUUUUUGGGGCCAAGACCACCUUUAUGUCAUUUCUCUUGUCACUCAAUCAAGUUACCCAACUACCACAGAAACACUCUUCCUUCUCCUCCACUCUUUGGCCGGCCAUCCCCCUUCCCAUUUCCCCUCAAAAUUUCAGCUUUUGUCUUCCAUUUUUGCUCCACAAAGCUCUCCAAAAAUUGCUUCUUGUCUUGGGUCUUCAUGCAAGCUUGGAAGAGGACAUCUUGAAAAGAAGAGAGCUGCUUGGGACUGUUUUAGGGAGUUUCUCAUACCAAAAUUCUAGGGUUUCCUCUUGUGUUUGGAAGGUAUACACAUUUCUCACCAAAAACUCUUGCUUUCUUGUUUCAUUUCUUGGCUUUAAAGCUUGUAGCUUCCUUCUUGUUGUUGUUGGUUGGAUUUGGUUGGUUGAAGUGGGCUCUAUGAACUCAAACCUUGGUUAGAUGAGGGCUGCCAUGAUGUUUAUGUGUGUGUUAGUGUGUUUGUGAUGAGUUUUAAUGGUAGAAACUAGAAGAGGAAAAAGAAAGAGAGUACUGAGAGGAGAGGGAGAAGUGCUGGCCAAAAUUUUGAAUUUUUGUUACUCUGUUUUGAUGCCAUAUUUUCGUGACUUUCUUGUCCCAUUUGAGAGCGGAUAUAUUGAACUUUAAGUGGACAAAUUUCUAGCCAAAAACUCUUUCGUUUGGUGCUUCAAAAUUGCAUGAAAAGAUUGGCAGAAAAUCUGGAAAUUUUCCUUUCCCCUACUGACCGAAUGGUCAAGUCUGUUUUGGGGUAUUUUAUUUCCAAAAUUUUAGUGUUAUUUAACCAUCAAUUGCUCAUUAAAUGUUGUUAGAGUCUUGGAUUAAAACAUGGAGCAAAUUGGGGCUGAUUUUGUUGCACAAAACUUUUGGAAAAGAAAGAAUGAUAAGGUUGCAGAUUGGUUUCGAAGAAUUUCACAAAUUUUGAUCAUUUUGUUAACUGCCUUCCCAUGCAAUUUCUUCCCUAAAUUUUGGUAAAGAAGUAGUCCAUAUAUAGAAGUUUAAGUGUACCGAAUUUGGCAUAAUUACAAUACCAUUUCAAUGCCCAAAUGAUGCCCCAAAGAUUUGCUCUUCAAAACUGGAAAAAUAAAAAGUACCCAGGUCAGUCAACCAAGUAUUCUUUGUCUGUGUAUAAAUCUUUAUACAAAAGUCGAAGAGUACCAUUUGUGGCAUUUAAAACUAGACACCAAGGGCUUUCUAACGCUAUAAAAUUUCCCUGCUAGUUUGUUUUGAGUGAGCCGUAGCAAAUCGGCAAAGUGGACUGACCUGUUUUAUCUGUUUACCUGAGAGAAACUGGGAAACCGUAUCUUGUGGCUCAAUUUCGCCUCACUUGUGAUAGGAGUUUGAAAAUGAUAUCUUCUGAUGAUUUGAAGAAUUUUGAAUAUAGUUUCUAACACCAUAAACCAUUCUCAAUUUGGACUUGUGUAGAGUUAGAUAUGGUCUGAUUUCAAAACUGUGUCAAAGCUGGAAACUGGAAAAUUGUUGAACAGGUUGCGAAAUCCAGCCAUCUUCAAACUGUUGUAUCUUGUUGUUCAAAAAUCCAAAUUUAGUUCCACUUAUUGUGUUUGAAACUUUACUUGAAACUCUUACUUUUUCAUAAAUUCCAGAGGCUGAUUCAAUUUCUGUGAAUUUUUCCGAAUUUCCAAACUUGGCUAAAAAACAAGAACUGGUUCUGCCCUGUCUUCAUGAAAUAGCAACUUUGAGCUGAGAUUUGAAUGGUUUCUAGUUAGAAUCUGGGAAAAGUGUCUUCUAGAAAGUUUUAGUACUUUGAAUCUAAUUUCCAAUGGUAUAAAUUUUCCAAUUUUUGGACUUACCAAACUCAAGAUAUGAUUUUUCAAGUGUUGUCAUCCAAAGCUGGAAUUUCUGGUUUCCUAUGAAUUGAACAUUUUAAGAACUUCCAAUUCCCUUUUUAGAUUGAGGGUUCAUUUUAAACUCGAUUUCAUGAAUGAUACAAGUUCUCUUGUGACUUUAACACUUCAUUUUUGAAACUCGAUUUCCAAUGGAAUAAACCUCUCUUGAUGCGUUUUCUUAGUUGUUGACUUUCUUGGUUAUUGCGCCUCAUUUUCAUACUUGAGAAAUGGACUUCAAUUCUUAGUCUUAUGCCUUUCAUUUUAUGAGUUUGAACUUUAAAAAUGGAGCAUUUUAACUCGAGAGAUUCUUAGAGAAUUUGUCCAGUUUUCUACUCAAAACUUGAAACAUUCAACUUUGACAAUUUCUAUGAAAUGAGUGGAGUUUUGGAUGAUUUUUAUCUCCAUUAGUUUGAAAAAUGUGAACAUCCAUUAUAUUCUAAAUUUUGGGUCAUGAGAUUUGAAGUUUUGGGAGAUAAAAACUACCUACCUUUUUCUCGAUUUUUGUGCCAAAAGUGAAAUUUGUACUUUCUUUUGGAAUUGAGAUUUACUUACCACAACUUGAAUCAAAAAUGACUUUUGAGUUCUCUUUGAGCAUUAUUUCAAUGAUUUAGCAAAAAGCUCCUUUAAUUUGACUCGAACUUGUGACCUUAAACCUUCAUUUGUGAAUUUCGAUUUUCAAUAAAAUAAACCUUUUUGAUGCAUUGUUCUAGUUCUGGGUAAACGAACUUUCUUGUUUGUAUGCUCAAUGGUCUAGAGUAUACGUGAGUGAUGGAUGGUCACUAUUUCUUUAAGUGCUCAAGAGGGCUUCGAAAGGAAUCCCGGUUUGGACAACUGAAGAGCUUUAUUUGCUCACUUGCUUUUGAACUGGUGAGUGUCAAGUGCAUGACUUGUUGCAUAAUACUUGAAAUAUUUCUUGUUGAAUAUGUGAAUUGGACUUGUCGAGACGAGUGUGUACUUUAUCGCACUCGUUCUGUUUUAUUUGAUUUGAUAAUUGACUUGCUCAUACUUGAAAAUUAUACUUGUGCUUGACUCGACAUCGAUUGGAGAGCCAUCUCAUCGACUUAUACUUGUACUCGUAGGGGACGCCAAAAACUCAUUGGUUAACCUUGCGAGUCGAGCCGGCAUGGGCUUGGUCGGGAAGCUUGGUGAACCAUGAGAAACCAUAAAGCUUGAUCUUUUGAGAUCUUGCUUGGCAUAUUCGAGUAGUAUCGUCUUUUCUAGUCGACGUGCGGGCCCGGUAGAGGGUGUAAUGGUGGACGGAAUUUGGUGAAAGUGGAGUCUACGGAUUUGGUACUUGCUCGGUUGACGGAGAGUCAACGUGGGAUAUUUGGAUCAAGACCUUGGCCAAGUGAUGUGGAAUUCAGCUCCUGAGAGCUCCCAUAUCCUUAUUGAUUGUGUUUUACUGUUAUUUGUGAAUUACAUGAACUUGCUAGCUAUAUUUCUUGUACAAGUGUUAUUGCUACAUGAAUUUAUUUGUUUGUAUGCUUUUCUUGGCCUCACUGAGCGUUAGGUUAGCCCCGUAGUUUUGUUUUCCUUAACAGGAUCUCGGAUGGAAAGAUUUUUGGAGAAGCUGACUUUACCAACUUUUGAUUAGAAUUUGGAUGUAUAAAGUUUAGUUAGUUUUUGGAUGGUUGCAUUUUUGGGGAAAGUUGAGGUACCUUUUGGAAACUUUGUGAUGUAAGACUUGAAUGAUUGUAUAAGAAAACGACUUUUCUUUAUAUUGGCUUUUAUUAUUGGUUGUGUACCAUUAAGUUUAAAUUUGACUUGUAUUGAACCCUGACGAGAGCUAGGCAAGCGGUCCGCCAUACCAUAGGGUUCGCCUUAGGAAGAAAUAGGGUCGUCACAUUGAGUGAUGGGUUUGCAGGCUUUUGUUUGAAGUUUUUGCAUGAAAUUUCUGCACCAAAUAAGCAGAAGCAAUGAAAGAUAGACCUACAUCAGUUCAAAGUUUGCAUGAAAAAACUUCCAAAAAUUACACUUUUGCCCCCAAACUUUUGAAUAAUUCUGAUAUGACCCAGAAAAUUGGAAAUUUUGAUCAAUUUUGUUCCUUCAAAAUGAUAAUUUUCUUUGGUAUGUCUUAAUGUGAUUUUUGGAUAGAUUAUUCAUAAGUUUUAGGAGAGAAUUUGAAGGUUUAAUAAUUUUUGAUAAAUUUAUAGUUUUGAUUGGAUUUAGUAAAAUUUUGAGUAAUUUUGUUGUUUAAUUAUAGCAAAUGGGUUUUCAUUCAUUUUGUGAAGUUUAUCAUUUGAUUUUGGUAUGCUUCAUCUUAAGCCCUUAAUUUUAUUUCAUUUUAAUUUAGACUCUUAAUAUUUGUAAUAAUAAUGAUUUGACCCCUCAAACUUCUUUAAUUCUUUCAAUUGGAUCCUUACUUGUUUUAAUUCUUUUAAUACGAGUUGUUUACUUUCAUUUAAGUGCUUUGAUUGUUCAAUUACAUGUUUAUUCUCAUAUCUUAUGAUUAUUUGUUAAUUAAAGUGGUACCUUAAUCAUUUUCUUUGUUUUGGAGGGUAAAUAAGAGAAAUUUCGUUUCAUUAGGUCACAAUUCAAGGGAGGUGAUUUUGAUCCUAUGUGCUCCUAUGUGCUUUAUUUGAUCCUAUGUGAUUUUAUGUGUGUAAUUACAUGUUUUUUCGAAUGUUUAUUAUUAUUAUUAUUAUUUUAUUUCAUUUAUUUAUUUAUUCAUUUUGUAUAUUUAUUUUAAUUUAAUUUUUGGUUAUUUGAGAAGCAUUUAAAUGCCAAGUUGUAAUAGUUAGGUUAUUAUUUCAUUUCAUUUCAUUUUUACCCCUUUAGAUUGUAGUUAGGGCCCCCAAAUGUAAUAGUUAGGUUUUUAUUUGUUUUAUUUGCUUUGUAUGUUUUGCAUGUUUGUGUAUUACGUGUUACUCGCUUUCUUAGGAUUUUGCAUUUAGAUAUCAUGCUUAUGUGCUAUGUGUUUUAUGUGAUAUUAUGUGUUUAAUUGUUUUUAUUAUGUUUAUUUUAUUUAUUUAGUUAUGAUAAAUGUAUGACGUCACCACACUAGUCCAACACUAGUUGUGGCUCUAUUUCCUCGAUUUCUCGCUAGUCCAAUGCUAAUGAAAACUUGUAGACAUGGGUUAAUCCAAUGCUAGGCCCUUAGGGACCAUCCACGCGCUAGAUCAUAUUUGUGUGACAAAUCACUACAUUUUAUGCAUAUUUUUCUACUUUUUAGGACCCUUGCCAUUUUUGCAUGACAUUUUCCCUAUGUAUAUAUAUCCCUUAUUUCUAUGUGUGACAUAUAACAUUUAGGUUGUCAUUCCAUUUAAGGAAAUUAGGAGUAGAUUAGUGCAUUUACUUGAUUAGAUAGGAGAAAUACCCCUCGAAUAUGGGAUAUGGACGAGUAUGGUUUUCUAACCUUAGUACGCUCGUAUUCCCUCUAUUAAAGGGAAAAUUAAAGUCACAAAUUUUAGCCCCCCACACCUGUUAUAAUGCAUUCCUUUAGGUCAUGUAUAUUUGUAUAAUUAUUAUUUUCUUUACUUUCCUUCGAGUCUUAUAUUUUUGCAUAUUCGUGACCUUUUCAAAGAGUCAAAUUGGACAUCACAAUUAAUGUGAUUUGCACCAAUUAAGCUUUGAAGAGAUAUUUCGACCCCCAGAUAUCCUCCUAGAUUUAGGUUUUGCAUCCAUAUAGUGACAUCCAAAAUGUGAUAAUUUUUUAGGUUUAAAUAAGAAAAUUUUUGACUAAAUCACGCAAUUAGCCUUGGCUAAGUUGAAAGGGUGAUUUAGAUUUUAUCCUUGCCUUCCCUUUUUUCAAAUAUGACUCCCGACCACUUUUCUUUGAUUUUCGAAGACUUGGAAUCGUUUAAAAAGGGUUUUUUCUACUUUUUCUUUAAAAAUUCAUUUUAGGUGACUUGGUACACCUCAACUCAAUACCAAGUGGCGACUCCUAUUUUUUUCAUUAAAAACCUUUUCAAAACUAUUUUGGGUCAAAAUCAUCGCAUUUUUAAAGUCCCAUUUAGGCCCAUUUUCUUUAUUUAUUUUCUAAAACUCAAAAACUCAAUUUUCAAUCAAAAUUAAUCAACAAUCCAUUUUUAUAAACCCGUAAUCGUAAUUAUUUAUUUUUCAUUAAAAAAUGGGGCGCGACAGCUUUAUUAUCAUCUUUCUAGAGUUAGUUGGAGUUGUUUUGUGAAUUGCACUUAUCUUAGUUGUGGGAGUCUCUUGUUAAUUCAUUAUGUGACGUUUGUUUUCUUUAAAUCAUGUGUGCAUUUAAAGUCCUUGAGUCAAUAGUUAUUAUGUUUAAAGUCGCUUAUUUGCAUGAAGUUCUUUGUCCUAUCUUAAACGUUGUCCAUGUAAAUUGUGUGAAAAAUCGACUUGACCAAGUUGCUUUAGAGAGUUUACUUGUUUGGAAGCUUUUGUGUUGCUUUGAAGCUUAUGCUCAUUCAAGUGUGUUGUUAGGUUGUAUUAAAGGUCUGAAGAUGGUGCAUGGCAACCAAACAUUUCCUUUUGUUAUCGAGCAAAUUGCGCGAAAUGUCACUAAACUAUUCCGAAGUGCCGGUUCUGAUCACUAAACUUUUUUAUUAGCCAAAAAUGUCACUGAACUAGUAAAUCUGUACCGUUUUAGUCAUUCCGUGUACUUAUGCCGUUAGGAGAGACGGAAAGUCACUUUUUUAGGGGCAAUUUCGUCUACACAACUGUUAAAAAAUUUAUACCCUCAUGCUUCUUCGUCCUCAUCUUCUUCCUCAAAGUCACAGCAAAAAUUAGACCCACCUGAAUUCCUCUGCCCAAUUUCUGGGUCUUUGAUGUCUGAAAAUCAAAGACCCAGACUCCCUGGCCAGCCCUCUGAACCUUAGACUCCCAUGACUUAGUGAGUACAAGGCUGCCAUACAAUUCUCACGUGUUGACUCGGACAAGUCAGACUCACUUCCAUCUCGCAAAAUUGCCACCAAGCUGGCCACCGUGCUGCCAUCCAACAAUGCCGACCGCCCCUCCGAUGACACCGCCAAAUUGCAGACCACUAACACCACCCUUCCCACCAAAACCCCACUCCACAGCAUCCCCAACAAAAUCCCAACGGCUCCAAGCUUAAUCAACUUUACCCUAUUGCUACUGACAAAGCUCAGAUGAUACAACGCCAAGGCAGAGUCAACUCGGUCCCGGACCUCAAAGCAUGCAACAAUGGCUCCAGAGCUCCCAAAACCCCAAUCGCCAUCUUAUUCUCGUCCUGCAGAGCUAAACUGAAAAUCCCACCUGCGGCAUGCUCCUGAGACUCCUCAAAUCCACCCUUUAACAAAUCAACCAGAAUCGGAACCAUCCCAGAUCGAACAAUCUUCACUUUAUUCACAUUAGCAAGCGAAAGAUUCACAAUCGAAGCAACUGCAUUCGUCUGCACAAUUGGAUAUCUCAAAACCAGCAGAGGUUUUAUCGCUUGUAAAAGCUUGGGGGUACAAAGUCUUACCCUAGCAUCUUUAUCGUUUGCUCUAGUGGUUUUUCGUAAAAGAAUCACUGCUUCCUCCUGUUCCAUCACAUCCAAACUCUUGAACUUCAUCACAAACAUUUCAUCCAUACCAAUACCAGUACCAAUUCCAUCCAGUGUACCCAGAGCUUCAUCGUAUACUGUUUCUGAAGAAAAACGAUGACGGAACUGAUGAUGAUGGCGAAGAAUAGCAAGCUGGACGAGUGGCAAAUGGGAGAAAAGGGGUAGCAUUUGCAAUCACAGAUUCCUCCGAAGACGAGGAGUAAUUGUUGUGGGGAUUCAAAUCAGAAGCCGCAUGAGAAAACAGAAAUGAAGGGUUAUUCUCUACCCCUCUCAGCAGCUCCGUUUCAGAAACUGAAUGUUCCCGUUGAGAGGCCGUUUUUGCUUGAACAAUGGUGGUUUCCAUGGAAGAAUAAUCUGGUCGGGAGGGGAUUUCGACACGGGAUUGUCGACACCAGUUGAUAAUCGAAGAUUUAAGAGCUAAAUAAGGAAUUACAGCGGAAAAAUCAGGGGUUGAGCCAUCGGAUAAAUUUGGGAUAACCCCUAAAUCCUUGCAAAGUUGAACAGCAACCCGCUCGAAUGUUUGGCCAGAAGAAACCACCACAGGAUCAGACAUCAAAGACCCAGAAAUUGGGCAGAGGAAUUCAGCAAGUGGGUCUAAUUUUUGCUGUGACUUUGAGGAAGAAGAUGAGGACGAAGAAGAAUGAGGGUCUAAAUUUUUUAACAACUGUGUAGACGAAAUUGCCCCGAAAAAAAUGAUUUUCCGUCUCUCCUAACGGCAUAAAUACACGGAAUGACUAAAAUGGUACAGAUUUAUUAGUUCAGUGACAUUUUUGGCUAAUAAAAAAGUUUAGUGAUCAGAACCGGCACUUCGGAAUAGUUUAGUGACAUUUCGCGCAAUUUGCUCUUUGUUAUCAACUUGAUAAAUUUACUGCUUAUAAGUGUUUUAUCAUCAUUCAUUCCUCGUCUUUUGUAUUUGAUUUAGAAAUCUAUUUGAGGUUGAAUCUUUCCUAUGGGGAGAGAAUGAUGGAAAUCUAAGUAGCCUUGGUGAUAUGUGCUUUUGGCGAUUAGAGCUUGAGCUGGAACCUAUGCUUAAAAGAUCAUGUUCGUGGCCAAACUAAAUAGAAGACAUUUUUCUUGGCUCACGUUCAUCAAGACAUUCCCUGAGUUGCUUCAAUUUAGGCAAGCACCAGAUUUGAGGACAAAUCAUUUUCAAGAAGGGGGAAUGGUAUGAAUCCAGUGGCUGCCAAGUGUUCAAGUACCAACAUUUUUUUACACCUCCAAGAGUCUUGAGUCAUGUGUUCAAGCAAACCAUUCAAAUGGGCUUACAAAUGCAUUACAUCAAGUAUUGGUUGAAGGAAUUCGUCGAACAAAUCCACUAAAAAAUUGAACUUGAAGGAAUGCCAAUCAAAACCCUAGUUCAAGUUCAGCUGGAGGAAGCCAAUUGAAGAUUAUUUAAGAUAUUUGUCUUUUGGGCUGAAUUUUUUCUCAUGUUUAUUCUAGUUUUAUUUAUUUAAUAGGUUGGCUACUUUAGCCAUUUGUUAGUUUCUUAGUUAAUAAAUUUAGCCAAGCUAUGUUGAGCUUAAAUAGAUUGAGUCCAUUAGUUAGUAAAGUCCAUUAGCUGUUAGAUAGAAUAAAUGAAUUCUAGUCCAAUUUGGAUAGUUUAGGUUUUUGACAUAUAAAUAGGUCUUAUUUUCAUCGUAAAAAGAAAGCCAAGAAUUGGCGAUUAAAAAUUGAGAGUUUUCUCUUGAUUCCUUGUGAACUUUCUUUGAGUUUGUCUUAAGUGUGUCUCAACAAAUUCAACUUGGCUUAUCAAUCAAGAAUUGCACUCGAUUGUGGCACCUUCUACCAUCAACCUAGGUUGGCUAAUUUAUUUAGUUGUGGAUUGAGAUUAUACCAACACAUUCAUGACUACGGAGAUUGGAAAGGUCUUUGGUUUUCCGCGAUUCCAAACUUGAGUACCAAAGUCUAGAUCUAGACUUGUGGGACACGAGUUUCAUUCCAUUCUAACAGACCUUAUCAGCUUUUUAAUUCACUCUAUUAUCUAAACAAUCAAGAAUACAAACAAAAAUAAUACUAUAACUUAAAAUGGAUAAAAUAAUAAAAUAAUAAUGGAGAGUUUAGUAGAAAAACUUUCAUGAAUCCCCUAUUGCCUAUGAUUAAGAAAUAAUCUAGUUGAUUUAUGCCUUUUACUUAUGAUUUGUCAAGGAUAUGCUUGCAAUUUUGUUCAAAUAAUGCUUUCACCAUGACCAAGACAUACUCAUACCAAACUUUCAACUAUUUGCAAGAUGAAUUAACUUAAGUUUAUUAAGAUCGAUGAAGUAGCCAAAUUCAAACCACCUGAGUACAUCUACUACUUUUAUGUACAUAAUCUUUAUGGCUCAUGAAUCUUAUUCAACACUUGCAUGGAAACAUUUAAUGCACAACAAAUGAUUUGAUGAUUCGUAGUUAUCUAACAAUUACAAAUAUAAAGCAUAGAUACAUUGUGACGACCCCACCUUGCCCUAGGGCAUACCCCAGGGUUUAGCGGACCGCCUGCCCAACUCUCGCCAGGACUCAUUCACUCACUUCAAGAAAGCAAGUUACAACCUCAAAAGUGAAGGAAACAACAGUUCCUAAGUUUGGAACGUACAUGUACAUUCAUUUCUAUCUCAACCGUUCAUACAUUUCCAAGUAUAACAAAAGAUCGAAGUUCCAGCUAACUUCCAACCCUAAUCAAGCACUAACGUGAGUACAAUCACAAAAUUCAAAAACUAGACUACGCUAGCUUGUACCAGUCUUAUGCCCGCGCUCGAUUUCCCAUUAAGGAAAACAAAACUAAUAGGGUGAACCAAAAUUCAGUGAGGUUCCACAACUUCAUGCAGACCCAAGUAGCAAGUUGGUCGUUAUGUAAAACUUGAAAUAUCAAAGUAGCGAGCAUAAAAGUUCAUGAAAUUAAACAAUAAUGCUACAAGUAACAAAUUGACUAAAUAUAUAACAUUUCCAAGUAUAAGGAUAUAGAUGGCUCUCAAGAGCCAAAUUCCCGUUGCAUUACUUGAUCUGAACCCGUUGACACUCCGUCAAUGUUUAAAGAAGCAAAAUCAUGACCGUAGAUCUCCACUUUACACCAAUUUUCAUCCACCGAUCAACCCCCUACCGGACCCGAACUCCAAAUUAAGAGUGAUGGUAAUACUGGAGUAUACCGUAUCCAGUGGACCAUAUCCAAAGGAUAACACAAUAAACAAUAAACAAUAAACAGUAUGUGAGAACCCGUAUUUUUUUUCUUUUUUCUAGGUUUUAUUUUAUUUAAUUGCACACUAAUUCUAUAUUUUCUUUGUUACGAAAAUUUUCUAGAUAAAUUUUAUGAGUCAAUGUGGUUUUUAAAUUAUUUUUCUAGUAUCAGUUAGUUUUCGAGAAAUUAAGAGUGUAUAUCGGAUGUAGGACCCGCAAGUGCAGAAAGUGCGGUAAAAUUCGGCCAAUUAGGUUAAGUUUGGUAUACUGGGAUUAAUUUUCUAGGUGUUAAGAGAUAAUUAGAGGUUACCUAGAUGGAUUAGUAUUAGAGAGACAAAGGGAUAGCUAUAAACCAAAAAGGUGACAAGUGUCACUUUCCUACUUAAUCUUGGACUUUGACCACUAUUCAUGACUUUACUAAAAUCUCAAAAUUGACCAAGAAAUCUUCAUUUUCUUCACUCCUUUGCCCGGCCCUCUCAAGAAGAAAAAGAAAGGAAACCUUCAACUCUCUUGCUCUCAAUCUUGCUCAAUCUCCCAAUCCAACCGAUUAAACUUGAAAUUUCUCUAUAAAAACCCUUAGUGAAGUAGUAGUGAGGUAGUUGGUGGAGUAGUUUGGAAAGAGGAGGUGCUAAGUUGGGUCUUUUCUUGAGUUUGCAAGGUAAGUGACUAAGGAACAUUUCUUUUGUUCUUGAAAAUGUGCAAUUAGUGACUUGUGUGAGUUAAGGAGGUGAUUUUGUGGAGGUUUUCAUAACUUUUGGUAGUGCUUGAUGAAUUUCUGAUUUCAUGCAUGAUUUUUCUAUUUUUAUAUGUUUAAUGUUGGUUGGCCAUGGAUGAUGGCUUGGUAUGGUUUAGAAUGAAGUUUUGGUAUGUUAAUUGUAGUGAUUUGCAGAAAAUUUCGGGCUUAUACGGAAAAUUUCAGAUUUAGGGUUUUGAAUUGGGGCUUUUCUAAGGUUGCUAUAGAACUCUUGAAUUGGCUUUGUUUAAGGGUAUUGUGACCCUAAUAAUUUGUAUUGAGUAGCCUAUGACUUACAAUGGUAAUUGUGGUUGUGUUUGAGAAAUAUAAAUGAUUGAUGGUAGGAUGGAAAUCUGAAAUUUUAAGGGGAAAUGCUAUCCAAAUUGUGGGUUCUUAUGUUUUAUUGGAUUUGGGUUGUUUUAGGGGUAAUUAGAGACCUUAGGGUGGUCUAAACCCUUAACACCGAGUGUUCCUUAUUUUGUUUGCAAGUUCUUUUGGUUUUACAUUAGUGACUUGUGGCUUGGAUUUACGAUGUGACGACCCCACCUCCCCCUAAGGCGAACCAGAGGAUUCGGCGGGCCGCCUGCCCGGCUCUCGCCGGGACUCAGUCGUUCACUAAAGUCCUCAAAUGAAUUACAAGAAUAAACCUCAAAUAUACAUCCAAGUCUCCAAUAAUUACAUGUCACAAAUGCAGCGGAAAACAAUUCCCAACUAUACAUCAAAUGAUUCCAAAUCCAAAUUGUACAAAAUAUAGGCCAUCCAUACACGUGAAUAAGCACAACAAGUCUUGCCUUCGCCUUGAGCCCUGUGGAGGGGAAUAAAAUAUUUUUGGGGUGAGCUAGAAGCUCAACGAGUAACCAGGAAAAUCAUUAAAUAAAUAUAUUUCACAAUGUUGCAUUUCGAUGAUUUCGAUGAUGUCAUGAUUCCAAGAUCAAAUGUCCGUUUAGUGCUCUCGUGAGCCGGUGAAAUCACAGCACUUGAACACCCAACGCUCAAAUAUUUCAUUUAACAUUAACUCACGAACUCACGAAAGUGGGAGUAACGUCGGUGCUCCAGAUAAACAUGAACAUGAACCAUAAACAAAGUGGAGACGUUGGUGUCCAGCACAAGACUUUCCCAGAACUCAUUGAAGCCAAAUCAUGUCAUGAAUCCACAUGCAAGCACGCAUGAUAUGCAAUCGAAUAAUUAAUGCAAGAAACAUUUCACAAGUACUUUGGAAAUAGUUUAGGGUCACUCACCUCCACGGCUCAGAAAUCAUCCAGCAUAUAACAUUGCCUUGCUCAAAUCCAAGUCUUAGAUCAUAAACUCAAUGCAAACAAAUCCCUUCAAAGUUCGGACAGCACUUCCCCUAAAUUUGCUAACUUUUCCAGCCAUCAUGGCUUCAUUAUUUCCUCAUUCCAACCCAAAGGUACACACACGACAACAAGUUCAUCCAAUAGCCAUUCAGCAAGCUCCAAGUAGUACUAGUACAAGUCAAGCUAGGGAAAAGUCCGGAAAUGAAAGUUAAGCUCAAAACCAGAAAAACAGUUUUGACGUCAUUUUGCGGUAAUGGUGUCAAAAGCACUACGAUGAUCGGAUGAAGGUACAAGAUACACCGUUUCGAAGCUAAGAGAUAGGGCUACAAUAUUACAGAAGGUCACUCAACCCAGUUUCGAGUGUAACCAGGUCAAAAAUGCAAGAUACUACACCAGAAUCACCAAAAACAGAUUCACCAAAACGCAUUCUAGCGGAAACAUCAUAACUCAGGCUCUACAAGUCCAAAUCCAGAAAUUACAAAACCAUCUGAAAGCUAAGAAACAGGGCUAAAUUUCAUCAGAAGGCCUCAACAACCAAUUCGGAAGCAAUUCCAGGAAAAACAACCAAUUACAGGCGCAGUUCUCAAUUUCGGGUAAAACCAGAACAGCAAUAGUAAUUUUGACUUUUCUCAUUCUACACAACUCCAAUUGACCUGAAAUUUUGUAGGCACCUCUAAAAUGUCAUUCCCUACAACUUUCAUGUUUUAAGCCAAGGCCAAUUCGGCCUCUAUCUAGGACCUAAAAAUUCGGACAGAAUGCUCCUUCACAAAACCUGAUUUUUUGAAAUUUCUUCCAAAACAGAAAUUGAUUGCAAUUAAUCACUUUUUCCACCUCAUAGAGUCCUUAAAUAUCAUUUCCAAUCAUCAUACAUGACCCCAUAAUCAUACUCAUAUGAAAACAGAAAAAUCACCAAUAAUUAUAAAACUUCACCAAUUCAACCAAAAUCAAGAUAUAAUCCAUAAAACCAUCUCUUUAGCCAUCACAAGUCUCUAAUUUAGCAUAAUCAAGAACAAAGAAAGGAUGGCUAGACAUGAUACCUUCAAAUAUCAAGAAAGGUGAUGACUUAGGGAUUUUCUUCCAAAACAACUCCACCAGAGCUUCAAUCUUCCUUAGCUAGCAAGUUUUAUGGAGUGAUUUGCAAUUUAAUCGGUUGGAACUCAAGAUUUGGACAAGAAAUUGAAGUGCAAGAUGAUGGAUUUUCUCUCUCUUUUUCUCUCAAAAUUUCGUCCAAGACAAGCUAAAAUGGAGAGAAAUUGGGUCCAAAUUGGUUUUAGUAAAGUUAGAAAAGUCUUGGUCAAAAGUCAAGGUCCAAUGGUUUUGUGACAAAUGGUCCUUUAGGGUUUUAAUCUUAUCUUUUUGUCUCUCCAAUACAAAUAUCUUAACACAUUGUAAAAUAAUAUCACUUAAUACAAAAUUCCAACAAGUUGUCAAAAAUAUAAUGCAUUUACCGCACUUGCGGGUCCCACGUCCAAAAUACGCUUUUAAUUUCUCAAAAACUAACCUAUACUAGAAAAAUCAUUUUAAAACUAUUUUUGCUCAUAAACUUUAUCUGGGGAAUUUUUCUAAUCAAGAAGAUGUAGAAAAGGCGGGCGUUUAAAAAAUAAACCCUAGAAAAUUAGAAAAUUUUCGGGUUCUCACACUCAUACUUUUCGGGGCGUCACAAUCUCCCCUCCUUAAAAGAAUGUCGUCCUCGACAUUCCAUCUUGUACCAAUCAAGUCGAGACAUCCCGCAAGAAUCACUAAUAUUGCAAACCAAACCCACAGUCCGGCAUCCUAAACUUCAAGCCUAGGAUACACUACAGAGAUCUGAAGCCUAAGCUCUGAUACCAACUGUGACGACCCCACCUCCCCCUAAGGCGAACCAGAGGGUUCGGAGGGCCGCCUGCCCGGCUCUCGCCGGGACUCAGUCGUUCACUAAAGUCCUCAAAUGAAUUACAAGAAUAAACCUCAAAUAUACAUCCAAGUCUCCAAUAAUUACAUGUCACAAAUGCAGCGGAAAACAAUUCCCAACUAUACAUCAAAUGAUUCCAAAUCCAAAUUGUACAAAAUAUAGGCCAUCCAUACACGUGAAUAAGCACAACAAGUCCUGCCUUCGCCUUGAGCCCUGUGGAGGGGAAUAAAAUAUUUUUGGGGUGAGCUAGAAGCUCAACGAGUAACCAGGAAAAUCAUUAAAUACAUAUAUUUCACAAUGUUGCAUUUCGAUGAUUUCGAUGAUGUCAUGAUUCCAAGAUCAAAUGUCCGUUUAGUGCUCUCGUGAGCCGGUGAAAUCACAGCACUUGAACACCCAACGCUCAAAUAUUUCAUUUAACAUUAACUCACGAACUCACGAAAGUGGGAGCAACGUCGGUGCUCCAGAUAAACAUGAACAUGAACCAUAAACAAAGUGGAGACGUUGGUGUCCAGCACAAGACUUUCCCAGACCUCAUUGAAGCCAAAUCAUGUCAUGAAUCCACAUGCAAGCACGCAUGAUAUGCAAUCGAAUAAUUAAUGCAAGAAACAUUUCACAAGUACUUUGGAAAUAGUUUAGGGUCACUCACCUCCACGGCUCAGAAAUCAUCCAGCAUAUAACAUUGCCUUGCUCAAAUCCAAGUCUUAGAUCAUAAACUCAAUGCAAACAAAUCCCUUCAAAGUUCGGAUAGCACUUCCCCUAAAUUUGCUAACUUUUCCAGCCAUCACAUGAACAUGAUGUCUUCUGGUUUUUAUGAUGGUGUUGAUUUGAGAACCCGGAAAUUUGAGAAUGAGUUUGAGAACCCGGAAAUUUUUUAAUUUUCUAGGGUUUAUUUUAUUUAAUCGCCCGCUUUUUCUACAUUUUCUUUAUUAGAAAAAAUUCCCCAGAUAAUGUUUAUGAGCAAAGAUAGUUUUAAAAUGAUUUUUCUAGUAUCGGUUAGUGUUUGAGAAAUUAAAAGCGUAUUUUGAAUGUGGGACCCACUAGGGCGAAAAGUUCGGAAAAAUUCGACCAAUUAGGUUAAGUUCCGGAUACUGGGUGAAAUUUAUCGGGUGUUAAGAGAUAAGUAGAGGAGGUGAAGUGAUUGAUGUGAGAGGGAAAAAGAAGGAUAGAAAUGCAUUUAAUGAAGUGACACGUGUCACUUUGUGAGUGGUUGAAGCCUAAGACAACUAUUCACCCUUUUUGACUUUUUGCCAUUUAGUUAAAUAUCUCACAAAAAUCACAAAAAUUCACUCUUUUCUUCUCCUCCAUGGCUGGUUCUCUCUUGAGCAAAGAAGAAAGAAACUCUUCACCAUUUUAGCUUCCAUUUAGUUCAAUCUUCCAAAACCAAUUGCCUAAACUAGUUUCUACUCCAUAAAAUCCCUCCAUUAGGAGCUAGUAAGUUGUUUGGUGAAGUUUUUAAGGAAGCUAAGGUGUCCUACAACUCUCCCUCUCUUGUUUACUAGGUGAGUGGUAUAUGAACUUUCCCCUACACUUAAUGAAGCUUGAGUUGUGCUUAGUGGAAGCUAAAGUGUUCAAUUUUGUGAUUUAAUUCUUGUUUUUGGAUGAAAUGGUGAAGUUUACAAUUUAGUGGUGAUUUUUCUGGUUUAAUAUGAACAUGAUGUUGUGGCCUUGUAUGAUGAUUGGAAAUGUUAUGUAAUGAAGCUAGAAGGUGGAAAAAGUGGACAAUUGCAACCAAUUUCUGUUUUGGAAGAAAAUUGAAAAAUCUAGGGUUCUUGAAGCUACAUUCUGUCCGAAAUUUUAGGUCAUAGAUGGAGGCCGAAUUGGCCUUGGCUUAAAACAUGAAAGUUGUAUGGAAUAAUAUUUUAAAGGUGUCUACAAAAUUUCAGGUCAAUCGGAGUAGUGUGGAAUGAGAUAAGGCGAAAUUACUAUUGCUGUUCUGGGUUCAUCAGGAUGUUAGAACUGCGUAUGAAAUGGGUUGUUUUGACUGGAAUUGUUUUGGAUUUGGGUGUUGAGGUCUUCUGAUGAAAUGUAUCUUGAUGUCUUAGCUAUCAUAUGCCUUUGGAAUCAAUGCAUUUGGACCUGUAUAGACUGAGUUGGACGAAUAACAGCAUUGUGUGAUUUGGGAACCUGCAAUUACGAUUUUGGUUUGGUAUUCUGCAUGUUUGACCUAGUUGUGCUAGGAUUUGGACUGAGUGGCCUUCUACAUUGUUGUAGCCCUGUCUUUUAGCUUCGAAAUGGUGGGUCUUGGACCCUCAUACGACAAUCGUAGCGCCUUUGGUGCCAUUACCGCAAAAGGACGACAAAACUGUUUUCUGGUUUUGAGCAAUUGUGGUUAAUUGCUAUGUGAUUGGGUUUGAUUGUAGGAUGGAAAGGAUGAAUUUAUGGGGAAAUGCUGUCCGAAUUUUGAAUGGGCUUGAUUGCUUUGCGUUUGUGCUUUAGGGCUUGGAUUUGAGUGAAGUAAUGCAAUAUGAUGGAUGGUUUCUGAGCCAUGGAGGUGAGUGACCUCAAACUAUUUCCAAAGUACUUGUGAAAUGUUUCUUGCAUUAUUUAUUCGAUUGCAUCUCAUGCGUUCUUGCAUGUGAAUUCAUGAUAUGAUUUUGGCUUCAAUGAGUUCUGGGAAAGUCUUGUGCUGGACACCAACGUCUCCACUCUGUUUGUGGUUCAUGUUCAUGGUUAUCUGGAGCUCAAAAAGGGGCUUCCUCUCUCUGUUCGUGUGUUAUGAUCUAUUUGAGCGUUGGGUGUUCUAGUGCAAUGAUUUCACUGGCUCACGAGAGCACUAAACGGACAUUUGAUCUCUGAAUCAUGACAUCAUCGAAAUCAUCGAAAUGCAACAUUGUGAAAUAUAUUUGCUUAAUGAUUUUGCUGGUUACUCGCUGAGCUUCUAGCUCACCCCAAAAAUAUUUUAUUCCCCUCCACAGGGCUCAAGGCGAAGGAAGGACUUAUAGUACUUGUGCAUGUGAUUGGAUGGCCUAUGUUUUGUACAGUUUUGAUUUGGAAUCAUUUUAUGUAUAGUUGAGAAUUGUUUCCGCUGUUUUUGUGACAUGUAAUUAUUGGAGACUUGGAUGUAUAAUUGUGGACCAUGUGAUGUAUAUUUGAGGUUUAUUCUUGUAAUUCAUUUGAGGACUUUAGUGAACGACUGAGUCCCGGCGAGAGCCGGGCAGGCGGCCCGCCGAACCCUCUGGUUCGCCUUAGGGGGAGGUGGGGUUGUGACAUAUGUAAGCUAGGGCAUAUGCUGUAAUCAGUACAACUCAGUCUAAACAGGUCCAAAUGCAGAAAUUCCAAAGGCAUAUGGUAGCUAGGACAUCAAGCUACAUUUCAUCAAAAGACCUCAACACCCAAAUCCAAAACAAUUCCAGUCAAAACAACCCAUUUCAGACACAGUUCUAACAUCCUGAUGAACCCAGAACAGCAAUAGUAAUUUCGGCUUAUCUCAUUCUACACUACUCCAAUUGACCUGAAAUUUUACAGGCACCCUUAAAACAUCAAUACCUACAAAUUUCAUGUUUGAGCCAAGGCCAAUUCGGCCUCUAUCUAUGACCUAAAAAUUCGGACAGAAUGUUCAUCACAAAACCCUCACUUUUCAAUUUUUGGUCCAAAACAGAAAUUGGUUGCAAUUAAUCACUUUUUCCACCUCCUAGAGUCAUUAAACAUCAUUUCCAAUCAUCAUACAUAACCACACAACCAUGUUCAUAUUAAAACAGAAAAAUCCCCAAAAAUUAUAAAAGUUCAUCAAUUCAACCACAACUCAAAAUAUAAUCCAUCAAACCAUCUCUUUAGCCAUCACAAGUCACUAAUUCACCAUUAUUGGAAACAAACAAUGAAUCUUUACACACCAUACCUUGAUACCUCACAAAAGAUAGUAGCUUAGUGGUUCCUUCUCCAAAAUAACUCCACCAAGACCUUGGAAUCUCCUUAGUAACCCACUUUUAUGGAGUGAUUUGCAAUUCCAUCGGUUAAAACUCAAGAUUGAAGUAAGAAAUUGGAGUGAAAGAUGAAGGUUUCUCUCUCUCUCUUGCUCUCCAAGUUUCAGCCAUGAGAAGGAAGAAAUGGCUUGAUUUUUGGUCAAAUUUUGGUUUUAGUAAAGUUAAGGUAAGAUGGUCAAAAGUCCAAUAGUGAAUAGGAUGGUGACACUUGUCACCUUUUGAUUUAAAACUUAUCUUUUUGUCUCUCCAAUACAAAUAUCUUAACACUUUGUAAAAUAAUAUCACUUAAUACAAAAUUCCAACAAGUUGUCAAAAAUAGAAUGCAUUUACCGCACUAGCGGGUCCCACGUCCAAAAUACGCUUUUAAUUUCUCAAAAACUAACCGAUACUAGAAAAAUCAUUUUAAAACUAUCUUUGCUCAUAAACUUUAUCUUGGGAAAUUUUCUAACAAAGAAAAGGCGAAAAGGCGGGCGAUUAAAUAAAAUAAACCCUAGAAAAUUAGAAAAUUUCCGGGUUCUCAAACUCAUUUUUUUUCGGGGCGUGGCUGGCUCUCUCUCUAGGAAAAGAAAGAAAACUUCUCCAAAUUUCAAGCUUCCAACUAGCUCAAUCUUCCAUUCCAACCAAUUAAACUUAGAAUUGCUCCAUAAAAAUCCUUCUUUUGGUGGUGGUGAGUUGAUUGGUGAAGUGUUUGGAGAAGCUAAGGUGUCCAACAACUCUUCCUCUCUUGUGUUCUAGGUAAGUGGUGUUUGAACUUUCUCCUACACUUAAUGAAGCUUGAGUGAUGCUUAAUGGUGGUAUAAGGUGCCACUUUAUGGAUUAUAUUGUGAUUCUUGGUUGAAUUGAUGAACUGUGGUAAUUUUGGGGAUUGUUCUGUUUUAAUAUAAGUAUGAUGGUGUGGUUAUCUAUCAUGAUUGGAUAUGGUUUCUAAUGACUAUAGGAGGUGGAAAAAGUGGACAAUUGCAAUCAAUUUCUGUUUUGGAAGAAAUCUGGAAAAUUAGGGUUCCUUGGUUCUUCAUUCUGUCCGAAAUUUUAGGUCCUAGUUAGAGGCCGAAUUGGCCUUGGCUUAAAACAUGAAAGUUGUAGGGAAUGACAUUUUAGAGGCGCCUACAAAAUUUCAGGUCAAUCUGAGUAGUGUAUAAUGAGAUAAGUCGAAAAUACUGAGACUGGUCUAGUAAGGGGUGCUGCGAACAGGGUUGCCUUUUCACUCAAUUUGACCGUGACUUUUCACCCUGAUCCUCACCGAAGUAGAUUUUGGCCAAAACAUGAAAGUUGUAGCCACGGCUAUAAACAAGUUGUCUGUAAAUUUUCAGCUUGAUCCGACCACUGUAACAUGUGACAUGACCGAAAUACCCUUGACUGUUUUUGAAACCUGUUUCGCGCCCAGAUUUCUGUUUUCGUGUAGUCUUCCAUUUUCGACCAUGAAAAUGCACGAUUUGGCCUUUGAGGUCUUCUGAUGAAAUGUAGCUUGAUGUCUUAGCUACCAUAUGCCUUUGGAAUUUCUGGAUUUGGACUUGUAGAGCCUGAGUUAUGAUGUUUCCGCUAGAAUGCGUUUUGGUGAAUCUGUUUUACGUUUUUGAUAUAGUAUCUUGCAUUGUUGACCUGUUUUCACUCAAAACUGGGUUGAGUGACCUUCUGUGAUGUUGUAGCCCUGUCUUUUAGCUUCGAAAUGGUGGGUCUUACACCUUCAUCCGAUAAUCAUAGGGCAUUUGGUGCCAUUACCGCAAAAAGAAGUCAAAAACUAUUUUUUUUCAGGGCCAAAGCUAAUUGCAUUUCCGAAUUUUCUGGUUUUCUCUACUGUUUGUAUAUGUUCAUGGAACCCUAUUGGGGUCAUAUUUGGCAUUGAUUUAUGAUCAGUUAUCGAGUCUCAUUGUACUUGUUUGUAUGUUUUAAGGCUUACUUUUAUUCCGGUCAUUUCCUAGUUAACUUUUACUUUGAGCCUAGUGAAUGGCUUUUGGGAAAUGAGAUGACUUUUGUGUGAGAUGUUGGGACUGAUUUGAGAAAAUAAUGAAGCCUUAAUGGCUGGAAAAGUAAGAAAUCUAGGGGAAGUGCUGCCCGAUUUUCUAGGCCGUUUGGUUCUUUAAGUUGGAUUUGGCUUUUGAUAGAAAUGAAAGCCUUUUGGGUUGUUUGGCGCCUAGGUCUUCAUGUUAUCUUUUUGUUCCAAGAAAAUCAUGUUUUCCACCCUCGCACUAGUAUUUAUUUGGCAAGGCGUACGACGUGUAGUCGAGCCUCACAUGUGCAUUCUGUUUACUCGAUUCUGGAAGUAAAACCUUCAAUUGGUUUAUUUUGAUUAUUUUAGGAUUUCUUGGCGAUUAAGGCCAAUCUGAAGUGAAAACUUUUGAAGUUGAGCCGGUGAGUGUUCCACUACCUGCUACCCAUUAUGUGAAAUAUCUGAAUAUGAUAUUGAAGCCAAAUACUGUUUUGAUAAAAUGGAGGCGAGGGUGUACUUUAUCACACUCGUUCUUCUAUCUGUUCAUAUGCCAAUUUUGAGUGCCUAUCUGAAUCUGCCGUCUGAAUCUGCUAUCUGAAUCUCCUAUUCUGUAUCUGUAUCUGAAUCUGUUAUCUGUGUCUGCAUCUGUUCGGAUUUCUAUGACCUAUGAGCUCAAUCCUGUUGCUAAGUUAUUCGAGUCGGGCCGGCAAGGGCCUGGACGAUUAGAUAACGAACCACGGUAGUCUGUUCGGGGAUUUUUGGGUAUUGAGACCCUUGAUUCCGGUAUACUCGAGUAUUACCAUUUCUGUUCAGUUGAGGUGAGCGGGCCCGGUAAAGGGGUGUUUGGUGGACGGAAUUCGGUGUAAAGAGGGUCUACGGACGCAUUGGUUCUAUAUGCGUUGACGGAGAGUCAACCGGUUUAGAUCAAGUACUGCGCUGGAAAUUUGGCUCCUGAGAGCCACCCGUAUCCUUCUGAUUUGAAUCAUUGGUUCCUUUGCUUUACAUCUGACAUGUGUGUCUGAUUUGUUAAAUGUGAAAUGCCAUGAUUUUUCUGCUAUAUGUUUGGUACCUCAUUGAGCGCAAGCUCACCCCUUUCUGUUCCCUUUUGUUUUCCUUACAGGAAAAUAAACCCUUUUGGUCUGGAUUUGACAAAUGGCCGCCAAAUUGAGCUAGUUGAACAUAUUUUUUGUAUAGCUCAUGUAUUAAAACCCUAAGUGUACUUUUGGGGCGUUUUCUCUUUUGAUUUGGCAAACCGUGUAUAUGUAUUAACUUUUGAAAACUUUUGUAUGUCAUUUUGGAUUGUAAUCGCUAAAGUUCAGAUGUGAAUGUUUGCGUGCUCUUUCGGUUGGGUUCUGACGGGUCGGUUACUAUCUUGGCCGACUCCGGAUUUCAUUUUUCUUAUUUUGGGUUAUGUUGCCAUUUUGACUUGCUUACGCUCGUUGGUAAGUUUCGGAACGUGUUAGAUUGACGUAAACGGAUCCGUAGUCCUGGCGAGAGCUGGGCAGGCAAUCCGCUAACCCCUUUGGUUCGCCUUAGGGGAAGGUGGGGCUGUAACCUCAAAUAUACAUCACAUGGUCCACAAAUAUACAUCCAAGUCUCCAAUAAUUACAUGUCACAAUUGCAGCGGAAACAUCAUAACUCAGGCUCUACAAGUCCAAAUCCAGAAAUUCCAAAACCAGCUGAAAGCUAAGAAACAGGGCUAAAUUUCAUCAGAAGGCCUCAACAACCAAUUCGGAAGCAAUUCCAGGAAAAACAACCAAUUACAGGCGCAGUUCUCAAUUUCGGGUAAAACCAGAACAGCAAUAGUAAUUUCGACUUUUCUCAUCUACGCUACUCCGAUUGACCUGAAAUUUUGUAGACACCUCUAAAAUGUCAUUCCCUACAACUUUCAUGUUUUAAGCCAAGGCCAAUUCGGCCUCUAUCUAGGACCUAAAAAUUCGGACAGAAUGCUCCUUCACAAAACCUAAUUUUCUGAAAUUUCUUCCAAAACAGAAAUUGAUUGCAAUUAAUCACUUUUUCCACCUCAUAGAGUCCUUAAAUAUCAUUUCCAAUCAUCAUACAUGACCCCAUAAUCAUACUCAUAUGAAAACAGAAAAAUCCCCAAUAAUUAUAAAACUUCACCAAUUCAACCAAAAUCAAGAUAUAAUCCAUAAAACCAUCUCUUUAGCCAUCACAAGUCUCUAAUUUAGCAUAAUCAAGAACAAAGAAAGGAUGGCUAGACAUGAUACCUUCAAAUAUCAAGAAAGGUGAUGACUUAGGGAUUUUUCUUCCAAAACAACUCCACCAAGAGCUUCAAUCUUCCUUAGCUAGCAAGUUUUAUGGAGUGAUUUGCAAUUUAAUCGGUUGGAACUCAAGAUUUGGACAAGAAAUUGAAGUGCAAGAUGAUGGAUUUUCUCUCUCUUUUUCUCUCAAAAUUUCGUCCAAGACAAGCUAAAAUGGAGAGAAAUUGGGUCCAAAUUGGUUUUAGUAAAGUUAGAAAAGUCUUGGUCAAAAGUCAAGGUCCAAUGGUUUUGUGACAAAUGGUCCUUUAGGGUUUUAAUCUUAUCUUUUUGUCUCUCCAAUACAAAUAUCUUAACACAUUGUAAAAUAAUAUCACUUAAUACAAAAUUCCAACAAGUUGUCAAAAAUAUAAUGCAUUUACCGUACAUGCGGGUCCCACGUCCAAAAUACGCUUUUAAUUUCUCAAAAACUAACCGAUACUAGAAAAAUCAUUUUAAAACUAUUUUUGCUCAUAAACUUUAUCUGGGGAAUUUUUCUAAUCAAGAAAAUGUAGAAAAGGCGGGCGUUUAAAAAAUAAACCCUAGAAAAUUAGAAAAUUUUCGGGUUCUCACACUCAUACUUUUCGGGGCGUCACAUACAACUCGUAAUCGAGUCUCAUUGCGUUUUAUUGAAUGUUCUAGGGCGUGCCGGUGACGCUAGGCGCUCGUUGGACCGAAAUCUGUGAAAUUUUCCUUUGUUUGAUUGGUGAGUGUACUACUCAUAUGAUUGUUACUUCAUGGCUUUGUUAUACUUGAAAUCUGUUAUUUGAAUGCUUGUGUAUACUGUUGAGAUUGAUUGAGUCGAGGGUGUACUUUAUCACUCUCGCACUCUAUGACUUAUGUGACUGUUUAUUGUAUCAAUUGAAUGUCUCUUGAAUAUACUUGAACUGGUGUCGUUUGGAUGUGUAUCCAACGACUCUUACUGUUAACUCUGAGCUCAACCCCAUUGGUGGUCAAUUGAAUCGAGCCAGCAAUGGCUUGGUCGAGGAAAUUGGCAAGCCAUGGGGACUGUUUAUGUGGAAUCAUUGGGUAUGAGACUCUUGAUUCCGGUAUACUCGAGUAUUAUCACUGUGAACUGAUUGGAUUUCGGGUCGGGUAGGGGUAUGUGAGGUGGAAGGAAAUUGGAGAAAGCGGAGUCUACGGUAUUGGUUACUCCUUAAGUGUUGACGGAGGGUCAAUGGGGCAAGAUCAAGUACGGCAAGCGAGGAAAAGGGCUCUUGAGAGCCGACCGUAUCCUUUUAAAUAUCUGUGUUCCAAUGUGGUGCUCGUUGACUCACUUACUGAAUGUAUUUGGGUUGAGUAGCUUUGUACUUAGAUGAACUUCGUUGCUUGGGUGAUGGUAUCUCAUUGGGCGAAAGCUCACUCUGUUAAAUUUUGUUUUCCUUACAGGGAACCACCUUUUGGAGACUAUGAUGUUUGAAGCACGAGUUGAGCUAGUUUUCAUAUAGUUUGAGUAUAUUCUUUUGUAAAGCUCCUCGCUGGUUGGAAAACCCUAAAUGUACUUUGAUUCGAAUAUUUUCCUUUUAAUUUGGAAAUUACAAACGUAUGCGUGUAAAACCGUUUAACCAUGUUCAUGUAUCCUAUUUGGUUUGGAAAUGUUUCCUCCCGAGUGAUAUAAUGUUAUCUAUAAUCGAUUGGAUUCCGGUUGGUUUGUGACAUGGCCGACACUAUUCAUGUUCGGCUCCCAUUUUCGUUUUUGUUUGGUGAUUGUUCUGAUUCUUUUGAGCGCGCUUUUAUUUUCUGGAACUUUUUAGAUUGUGUGUAACUGCCUCAGCAGUCCUGGCGAGAGUUGGGCAGGUAGUCCGCUAACCCCUUUGGUACGCCUUAGGGGAAGGUGGAGCUGUCACAGGUGGUAUCAGAGUCUAGGUUAGAAAUGACCUAGGCAAGUUUAAAUUUUGUCCCUUAGGGCCUGUGAGGGAAGUGUUAAGAUACCGUUAAGUGUGACUAUGCUUACGUUGUCUAAAAUAUGAACCCUUUUGCUAUCCUUGUAGGUUAUGGCCGGAACCAGCGGAGAGGGCGGAGGUGAGCCACCUCAAAGGCGGCCACGAGUCAUUGAUUACCAGGAGAGGCCAGGAGGUCCGAUCCAGCUUUGGUAUACUGCGAGCCGGACCCGACGCUGUAGGCGUUGCUAGUAUUACUCUUAUGCUGAUCAUGUAGUCGUGGCAGUCCUAGAUGAGAGGAGGAGACUUAGGAGUGCCGCAGCCAGGGAUCACACUGAGGCGCUUAGAUUGAGAGGCGUCAUAAGGAUGCAGGCUGACCGAAUUGGAGAGCUCCAAGGAGACUUAGCUAUGGAGCAAGAGCGAACGAACGCUCUGAGGGAGCAGCUGCAGGUGGUGAACACUCGUCUUACCAAUGUCGUCCGGGAAGUUAGGGACCGUUCCGGCGACAUUAUUAAUGAGUGCGAGGCGCUAAUCCAAGGUGUGAUUGGCGCCAACGCGCAAGUGGAGGCCCUGAGUGACGACACACCUAGUGAAGGGAGUACCCCUAGUUCUAGGCAAGGGGGAGAGUCUGUGACCUCCGUGGGGAACUAGGCUAGAACUCUUUUGAACCACUUUUGAUCCCAUGAAGGGAAUAGUUAGGAAAGGCUCUUAGUUAGCUGUUUUGGCCUAACUCUGUCUAUUGUCUUUUGGAGGACCCCUUUUAUUUCAUGGGAUGACUUUUGUAUGUACUGGACUGCCUGUUUUUGUAUAACUGCUGGAUCCUGUUAUGUGUUAUGUGUUUAAAUGCCCGAUGAGGUAGUUGUUUUGGUUAAUUGUUCAUGUUAUUUUUAAGUAUAGGGGUUAUGUGCCCUUUAACAUUAUACUUACUUUUGUAUUACCCUAGAUUGACUUAGAUCGAUGGAGGGCACUCGUAGUGGUCGAGGCCGUGGAUGCGGGAGUAGACAACCCACAUUUGAAAGGGGCACCGGGGAAAUCUCGUCUGGACCAAACCCUGAACCUAGGGUUAACCCCAAUAUCCAAAUAGCUGCUGCUAUGCAGCAAAUGACUGAUUUGCUAGCCCAAGUGGUGCACCAAUAGGGUCAAAACCCUAACUCCAACCCUGGGAACCCUGGUAAUCACGUGAAGAGCGGGGACCGGGCCCUCGAGAGGUUCCAAAAGUUUGCCCCACCAAAGUUUAUUGGGGAACCCGAUCCAGAUGUAGCCGAAAGGUGGUUAGAAAAGAUGGUGGACAUCUUUGCAGCCUUGUAUUAUACGGAGGAAAGGUAGGUGACUUUUGUUGUCUUCCAACUGGAAGGGGCGGCCCGUUCUUGGUGGAACGUAAUACGACAAAAAUAGGACCGAGAGCAAACGCCCAGGACCUGGGUGAACUUUAUGCGGGAGUUCAACGCUAAAUUCUUUCCUCCUCUAGUUCAGGAACGAAAGGAGGAUGAAUUUAUCCGGUUUCGUCAAGGGACUCAGACAGUGGCCGAGUACGAGAGCCAAUUCACUCGGCUGUCCAAAUUUGGCCCCGAGCUCAUCGUGACCGAGCAACGAAGAAUACGGCGAUUCGUCCAGGGUCUGAACGUGGAGAUCCAGAAGAAUUUAGCCGUAGCCCAAAUUAACGCCUUCAGCGAUGCCGUAGAGAAGGCGCAACGAGUAGAGAAUGUUAGGCUACAGGUGAGAAACUUUCAAACUAAAAAGCGAGGGUUCCCUGGUAGUAGCUCGGGGCAGGGGGAUAAGGGUACCCCUCCCAAGUUUGGACGGGGAGCCGAAGGUGGAAGGCAUCGGGACGUAAGUAGAGAGGCUCAGCUAAGAGGUGGCCCAGCUGAGAGAGGCCAAAGAGGAGGUUUCCAGAGAGGUUCGGGUUCUGCAUCCCUUGGACCCUGCGGGUAUUGCGAAAAGCCAAAUCACACAGAGGACAAUUGCUAGAAGAAUGAGGAAAGUACCUGCGUUGCGGAAGCGCAGACCACCAGCUCGCCUCCUGCCCAGUUCUAAAGCAAGAUGGAAAAGGAAGUCAACAACCGCCAAGGACCAGUUCUAGACCAGUUAAGGUGGACGGGACGAAACCCAAGGUGUCGGCUCGAGUAUACUCGCUAGAGCCCCAACAGGUCUCAGACUCUUCCGAGGUCGUAGAAGGUACGAUCCCUGUAUUUCACUGAUUUGCGAAGGUCUUAGUAGAUCCUGGUGCCACCCAUUCCUUUGUUAACCCUAAUUUCAUGUGUGGUAUUGAUAUCAAGCCUGCUAGUUUACCUUAUGACCUAGAAGUUAGUACCCCCACUGGGGACCAUCGUUUGAUCACUAGCAUGGUUUAUAAGGACUGCGAGGUUUGGUUAGGAGAGAGAAAAUUGCUAGGGUAUUUGAUAAGCCUGUCCAUUAAAGGGUAUGACGUGAUCUUGGGCAUGGACUGGUUAGCCAGGUAUAAUGCUCAAUUAGAUUGUAAGAAGAAGGAGGUAGAGUUCCGCAUUCCUGGGGAGGCGACCUUAAGGUUAAAUAUAAGGGGAAGGUUAGCCUCAUCCGCCUUGAUCUCGGGCAUUCGGACUAGAAAACUGCUAAGUAGAGGGGCGCAAGGGUUCUUAGCCUUUCUAAUCAAUACCCCCACCGAUAAAUUGAAGGUAGAGGAUGUGCACAUAGUAAAGGAAUAUCCAGAUGUAUUCCCUGAUGAGUUAGUAUCCCUACCUCCAAAGAAAGAGAUAGAGUUCAAAAUUGACUUGUUACCUGGAACGUCACCUAUCUCAAAAAUCCCGUAUCGGAUGACACCUGCUGAGCUAAAGGAAUUGAAAUUGCAAUUACAAGACCUUUUGGAACGGGGUUUCAUUCACGAGAGUGGGUCUUCCUGGGGAGCCCCUGCGUUAUUCGUGAAGAAAAAGGACGGGAGUCUGCGUAUGUGUAUCGACUACCGGGGGCUGAACAAUGUGACGGUUAAAAAUAAGUAUCCAUUGCCCCAUAUUCAUGAGUUGUUCGACCAGUUGCAAGGAGCAGUGGUCUUUUCGAAAUUAGAUUUUCGACAGGGGUAUUACCAAUUGUUGAUUAGGAAGGAGGAUAUCCCAAAAACUGCUUUCAAUUCGAGAUAUGGGCAUUAUGAGUUCGCGAUUAUGCCCUUUGGACUGACCAAUGCCCCUGCCGCCUUCAUGGAUCUGAUGCAUAUGGUUUUUAAGCCCUACCUGGAUCGAUUUGUCGUGGUCUUUAUUGAUGACAUUUUGGUCUACUCCAAGACUCGUAAGGAGCAUGAGCAGCACUUAAGAAUCAUUUUACAAACCUUAAGAGAGCAUCAAUUGUACGCCAAGUUUAGUAAGUGCGAGUUUUGGCUGGAGAAAAUUUCUUUCUUAGGGCACGUAAUUUCCCAAGAGGGUAUCUCGGUUGACCCGGCAAAAGUAGAGGUCGUGACUAAUUAGAAGAGGCCAGAAAAUCCUACGGAGAUUCGUAGUUUUCUAGGGUUGGCUGGGUAUUAUAGGCGCUUUAUUAAAGACUUUUCCAAACUGGCCGGUCCUUUAACCGAUCUGACAAAGAAACAUGGUCGUUUUAUGUGGGAUGCCAAGUGUGAGACAAGUUUUCGAGAGCUAAAGAAAAUAUUAACCAUGACACCGAUUCUAGCUUUGCCUAACGGAGUAGACGAUUUUACCGUUUAUACCGACGCGUCGCGAGAAGGUUUGGGGUGUGUGCUGAUGCAAAACCAGAAUGUGAUAUCUUUUGCCUCUAGAAAGUUGAAACCCCAUGAGCAAAACUACUCAACCCACGAUCUGAAGUUAGCCACAGUUGUUUUCGCUCUGAAAAAGUGGAGACACUAUCUAUACGGGGUAACUUUCGAGGUUUACUCAGACCACAAGAGUCUUAGAUACCUCUUCUCACAGAAGGAAUUGAAUAUGAGGCAGCGACAGUGGAUGGAAUUUCUGGAGGACUACGACUGCACUAUCAAUUAUCAUCCGGGGAAAGCGAAUGUGGUAGCUGAUACCUUAAGUCGAAAGGCUCAAGUAACGGGGUUAAUGAUUAAGGAGUGGGAUCUGUUAGAAUCCGUUUGUGAGUGGAAACCCUGCCUUGGGAGUCAUAAGGUGACUUUUGGUAAUGUGAGGGUAAUGUCUACCCUACUGGAGCGAAUUAAAGAAGCUCAGAAGGAAGAUGUUAUGGCGCUGAAGUGGGGAGAGAAAGUGGGAAAAGGGGAAUUGGCUGAUUUCAACCUCAGUCCAGAAGGCAUUUUGAAAUACCGAAACCGAGUGGUGGUGCCUAAGGAUGAAACGUUAAAGACGGAGAUCUUGGAGGAAGCUCAUCGGUCCAAGUAUACGAUCCAUCCGGGUAGUAGCAAGAUGUAUCAGGACCUAAAGGGAGCCUAUUGGUGGGACAACAUGAAGAAGAAAAUUGCUCUAUACGUGCAAAAUGUCUUAUUUGUCAACAAGUUAAGGCGGAACAUCAAAAACCAUCGGGCUUGUUACAACCUCUUGAGAUACCCGAAUGGGAGUGGGGAAACAUCAUAAUGGACUUCGUUUCAGGUUUGCCGCGAACACAACGAGGACAUGAUGCCGAUUGGGUGAUCGUCGACCGAUUAACCAAAUCGGCCUAUUUCUUGCCGGUAAGCAUGAAGUAUUCCAUGGAUAAAUUGACCCAAGUGUACAUGGACGAGAUCGUAAGAUUACAUGGAGUUCCUGUGAGUAUCGUAUCGAAUAGAGAUCCCCGCUUCGUAUCUAGGUUUUGGCAGAAAUUUCAAGAGAUUUUGGGGACUAAACUCUACCUAAGUACCACUUAUCAUCCCCAGACGGAUGGACAGUCGAAGCGAACAAUUCAAACUCUCGAGGAUAUGUUAAGGACCUGUAUUCUGGAUUUUGGGGGUAACUGGGGUCAACAUAUGACCUUAGUAGAGUUUGCCUACAAUAACAGUUACCAUUCGUCUAUUCAAAUGGCUCCAUACGAAGCGCUUUAUGGGAGGAAGUGCCCAUCACCGAUUUAUUGGGACGAAAUCGACAAGAGGAAGGUGCUAGAUCCAACAACUAUUCCAUGGAUGGAGGAUACCCGAGAAAAAGUCAAGUUGAUACGACAAAGACUCCAAACAGCUCAAAGCCGACAGAAGAGCUACGCGGACAAUCGAAGAAAAGAUCUGGAGUUCGAAGUUGGGGACCGUGUUUUCCUUAAGGUCACACCAUUACGAAGCGUCACGGCGGGUAGAGCAAAGAAACUUCAAUCGAGAUUCGUCGGACCUUUCAAGAUUCUCUAGAGAGUUAGUAAAAGCGUAUCGACUUGAACUACCGUCAAGUCUAUCUAGAAUUCACGACGUCUUCCACGUCUCGAUGCUUAAGAAGUAUUAUCCUGAUCCGUCUCACAUCUUACAACCAGAGGAAGUCGAGAUAGAUGAAUCCCUCACCUACGAAGAGAAGCCAGUGCAGUUGCUUGACCAAAAGGUUAAAAAACUGAGAAACAAACGAAUACCUUUGGUGAAGAUUUUGUGGAGAAAUCACGGGAUUGAGGAGGCUACCUGGGAGGUCGAAGAAGAAAUGCAAAAGAAAUACCCAGAACUGUUUGAAAGUCAAGGUGAGAAAUUUCGAGGGCGAAAUUCUUUUAAGGGGGAGAGAGUGUGAGAACCCGUAUAUUUUUUUUCUUUUUUCUAGGUUUUAUUCUAUUUAAUUGCACACUAAUUCUAUAUUUUCUUUGUUAGGAAAAUUUUCUAAAUAAAUUUUAUGAGUCAAUGUGGUUUUUAAAUUAUUUUUCUAGUAUCAGUUAGUUUUCGAAAGUGUAUAUCGGAUGUGGGACUCGCAAGUGCGGAAAGUGCGGUAAAAUUCGGCCAAUUAGGUUAAGUUUGGUAUACUGGGAUUAAUUUUUUAGGUUUUAAGAGAUAAUUAGAGGUUACCUAGAUGGAUUAGUAUUAGAGAGACAAAGGGAUAGCUAUAAACCAAAAAGGUGACAAGUGUCACUUUCCUACUUAAUCUUGGACUUUGACCACUAUUCAUGACUUUACUAAAAUCCCAAAAAUUGACCAAGAAAUCUUCAUUUUCUUCACUCCUUUGCCCGGCCCUCUCAAGAAGAAAAAGAAAGGAAACCUUCAACUCUCUUGCUCUCAAUCUUGCUCAAUCUCCCUAUCCAACCGAUUAAACUUGAAAUUUCUCUAUAAAAACCCUUAGUGAAGUAGUAGUGAGGUAGUUGGUGGAGUGGUUUGGAAAGAGGAGGUGCUAAGUUGGGUCUUUUCUUGAGUUUGCAAGGUAAGUGACUAAGGAACCUUUCUUUUGUUCUUGAAAAUGUGCAAUUAGUGACUUGUGUGAGUUAAGGAGGUGAUUUUGUGGAGGUUUUCAUAAAUUUUGGUAGUGCUUGAUGAAUUUCUGAUUUCAUGCAUGAUUUUUCUAUUUUUAUAUGUUUAAUGUUGGUUGGCCAUGGAUGAUGGCUUGGUAUGGUUUAGAAUGAAGCUUUGGUAUGUUAAUUGUAGUGAUUUACAGAAAAUUUCUGGUUUGUACGGAAAAUUUCAGAUUUAGGGUUUUGAAUUGGGGCUUUUCUAAGGUUGCUAUAGAACUCUUGAAUUGGCUUUGUUUAAAGGGUACUGUGACCCUAAUAACUUGUAUUGAGUAGCCUAUGACUUACAAUGGUAAUUGUGGUUGUGUUUGAGAAAUAUAAAUGAUUGAUGGUAGGAUGGAAAUCUGAAAUUUUAAGAGGAAAUGCUAUCCAAAUUGUGGGUUCUUAUGUUUUAUUGGAUUUGGGUUGUUUUAGGGGUAAUUAGAGACCUUAGGGUGGUCUAAACCCUUAACACCGAGUGUUCCUUAUUUUGUUUGCAAGUUCUUUUGGUUUUACAUUAGUGACUUGUGGCUUGGAUUUACGACUCGUAAUCGAGUCUCAUUGCGUUUUAUUGAAUGUUUUAGGGCGUGCCAGUGACGCUAGGUGCUCGUUGGACCGAAAUCUGUGAAAUCUUCCUUUGUUUGAUUGGUGAGUGUACUACUCAUAUGAUUGUUACUUCAUGGCUUUGUUAUACUUGAAAUCUAUGAUUUGAAUGCUUAUGUAUACUGUUGAGAUUGAUUGAGUCGAGGGUGUACUUUAUCACUCUCGCACUCUAUGGCUUAUGUGACUGUUUACUAUAUCAAUUGAAUGUCUCUUGAAUAUACUUGAACUGGUGUCGUUUGGAUGUGUAUCCAACGACUCUUACUGUUAACUCUGAACUCAACCCCAUUGGUGGUCAAUUGAAUCGAGCCAGCAAGGGCUUGGUCGAGAAAAUUGGCAAGCCAUGGGGACUGUUUAUGUGGAAUCAUUGGGUAUGAGACUCUUGAUUCCGGUAUACUCGAGUAUUACCACUGUGAACUGAUUGGAGUUCGGGCCCGGUAGGGGUAUGUGAGGUGGAAGGAAAUUGGAGAAAGCGGAAUCUACGGUAUUGGUUACUCCUUAAGUGUUGACGGAGGGUCAACGGGGCAAGAUCAAGUACGGCAAGCGAGGAAAAGGGCUCUUGAGAGCCGACCGUAUCCUUUUAAAUAUCUGUGUUCCAAUGUGGUGCUCAUUGACUCACUUAUUGAAUGUAUUUGGGUUGAGUAGCUUUGUACUUAUAUGAACUUCGUUGCUUGGGUGAUGGUACCUCAUUGGGGAAAAGCUCACUGCGUUAAAUUUUGUUUUCCUUACAAGGAACCACCUUUUGGAGACUAUGAUGUUUGAAGCACGAGUUGAGCUAGUUUUCAUAUAGUUUGAGUAUAUUCUUUUGUAAAGCUCCUCGCUGGUUGGAAAACCCUAAAUGUACUUUAAUCCGAAUAUUUUCCUUUUGAUUUGGAAAUUACAAACGUAUGCGUGUAAAACUGUUUAACCAUGUUCAUGUAUCCUAUUUGGUUUGGAAAUGUUUCCUCCUGAGUGAUAUAACGUUAUCUAUAAUCGAUUGGAUUCUGGUUGGUUUGUGACGUGGCCGACGCUAUUCAUGUUCGGCUCCGAUUUUCAUUUUUGUUUGGUGAUUGUUCUGAUUCUUUUGAGCGCGCUUUUAUUUUCUGAAACUUUUUAGAUUGUGUGUAACUGCCUUAGCAGUCUUGGCGAGAGCUGGGCAGGCAGUCCGCUAACCCCUUUGGUACGCCUUAGGGGAAGGUGGGGCUGUCACACAGUACCUAUGGUUUGCCAGUCUCAUUGACCAAACCCUUACCGGUUCGAUUUGACUGACUAACUAAUAGGGUGAGGAUCACAUGUAGUAUUCAAGUUCUACACAUGUAUAUCAAGUUAAUAAUAACCAGUAAAGAGUAAGAAAUCACAUUAGGGCAAGUGUGAUAAAGUACACCCUUGCCCGUCCAAACAAGUCAAGUAUUUCUUUCAAAUAUUAAGUUCAAUCAUGCACUUGGAAACACUCACCAAAGACUUAUUGCUUUUCAAAACCACACUCAAGUUCAUCUUCCUGGCUGGAGUCCAAAUCUGCAAUAAAAUACCGUUUAACAGUUUGAAAUCAAUAAGGGUUCAAAAUAUAGGAAUUUCGCUUAAAGAAAAUCAAGUAAAUAAAACUCGUUUAAGUAGUACUCGUUUUACUUAUCAAACUCUAGAAAAUUCAUGCUCUCUCGUUUGGUUUCGAUAAAGAAGCGAUUAAAAUGUUUAAGUUCGCAACUGGGCGGAAGAAACUAGAAAAUCGUAUUUAAAGUGGUCGCUACUUUGUCUUUGAAAAAUAUACACUAUUGGCAAAAUUUUAGCUUACAAGUCACUCACAAGGUCAACUUAAGCAUCCCUACAUAACUAAGUCCCAAAUCGCUCACAAGUCACACACUUAUUUCCGUAUUCACUCACUUAUCCCACAAAAGAAAACCGGGCAGCAUUUCCUUUGUGUUUACCAAUUUUUCCAGCCAUUCAAGGCUUCAUUUUCUUUCCAAAUCAGCCUCAAAUCAACACUACAAGUAAACAUAUAAAGAUAGUUCUUAAUCUAAGCCAAAAAUCAUUCAAAUAUAACUCAUUUCUAGCAAAUAAUCAACCAAUACCAAAGCUGGAAAUUUCUUACCAAGGCUGAAAUUUCAUCUUUUAAAGUUAAAAGUCACAGCCAUGCUACUAAUCACCUCACAAAUUCCAUAUCCAAGCUUAGGUUAACAACAUAAUCAAGGCAGAAAAUUACAAAACCCUAGCUGAAAUUUCACUAAUCACCACUGUAAGGCCCAAAGACAACCUAAGAGGGGGAGUGAAUUAGGUUGAUUAAAAACUUAAUUGAGUUUAUGCACUUUUUACUUAAUAAAAAUUUACCUUCUUUUCUAGUAGCGAUCAAUCAAGUAAUUUUAAAGAAUAGAACAAUGUUGAUCAGAAAUAAGGAUAUAUAUAAGCAAUGAGAAUUUUAUUAAACAAAAAGAAUAAGAUAGAGUAUCAAACCGAUUGUCUACCAAGCUUUCCUCAAACUUGAAGACCAAUCACAAGAAUGAGCACCUUCUCUUUGAUGAACAAUAAUCAACUCAAUGUACAAUGGAUGGAUCACUUCCUCCUUGCCCCAAGCCUCACUUAGUCAAGUUAGAAAGUUUUACUAUCACUCAGAUAACCCUCAACAAAGCUACACUAUUGAAAAUUUCAAACACAAGAGAAGAGCUUACAAGAACUUCACACAACUAGGAGAACAAAUCUUGCUUGGGAGACUAUUUUCUAGUUAAAAUAUCUCUUUAGAUCUUGUAAACAAAGUGUGCAAAAGUCUUUUUCUCGUUCAGAAUCGUUUGUAUUUGAAGGGGACCAAAGAUGGGCUUCAUUAAUGCUUCCAACGGAUAGAAGGCAGAUGAAGAGUCAGCUAGCCGUUGGGGCUGUCGGACGUCCGACAGAUUAAUCAUCGUCCGAUCCCAUCGUCCGAAACUUGCCAAGUUGUUGUUCGGACGUCCGAUGGGAUUGUAUUGUCUGAAAGCAUCUGCGUCCGAAUGUCGUCCAGAGAGUCAUCAGAACUUUGCAAAAUUUUUCGGACGUCCAACGCGAUCGAUAUGCGUCCGAAGAAUGCGUUCGAUAUUUCCGGACGUCCGAUGCUUUCUCACGAGCGUCCGAAGGAGUUUCCUUCUUGAUGUUCUUCAUCCUUUCGGACGUCCGACAGUUUCAUUUCGGACGUCCGACAUGAGUGCCCUGUUUUUGCUUCUUCUUUUGAUUGAUUUUCUUUCCUUGACACCUUUGUACCCGAUUCUCUAAAAAGCAAAACUUUUAUAUUUGGAGAGAAUUAGAUAAACAUUUCAAAGUGCUUUUGUGAUCAUCAAAAUCAAGAAUAACAUUCUCCCCCUUUUUGAUGAUGACGAAACAAAAGUUUGAAAUGAAAUUUGAUGACUUCAAAUAGGCUCCCCCUUUCUCACUCAAUUGUAGAACAAAAAUUAGCUCCCCCUCAAUCAUAGAACUCCCCCUCACUUGGCUACUUAUUAUCCAUAUUAUCCGUAUUCAUAUCUUCACCAACUCUCCCCCUUUUUGUCAUCACAGAAUUCAAAAUGUAAAGAUACAUUUGGAGAACUAGUAACAAAGAUUCGACCAUAUAUCCAACCAUUCAUAGCAAAAUGAUCUUACGAGCAUUACAUCCAUAUAUCCAACCAUUCAACCAAACAAAAUGUAAAGAUUCAACCAUUCACAAACAUUACAAACAUAUGUCCAGUUUUGGACAUUACAAAACACCAAAUGACACCAAGCACCAGAAUUCAAUAGAUAAAAAGAGUUCAAGGCAACUAUCUAACAUUCAGCAAAUAAAAACAGUCAAACAUAAUGCAAAUGAUCCUAAUAGGACUAGUGAUCCUAAAUGAUAAGCUAAGAGGAUCCAGGCGUCCUUCGAGUAAGUUGAUACUGAGAGAGAUCCUCCUCCUCAGUGUCUUCAUCAUCUUCAGCAACUGGUUUCUUGCCUUUAUCAGAUGUGGAAGGAUCAUGUGGUGCCACGAGAGUAGAGGUGAGGUCGAUAGGAGCAGGACUCAUAGAGCGAACAGGGGCUGAUGAACUUGGAUCAUUGGAGCGUGGCUCCUUGCCAGGAGGGACUUCCUCAACCACAGGUGGGGGAAAAAGAAGACUCUUUUUAUCUAGGAAGUCAGCUUGUUGCUGGGAUGACAUGGUGAGCAUGAGACCAUGUUCAAGAAGCAGAACAUGUUGCUUAAGGUUUCGAAGGAGCUCAACCACCUCAGAAUUUGAAGAAGAAGAUGCCUUAGUUGCAGUCUUCCUAGGAUGAAUAGAGGUCAGUGCAACAGAGGAUGGAGUGUGAAGUGGAUCAUGUGCAGCCUUAGAUCUAGGUUCAUUAGAAGUGGCCCCCUUAUACGCCCACAAAUUAUCCCUAAAGACAAGAUUUUUGCACUCAAAAUAAGCCUUAGUGAAGGCAGAGGAAAAUGUUUCUUUGGGACAAACACCAAGGAUAGGUACUUUGUAAAAUUCAAAAACCUUUUGAAGGAAUUUUCCAUAGGACAGUUUUCUACGAGAAUCAGUGGUAUAGCGAAGUAAAAACUUGCACAUGACAAAGCCAAAGUCAAUGCGAAUUUUUUCUCGAAAACAAUAAAACAAAUACAGCUCCAUUUUAUUUGCAUCUGUUCUAUGACCGUCAGUAGGCACAAGCAAAUUUGAAAUGAUUGAGAAAGCAAUAAGAUUCACAGGGGCAAGGUCAUUUAGUUUUGCAUCAGCAGGGGCAGAAAAUUUCUUUCGAAAAUAGGUUAGCAUUUUAGCAUUAUCAAAGUGAUUAUCAGCAGUAGGAUGCUCUUCAUAAGAAAAGAAAUUAGCAAUUUUACUUUUGCAUCCUGGUUCAAUAACAGUAUUUAAAAUGGCAUUCACAGUUUCAGGAUCAAAUACUAAGUCUACCCCAUUUACCCUGGACAUAAUUUCAGUGUGAUCAGUGCCUUUCCUAAGAUUGGCAAAGAAUUGAUACAGCAUUUCAGGGUAAUAAACGUUAGGCAUGGAAAUGAUAUGUGACCAUUUCUGGAAUUCAAAGAGAUUAAGAAUUGACUCUAAACCAAUCUUGCGGAAUUCAGAAAGAUUUAUGGUUCGUUGAGGAAUGAAACCUUUCUGGGUUAUCAAGGAAUGUUUUUCUUUGGCAGCAGCAUCAAAGAAUGGGGAGACGGUGGUUGAUUGGGAAGGCUGUUGAGAUGGAGUUCCUUGUCCGGAUUCAGGCUGAGCGGAAGGCCGGGAAGUUUGAGUCUUUACUGCUCCCCUUUUGAAGCGUUUGGAUGAUCUUAUGACCCUAGGAGAAUCCACAUCUUCAUUCCUGAGUGUGUGCUUGCGUCCGGCAGGGACUUUUCCUCCUCUUAGAUUCACCAUUGUGUGAAAUGUGUGAGAUGUAUGAUGUGAAUGAUGCACACAGUGGUAUGGGAGUGAAUCACACAAGAAUUUUGGGUUAAAGAAGCCUUGAAGAUGAUUGAGCAGAGCGGUUAUGAGAAAGUAGGGUUUUGAGGGAAAUUUGGGAAUUUUCGAAAUGUGAUGAGAUUUGGUGAAAAGAUCCGAAAAUUGAACUCGCAAUGAUCAGGAGAAGUUUUUGGUUGAGUCAAUUUUGGAAUGAGUGCUUCAGAAAAGCACGAAUUGAGUGUGAGAAGGAUAGAGGUUUCCGUCCGAGUGAGAAGAGAAGAGGAGAGUUCUGAAGCAAAUGAGGAGGGAAGUCACUUUAAAAAGUGUACCGUUGCACUGUCGGACGGCCGAACGUAGUCGUGCAUCCGACGGUUUCGUCCGAACAGAUGUUUUCUGGGAAAAUAGCUGAAGAACAUCAUCGGACGUCCGUUCAUCUGUUUUAGGACGUCCGAAAGCUUUGAACAGAAAAAAAAUUUUAAGAUAAUUUUUCGAUUAUCCCUAAUUUUGAUCUUAGAUGAAUGAAUUGAUCCAAUGGCAAAGCUUUUGUAAAAAUAUCAGCAAUUUGAUCUUUAGAGCAAACAUAAUUCACACAAACUUCACCUUUUUGAACAAGAUCGCGAAUAAAGUGGUGCUUUAUAUCUAUAUGUUUUGUCCUAGAAUGUUGAAUUGGAUUUUUGGUCAAAUUUAUAGCACUGGUAUUAUCACAGAAUAUAGGCAUGCAAUCAUAUAACAAUCCAAAAUCAUUCAAGGUAUGCUUCAUCCAUAAAAGUUGAGCACAACAUGCACUAGCGGUAAUAUAUUCCGCUUCGGUUGUGGACAAAGAGAUUGCAUUUUGUUUUUUGCUAAACCAAGAAACUAAGCAAUUACCAAGAAAGUGACAAGUUCCACUAGUACUUUUUCUAUCCACAUGACAACCACCAAAAUCCGCAUCCGAAUAUCCAUAUAGAGCAAAUUCACAAGAUCUAGCAUACCAAAGACCAUGGUCUAAUGUACCUUUCAAAUACCUAAAAAUUCUUUUAACAGCGUUCAAAUGUGAUUCUUUUGGACAAUAUUGAAAUCUAGCACACAAGCAAACAACAAACAUAAUGUCGGGUCUACUUGCGGUUAAAUAGAGUAGGCUUCCAAUCAUACCUCUAUAGUACUUUUCAUCCACAUGUUUACCUUCUUCAUCUUUGUCAAGUUUUGUAGAAGUGCACAUUGGAGUUCCAACUUGCUUUGAGUCCUCCAUGCCAAAUCUUUUCAGCAAUUCCUUGGUGUAUUUUGCUUGAUUUAUAAAAAUUCCCUCUAGUGCUUGAUGUAUUUGAAGUCCAAGGAAGAAAUUUAAUUCUCCCAUCAUACUCAUCUCAAAUUCACUUUGCAUAAUGGUGGAAAACUCCUUGCAUAGAUACUCAUUAGUAGCACCAAAAAUAAUAUCAUCUACAUAUAUUUGCACAAUAAGAAGAUCAUUUGACACUUGCUUAGUAAAAAGUGUGGUAUCGACAAUACAUCUUUUAAAACCAUUCUCAAUCAAGAAACCACUCAAUCUCUCAUACCAAGCUCUUGGAGCUUGUUUUAGUCCAUAUAAUGCUUUUGAGAGUUACAUGACUUGGAAAUUUUGUAUCCACAUAUACUUCUUGAUCAAUAAAACCAUUUAAGAAGGCACUUUUAACAUCCAUUUGAAACAAUUUGAAACCUUUGAAGCAAGCAAAAGCAAGAAGCAUUCUAAUCGAUUCUAAUCUAGCUACGGGAGCAAAUGUUUCAUCAAAAUCAAUUCCUUCUUCUUGUGCAUAUCCUUUAGCAACUAAUCUAGCUUUAUUUCUUACAACUACACCUUUAUCAUCCAACUUAUUUCUAAAUAUCUAUUUUGUGCCAAUGAUAGGUUGAUUUUGAGGUCUAUCAACAAGUGUCCAAACCUUAUUUCUCUCAAAUUGAUUAAGUUCCUCUUGCAUUGCCAAAAUCCAGUUUUCAUCCUUUAAGGCAUCAUUGAUAUUUUUAGGUUCAAAAAGAGAGACUAAAGCAAAAUUAUCUAUCAAAUUCUUAGAUGAGGAACGUGUCUUUACCUUCUCGAAUGGAUCACCAAUUAUAAGCUCUCUUGGAUGAUUUUGGCUAAAUUUCCAAGCUUUGGGAAGGUCUUUGAAUGAAUCAUCAUUCUUGUCUUCAUCUUCCUUUUCUUCAUGAGCUUCAUCCUCCAUUUCCUUUGCUUCCGGAUUAGAGUUUCCUUCAUCUCCAAUUGUUAUCUUUUUCAUUCCUUCACGAACACCUACAUCAUCAUCCUCAUGCGAACUUUUGGAAUUAUCGUCAUUAGAUUCAUCAAAUGUUAUGUGUAUAGCUUCUUCUAUCACAAGAGUUCUUCUAUUAAAGACUCUAUAUCCUCUUUUGUUCUCACAAUACCCCAAAAAUAUUCCUUCAUCAGAUUUUUUCUCAAACUUACCAAGAUGUUCCUUUAAAUUCAAAAUAAAACAUUUACAACCAAAAACUUUGAAAUAUCCAACCGUAGGUUUCUUAUUAAAAAUCAGUUCAUAAGAUGUUUUAUUCAAAAUAGGUCUCAAGAGGAUUCUAUUCAUCACAUAACAUGCGGUGUUUACCGCUUCAGCCCAAAGAUAUUUUUACAAAUUACAUUCACUCAACAUAGUUCUAGCAGCCUCUUAGAGUGUCCUAUUUUUCCUUUCUACAACACCAUUUUGCUGUGGAGUCCUUGCAAUAGAAAACUCAUGUGUUAUGCCAUUAUGAUCACAAAAUUCUGGAAAAUCACAAAACUUGAAUUCCGUCCCAUUAUCACUUCUAAUCCUAACAAUUUUUAAACCAAGCAGAUUUUGCACUUUAGCAAACAAUGAAGUAAAAUUCUUGAAGGCAUCAUCUUUAUGAGCAAGGAAUAUCACCCAAGUAUAUCUAGAAUAAUCAUCAACAAUCACAAAACAAUAUCUCUUACCUCCCAAGCUAGUAAUUUGAAUAGGACCAAAUAAAUCAAGAUGCAAGAGUUCCAAAGGUUUAGAGGUCGAUACACACUUCUUUGGUUUAACGGAAAUUUUUGUUUGCUUCCCAAAUUGACAUGCAUCACAAAUUUUGUCCUUUUCAAAACUGAUUUUUGGCAAGCCUCUAACCAACUCCUUUUUCAAAAUUUCCUUUAGUAAUUCCAUGUUAAAAUGACAAAGCCUCAUAUGCCACAACCAAGGAUCUUCAUUUGAAGCUUUAAGACAUUGGAAGCUAGAUGAAUCAAGUUUAUCAAGAACAACAAUAUAAAUAUCGUUAAACCUCUUACCUUUGCACACAACAUUAUAUUUACAGUCAAGCACAAUGCAUUCAUGCUUUUUGAACAACACAUUUAAGUCUUUAUCACAUAGUUGACUAACACUAAGCAAGUUAUAAACUAAGUUAUCAACUAAGAGCACAUUAUGAACAAAAGUUUCACCAUCCUUACCAACAUCACCUAUUCCAAUUGUCUUAGCUUUCACGUCAUCACCAAACGUCACUUUUUCACUUGAUUUUGAUUUUAGUUUUAUGAACAAAGAAGGAUCACCGGUCAUAUGCCUAGAACAGCCACUGUCAAUGAACCAUUUUGACUUGUUUGAGCCUUUUCCCUCAUUAUCUCCAAUAGCCAUGAAGGCCAUUUGAGCUGAUUCUUCUUCUUCUUCAACUUCGCCUUCGGAGUUACAUUCAUUCCAUGUAAUCUGGAAGUUGUUGAACCUUGGCUUUCGAUCAGCUUUUCCAUCUUUCUUUUUCUUCAGGGAGCAUUCGUUUGCGUAGUGUCCAAGCUGUCCACAUUCGUAGCAUUUGUCCAAUUGUUUCUUGUUGAAUUCUUGUUUUCCUUUGUUCCUUGCGUUUGAAGACUGAUUCUGGAAUUGAUUGCUAGGUCCUCUCCUUCUAAACUUCCUUUUAUUCAAGAUUCUCUUGAAGCUUUUUGUGAUGAGAGCAAGAUCGCUGUCAUCACCAUCCAAGUCUUCAUCAUCCAACUGAGUUGGAUCAUCUUCACCUUGAGCUGCUUUUAGAGCUAUGUUUCUCUUUGCUCUCGCGUCCUCUUCCUCCUGCACUUUAGUUUUCAACUUCAACUCAUAGGAGGUUAGUGAGUUAAUGAGAGAUUCAAUAGGCACAUAAUUCAAAUCCUUAGCCUCCUCUAUUGCAGUCACUUUACUUUCCCAUUCUUUGCCCAACGCAUUGAGAAUUUUCCUGUUUUUCUCUCCCAAGGUGUACUCUUUGUCUAACACCUCGAGAUCUUUGAUCAAGUUAUUGAACCUGCAAUACAUUUUGUCAAUAUCCUCAAGGGGUUCUAUUUUAAAUGAUUCAUACUUUGUGACCAAGAUAGACUUUUUCUGUUCUCUCACGUUGUCACUACCCUCAUGAAUUUCUUUUAGCUUAUCCCACAUUUCUUUAGCAGAUUUACAUCCUUUUACUCUAAUCGAUUCAUUUGAGUCGAAGGCACUAUAAAGAACAUUCAUGGCUUUGGCAUUCAAAGUGAGAUUGGUUCUAUCUUGAGCAUUCAACUCAGCUCUUGUUUUAGGCCGAAACAAACCUGUAUCUGCAUCAAGAAUGUUAGCAUCAUGCGGUCCAUCAUUCACAAUAAAUCAUAACUCAAUAUCAAUGGAUUGCAAAAAGAUAAUCAUUCUUUCUUUCCAACUAACAUAAUUAGAACCAUUAAACAUGGGAGGCCUAGUGACAGAUUGCCCCUCAACAAACAUGGCAUGAUUAGUUGUCAUCUUUUACUCCAAGCCGCUUGAGCUUAAUCUCUAGGAGACCAAGCUCUGAUACCAAUUGUAAGGCCCAAAGACAACCUAAGAGGGGGGUGAAUUAGGUUGAUUAAAAACUUAAUUGAGUUUAUGCACUUUUUACUUAAUAAAAAUUUACCUUCUUUUCUAGUAGCGAUCAAUCAAGUAAUUUUAAAGAAUAGAACAAUGUUGAUCAGAAAUAAGGAUAUAUAUAUAAGCAAUGAGAAUUUUAUUAAACAAAAAGAAUAAGAUAGAGUAUCAAACCGAUUGUCUACCAAGCUUUCCUCAAACUUGAAGACCAAUCACAAGGAUGAGCACCUUCUCUUUGAUGAACAAUAAUCAACUCCAUGUACAAUGGAGGGAUCACUUCCUCCUUGCCCCAAGCCUCACUUAGUCAAGCUAGGAAGUUUUACUAUCACUCAGAUAACCCUCAACAAAGCUACACUAUUGAAAAUUUCAAACACAAGAGAAGAACUUACAAGAACUUCACACAACUAGGAGAACAAAUCUUGCUUAGGAGACUAUUUUCUAGCUAAAAUAUCUCUUUAGAUCUUGUAAACAAAGUGUGAAAAAGUCUUUUUCUCGUUCAGAAUUGUUUGUAUUUGAAGGGGACCAAAGAUGGGCUUCAUUAAUGCUUCCAACGGAUAGAAGGCAGAUGAAGAGUCAGCUAGCCGUUGGGGCUGUCGGACGUCCGACAGAUUAAUCAUCGUCCGAUCCCAUCGUCCGAAACUCGCCAAGUUGUUGUUCGGACGUCCGAUGGGAUUGUAUCGUCCGAAAGCAUCUGCGUCUGAAUGUCGUCCAGAGAGUCAUCAGAACUUUGCGAAAUUUUUCGGACGUCCAACGCGAUCGAUAUGCGUCCGAAGAGUGCGUCCGAUACUUCCGGACGUCCGAUGCUUUCUCACGAGCAUCCGAAGGAGUUUCCUUCUUGAUGUUCUUCAUCCUUUCGGACGUCCGACAGUUUCAUUUCGGACGUCCGACAUGAGUGCCCUAUUUUUGCUUCUUCUUUUGAUUGAUUUUCUUUUCUUGACACCUUUGUACCUGAUUCUCUAAAAAGCAAAACUUUUAUAUUUGGAGAGAAUUAGAUAAACAUUUCAAAGUGCUUUUGUGAUCAUCAAAAUCAAGAAUAACAACCACUAAAACUAGAAGAUCAUCCAUAAUAUUCCAAGAUUCACGCCAUCUACACCAUAUUUAGCAAGAAUAAGAAAGAGAAAGGAAGUUGAUAAACUUAUACCUUCCAAAACUUCUUGAAAAGUGAAGAACCAAGCAAUUUCUCCCAAGAAAUUCACCACUCCAAGCUUCCUAACUCCCUUGGUGCAAGUUUAAUCGGUUUAGAUUUUGUGAUUUCAACUCAAACAAGGCAAAAUCAAGAUGAAGUUGGAAGUUCUCCUCUCUUGUUUUUCUCUCCAAGAGUUCGGCCAACAUGAAGGAAAAAAUGGAAGAAACUUAGCCAAAAGGAAAGAUAAGAAGGAAAGAAAUGUGUUGGUCAAACACCUCUUUGAUUACCAACACUUGGCAAUCAAGUUUCUUGUCUUUUUUUUUUCUUUUCUUCCUAUUCUUUGGUCAAGAAUUUCGGCUGAAUGAAGGUUUAAUUUAAGGAUAAUUAGAUGAAAUAAAAACUAGAAGAUUAGGGUAAGAAAGUAUUGGUCAAAUGGUGUACUCAAUCGGUAACAAAUGGCGCACGUCGGUUCAAGCUUAUUUUCCUUAACUCUCUUGUACUUGGGUUUUAACUUAUGAUUCACUAACUUAUUCUUAGUACUUCUAAUCACACCCUUCCUCUUACUUAAUACUCGCUCUUAUCCAUCAAAUUUAAUACACACAUCUCACCAAGUGAUCACACUACCAAAAUGCGCAAAAAUCGUAACUCACUUUAACUAUAAAAGUAAAAGUAAAACUCUCGAUUCUAUGAUCUAUUACAACUAUUGAGAGAGUAAAUUAAUAGUAAAGAAAUUAUAAAUUAACUUAUUCAAAAUAAGAGGGGAUUAUAUAAAAAAUAUAAGUAAAUUUUCAAGUCGUCACAUACAUGAACUAACAAGUUCACAAGAUAGCACCAAUAAACCAAAAAUUACUUUAUAUCAUAAUGCAAACUAGCUCAUCAUCACCAUAGGAGAAAUAGUUUAACUAGAUAUAAGAUUAAGCAUGUUUAAUCAUAAAGAACUUAUGAAAUAAGAUAUGAUUGAUAACAACAAUUUAAAGAGCAAAGGAUGAGAAAUCCUUAUUCAAGAUGUUGAAAUAAGCUCCACAAGCUUCCUCUUAGAACUUUUCCUUCAAUUUGCAAACCUCAGAAGUUUUUCUUCUAACGAAGGCUCUCUAAGGUCUCCCUUACUUAGUUCAAAUGAAAGGUAAAACUCCUAUUUAUAGAGAAUUCUCCAACCCUCUUUGUGUCUUGUAUAAUAUGAACUUUUGACAAAAGUAGCAUCCAAAAGUCAAGAUUUGUGGCUCCAAUGGAAUCAAGAAGAUUUGAGAUGACAAAAAUUUUUCUUGAAGUUGCUUAAGAUUGUUCUAACCACCAAAAUGUCCCAUCAUCCCUUCCAUCCAAAGUAAGAAAGCAUUAAAAGGAAUAAAGUUGUAGAACUUGUGCAACUUGCAAGGCACUUUUCAGUUGGGAGAAAUCAGUUUUGCUUCUAUCAAGGCCGCUCCAAUGCAAAGGUUUUGAAGUGAAAGAAGGAAACCAAUCUGCCGAGAAUCCCCACCAGAAACCAGUUCAGCUUUUGGGGUUUAUCUUCCCUGCCUUGCAACCAUUUUUAUCUCUUGAAUAGUUCUUGCUUUCUUCACUUAUCUUGGUGACCAAACUUUCUUCGAAUUUGUUGCCUCUUUUCCUACAAAAUCAACCAACCAAUCAAAGUUCUAACAUUUGAUCAACAAUGCUUAAACAUCAACUUUUAGGAUAAUCUCAACUUUCAAUCUUGAUUUUCAUCAAAAUGUGACUAAAACUUCUAAAAGAGCCACAAAAUAUAGUGCAUAAUAAGCACUUAUUAUUCACAAUUUGUUGAAAAUUUGAAAAUUUACCAAUAUACUGGCACCAUGAACAUAAGAUGCUGGAAUAGUUUUCAUUCAUUUAAAUGCUACCUUUUUUUUUUUUUACAAAUCCAAGAAGACAUUGUAACGAUGGUUUUCAUCUUACAGAUCAAUUGUGAGUGGAAGGGACAACUAUUUCUCAGUGCUACACCCAUUGGAUCCAACUUUAAAUGAUUUGUUUGACUAAGUCAUUUAUCCUCAGCUUUUUUAUCUUCUAUUCAAUAAAAAAUCUUUUUCCUCCCUUUUUAUUUGUUUUAUUUUCUGGUGCACUUUCCUUUUUUUCAAGCUAGCGCAUUUGGAAGAAAUCCUUCAUGGUAAUUCAAAGUUGAAUAUUUGAGCCAAAGAAUGUGCAUAAGUUCCAAUGAUAGUCUACCUUGACUCGAGAAGUUCCCAUAUUAAAGACAUUUUUUCAUUGAAACUUCAAUGACAACAUACUCUAACUCGAGAAAUUCAACCAUUGCAAACACUUGUUCACUUAAAAUUCAAUAAGAGCCUACCCUAUCUUUAGAAGUAUGCCAUUGAAGAAACUUGUUCAUUUAAGUUCUAAUGACAACAUCCUAACUCAAGAAGUCUACUUAUUGAAGAAGCCUUUUCUCAAUGACAACCUAACCAAGGUUCAAGAAGUUCAUCAAUUAAAGACACUUGUUUAAUUAAACUUCAAUGACAACCUCAACAUGGUUCGAUAAAGUCUAUUUAGUCACUCUUUAAUUAGAGCCUCAUAAAGGCUUGAAAAGUCCAUUAGUAGCCUUAUAAAGGCUUCAAGCUUCAAGGAGAGUCUCACCAAGGCUUAAUAAGUUGAUCAUUCAUGCUUCAAUAAUAGCCUCACAAAGGCUUGAAAAAUCCAUGAAUUCAUGCUACACUGAUAGUGUUACUGAGGCUUGAGAAGUCCGUUCCUUUAGUGAUUCAAGAAGUAUGAGAACUGCAUCAAGAAUUAUGAAGAUGGAGGGCAAUUUUACCAAAGAUUGUGGCACCAUGAAUCCAAUAAAAAUCAUGGAGGCAUGAUGAACCCUGUAAAGAUCACAACAAUGGAGAGGGACUCCACUAAGAUGGAGACAUGGUGAUCCCAUCCAAGAUUGUGACGUUCAUAGAUCGCAUUAGGAUUUUUAUUUGGGAGGGGGGAAUUAAUACAUAACAAUGCACUUUAAUGAAAUAACAAAAAGUAUAAGAAACUUAAAUUGCAAUUUCAAAGUACCAAAAGUCAAAUUCUCUUCAAAGUUAUAUUCAAACCUCAUUCAUUUGAUCAAAUGCAUCUAUGAUUGAAAUUGUAUGUGUCAUCAAUUGUUGCUUCUUAUACUAGAUUAAUUAUUUGUUGAUAAUAAUAAAAGAUUGGUUUUAUUAUUUAAAUUUAUAAAGCAAAAAGAUUUCAAAUUUAUAAAGCAAAAGGAGAAUGAUAAUAAAACUUUCCUUGAGUAUUGGAGUUGAGUUUGGAGAUUUUCAUGAUUGAGAACUAGACAGACUUUUAGUGUUUGUUAUAAUUUAUGUUAGAUAUUUUUUUUACGUAACUUUUUCUGCUACUCAUCAACUCUUACUUCUCCUCCUACUUUAGUACAUGUUAGGGAAUGGAGCAAUUUAGCCAAAUACGAUUGGAGGAAGAGGAUCUCAUCUCCAAACUAAAGGAUACACUACUACAUACAUUUUAAAUUUUACUAUAUGUGAAAAGGUUUGGUCCCCUAAUCAAUGGAGCCAAACGUGCACAUUAUGCUUCACUUGGGGCCAACUCGCCUAAGGACAGUUAAUUAUAUUUUCUUGUAUAUUGUACUUCUAAGUUAAUUGGUAUUUUACUUCAGGUAGGAAUCUAGAGAUUUGAAAUUUUAUAUUAAUUGGUAUCAUAUUUUAAUUAUGAAAUUAGAGUUUGGUAUAUUAUGGAAAGUUUUGUAGAGUAUUUUACCUUACUUAACAAGACAAGAAUGAUAUGCUAAAAUAAAAAGCUAUGUUAAAGAGAAGAGUAAAAGAUUCACUUGGUGGACAAGAAAAUUGAAAUUUUCUUAAAUUAUUAUAAAUGUCUGUAACUAACAAUGAAUUUCUAAAAGUUUUGGGCAUAUCCUUGGUGACGUUUAAAAGUAGCCCUCCCAAGAUGAAGGUAUGAUAAACCCUUGAAAGAUCAUGGUGCUAGCAAAAACCUCUACCAAGAUGGAGGCAAGGUGACCCCAUCCAAGACUACGAUGAUGGGAUAGAAGCUCUACCAAGUUGAAAGCAUAGUGUUCCUAUCCAAAACUAUGACGAUAAAGAGAAGCUCCAUCAAGAUGGAGACCAACAAAGAUUCUCUAGAUUCUUGUGAAAGUAAUUAAGGUACUUUCCAAGAACCCAAAGCAAUUCAAUCAAUCAUCUACCAUAUUUGAAAUGCAAGUCAAUUGCAAGGAGAUGAAACUAAUUGUGUAAUGGUGCAACGAAACUUAGAAGUUGCCCCCUAAAUUGUAUAUGUAUUGUGACGCCCCCACUUCUCCCUAAGGCGAACCAAAGGGUAUCCGUGGAACGCCUGUCCAGCUCUCGCCAGGACUCAAGACAAAUCAAUUCAAGCUUAACGAUACAUAACAAUUAAUAUAAGCCUAAUAAAGAAAAGUCGCUUCCAUAAUCAAAUAUCCAAGUCUUACACCACGAGUUCAAGAUACAUCAGACAAAUCAAUUCAAGCUUAACGAUACAUAACAAUUAAUAUAAGCCUAAUAAAGAAAAGUCGCUUCCAUAAUCAAAUAUCCAAGUCUUACACCACGAGUUCAAGAUACAUCAGCUAUCCAAUUCUUACAUUAGGUUCCCAAAAGAUACAUCAAUUUCCAAAAAAAUACAACAACCACAAUGUCUAGUCAAUUACGUUUAAAACCCUAAUACAAAAGUACAUCCAAAGGAUUUCUCCGAGUUUUCGCUCCAUGUCCAUACCUGUUAAGGAAAACAAAUCUACGGGGUGAGCAAUCGCUCAUGAGGCCAAGAACACUUAUGCGAACACGUUGUCUAAGUAACAAUUUCAAUUAACAAGUAAAACAAUAAUUUUCAAGUAAAUGAUAAUUCGAGCGAGAAUAGCAAACGGAAACAAUUCAAAGAUAUAGGAGCUCUCGGAGCUAUUUUCCACUUGCACGAUCAAGAACCUCCACGAAUUGACACUCCGUCAAUCGGGUAUGCUAUAGUCCGUAGAACUUCACUUAUCAUGUUCCCGUUCACCGUUACAUACCCCUGUACCGGGCCCGCCUGUCGCUUGUUUGAAGUGAUACUGUUCGAGUAUGCCAAGUAAGACCUCUCAAUAAGUCAAGCUUAUUUUUUUUCCUCAUGGUUCACUAAGGAGCCCGACCAAGCCUAUGCAGGCUCGAAUCCAAGGUUAGCUAGUGAGAAUUGGGCGUCCCCCACUUAAAAUUUAUGAGUCGAGGAGAUUCACUCCAAUCGACUUAUGCAGCCAUAGCAUAAAUAGUUACUUAAACACUUCACUUAAUUCACUUAACAAGUCACUUCAAGCAUUUCAUGUCAAGUAAUUCAAGUACACUUUACUUAAAUGAGAACGAGUGCGAUAAAGUACACACUCGACUCAGCAUUUUCAAAAUAUUCGAUUAUCAAUAACAAUUAACACGUAACACGUUUUUCACACACUUGACACUCACCAAGUAAUUCAAGAAGUAAAGCACACUUGAAGGUUCAGGCGUCCACCGUGGGAUCCUCUUGAAGGUCUUCUUGAGUGCCUGAACAAUUAAUAAUGAACUACCACUUAGAAACCCCAAUUGUCAUAGAAGAUGUAACUUGUACAAUCUAGAAAAAUAUCAUGAAAAUGAGCCUUAAUUACUCGUAAAUCGAGACUCAAAAGGGGGUUCAAUAAUACAAGGAAAAAUCUGAUUUUUAUCUUGAAAUCAAGUGCAAAACGGUCAAGCAAUCUCGAAGGAAAAAUGUGAGUUCUAAAAACUCAAUUUUCUUUAAGUUCGGAAAUUUCAGAUUUGAAAAGCAAUCUUUGGAAAAUCGUAUCUCACUCUCUGUAGGUCCAAAAUUGGAAAACUUGGUACCGUUGGAAACUACUUCCAGAGUACUAAAAUUUACUAGAAGGCACUUUUCCAUGAUUCCAAAUGGAAGACAUUCAAAUUUUGGCUUCAAGUUGCUGUUUUGGAAUACCAAGACAGUUUUGGGGUUGGUUUUUGGCAAACUUUGGAAAUUCGGCAAAAUUCACAGAAUACGAACUAACCUCUGAAAUUUGAAACUCAAUUAGAUUUAUAGUCAAAGUUUAAAACACAAUAAACGGAACAAGAAUCGGAGUUUUGAGCGCCAAGAUAUAGCAGCUCAAAGUUGCUGAAGAUUUCUCACUGAACAAGGGUUUUCCAGAUUUGAAACAUGAAUUUUGAGACUUUGGUUGGGCAUCGAAAUAGACUUGGAAUGGCACCAAAUUUGGUAGUAUUACCCUACCAUAUAGGGGAUAUUCCUCUGUCAAAUUUAAUGUAAAAAUUCGUACAGAAAGUCAUGUCGCGCCCCAUUUUUUGAUAAAAUAAAUAAAUGGUUUAAAAAUGUAUUUUUUGAUUCAAUUUUUGAUUUGGAAAAUGAAUUGUGAUUUAAAAGAAAAAUGGGUCUAAAUGGGGGUUUGAGAAUGCGACGAUUUGACCCAAAAUUAUAGUUUAAAAAGGGUUUUUUGAAAUAAAAAAUCGGAGUCGCCACUUGGUAAUGAGUUAAGGUGUACCAAGUCACCUAAAAAUGAAUUUUUAAAGAAAAAUAGGAAAAAGUAGUAAGAAACCCCUUUUAAACGACUCCUAGUCCACGUAAACCAACGAAAAAGGUUCGGGAGUCACAUUUGACGAAGGGGAAGGCAAGGAUAAAAUCCAAGGCACCCCUUCGACCUAGCCAAGGCUAGUUGCUUGAUUUAAUCAAAGAUUUUCUUGUUUUAAUCAAAGAAUUUAUUACAUUUGGGGGAAAUUUCUCUUCAAAGGUUGAGUGGUGCCAAUCACAUUAAUUGUGAAGCCCAAUGACGAUCCUUUGAAGAAGUCAUGAAUAAUGCGAGUGGGAUGCAAAUGAAUGGAAUGCAUGUAUGUAAUGUGAGGACAUGAGUUUUGAAAAAGUAAUAAAAAAAACAAUAAAUAUGUAAAGGAAAAUGUGCACGUGAGUGGGCAAGGUACGGUAUGUGAAAUGAUAAUAUGAAGUGCAUGUGUGCAAGUGAUGAUAAGAGUGUUCGUGUGCGAGUGAAGAAACAUAAAGGUGCACGUGUGCAAAAUGGAACAAAAGUGUUCGUGUGCAAGUGAAGGGAUAAAAGGUGUAUGUGUGCAAAUGGAAUGAAAAGUGAAAGUGUAAUGAUAGAGUGGAUUUAGAAUGCAUGAGCCUAGGGAAUGCAUGCAUAUUGGGUACGGGGAGACCUAAAUCGUGACUCAAUUUACCCUUUUAUAGAGGGAAUAUAAGCGUGCUAAGGCUUAGAAAAAGCCACACUCGUCUAUAUCCCAUAUUUAAGGGGACUCUCAAGCAAAUGAACCCUAUAACUAGCAUGAAAUGCAAAAAUCCUAAAAUGGAGGGAAAGGGGGUCGAGAGGCAUGCAAAAUGAUAAAACUAAAAAAAAUGCAUGACAUGUAGUGAACAUGCAAAUAUGCACUAUCGAAAAACAAAGGAAAAAUCCUAAGAGUCUAGCGUUGGACUAGCCCAUCUAUGAAUUCCGACUAGCGUUGGACUAGCGGAAACGUACAUUCAUCCAUCACAUUCAUUCAUGGUUAUGGAAAGCGAGUAGACAUGCCAAACACUCGUAAACACGUAGCACAUAACAUUUAGCAUGCUCGACUAGAUGCAAGGCCCUAACAAAGCAAAUUAACAUGUAACAACUAAGCAGGCAAGACACAUAAGGCAAUUAAAGCCCUAACUAUUACAUUUGCUAGCUAGGCACACGUCUUCGAUAGGUCUUCAUCGAAUGCUCCUCCAAGCCCUAUCUAUUACAAGCCAAGAGGUGUACACAUACCCCAUAAUGAGACUUAAAUGAAAUUGCUCGCCAAGCCCUAUCUAUUACAAGCCAAGAGGUGUACACAUACCCCAUAAUGAAUAACUUAAAUAAAAAGCAAAAGUAAAUGAAAUAAGUGCAAGGAAUUAAGGAAAGGCAAGGAAAGCGAAAUAGACAUGCAUAUUCACAUAACACGUAGGAGCACGUAGGGUCAAAUGAAGUGCAAAUGAGGGAUAGAGUGUACCUCCCUUGAAAUGGAAAUCGAGUAAAUGAGAUAUUAGCUUCAAAACAAUAAAAAGGUCAAGGUACCAAUUUAUUUGGCAAAUAAUCACGAAGGAUAAAAAAAUAAGCAUGAAUUUGAAUCAAUUAAAUCAUGUCAAACAACCCACAUUUAAGAAGUCAAGAGAAGAGAGGACCUGAUUGUAAAGAUUGUCAAAAUUUUGAGGUCAAAAUUAAAGAAAAAUAAAGUUCAGGGACCUAUUUGCAAUUAAAGUAAGGACCCAAUUGAAUGAAAUUGAAAAUGUCUAGGGCCACAGUAUAGUUAAAAAGAAAUCCAGGGACUGGUUUGCAAAUCCAGUUAUCAGAUUGCUUAAAACAGGCCAUUGUCACCUUUCUUGGGCCAAAAUCACUUGGCCCAAUCGGGAGUCCAAGGAAAAACAAGUGGGCUAGUAUAUUAUUUUGACCCCAAGAAUAAUCCAACAGGACCGAUGGGCUUUAACCCUUCAGCCCAACGGAAGUCCGAAACAAAAAAUAAAUGGGCCAGCCUAUUAUUUAUCAAGUAAAACCCAACCAAAUUAAUCAACAACCCAAUCCUAAAACCCAACCAAAAGCUUUGAAUUUUAACCCUCUUAGGCCCAACAAGAAACCCAACAAAAUAAUCUAAACCAAAUCCCUUAAACCCAAGUCAAAAGAACCUUUCAACCCAAAUCACACAUUUCACUAAAACCCAACAUGAUAAAAUCAAAUAAAAUUAUUAAACCACAAUCAUAACCUACAAACAAGAAUUAAUCUAGUUAAGAGACUACUCAUGCAUAUUAGAAGAUGAUUGAAAUCUAAAAGGGAGAAACAAAUUUACUUUUUUCCAAUUUUUCGGGUCAUAUCAAAAUAAGGGGGGGACUUGAGAGGCUCAAACAAAACAAAAGUAGGGACCUAAUUGAGGGAUUAAUCAAAUCAGCCGGGCUGUGAUAAGAUUGCUCAUGGUUCAGGGGCCGAAAUUAAAGAAAAAAUAACGUCCAGGGGUCAAUUUAUGAUUAAAUCAUGACUUAAGUGAACAAGAUCUGGAAGUUAUGUGGGCUUGCAUGUGAUUUCAUCAAAGGUCAGAGGUCAAUUUGAAAUCAAUUCAUGACCUACUUGCAAGAAAAAGCAAAUCAUUCAGGCCAUUAUAAAAAUACUCAAAAGUUAGGGGACUGGAACUGCAAAAUCAAAUGAUUAAUCAUCUUCUCCGAACAAUCAAAACGUUAGCUUCCAAUUCAGCUUUCUUUUACAGACAAAAACAGCAACAAAUUUCAACUAGUGCUCAUUUCCAAAAGAGAAAUACAACUAGCACAAGUCCAUACAAAGAAACUCGAUCAUUCCCAAUUCUAAAUGGAACUCCAGUUCCUACGAGGGAAAGGCUAACAAACAGAACAGAAAUGAAAACAAGAGAGAAGCGUCUGAACAUGAACAUCUCUUUGCCGCAUCUCACACACAGACACGCACAAGAUUCAUUAAUUUUUGCCGCUUUGACUCAACGUUUUCUAUCAGGCAUUUCUUCAAACAGGUUAAGGGCAUUAGAAAAUUCACCGAAUCCUCUUUCAGUUGAAGUUACAAUCAGCCCAAAAAUUCUUCGGAAAACAAGCAUUUCAGUCCAAUUUUCAUAUACGGCAUGCACAUUCAAAAAUUGAGGUCAAUUAACAACAAAUUGCACUAACGGGAACCACGGCAAUCCCCCUUCAAAAAAAACUUGACAAGAACUGAAAUUUAAAGAGAGGAAAAGAAAAAACUUACCGUGCUCUUGCUUCGUGAAAUUACUUUCAGGUGGCGGUGGUGGAUUCGGGUGCUGACUGGAAGAUUCGACUCCUUUGCCCAAGCUCCUCAUCUUUUCCCUUUCCUUCCUUAUUGCCCGAAAUUCCUUCUCCAAGUUCCAGAUUUCAGCCGCAGCUCCCUUCUCGGUUUUCUCUCUCCCUCUCUCGGUUGGUCUUGAAGUGAGGCUGGAAGAUAAGCUAAGUCCUCACCUCUCUCUCUCUCGUCGUUAUUUCCAAAGAAGCUGAUCACUUCACAGCUCCCGGCAUAGGAACAAUUGAAAAUAAAAAUGUUAUGGUCAGUGAUAAUGAUUGUAGUGAACUGGCAAUGAUAUAGCGUAGUGGGAUGUAUAUAUUGAGGUAUUGGGAGUGGAGUGGAGUGGAGUGGAGUCGGCAAUAACAAUGGAAGGUGCUAGGUUGAGAAGUGGAAAAUGGAACCGGCAGAAAUAGAAUUGUGAUUUUUUGAUUUUUUUGAUUUUUUUUUAAAUUUUUUUUGAUUUAUUGAAUAGAAACUAAAUCUAAAUAAACUAGAAUCCACAAAGCACAAUUUUCCAUUUUUCAUCAAUUUCCUCUUUUCUUUUCUUUUCUUUUUUCACAAAUUUUACGUUAAAACUUAAAACUAAAACUAAAACUAAAACGUGAACAAAAUUAAUAUGACAAAUAAUUAGCAAAUAAAAGACAAAUAAAAAGGUAACAACUAAAAUGCAGACAAUCUAAAACAAAAUCAUGAAUUAGAUGCAACAUACAAAUUAUUUAAAAAUUUGGUGUCUACAGGUCAGUUAACAAAGCCACUAAAGUUCCAAGAAUUUCCAAGGCAAAUCUACCUUGUACUUCAAUUUUCCUUUUUCUAACUUUUGGGUCAAUGAAAUCAUCUCAAACAUGGUUCAAUUAUGAAGACAAGGUCUAAUAAACAUCCAAGAUACUUUUGGUAGGUGGUUAACACCAAGAAUUUCAAAAUAACAAGUCCCAAUUCAAAUUAAGGCAUUCAACUAGCCAAAAAGAGGGUUUUCCAUCACUGAGACAGUUUCGUAAUUCAGCCACAACUCACUCAAUUCAACUUGGAAUUGAGCGUGGUUGGUGGCGUUGGAAACUACAUUCAUAAGGCUACAAUUUCUAAGAGCAAUCAUUUUGAAAUUCUGUCCAUAACUAGCUCAUAUUCGAGCAACAAGUAGCAGCACAUAACAGGUUCUCUAAAACAGUCGAGAAACAGGGCAAGUGACUUUGAAAGGCUGUUACGGUUCACUCAAGUGGAAUCAGGGGAUGCAUUUUAUACCAUUGGAAAACAGGAAGUGUCUAUUUUCUAAUUCCUCAAACGGAACUCAAUUUCAACAUUGGAGUAAAGAGUUAUGGUCAAUUCAAAAUCGCUGCCAGAACAACUCUGGACACGUUUUCCAGUUGUAAAGAAAUUUCGAAAUUUCAACUUUUGGCCAACCAAAUCAAGUGAUUUUUUGUGGAAACUUUCCACACAACCUAUACAACAUAUAUUCAUCAAAAUAAACUCAAUUGGACCACAAAAAUUUGCACCAACAGGUGCGGCAAAGUAGGGGCAGAACCGGCACUUUUCUUCCUUUUGUUUCCUCUGAGUUUUCUUUCCACUUUUCAACUUAUAAUCACUAGUUUAACCACUAAUUCAACAUAAACAACACCCAAUAUCAUCACAUCAGUUCAUCAAGUCUAUUGUGGGAUUUCAUAGAGCCAACUCACAAGAUCUACAACAAUCCAAGACUACCCACAUGAAGCUACAAGCUUCUAAGUGCAAUAUAACUUACAAAAACUAAGAUUCAAAGGUUUGAUCAUCAUUACCUCCUACAUGUUGCUAGAGCAGAAAUUUUCGGUCCUUUGAAGCUCAAGAAAACCGUGAGGUUGAAGCUCCUUUCCUAGCUUAAGUUGAUCUCCAAGUUAUUUGCAAGGUGUAGUGUGAAUUUGAGGUGAUGUGGUGCAAGAAAGUGAGGUGAAAUGAAGAAAAUUUUUGGUCUUCUUCUCCAAGGUGAUGCACGGCUGUUUGAGUGAGAAAGAGAGAGUUGUUGCAGCUGCAAAAGCUUCUUGAGGAAGCUUAAGAAUGUGUGGCCAACAAUGCUCCAAAAGUCAACUAGGAAUAGUGCGCGUACGCACGCGUUUCGUGCUCGAUUCCUCUCAGGUUUGUUUCACUUAUGCACUAAAUCUCUAAUGCACUUCCAUUGAUACUAUUAUUAUUCACUCUUAAUGGUCUAAAAAUAAAGGUCUAAAGUCUCUCGAUUAAUCACGCUCGCGAAAACGCGUACUUCCGAUUUGUGCGCGAUAGAGCGAAAUUUCUAAGAAAUUCUUGUAACGAUAGUAUUACUAACAAAUACUUGAGUACUUAAACAUAAAAAUACCUAUUUUAAGACUAAUGUAUGAGUCUUCAAUCUCCAAACUCACUGUACCCUCAAAUCGAUUAUUGCCUCCAAACGCAUGUCUACUAUUCUCACUAGACGAGCUUCCAAAAAUUAAAUUUUAUAACAAGUCAUUUUAAAAAUAUAUGCAAGUCAUAGUUCCAUGUAAUUGGGUCUAAAGAGGUUGGAAUAUAAUAUUUGGAGCAAACGGACAAUUAAAUAUUUAAAUAAGCUGGUAAUAGGAAUUUAAAAUAAGUAAAUUUGCGAGUCCUCAUACGAGUCUAGUAUUAAUUUCUCAAGUCACCAAUUUGUCGUGCGGUACUGCUUUUGAGAAAUUAUCGACGUACCCGUAAUAAAAACUUUAUUUAACUUAAUCACAUCUAAUCUCUCAAUUAACUCUUCUUAGUCCCCUAUUGAUCAUCCUUAAUUCUCCAAAAUCAUUGUACUCUCAGAUCGACUAUCAUCUCGAAGGUGUGUAUUUGUUAUUCCUUAAUAAACGAGCCUUCGAAAAAUUUAAAUUUGUUAGCGAGACGUUUUAAAAGUAUAAAGAAGACAUGGUUCCAUAAAAAUGAAUUUAAGAGGGUUGAAAUAAAUUGUUCGGAGAAAACAGAUGAAUAAACAUUUAGAUAAGCCAGUAAUAUGAGAUAAAAUGAGAAAAUUUUCGGGUCCUCACAUGUAUGCUAAAAGGAAAUCAAGUCACAUGUAAUUCCUACUUUUGAUAGGCUAAACUCAAGGACAACAUCUAGUUUUAGCUUGUCUUCCAAGGAGCAUUUGAAUAAGACUAAAAUUUGGAGAAGUUUAUUCUUCUGUUGAGGAGGUUUGAAACAACUUCUAAUUUGAAGAUAGUUUAGUCUCAUGUCAAGGAGAUUUAGAGAAACUUGCUAUUUUGAAACAUUUUAUACUCGAGUCAAGGUGGCUUCAAGAAACUUGCAAUAUGGAUAGAGUUUAUUCUCAUUCCAAGGAGAAUUGGAGUAAUUUGCUAUUUUGAAAUAGUUUAUACUUGUGUUAUGGAGCACACUUUGGCUUUGAUAUGGAGGCAAUUUACUUUCAUGUCAAGAACACUUCAUGGGUUUUUGAUUUGUAGACAAUUUACUUUCAUAUCAAGGAAACUUGCAAACAAUUAUCAAGGAGCAUGUAGUGGUCUUAGAUUUGGAUAUUGUGGCAAGUGAAAAUGCCAUAUCCAUAAUUUUAGUUCUACAACAAUUAUAAGUUAAUUGACAAACUUACCCUUAUGGGAGGUUAGUUGCCCUAAAGCAACCUAAUCUAAAUAGAGAAUUUAGAAGAUAAAGUUUUAAAAUCAUCAACAAAAUGAAGAACAAGCAAAAUUUUAAUAAAUCAAAUUAAGUAAUUAAAAAUCACAAUUAAAGAUAAAGAGAGUACGGAUAGAGAAAUCAAGAACAAGAGAUUUAUAGCGAUUUGGUCACCCUUCUUAGUGGUUAUGUCCGCUCCUGAGCUUUUUUCAAGCCUCAAUGUUUCUUGCAUUAUUGUCACUCUUCCAAUGGCUAAGGUGACAAACCCACAUAUAUUUGAGAAUCAACCUUUCUCCUUGAGUUCACCAACUCUUGAGCCAAGGUUUUUAUACCUUCGUAGAGUAAACUCAAUAUAUUACAAGUAAGAUUCACUUCUCCAAGGUUUUAUUUCUUCUUCUCACUGCGAAAGCUCACAUAAACUCAUACAUUGUUUGAGUUAUAACAAGAACAAACAUCUUAGUAAUGUGGAUGAUACAAUUGAAGCUCACUAGCACCCUUAAUGGUGUCAAUUGGUAAUAGAAACUCAAGAAUGAAGGAUAUUCAAGUUUGAACUCAUGAUUUUGAAGAAUAGAUGGAUGAAAUUGACCUGUAAGUUAUUAAUAAUGUUUUUUCACUUGUUGGGGCUGAAUGUUGAAGAUUUGGCCUUCUAUAGACAUCUAAAACAUGUUUCAAAUGAUGAAAACUUUGGUAGUUAAAAACUAGGGUUAAUUCCACUUUGUCCCCUCAAACUUUGGACGAUAACCCACUUAAGUCCCUAAACUUCAAAGUGGGACACUUAAAUCCCUAAACUUUUAAUUUGCUCCCAGUUAAGGAAAAUUGUUGACAGAAUCCUGAAUGCCGUUGGUGGUCAAAAAGCGUGGCAAACACUCUCCGUUAAUGAAGAUAGGGGAAUAUUGUUACUGAAAAUGACAAGGACAUAAACGUAAAUUUGGGUCGUAAAUUAAGGACAAACAAAGGAAAAAAAUUGCAAAGGAGGGAAAAACCCAGAUAGUGGUCAUUUCUUUCCUCUGUCUUGGACGAAAAAAUAGAGAGGAGGGGAAAAACCAAAGUGUGUAAAAAUCCAAAUGAUUGUUACUGAAAAACACUGAAGAUUGCAAGAAUGGGAAGGAAGCGAGUCAAUGUGAGAGAAAAAGCGUCCGGAUCCGCAGCGAAACAACAAAAAGCAAAAAAGAAGACAAGUAUUGGUAUGAGAAAAAUAUUUUACAGAUUUUUGUGUACUUUAAUUGAAUUUAAGAAUCGAAAUUUGGGUAAGAAUUUGGGGUAGCAGUAGAAAAACGUUUUAAAGCCGUAGGGAUUGUUGAAAAGUUAAGGUUUUGGAUGGUUGUGGAAUGCAUGUCCAAGGCAUUAUAUAUUUUCAAUGGUAUUGUUAGUGGGUCUGCAUAAUUUACUGAAAAGUGAGUAUUGUGGGAACCCUAAUGUUCCUUCUGUUGAAGACAUUGUGGUCCCAAAUGCUAAAAAUUUUGUAAAUAAUUAAUGGGUUAAUUAUUAAUGAUUUUUUUUAUUUAACCAGAGUGUGGUUCAAAUGACAUUUGGCCCGACCCAUUUUCUUUGGCGAUACACCAUCAGGGUGAGUUCAAAAGCUCUCCCAGUAAAGAAUACGUGGGGGGAAGGGUAGACUAUAUUGAGAACUGUAAUGCUGAAAAAUGGUCACUACAGGUGCUUGAUGAAUGUACAGUAAGACUAGGAUACCCGAAAGAUGCUCGUUUUGGGUGGUAUGGUAGGAUUCCUGGUAUGCCGCUUGAGACUGGACUAUAUUUUUGCAUGUGUGAUUGGGAUUGUGAUCUACUUGUAAACACAUUGCCACCGAAUAGAGUGGCAGAGGUUUAUCUACGAGUUGGAACUGAUGAUAAUCCAGUGAGGCUUCAAACUCAAAAAAUAGAUGAUGGAGACAUGCCUGAAUGCCACAACACUUCUACCAAGCAGGCUACAAAAGAGAAAGAAACAUCUGAAAUGGACAGUGACAUAGCAAUACUGGAAGAAGUUGACUUCAAUGAUGUGGACAACAGAAGGAAAAAUGUGGCUGAUGACAACAGUAAUGAAGUUGCUGGAAACAGUCAUGAGAAUUUUGAUUCCAAAAGUCCUAAUUUGCAACAAGAGAAAGACAACAAGGGAGAUAAUGCAGGGGAAGAAUAAAAAAUGGCAACUGAUAAUGAUAUGCAGGCUGAUGAGACUGAUGUGCAGGCUGAUGACAAGUUCGAUGAUCCAGAUUAUACGGGGCAAGUUGAGGAGGAUGUUUUAUUUGAUGAAGCCUUGAAGAUUGGACAACAGUUUGGUGUACAUAAAGGAGCUCCUGAAGUUGGACCUUCUACCAGCAAAGACACAAGAAAGAAGAGAGCAGGUAGGAAAAGAGAAACUGUUGAUGAAGUAAAUGUUUGUGAUGAGCCUGACAUGGUUAAUGUGGAGGAUAUGCAGUCAGAAUAUGAAACAGAUUGUUCUACAGAUUUGAAGAGUGAGAGUGAAUCCGAAAAUGAAGAUGGUCCUAAGAGGAAUAAGAAGCCUAAAUUUUCAGUUUUUAAUGAGAAAACUGAAAUGAGAAGUCCAAGAUUUAAGGUAGGCUAGAGGUUUUCAUCAGUUGUUAUUUUUAGGUUGGCUGUUAGAAUCCAAGCCAUUAUGGAGGGAAGGGAUGUCCAGUUCAUAAAAAAUGACACAUAUAGGGUACGGGUGAAAUGUAGAGGCUGUGAAUGGCAAAUGUUUCGCUCAAAAAUGCAAGGUGAAAACACUUUCCAGAUCAAGACACUUAGCAAGGAGCAUACCUGUGGACGUGUCUUCCAUAAUAGAAACAUGACAUCAAAACUAGCCACCAGGUUGUUUGCAGAUGAGGUGAGAAAAACACCAUCCAUGAAAGUUCAAGAGCUCAUGACUAGGGUGACUGAAGAAUUAAAUGUAGAUUUUAGUCAUAAACAAGGCUAUAGGACAAUGAAAAAAGUAAGAGACAUGAUUGAAGGCAGUCAUGAAAAAUAGUAUGCAUUGUUAGAGGACUUUUGUGGUGAAUUGAGGUGAGCAAAUCCUGGAUCGACAGUGUUCGUUGAGACUGAUACGGAUGAGGAUGGGAUUGUCAGAUUCAAAAGGCUUUACAUGUGCUUAGAGCCAUUGAAGACAGGGUUUCUAAAGGGUUGUAGGCAUUGGAUUGGGUUGGAUGGGUGCUUCUUAAAGGAUACAUAUGGUGGACAACUACUUUCAGCUGUGGGCAUGGAUGGGGAUAACAAAAUGUUUCCAUUAGCUUUGUCAGUUGUUAGAGUGGAAAAUUAUGACAAUUGGAGCUGGUUUUUGGGAUUGCUUGUACAAGAUUUGGAAAUUUCAGAUUCAGUAAUUGGUGUGUCAUGACUGACAAGCAAAAGGUAUGAUGAAUUGUAUUAGCGUUUAUUUAUACAGUAACUUUUUAUUUAAUAAUUGAGGUACAACUUUUUAUUUAAGCCAAGAUGUAUUCAAACGUGUACAGGGACUACUUCAAGCAGUUAGAGACAAAAUGCCACAGGCUGAGCACAGGUGUUGUGUGCAACAUCUAUACGCCAAUUUCAAACAGAUUCAUAGAGGCCUGGCCUUAAAAGAAAGACUUUGGAAAUGCGCAAAAGCUUCUUAUGUUACCCACUGGAAAGUCGAAAUGGAGCAGUUGAGGCAAGAAUCUGCAGCUACGCAUUCUUGGCUUGAUGAAAAAGAUCCCAAAACUUGGUGUAGAGCCCAUUUCAGAUGUGGAUUGGAUUGUAAUAUUUUGGUGAAUAACAUGUGUGAGUCCUUUAAUGCAGCAAUUUUAAAGGCCAGGUCACUACCAAUCAUAUCUAUGCUGCAGACCAUUUAUUUGUACCUACUGAAGAGGAUGGAGAGGAACAGGGAAUCAAUGUCCAAGCACGAAGGUCAAGAAACAUUUAAUUUACUAGUAUUAAGUUCAGUUCAUAACUUUGAGAAAUUUAUGACCAAUUUGUUGUUUUCAUUUUGUAUUCAGGUCUCCUUUGUCCAGCAAUAUUUGAGAUACUGGAAAAGGCUAAACAAGAGCAAUGUAUGUGCAUAGCGUCAUAUGCUGGAACAAUGAAGUAUCAGAUAAGCUGUCCAUUUGGGGAACAGUACAUUGUUGACAUGGCUGCCAAAACCUGUUCAUGUAGAAAGUGGCAAUUAAGGGGAAUACCAUGUGGCCAUGUUGUAGCUGCCAUCAACAGGAGACAUGAUGCACCAGAGAAGCAUGUUUCCAACACCUACUUGAAGAAUACGUAUCUACAAAGUUAUGAACCUGUACUUAAUCCAAUCAAUGGUCCUAAUUUGUGGGAGCACAUAGAUCUUCCAGCAGUGAAGCCUCCGACUUACAGAAGAUCUGCUGGAAGGCUGAAGAAGAUGAGAAAAAAAGCUUCAGAAGAAGAAAGACGGGACAGCUGUGUCAAUCCAACUAAACCUCACAAGGUUAGCAAGGUUGGCACCAUGAUGAGCUGCAGCUGCUGCAAAAAAUACGGACAUAACAAGAGAGGAUGUCCGGAUAAAAAUAAGCAAACUACUGAGGGGACAACUACAAGUUCAGCAAAGGAGAAUAGUGAUAUUGGAGAUGCAGGUCCAUCUAUGCAGCCAAAUACUAAAGAGGCUUGUCCAAGUGAUGUGACCAUUGACAUUGUUGGAGUAAGUACGCAACAGAGUCACACAGGUCCAUCUCAAAAUUUGAAUGCCAAUCAGCCAAAACAUGGGGCACAAGAACCAGUGACAAAGAAAGGAAGAAAAUGCUCAUUCUGUCGUAAGCAUGGUCACUCAAAGAAUAAUUGUAAGUUGAGGCAAUGGACCUUUAGCAGCUCACUGGACAUGACUGGAGACUUGGGAUUCAAAACUGUAAAAAUACGGUCUGAUGAUCUGGAAAACCCAUAUAAGCAUGCUCAAAAAAGUUCUGAGCAUAUGGAAAAGAGUCCUACAACAACUCAUGUAAGUGGUCUCCAUAUAUCAGGUCUUUAUUUAUGGGUGUCACAGCUUAUUGAUUCAUGUUAUGUGCUUGUUUGCAGUUAAGCUCCAAAGCUAAUGGUCGCAAACUUUAUUCCCACAGCCACGGAGUAACGAUGAGAGCACCACACUCAUACAUGGACUUGGGGACAACCUCUCAUUCCAGCAGUGGACUUAAGCCAGCACAAUUCACAUGGCAGGGGAAUUUGUGUGUUAACCUAUCUACAUUACAGACAGCUGCUGGACACGCGAAGGAGUCACCUGGAAUUGAAAAUGUGCAGCUCCAUGGGGAUGGAAACCAAUCUGUUAAGUUGGGAAAAUUGCAGCAACAUGUCAAAUAGCCUUCAAGCAUGAACUGACUGAUGCUGGACAAACCAACUCAAGAAUUGUACAGGCAUAUAGCCUUUUUUGUUUUGUAGAUACAAUCAAAUUAGGCAACUAAAAGCCUCUGUUUUGCUAGUCCAGAUGUGGCAAACUUUUGUUCAACUCAUAUAGUCCAUUGGAACUAAGAUUUUUUUUGUUAACAUGGAAUUUUUGUUAGCCUCUGUUUUUGGUAGCCUCUGUUUUGGAACUCAUAUAGCCUUUGUUCUGCUAGUCCAGAUAGGUGAAAUGCAGAGGUUGUUAAUGUGGAUUUUUGUCAUUCCUGGUAUUGCUAUUGUGUAUUGGAUGAUUUGUUGAAUGAUCAAAGGCUUUUGCUGAAAAUUUUAUGUUCUGGUACGACUAUUGUUUGCUGUUGUUAAUGUGACAUAAACUACUUACAAUAAACUUCACAAAUUGGGACACUAAAAUCCCUAAACAACAAAUUCUGAUUACAUAGCAGGUCCAACGUUCACAAUUAUGAGACAUAGCACUAUAUCCCUAAAUUUGAUACAGUACAUAUAAAACCAACACUUGUAGGGAAAGUGCUGGUAAUUACAUAGUCAGCAAAAGUAAGAAUUUCCUUCCUGCACCACUCAAAAGGUCCACUACUUAGCAAUGACAGACAAAGGUGGUCCCAUAUUUGAGCAAACAAAACAAGCAGUCCGGCAUAAGCGGUUGCUUCUUCUGGAAAACUCAUUUUGGACGUUCUCCCCCAGAUUUGAAUAAAAACAACCACAUGACAAUGACAACCCAGUGGAUAAUCAAGUACAUCCUUAGCUUCCUCACUUUCGAUUGUUGGCACCUUGAAUUUUCUUUCAACCUGUCCAACUCAGCUUCCAUCUUGUUCAUCGACCUUAGCAGUUCAGGUAUUAUUUCUUUUGACCUUUGACACAUCUCAGGAUCAACCCAAUCCCAGUAUAUGCAGCCUCCUUGUUCCUAGUUUGACAAGAUUAGGUGGCUACAAUUCGUACAAACCAAAAAUAAAAAACAAGUAUAAACACAAAACCCUAAUUUCCCUUACUCUGUACUUGGCACAUCGACAAAACCUUCUUCCUGGGUUCAUGGUAGUCCAUGAUGUCAUCAUCAAUGUUUGCUUUCCACAAUCACAAAAUUGCCUCACCAUUUCUCUUUGUUUGUUGAACCAUGCGUUGGGUUCUCCUUUUCUUCUUCCUGCCUUGUGGAUAGCAAAAUGACAACUUGGGUCUCUCAGCAUACCGACCUGAAGUGCUCUUUUAUGAUUUGGAUCGGGUCUACAUUAUCCAUCUGAAGUGGGUUGCAUGGAGGGAAACCUUCCCUCCAUAUUUCACCACCUUUUUUUAAUCUAUAUAUGUGAUUUUUGUGAAUUUUCAUUGUUGCCCUCGGUCAAAAUCUAGUGUUUGCCACGCUCUAUGACCACCAACGGCAUUCAGGAUUCUGUCAACAAUUUUCCUUAACUGGGAGCAAAUUAAAAGUUUAGGGAUUUAAGUGUCCCACUUUGAAGUUUAGGGACUUAAGUGGGUUAUCGUCCAAAGUUUGAGGGGACGAAGUGGAAUUAACCCAAAAAACUAACCAUUACAGCAAUCAAACGUCCAAACCAAAUGCUCUGCAUUUGAACCAUAUGUCCAAUCCCUGAUCGGACUACCAAACCAAAUCUUCACUGUUCGAUUCAUUUGUCUGAAAUUUUCUGGUAGCUAUUGAUUUUUGUUGGAUGGCGAGACCUUAGGGACUGCAUUCGAACCUCUGUGUCCAAAGAUUAUUCAUCAACUUUUGGCUCCUUUUUCUUUUUCUCCUCUUUUUCAAUGAGGUACUUUUGAUCCUUUGAAUGUUUUCUAUCAUAUAACUUAAUUAGACCAUUAGCCACUUCAUCAUUUUCUUUGUUAUUCAUCAAAAUUCAAGGAUUAAAAACUUUGAGGUCUUCAUCAACACUCUAAUUUCUCUUCUUUAUUAUAUUUUUUGCCCGCAGAAAAUUUUCUAAUUGACGUAUCAAUGGCUAAAUGACUUUUUUGUUCCCUUUACCAGCUUGCCAUUACAUGCUACAAAGUCCAAAAUAAUCACAAGACUCUCUCUAUCUUUCUCUGGGCUCCAUGUUGUUAGCACCACCACCCUGCAACAUGCACUCUUCCUAAUCUACAGGCAUGGUAACAACUCACAGUGUAAAUCACCCUAUGCUUUCUCAUUCCUUUCACAUAAUUUCUCUCUCUAGUUCCAAUCCCUCUUACCAACCAUUUUCCAAGUUUCAACUCUAUUCUAGUAUAGCAAAAAUUUGCUCACCAACAACUUUUGAACUCUUUUUUGGAACACCAAUUCAUUGCCUCAUUCUAUUGCUCUCUCAAUUGCCUCCAAUUAGAAUACUAUAGACUAUAAUAAAAAAAAUUGAAUCUAGUCCUUUUGGCCACUACAAAAAAUUUUAAAAUACAAUAACAUAAAGAUUGUUUUCUUGAUUUGUUUACCAAUUUGAGAUGUCGCGCCCCACUUUUCGAUAGGUGCGAAAUGUGUGAUGUGUGGUAUGUAAUGUGUGAACGUGUGCAAAAUGGAAAGUAAAAGGCCAUGGGACUUAGAAUGCGACGAUUUGGCCAAGUGAAGUUCAAAAGGGUUUUUUGUAUCAAAAAUGGAGUCGCCACUUGGUAUAGAGUUAGGGUGUACCAAGUCACCCAAAAAUGAUUUUUGUUUUUGAAUAAAAAAGUAAAUAAACCCUUUUUGAGAACUUUUGGGUCUACGUAACCAAAAGAGGGAUCGGGGGUCACAUUUGACGAAGGGGAAGGCAAGGAUAAAAAUCCAAGGCACCCCUUCGACCUAGCCAAGGCUAGUUGCGUGACUUAAACCAAUUUUUCCUAAUUUUUCUACCCAAGGUAUGUAUCGCGUAUUGGAUAUGUCUAUAUGAAUGCAAAAACCCUAGACCUAGGGGGUAUUGGGGAAAUUUCUCUUCAAAGGUUGAGUGGUGCCAAUCACAUUAAUUGUGAAGCCCAACAAUGAUCCUUUUGGAGAGGUCACACCUAAACCUAAAUGACGUGAAAAAUGAGUGGAAUGCAUGCCAUGUGAAAGUGUGAGUUUGUGUGAAGUGAGAAAAAAGUAAUAAGAUAAGAGUGAAGGUGUGCAAAUGUAGAUGAAAGUACUCGUGUGCGAGUGAAGAUAAAAAUGUUCGUGUGCAAGUGAAGAUAAAAGGGUUCGUGUGCAAGUGGAGAUAAAAAAGUGUUCGUGUGCAAGUGAAAGUGAUAAAAAGGUGCAUGUGUGCAAAUGAGGAAAAAAAAAAAGUGAAAGUGUAAUGAUAGAGUGGAUUGAGAAUGCAUGAGCCUAGGGAAUUCAUGCAUAUUGGGUACGGGGAGACCUAAAUCGUGACUCAAUUUGCCCUUUGAUAGAGGGAAUAUAAGCGUGCUAAGGCUUAGCAAAAAGCCCCACUCGUCUAUACCCCAUAUUUAAGGAGACUCUUCAAGCAAAUGGACCCUAACUAGCAUGAGAUGCAAGGCCUAAAGUGAGGGGAAAGGGGAAUCGAGGAUCAUGCCAGAUGAUAGAACUAAGGAAAAAUGCAUGAUAUGUAGUGAACAAGCAAAUGAUGUGCUAACGAGGGGAAAUCCCUAAGGGUCUAGCGUUGGACUAGCCCAUUCUAUGAAUUCCGAAACGUACAUUCAUCCAUUCCAUUUAUUCAUGGCUAUGAAAGCAAGUAGACAUGCCAAAACACUCGUAAACACGUAACACGUAACACUUAGCAUGCUCGACUAGAUGCAAGAGCCUAAUAAAGCAAUUAAACAUGUAGCAACAAAAGCAAGCAACCAAGGGGAAGGGGAAAUGGACCAGAUGCUCUCCGAGCCCUAUCUAUUACAAGCCAAGAGGUGUACACAUACCCCAUAAUGAAUAACUUAAAGAGCCUAAUAAAGCAAUUAAGCAAGCAACCAAGGGGAAGGGGAAAUGGACCAGAUGCUCUCCGAGCCCUAUCUAUUACAAGCCAAGAGGUGUACACAUACCCCAUAAUGAAUAACUUAAAUAAAAAGCAAAAGUAAAUGAAAUAAAUGAAAGGAAUUAAAGAAAGGCAAGGAAAGCGAAAUAGACAUGCAUAUUCACAUAACACGUAGGAGCACGUAGGGUCAAAUGAAGUGCAAAUAAGGGAUAGAGUGUACCUCCCUUGGAGUGGAGUCCAAAUGAAGUGAAACCACUUAUUUAUCCUCCAAAAUAAAAGAAAUGGUCAAGGUACCAAUUUAUUUGGGAAAAUUAAAGAAAAUAGGCAAACACAAGCGCACUUGGUCAUAAAGCCCCUAAAAUCAUGAAUUAAGUGCAAUUGAAACAAAGCAUAUUGAUUAAUUAAAACAAACAAGCAAUGAAAUUGUAGAAUUAAAAUUAUCAAGGACCAAAUUGAGGAAAUUAUUCAAUUGGUUGGGUCAUAGUGGAACAAGAAGAGACUUGGGGGGUUGAAAUGUAAUUUUUCUGAAGGUUUUUCAUGCAGCUCAUGCAAAUUAACGUGGGAUAGUCUGCAACAAGGGAAAAAAGAAAAUUUCUGCAAUCAAGAAUAUCAACGCAACUUGCAUUUCCACAAACAAAUAUCAACUUUUAACACUAAAUUUGAUCACAACCAUUCAAUCAAAACAUCUAAAAACCUUAUCUUAGCAACAUGCAACACAAUUUCAACAUCCAACAAUGGCAAACAUCGAAAGAAAAAUCACACAAAUACUUGAAGAAAAAUCCAGCAAGCAUUCGGCAACUGGAGUUGAUCAUUUUACAGCAAGGUUGUGAUCCUAGCUCAAAUGUUUAAGACCCAACUAUACAAACUCAACACCACUCACCCACUUCCCCUUCAACAUGAAAUUAAGCUAGCAAAAGAAAAUGGCCAAAACCAGUUUAUAUGAGCUACUUGCGAGAAGAAAAGAAGACAGCAAAUUAUGAGGAUGAAAACGCAGCAAAAGGAGAGACGAAAAACGCAGCAAGAAUUUCUGGAACCAAAACAAACAGGCCGCUGCAUUUUCCUUCUGGCAAAUGGAGGUUUAGCUUAACUUCAAACUAAGCAGCAAGGCCAAAACUUUCACAAACAGCAAAUGAAAGCAUAGCAGAAAAUCAUGCAAAUUCUAAUGAGACCUUUAUGCAAGACCCGAAGAGAAUUUCUGCAACAUCAAGCUUCGAUAAUUCAUGAAGACUUUUAGCGCUAAAGCCAGCUGCAAUUUUCUGCUAACAUGCAAACAGUGCACUGGGUUUCUGAACUUGAACCGAAUCCGGAUGGUGGCGGUACUGGUGGUGUUCGACGAACGCCGGCAGUGGGAGCAAAGCGCCGUUGACUAGACCGAGGGCUCCAGAGACGAAGCUUGCCGUCCCGCAACUGAAGUCGACUGAAAUGUUCUUGCCGGCAAAGGCGAUGGACUCCAGCUUUUCCUUUUCGCUCUGCUCUUCCUGUCCGAAGCCCUUUUCCAAUCUCAGCUUUUCACCCAGCCCCCGACUCUCAAUCUCUCUGGUUUUCCUUUUGUUUUUUUCCAAAUUCCAGCCGUCAACUCCCUCUUAGUUUUUCUGGUUUCUAAAACCUCUCCGUAGCCCUCUGUAUUCUGUUCCUACUCCUCAGUCAUCUUACGCUGCCUCCUCUCUCUCUUGCGGCUUCUGAUUUUUCUUUUCGUUUUUCAGCCGUCCACUCCCUCUUGCUCUCGGCUCUCCCUCUUAUCUCUCCCGUUUGCUAGCUCUCCCCACGAUGAAGCUCCCUCUCUUGCGGCUGCCCUUUUCUUUUUCUUCUUUUGGUUUAGCCAGAAACCCUCGCUCGAAAAAUCCUCCUUGCGGCUGCUCUUCUUUAUUCUCUUUAUACCCAACCAACCCUAAAACCUUCAGUCCUUCUUCUGCAAUUUGCAGCCAGGGGCUGCCCCAAAGUUCUCUUGCAAGCUGCGACCAAAACGCAGCUUGCGUGCCGCGAUUCUCAUCAUCAUUUUUCUUUUUCUUUUUUUUUCUUUUUUCAUCAAGCAAAAUUGAUAAAAAUAAAGAUAAAUAAAUAAUAAUAACAAAUUAACAAAAUUGUCAACAAAACUAAGUAACAAUAAUAAUAAUAAUUUAAAAAAAUCUAAACCACUAAAACAACAAAAAUGGAUAUUUUUAAACUCUUUUUUUCCAUAAUCUUUCCCUCCUUUUUUCCUUUUCUUUUCUUUCCAAAAUAACUUAAUAAAAAUAAAGCGCCAAAAGAUUGAAUAAAAAACAUAUUUUUGUGAACAAAUUUUCCUUUUUUCCCCUUCUUUUUCCAUUUUUCAUGAUUUUCUCUUUUUCCUUUUUCCAAAUGAACCAAAUAAAAAAAUAAAUUAAGUAGAAAUGACUAAAAUAGAUAAAUAAAGCUGAAUAAAACAAAAUUUCUAUUUUUUCAUUUUUUUCUUCAAGAAACUCUAUGCUAAAACUUAAAAACAAAAACUAGAAACUAAAAACUAAAAAAACGAGCACGACAAAUAAACUAAAAAUGAAAUUACAUCAAAAUUUUGGUGUCUACAGUUUGCCCCUCUUUGUCAGAGUUUUGGAAAAAUUUGAGACAAAGAAGUAGACACCAAAUGCUUACCUGUGCCAUGCGGUUGCCCCUAUUCGGAGGACUGACUUAAACAAGGAAUUUUAAACGUGGGACUGGCCCGAACAGAAAAUAUAAACGGGGUAGACCCGGACGGAAAUGUAAAUGGGAUAGACCCCACGGGAUAGACCCGGACAGAAAUGUAAAUGGGAUAGACCCACGGGAUAGACCCGGACUGAAAUGUAAACGGGAUAGACCCACGGGAUAGACCCGGACAGAAAAGUAAAUGGGAUAGACCCACGGGAUAGACCCGGACAGAGAUUCAAAAUUGGGAUAGACCCACGGGAUAGACCCGAACAGAAAAGUAAAUGGGAUAGACCCACGGGAUAGACCCGGACAGAGAUUUAAAAUUGGGAUAGACCCACGGGAUAGACCCGAACAGAAAUUUAAAUGGGAUGAAUUGAAGUGAGAUGGAGUAUUAGUGAGGUUGACCCAUGUUUAUUGGUGAUGCAAAUGAAAGAAGCGAAAUGAAGUGUUAAUGGGACUGAUCCACGUUCCAGUGGCUGUGAAAAUGAAAUGUCUUGACAAUCGGACAGUGGGAUCAAACCCGAACCUGCCGUGAGAACUUGAUUUGAUUUUUUGAUUUUUGAUUUUUGGAUUUUUGGAUUUUUGGAUUUUUGGAUUUUUGGAUUUUUCUGAUUGAUUUUUUUUUUUUUUGAGGGAAUCUUUUCAAAAUUUGCCCCAGUAUGAUGAAUUGGUCAGUGAGACGACAUCUGAGCCUGACGGGGUGUGGACGGUCAGCGGGAUAAAACCCGGUCCUGCCGAGAUUGGCGGGAUAAAACCCGGUCCCAAUGUGAGAAAAGCGGUCAGCGGGAUUACACCCGGUCCUGCCGAGAUUGGCGGGAUAAAACCCGGUCCCAAUGUGAGAUAAGCGGUCAGCGGGAUUAAACCCGGUCCUGCCGAGAUUGGCGGGAUGAAACCCGGUCCCAAUUUUGAUAAAAGCGGUCAGCGGGAUCAUACCCGGUCCUGCCGAGAUUGGAGGGAUGAAACCCGGUCCCAAUUUGAUAAAAACGGUCAGCGGGAUUAUACCCGGUCCUGCCGAGAUUAUUGAAUAAAACACACACGUCAGUGAGAUAAACUCGAUGCUAACGGUGGUGGAGUGAAAAGAAACGCACACGUUAGUGAGAUAGACUCGAUGCUAACGGUGGUAGGGUGAAAACGCACACGUUAGUGAGAUAGACUCGAUGCUAAUGGUGGUAUAGAAACGCACACGUUAGUGAGAUAGACUCGAUGCUAACGGUGGAAUAGAAACGCACACGUUAGUGAGAUAGACUCGAUGCUAACGGUGGAAUAGAAACGCACACGUUAGUGAGAUAGACUCGAUGCUAACGGUGGUAGGGUGAAAAGAAACACACACGUUAGUGAGACAGACUCGAUGCUAACGGUGGUAGGGUGAAAACGCACACGUUAGUGAGACAGACUCGAUGCUAACGGUGGUAGGGUGAAAACGCACACGUUAGUGAGACAGACUCGAUGCUAACGGUGGUGAAAUAGAAACGCACACGUUAGUGAGAUAGACUCGAUGCUAACGGUGGUGAAAUAGAAACGCACACGCUAGUGAGAUAGACUCGAUGCUAACGGUGGUUGAAUGAAAGCGCACACGUUAGUGAGAUAGACUCGAUGCUAACGGUGGUUGAACUAAAACCAAUCCCAACAUGACUUUUGUGAAGUUGGCGGCACAAAAUCCAGGCCCAACGUGAUCUUGUGAUAGUUGGCGGCACAAAAUCCAGGCCCAACGUGACUUUUGUGAAGUUGGUGGCACGGAAACCAAACCCAACGUGAUAAAGUGAGGUUGGCGGCACUAAAUCCAGGCCCAACGUGAUAUUUGGAAUGUUGGCGGCACGAAACUCAGGCCCAACUUGAUAUUUGAAAUGUUGGCGGCACAAAAUCCAGGCCCAACGUGAUUUUUGAUUUUUCCUUUUUCUUUUUCCGAGAGAAUUUUUUUUCAAAAUAAUUUGCCCCAGUGUCGGGCCAUUUUUCCCUCCUUCUUCUCUUUCUUCGGCAUCGGCCUUCCACAACUCAGAAGCUUUUCCGUCGAUUUCAACUAUGAGUACCUGCACAGGGGCUUACAUGCACUCAAAUUUUCAAGAAAAGGGCAGCGUGAUUGAUUUGAAAGUCUUGCUUGAGUCUUUGACGAAAUCCUCAAAUGGACUAUAAAAAUUUGCCCCAGUGUGGGCUUAUUUUUUUUGAAAUCUUGGAAAUAAAAAUUUUGCCCCAGUAUGGGCCCAUUUGAUUGGAAAAAAUUGGUUUGGAUGUCUCUCCAUUUAUUCGAACCAAGAGAAAUCGCACCUUCCAAAACUUAGAAAGUAAUCAUAUAUACAACGUGAAGAAAUUUGAAUGUUGAGUUCAUACAGAAAUUUCAUGAUGAAUCUCUCAGAAUAUCACCAAAUUACAGAAGAUUUCUUCCUCACUUUUAGCAUCGGUACUCAGGGUAACGGAUCACCAUUUCUUGUUGGCUCAUCUGUCAGGACCAAUCAAGUGACUUUAUUUUUGAUUUGGAAAUGACUAAAGGAAAAUGGGAGGUCAAGAUUUGUCUCAUUUUGUGCUCAUUCGAUAUCACGUCCUCAUGAAAGCAAAGUAGUUUGUCACCCUUAUUUUCCAAGAAAACUUAGGCAGCAUACAAGCUUGAUAGGCUUGCAACAAAACGGGUAGAAGCGAUAGCUAAACCUGUGAAAACUGGUUAUACCCCCAUGAUCACAAAUGAUUGAUGGAUUUCUUACGAGCAUAAUCGUCACUUUGGAUUGUCAUGAAGAAAUAAGUCAACGAUGGACUUUAUUAGCUUGUAAUGUGGCUUGAAAGCGAUAGUUAAAAGAUAAAUCCUUCAAGGACAUUGCAUCAAAGAUCGCAUUUUUCCCAAAAUUGCCCCUAUUUUGAACCCAAAGAUCUCAGAAUUUGUUGGUAUUCUUCUACUUAUUCAACAGGGACUUCAACGUCGAAUUUUUCUGCAUUUUCUUUUGCGUUUGCUUUCUUUUCCCUUUUUCUUUCCCCUUUUUUUUCAAAAGUGCCCUCGCGGGUUUUCACAUGAAGAGCAGUGCCAACCUCACACCUAAUCAAUUCAGAAUACAGCUAAAAUUUUCCGGCAUCAGAAAUUUUCUUGACAGGGUCAUUGCAAAGAACAGAAGUCAGGGCUUUCGGCUUUUUGUAAUGGGGUCAGGUGGGGUGCUUAGAAAAGUUAAGGCUUGAACACGGAUUUCAAAAGUAAUCUGAGAUCGCAUUGUUGUGCCAACCCUAUUUUAGGGUUAAAUCAGAAUUUGCCCCAGUUUAUGCUUAAUUGGGGCUUUUUCACUUUCAUUUUCUUUCUUCUUUUGAUUUUUCGGCCUUCUGCCACUCUUUUGAACUUUCGCAAAAUUUGCCCCAGUUUAUUUUUGAACUGAGGUUCUCUUUUCUCUUUUGUCAUUUGAUUUUGUGGCUUUUCACCUUUCACUUCUUGAAUUUUCCCUUUUUCAACUCAAACUUGCCCCCAGUGUGGGGUUUGCGAUUCUCAGGGGUUGCCAAACGAAGUAUUUUAUUCUGAAGGCUCAAAAGGGAUAACUAGGGAUAGAAUGUUCAAUUGGAAAAGAAGAUGGCCUGACUUGUAUUCCGUUCCUUACAAUAACUCUGAAAGGAAACUUUCGUUAAUGCGAAAUUUUCGCGUGUAUCUGAAUUAAUUGACUGAGGAAGACCCUUGUUCAUCCAUAUUUGUGAAACAUAGGCGAUUCACGCGGACAAAACCCUUCCUUUUUCAAAAUUGGAACCCAAGUGGAAUCAAAUUUCCCCAAUUUGCGGUUCCCUUCCUAUUUUAGCAUGUUUGCUUUUCCCCUCCUCAUUCUAGCAUUUUUUGCUUUUCCCCCUUUCUUUCCCUUUUUCAAAAUUCCUCAAUCUCCUUCCCCAAUGUGGGGUGCGAUCAUAUGUGCACUCGAAAAGAACCACCAAUUUUAGCUCAGAUGAGGUUGCAAGGGAUGAUCAGUGUUUAGGUUGUAGAAACGAUGGCCAAAGCAUCAUUCUUACACCUCAUGACAACCAAAGUAACGAAAUGGUCAUUAAGAAUCCAUUCCCCUUUUGAUAUUUGAAAAUUUUCCAAUGAAGGGUAGUGAUCAUUAGGGCUCUUAUUUGAAACGAAAUUAUUCUUUUAAAGGCUCAAAUGGGAGAGCAAAUGACAAAAUCUGUAUAGGUAGAGAAACGAAUGCUCAAAGUAUCAUUCUAAAUUUUCAAAAUAAACAAGAAUGAUGCACAUUUUUGCUUUCACUUAGAUGUGAAUGAAUCAGAUUAGACACCUCGAACAUUUUCAAGCAAAAGUUGCCCCAAUUUAUCAAUCAAUGUGACUGACUUUAUUUUGGGAUUAAGUGAAGGAGAAAGGUAUCUCAUGGGGCCUUUUGAGUGAUCGCUUACCCUUUUUCUUUCUGAGCACUCUUAUUGGAUGACUCGGAUCAACAAUCUGGUGUACAUAAGGGUUUUUGAAAGCAUACACUUGCGAAUUUUCAGGCUGGAGGUUGAAAAAACUCUCAAUUCGGUCUUAUUUCUUCAAAUUCAUCAUAAAAUCUCCAAUGAAUAAGAAUAAAGAAUGAAAUGUACAUAAAUUUACACAAAACAAUAAUUGUCCAGAACUUUGUUGCUGAAAAAGUUUGAAACAAGAAUUCCUCGUUCAAUUACGAUACAAAUGAGGAGAGAAACUUCUAAAGAGCUCCACAUAUACACUUUCCGUCUCCUUUUCUUUUGAAACAAAAGAAAUGUAUUAACAAGUCAAAUAUACAAAAUUUUCCUUGAAAGCAAUUAUGAAAUCUCUUAGAAACUCUUAGCUUAGAGCUUUCAGAUGGAUCUUUCAUGUUGCCAUUGUUGGAUCUGCCCAAGAACCAAAUAAUACUUUCUGAACUUUAUCGGAUCAAAAAUUGUUAUCCAGUAUAGGGAAAUAUUUUCACCUUAUUGAAACAUUUUUAUGAAUGCAGGGGAGGGGGAAAAAGAAAAAUACCCAGAGUUAGUAAGCAAGACUAUAAAAACAGCAUGCAUGUCCUAUGGGGGAACCCUUUUUGUGCCAAGGGUAGGCCUAGAAUGAAAAUGCAAUCCUCCAGAGCAGGCACUAUACAAUACCUGAUGGAUCCAAUCAGCUUAUGGAGUGAAAAAUAAUUUGAAAAAUUUGGCCAAUUGGAGUGACGAGAGAUUUGUCGAAAUGGGGACAACGUCCAAAUAAAUUGAUCACCUUUGAUUUGCAAAACGCACGGGUUUGACCUUGACGAACCUCCUAUCGAAGAGAUUGGAGUUCGUUGACAAAUUUUCUCAGUGAAGCAUGAGUCAAUACCCCAACUGAUCAAAUGGCUGGAUGCAAUGGAUGCUUUUCCCAAAAUCGACUAGGUUUUCCAUUUUGAAAUUCGAUAUUGAAACCCUAAUUGGUCAAAUGAAAUUGACAAUUGAUUAAAAAUCGACCGGAUUACCCUAAAAAGGGAAACAGGUCAAAUGAAUUGAAAUGAAAUUUAAUUUAUCCAAAAUUAAUCAGAUCACCCUAAAAAGGGUAAAUUGAUCAACUAGAUUGAACGAAACUUGAUUUGUUCAAAAUCGGCUCGAUUGCCCUAAGAAUGGGUAAAUUGGCCAAAUGAAUGAUUUAUUCAAAAAUCGGCCGAAUGACCCUAAAAAGGGUAAAUCGGCCAAAUGAAUAAUUUAUUCAAAAUCGAUCGGAUGACCCUAAAAAGGGUAAAUUGGUCAAAUGAAUUGACAAUUUAUUCAAAAAUCGACCAGGUGACCCUAAAAAGGGUAAAUUGGUCAAAUGAAUUGACGAUUUAUUUAAUGAAUUGGCAAAAAUGAAUUGGUUGAAUUGUCCGGCCAUUGGUGAUUUCAAAAUUAUUGAGAUGCAUUAGUCUAUGAGCUUCUAAAAAUCAAAUUUUGGCCUCAAUUUAUUUAUCGUCUCAAUAGGAGGUAUUCUUCAAAUUAAUGUCCUUCGCGCAAGGGAUUUUUACCAAUUUUUGAUAAAAUGGCCAAAAAGUGAUUAUUAGAUGCUCAUAUUCCAAAGAUCGCUCCAUGAAAAUGAUCGGAUCCCACCUUACCUUGUGCACUACCCCUUUGGAUGGUACAGGAAAUAUAAACGUGUAAGUCUCACUGGAUUAAGUAUCUGAGACACAAGGUGGCUUAUUCCUAAACACGGGAUUCCCUAUGUGGCAUUCCCUUUCUAUGGUUUAUGCAUGAUGCCAGUUAUUAAAGCGAUGACAAAUAUUGCCUAAAGGAUAUAAAUAAUACAUUGGUGGGAAAAGGUCUAAAAAUGAAAUGUAUUUAUUGAGAAUCAAGUGCAAUAACUGAAAUUUAAACAUGUGAGCUAUCUAGUGGGUGAGUCACUAAAAGAGUGCUAAAAAGGGCCUCUUAUUGCUAAGGCAUAUGAAUGCAAGCCAAGAAAACAAAAGAAUGGUUAGUGCAAUUGAUAGUACACAUAACACAUUGGGAGCAAUUAAGAAGAAGAAAUACAAUAAAACAAGUAAAAGGGGUGGAACCCCUUCCCUCGUGCCUAAUGUGCUUAAAAUAGGGUGAGGCUGACUCUAACCUAGGAAAAUGCUAAUAUGGAUGCAUGAGGUUUGGUUCACUAAUGCCUAGACUCGAUAAAGCUUCGGCUCCCAAGCCUUCAGACCUAAAGGCGAAGGGUCAUCACUCCCAGGGCCUUUGAUCGGUGGCUCGAGUGAUCCCUUAGGUAGCGCUAUGGGCGCAGAGCACACCAGCCGCCUACCCAAGGCAAUCGAUCCUAGUCCUACAAGGCGGUGUGGGAUGGCGCCCACGAAAAUAAAAAUAAAAUGGGAUAAAGCAAGUAAACAUGCACGUAUGAAGUGUUCCCCUAUUGUGAGGGAAGGGGUGAGAACCACGCGAGACUCUAUAGGUGACACACACCCCCCCAAAUGCAGUGCAAGCGCGAGAUAACAAGUAAACAUUCAUUCAAACAUACAUUCAUGAGUCGAGGGAUUGGUUUGAUUACGUACAUAAGACAAAAGGUCCUAAAAAUGAAAAAUGCAAUCCUAAUAUCCACAUGCUAUGCAUAGAAAGGGUAGAAAAGGGAAAAGAAUGGCCAAAUCAAAUGCUUGGACCCACUUAGGAAGUCCCCAGUGGAGUCGCCAACUGUCGCGCCCCACUUUUCGAUAGGUGCGAAAUGUGUGAUGUGUGGUAUGUAAUGUGUGAACGUGUGCAAAAUGGAAAGUAAAAGGCCAUGGGACUUAGAAUGCGACGAUUUGGCCAAGUGAAGUUCAAAAGGGUUUUUUGUAUCAAAAAUGGAGUCGCCACUUGGUAUAGAGUUAGGGUGUACCAAGUCACCCAAAAAUGAUUUUUGUUUUUGAAUAAAAAAGUAAAUAAACCCUUUUUGAGAACUUUUGGGUCUACGUAACCAAAAGAGGGAUCGGGGGUCACAUUUGACGAAGGGGAAGGCAAGGAUAAAAAUCCAAGGCACCCCUUCGACCUAGCCAAGGCUAGUUGCGUGACUUAAACCAAUUUUUCCUAAUUUUUCUACCCAAGGUAUGUAUCGCGUAUUGGAUAUGUCUAUAUGAAUGCAAAAACCCUAGACCUAGGGGGUAUUGGGGAAAUUUCUCUUCAAAGGUUGAGUGGUGCCAAUCACAUUAAUUGUGAAGCCCAACAAUGAUCCUUUUGGAGAGGUCACACCUAAACCUAAAUGACGUGAAAAAUGAGUGGAAUGCAUGCCAUGUGAAAGUGUGAGUUUGUGUGAAGUGAGAAAAAAGUAAUAAGAUAAGAGUGAAGGUGUGCAAAUGUAGAUGAAAGUACUCGUGUGCGAGUGAAGAUAAAAAUGUUCGUGUGCAAGUGAAGAUAAAAGGGUUCGUGUGCAAGUGGAGAUAAAAAAGUGUUCGUGUGCAAGUGAAAGUGAUAAAAAGGUGCAUGUGUGCAAAUGAGGAAAAAAAAAAAGUGAAAGUGUAAUGAUAGAGUGGAUUGAGAAUGCAUGAGCCUAGGGAAUUCAUGCAUAUUGGGUACGGGGAGACCUAAAUCGUGACUCAAUUUGCCCUUUGAUAGAGGGAAUAUAAGCGUGCUAAGGCUUAGCAAAAAGCCCCACUCGUCUAUACCCCAUAUUUAAGGAGACUCUUCAAGCAAAUGGACCCUAACUAGCAUGAGAUGCAAGGCCUAAAGUGAGGGGAAAGGGGAAUCGAGGAUCAUGCCAGAUGAUAGAACUAAGGAAAAAUGCAUGAUAUGUAGUGAACAAGCAAAUGAUGUGCUAACGAGGGGAAAUCCCUAAGGGUCUAGCGUUGGACUAGCCCAUUCUAUGAAUUCCGAAACGUACAUUCAUCCAUUCCAUUUAUUCAUGGCUAUGAAAGCAAGUAGACAUGCCAAAACACUCGUAAACACGUAACACGUAACACUUAGCAUGCUCGACUAGAUGCAAGAGCCUAAUAAAGCAAUUAAACAUGUAGCAACAAAAGCAAGCAACCAAGGGGAAGGGGAAAUGGACCAGAUGCUCUCCGAGCCCUAUCUAUUACAAGCCAAGAGGUGUACACAUACCCCAUAAUGAAUAACUUAAAGAGCCUAAUAAAGCAAUUAAGCAAGCAACCAAGGGGAAGGGGAAAUGGACCAGAUGCUCUCCGAGCCCUAUCUAUUACAAGCCAAGAGGUGUACACAUACCCCAUAAUGAAUAACUUAAAUAAAAAGCAAAAGUAAAUGAAAUAAAUGAAAGGAAUUAAAGAAAGGCAAGGAAAGCGAAAUAGACAUGCAUAUUCACAUAACACGUAGGAGCACGUAGGGUCAAAUGAAGUGCAAAUAAGGGAUAGAGUGUACCUCCCUUGGAGUGGAGUCCAAAUGAAGUGAAACCACUUAUUUAUCCUCCAAAAUAAAAGAAAUGGUCAAGGUACCAAUUUAUUUGGGAAAAUUAAAGAAAAUAGGCAAACACAAGCGCACUUGGUCAUAAAGCCCCUAAAAUCAUGAAUUAAGUGCAAUUGAAACAAAGCAUAUUGAUUAAUUAAAACAAACAAGCAAUGAAAUUGUAGAAUUAAAAUUAUCAAGGACCAAAUUGAGGAAAUUAUUCAAUUGGUUGGGUCAUAGUGGAACAAGAAGAGACUUGGGGGGUUGAAAUGUAAUUUUUCUGAAGGUUUUUCAUGCAGCUCAUGCAAAUUAACGUGGGAUAGUCUGCAACAAGGGAAAAAAGAAAAUUUCUGCAAUCAAGAAUAUCAACGCAACUUGCAUUUCCACAAACAAAUAUCAACUUUUAACACUAAAUUUGAUCACAACCAUUCAAUCAAAACAUCUAAAAACCUUAUCUUAGCAACAUGCAACACAAUUUCAACAUCCAACAAUGGCAAACAUCGAAAGAAAAAUCACACAAAUACUUGAAGAAAAAUCCAGCAAGCAUUCGGCAACUGGAGUUGAUCAUUUUACAGCAAGGUUGUGAUCCUAGCUCAAAUGUUUAAGACCCAACUAUACAAACUCAACACCACUCACCCACUUCCCCUUCAACAUGAAAUUAAGCUAGCAAAAGAAAAUGGCCAAAACCAGUUUAUAUGAGCUACUUGCGAGAAGAAAAGAAGACAGCAAAUUAUGAGGAUGAAAACACAGCAAAAGGAGAGACGAAAAACGCAGCAAGAAUUUCUGGAACCAAAACAAACAGGCCGCUGCAUUUUCCUUCUGGCAAAUGGAGGUUUAGCUUAACUUCAAACUAAGCAGCAAGGCCAAAACUUUCACAAACAGCAAAUGAAAGCAUAGCAGAAAAUCAUGCAAAUUCUAAUGAGACCUUUAUGCAAGACCCGAAGAGAAUUUCUGCAACAUCAAGCUUCGAUAAUUCAUGAAGACUUUUAGCGCUAAAGCCAGCUGCAAUUUUCUGCUAACAUGCAAACAGUGCACUGGGUUUCUGAACUUGAACCGAAUCCGGAUGGUGGCGGUACUGGUGGUGUUCGACGAACGCCGGCAGUGGGAGCAAAGCGCCGUUGACUAGACCGAGGGCUCCAGAGACGAAGCUUGCCGUCCCGCAACUGAAGUCGACUGAAAUGUUCUUGCCGGCAAAGGCGAUGGACUCCAGCUUUUCCUUUUCGCUCUGCUCUUCCUGUCCGAAGCCCUUUUCCAAUCUCAGCUUUUCACCCAGCCCCCGACUCUCAAUCUCUCUGGUUUUCCUUUUGUUUUUUUCCAAAUUCCAGCCGUCAACUCCCUCUUAGUUUUUCUGGUUUCUAAAACCUCUCCGUAGCCCUCUGUAUUCUGUUCCUACUCCUCAGUCAUCUUACGCUGCCUCCUCUCUCUCUUGCGGCUUCUGAUUUUUCUUUUCGUUUUUCAGCCGUCCACUCCCUCUUGCUCUCGGCUCUCCCUCUUAUCUCUCCCGUUUGCUAGCUCUCCCCACGAUGAAGCUCCCUCUCUUGCGGCUGCCCUUUUCUUUUUCUUCUUUUGGUUUAGCCAGAAACCCUCGCUCGAAAAAUCCUCCUUGCGGCUGCUCUUCUUUAUUCUCUUUAUACCCAACCAACCCUAAAACCUUCAGUCCUUCUUCUGCAAUUUGCAGCCAGGGGCUGCCCCAAAGUUCUCUUGCAAGCUGCGACCAAAACGCAGCUUGCGUGCCGCGAUUCUCAUCAUCAUUUUUCUUUUUCUUUUUUUUUUCUUUUUUUCCAUCAAGCAAAAUUGAUAAAAAUAAAGAUAAAUAAAUAAUAAUAACAAAUUAACAAAAUUGUCAACAAAACUAAGUAACAAUAAUAAUAAUAAUUUAAAAAAAUCUAAACCACUAAAACAACAAAAAUGGAUAUUUUUAAACUCUUUUUUUCCAAAAUCUUUCCCUCCUUUUUUCCUUUUCUUUUCUUUCCAAAAUAACUUAAUAAAAAUAAAGCGCCAAAAGAUUGAAUAAAAAACAUAUUUUUGUGAACAAAUUUUCCUUUUUUCCCCUUCUUUUUCCAUUUUUCAUGAUUUUCUCUUUUUCCUUUUUCCAAAUGAACCAAAUAAAAAAAUAAAUUAAGUAGAAAUGACUAAAAUAGAUAAAUAAAGCUGAAUAAAACAAAAUUUCUAUUUUUUCAUUUUUUUCUUCAAGAAACUCUAUGCUAAAACUUAAAAACAAAAACUAGAAACUAAAAACUAAAAAAACGAGCACGACAAAUAAACUAAAAAUGAAAUUACAUCAAAAUUUUGGUGUCUACAUGAGAUAUAGAAAAAAAAAGAUAAUUAUUCUACCUCUUUAAUUAAUAUUUGGAUGCAAUUUUGAGAUUUUUCGAGUAGUUUCAUCAUUGAACUAUUUGGCUAUGUGAUUUUGCUCUUGAUGAUUAAACAUGUCUUUUUCUCUUUCUUCUAUUGAGGUUUAAGUUUAUGAAUCUUGAAGGGAUGGUGGGACUACCAAACUAGGCAUAGAAAAGAUGGUGAACGGAAAAGUGAAGGAAUUUGAAGAAUUUGAGAAAUGGAGAAAUAGUGUUAGGUUCCAAAAUUUGAAUAAAGUGAAAGAUUCAUAUUAUAAGAAGGGUAAGUUUGCCAAUUAAUGUAAAAGUUGUUGUGACAUUAACAUCAUCACCAUGUGACUAUCAGCUACGAUAGUUUAUCCUCAUGUCAAGGAGACUUAUAGGUAGUUUAGCCUAGUGUCCGGGAACAUAUGAUGUUUUUGACUUAGAGAUAGUUUAUUUUGAUAUCAAGGAGAUUGUUAGAUAGUUUAGACUCUUGUCAAUGAGCAUUGACAAACUUUGAUUUGGAGACAAUUGACUCUUAUGUUGAGGAAACUUUCAGAUGCUUUAGACUAGUGGUAAAUCUAUGUAUUAGUUAGUCGGGGUACGAAACCUCACUGAUUAAAGGAAAUUUUCAAUUUUACACAUACAAUUUUUAUAAAAUUUAUUUUUACCCUCCUAAUUUAUGCCCUACUAACCAAAGUAACAUUUAUGUUAUUGGAUUGCUAAAAAUUUUUCUUUACCCUUAUAAUUAGUAGAAACUAAAUAGAAUUAUAUACCAAUGCAUGACUUAAUAAUAAUUUAUAACAAAACUAAUAACUAUAAAUAAAAACUCAAUAUUUGGGAGUUUAAUUCACUUGUGAGCGUUUUUAUAUACCAAAAGAUAUGUUUUAAUGGAUUGUAGAGCAUUAAAGAGUUCUUGAUAUUUGAUCAUUUUAUUUAUUGACUAUUUAUGUUACUAAUUAUUGUCACUUACUGUGUGAAUAUUACAGUUAUUCUAUCAUAGAACUAUAAUAACUCUAUUAUAUUCAUGCCCCUUAUAUGAAUAUUUUCUUAACUCUACCAUUGGUUUAGACUCUUAUCAAGGAGUACAUGAUGUGCUUUUAGUUUGACAACCAACUUGUUUGAUUCAUAAAUUUGUUCUGAUCAACACUUGCCUUUUUUUCUUCUAGCAUAAUUCUUCUUUGUUGAGCUAACUCCAUGACCUUAUCUUUGAAGGCUAAACAUCACUUAAUCGGAUAACCAAUCAAUUAGUGAUACAUGCAAUAAUUUGAUUCAUCAGGUUGUUUAGAGUUUUCAAAGUGUUUUGACUUGAGUAAUUCAAUGAGUUUUACUUGCAAGAGAUUGUCAAACAUCCUUAGAAUAUCAGUCUCUAAAUGGAUACUCCUUUUCUCGCAUCUUUUUGAAGAUUUCUUGUUGUUUGGGAUUUUUGAGUCACUUUUAUUCUUCUCUUUCUAGAGACUUUAACAUAUGCUAUGCUUGCCAUCAAGUAUUCUUCACAAUUUAUGGGAGUGUUGCCCCUUUCUUUAACUAUGGCUUCUCCACAAUUUUGUGAGGAUCAUGAACAGGCAACUCUUGUUCUUCUAAGGUUAACCUACAACAUGUGAGCUUUUGUUGAUAACUCGUCAAAGGUCUCUAGUUGUAUCCCUUGUAAAAUGUAGUAGAAUGCCAAUUGCAUGUCUUCGAUACACGAAUACACGUCUCACUCACAAAUAAUUAAGAAAGUCGAUCCAUGCAAUUUAGACUUAAAACCCUCCAACACGCGAUGCAAGUUAGAAAUUCUUACUCUAACGGGUCCCAAGUGUCAAUAGAACUAAAUUUAAAGUUAGUAUACUAAUCAAAUGUGUUACUUUUUAACCAACAUAUGCAUUACCUGACAAUAGUGCCAACUAAUAAGUGACUAUUUUGUGCUAUAUUUGAAUAACAUUUUAUAUUAGUUUUAGUCAUUUUUUUAAUAUUAUAAGAAGAAAAUGGUCCAUUUUUGCUUGAAUUAGUUCUAAAUACUACUUAGAGCUUCAAGAAGAAUUUUGUGCCCUAUACUUGCAUUUUUUAUUGUUUUUGUAGGAGUUGAAAAUGGACUUCAUUUUGGAUAAUAAAUAAGCUUGCAUUAUGUUGAUUGAAGUCUUGAAGUUCACAAGGAUGAUGAGUUUCAAAUAUGGUUGGAGUCAUAAGAAGAAGAAAAUGAAGAAACUUGUCAAAAAUAAAAGUCAACUCGAAUCCCUCCAAACAAUUCGACUAGUUUUUUGAGGGAUUCGUGGCAGAGAACUAAACUUUAGAAUCAAAAUUCAAAAAAAAAAUAGGGGAGGAUUGCUUGGAGGGAUUCUGGUCAAACUUUGAGUCUUCAACUUGCGAACUCGGUUUCAAUUCCAUUAUUUCACUUCUUUUGAGGGAAAAAUUUGGAGACUUUUGAGCUAUAAAUGAGUGGAUCUAGAAUCAGCUUUUGGAUCAUUUCUUCUCUAUAUAAACACAUUUGCUUCAAGAAUCAAAAGAGAGCUUGGAGAGAGGCAAGGAACACCACAAAAAUAUCGUUUGUUAGGUCCCCAAUUUGUGUAGUGUAGGAUAGUUUAGUUUUAGCUAAUUCAUCAUUUCUUGUGUAUUAGUUAGAUGAAGAUGAAGUUAGAGGAUGAAGAAGGCAAGGAGAGAGCUCAUGUGACAAGGCUUAAUCUACCUUUUCAAUUUUUUAUCUUUUGUAAUUGAUUCUAAAUUUAGUUAAUAUACAAGUUUAGAUUUUAUGUUUGUUAUAUGUUUCUAAAGUUUAUGCGUUGGGUUUUGGUUGAACUUUCUAUGAUUGUAUUGUGUUGAUUUCUUCUCUAUUUGAUACUAUUCUUUUGAACAAGUUAAUUCGUACUUUUUCUCCUCUAAUCAUGAUUAACUGGCCAUUAAUUGUGAUAAUCUUAAAGUGUUAAGUUUGCAAUAAAAAUUGGGAUCUAACAUUAGUUCAAAAAGUGCUAAACCUAGGGAGUACUUUUAGUGAUAGUGACAGAUCUGAGAUAAAAAACUAAGGAUUGACAGAUCAAGGUCUGGUUUUGAGAAUCAACCUUUCUUUUGUUCGAUUCCAGGAUAAAAAUACCAUGCCACUCAACCAGAGGCGUAGGAAGGAAAAGCGCUCUCUCUAACUGAUAGUUGAGCUCACUUCGGUUGCAAAGACUUUAUCCUUAGGUGCAUGUCUCAGCAACACAAAACGAGGGUUUCGCUCGUUAUAGGACUUGACCAAACAUCUCACGACACGAGCUGACGACAGCCAUGCAGCACCUGUAUGAAAAUUAGUACCAUCCCGUUAAGGACAAGUUUUCUUGUUCAUAUGUCAAGGGCUGGACUCGAGGAAGAAGCCCCGGCUAACUCCGUGCCAGCAGCCGCGGGAAGACGGGGGGGCAAGUGUUCUUCGGAAUGACUGGGCAUAAAGGGCACGUAGGCGGUGAAUCGGGUUGAAAGUGAAAGUCGCCAAAAACUGGCGGAAUGCUCUCGAAACCAAUUCACUUGAGUGAGACAGAGGAGAGUGGAAUUUCGUGAGGAGGGGUGAAAUCCGAAGAUCUACGAAGGAAGGCCAAAAGCGAAGGCAGCUCUCUGGGUCCCUACCGACGCUGGGGUGCGAAAGCAUGGGGAGCGAAUGGGAUUAGAUUGUGACAGCCCCACCUCCCCCUAAGGCGAACCAGAGGGUUCGGCGGGUCGCCUGCCCAGCUCUCGCCGGGACUCAGUCGUUCACUACAGUCCUCAAAUGAAUUACAAGAAUAAACCUCAAAUAUACAUCACAUGGUCCACAAAUAUACAUCCAAGCCUCCAAUAAUUACAUGUCGUAAGCGAAGCGGAAACGAUUCUCAACUAUACAUAAAAUGAUUCCAAAUCCAAAUUAUACAAGAUACAUGCCAUCCAGUCACGUGAACAAGUACUACAAGUCCUUCCUUCGCUUUGAGCCCUGUGGAGGGGAAUAAAUAUUUUUGGGGUGAGCUAGAAGCUCAUCGAGUAACCAGGAAAAUCAUUAAACAAAUAUAUUUCACAAUGUUGCAUUUCGAUCAUUUCGAUGAUGUCAUGAUUCAGAGAUCAAAUGUUCGUUUAGUGCUCUCGUGAGCCAGGGAAAUCAUAGCACUUGAACACCCAACGCUCAAAUAGAUCAUUUAACAUUAACAUUAACAUUCAGAGGGAGCCCCUUCUUGAGCUCCAGAUAAACAUGAACAUGAACCAUAAACAGAGUGGAGACGUUGGUGUCCAGCACAAGACUUUCCCAGAACUCAUUGAAGCCAAAUCAUGUCAUGAACUCACAUGCAAGCACGCAUGAUAUGCAAUCGAAUAAAUAAUGCAAGAAAUAUUUCACAAGUACUUCGAAAAUAGUUUAGGGUCACUCACCUCCACGUCUCAGAAAUCAUCCAUCAUAUAACAUUGCCUUGCUCAAAUCCAAGUCUUAGAUCACCAACUCAAUGCAAACAAGUUCCUUCAAAGUUCGGACAACACUUCCCCUGAAUUUGCUAACUUUUCCAGCCAUCAUGGCUUCAUUAUUUCCUCAUUCCAACCCAAAGGUACACACACACAACAACAAGUUCAUCCAAUAGCCAUUCAGCAAGCUCCAAGUAGUACUAGUGCAAGUCAAGCUAGGGAAAAGUCCGGAAAUGAAAGUUAAGCUCAAAACCAGAAAAACAGUUUUGACGUCAUUUUGCGGUAAUUGUACCAAAGGUACUACGAUGUUCGGAUCAAGGUUCAACAUACACCGUUUCGAAGCUAAAAGACAGGGCUACAACAUUGUAGAAGGUCACUCAACCCAGUUUCGAGUGUAACCAGGUCAAAAAUGCAAGAUACCGUACCAGAAUCACAAAAACAGAUUCACAUAACGCAUUCUAGCGGAAACAUCAUAAAGCAGGAUAUCCAAGUCCAAAUCCAGAAAUUCCAAAACCAGCUGAAAUCUAAGAAACAGGGUUACAUUUCAUCAGAAGGCCUCAACAACCAAUUAGGAAGAAAUUCCAGCCAAAACAAUCAAUUACAGGCGCAAUUCUUACAUUCGGGUAAAACCAGGACAGCAAUAGUAAUUUCGACUUUCUCAUUCUACACUACUCCGAUUGACCUGAAAUUUUGUAGGCACCUCUAAAAUGUUAUUCCAUACAACUUUCAUGUUUUAAGCCAAGGCCAAUUCGGCCUCUAUCUAUGAGCUAAAAAUUCGGACAGAAUGAAGAACAUUGAAACCUAGUUUUCCACUUUUCCUUCCAAAACAGAAAUUGAUUGUAAUUAAUCACUUUUUCCACCUCCUAGAGUCAUUAAACAUCAUUUCCAAUCAUCAUACAUGACCCCAUAAUCAUAUCCAUAUGAAAACAGAAAAAUCCCCAAAAAUUAUAAAACUUCACCAAUUCAACCAAAAUCAAGAUAUAAUCCAUAAAAGUGCAUCUUAUACCACCACCAAUCAUGAAUUGAACAUCAAUUAAGGGAGGAGAGUGGUUCUUCACAACUCACCUUAGCCAUACAAGAGAUAGAGCAACAAAUCACCUUAGCUUUCCAAACAACUCCACAAAACACCUCAAGACCACUUAGCAAAGAGAUUUUAUGGAAUGAUUUGGAGUUUUAUUGGUUGGAUUUGAAGAUUGAGCAAGAAAUAGAAGGAAGAAAUUGAGAGCUUUUCUUUCUUUCUUGAGCAAGAACAUUCGGCCAAGAAGCUUGCAAAAUGAAGCAUAUUUUGGUCAAAUUUUGGUAUUUAUUUAGUAAAGGUAAAGGUAAAGUAAAAUGGUCAAAGUCCAAGAUUAAAUCACAAGGUGACACUUGUCACCUUUUGGUUCAAAACUUAUGUUUUUGUCUCUCCAAUACAAAUAUCUUAACACCUUGUAAAAUAAUAUAACUUAAUACAAAAAUCCAACAAGUUGUCAAAAAUAUAAUGCAUUUACCGCACUUGCGGGUCCCACGUUCAAAAUACGCUCUUAAUUUCUCAAAAACUAACCGAUACUAGAAAAAUCAUUUUCAAACUAUCUUUGCUCGUAAACUUUAUCUGGGGAACAUUUUCUAAUAAAGAAAAUGUAGAAAAGGCGGGCGAUUAAAUAUAAUAAACCCUUGAAAAUUAGAAAAUUUUCGGUUCUCACACUUAUACUUUUCGGGGCGUCACAAUCUCCCCUCCUUAAAAGAAUGCCGUCCUCGACAUUCCAUCUUGUACCAAUCAAGUCAAGACAUCCCGCAAGAAUCACUAAUAUUUCAAACCAAACCCACAGUCCGGCAUCCUAAACUUCAAGCCUAGGAUACGCUACAGAGAUCUGAAGCCUAAGCUCUGAUACCAACUGUGACAGCCCCACCUCCCCCUAAGGCGAACCAGAGGGUUCGGCGGGUCGCCCGUCCAGUUCUCGCCGGGACUCAGUCGUUCACUACAGUCCUCAAAUGAAUUACAAGAAUAAACUUCAAAUAUACAUCACAUGGUCCACAAAUAUACAUCCAAGCCUCCAAUAAUUACAUGUCAUAAGCGAAGCGGAAACGAUUCUCAACUAUACAAAAAAUGAUUCCAAAUCCAAAUUAUACAAGAUACAUGCCAUCCAGUCACGUGAACAAGUACUACAAGUCCUUCCUUCGCUUUGAGCCCUGUGGAGGGGAAUAAAUAUUUUUGGGGUGAGCUAGAAGCUCAGCGAGUAACCAGGAAUAUCAUUAAACAAAUAUAUUUCACAAUGUUGCAUUUCGAUCAUUUCGAUGAUAUCAUGAUUCAGAGAUCAAAUGUUCGUUUAGUGCUCUCGUGAGCCAGGCAAAUCAUAGCACUUGAACACCCAACGGUCAAACAGAUCAUUUAACAUUAACAUUAACAUUCAGAGGGAGCCCCUUCUCGAGCUCCAGAUAAACAUGAAGGCCUCAACAACCAAUUCGGAAGCAAUUCCAGCCAAAACAAUCAAUUACAGGCGCAAUUCUUACAUUCGGGUAAAACCAGGUCAGCAAUAGUAAUUUCGACUUUCUCAUUCUACACUACUCCGAUUGACCUGAAAUUUUGUAGGAACCUCGAAAAUGUCAUUCCAUACAACUUUCAUGUUUUAAGCCAAGGCCAAUUCGGCCUCUAUCUAUGAGCUAAAAAUUCGGACAGAAUGAAGAACAUUGAAACCUAGUUUUCCACUUUUCCUUCCAAAACAGAAAUUGAUUGUAAUUAAUCACUUUUUCCACCUCCUAGAGUCAUUAAACAUCAUUUCCAAUCAUCAUACAUGAACCCAUAAUCAUAUCCAUAUGAAAACAGAAAAAUCCCCAAAAAUUAUAAAACUUCACCAAUUCAACCAAAAUCAAGAUAUAAUCCAUAAAAGUGCAUCUUAUACCACCACCAAUCAUGAAUUGAACAUCAAUUAAGGGAGGAGAGUGGUUCUUCACAACUCACCUUAGCCAUACAAGAGAUAGAGCAACAAAUCAACUUAGCUUUCCAAACAACUCCACAAAACACCUCAAGACCACUUAGCAAAGAGAUUUUAUGGAAUGAUUUGGAGUUUUAUUGGUUGGUUUUGAAGAUUGAGCAAGAAAUAGAAGGAAGAAAUUGAGAGCUUUUCUUUCUUCUUGAGCAAGAACAUUCGGCCAAGAAGCUUGCAAAAUGAAGCUUAUUUUGGUCAAAUUUUGGUAUUUAUUUAGUAAAGGUAAAGGUAAAGUUAAAUGGUCAAAGUCCAAGAUUAAAUCACAAGGUGACACUUGUCACCUUUUGGUUCAAAACUUAUCUUUUUGUCUCUCCAAUACAAAUAUCUUAACACCUUGUAAAAUAAUAUCAUUUAAUACAAAAAUCCAACAAGUUGUCAAAAAUAUAAUGCAUUUACCGCACUUGCGGGUCCCACGUUCAAAAUACGCUCUUAAUUUCUCAAAAACUAACCGAUACUAGAAAAAUCAUUUUCAAACUAUCUUUGCUCGUAAACUUUAUCUGGGGAACAUUCUCUAAUAAAGAAAAUGUAGAAAAGGCGGGCGAUUAAAUAAAAUAAACCCUUGAAAAUUAGAAAAUUUUCGGGUUCUCACACUUAUACUUUUCGGGGCGUCACAAUCUCCCCUCCUUAAAAGAAUGCCGUCCUCGACAUUCCAUCUUGUACCAAUCAAGUCAAGACAUCCCGCAAGAAUCACUAAUAUUUCAAACCAAACCCACAGUCCGGCAUCCUAAACUUCAAGCCUAGGAUACACUACAGAGAUCUGAAGCCUAAGCUCUGAUACCAAAUGUGACAGCCCCACCUCCCCCUAAGGCGAACCAGAUGGUUCGGCGGGUCGCCUGCCCAACUCUCGCCGGGACUCAGUCGUUCACUACAGUCCUCAAAUGAAUUACAAGAAUAAAUCUCAAAUAUACAUCACAUGGUCCACAAAUAUACAUCCAAGCCUCCAAUAAUUACAUGUCAUAAGCGAAUCGGAAACGAUUCUGAACUAUACAUAAAAUGAUUCCAAAUCCAAAUUAUACAAGAUACAUGCCAUCCAGUCACGUGAACAAGUACUACAAGUCCUUCCUUCGCUUUGAGCCCUGUGGAGGGGAAUAAAUAUUUUUGGGGUGAGCUAGAAGCUCAGCGAGUAACCAGGAAAAUCAUUAAACAAAUAUAUUUCACAAUGUUGCAUUUUGAUCAUUUCGAUGAUGUCAUGAUUCAGAGAUCAAAUGUUCGUUUAGUGCUCUCGUGAGCCAGGGAAAUCAUAGCACUUGAACACCCAACGCUCAAAUAGAUCAUUUAACAUUAACAUUAACAUUCAGAGGGAGCCCCUUCUUGAGCUCUAGAUAAACAUGAACAUGAACCACAAACAGAGUGGAGACGUUGGUGUCCAGCACAAGACUUUCCCAGAACUCAUUGAAGCCAAAUCAUGUCAUGAACUCACAUGCAAGCACGCAUGAUAUGCAAUCGAAUAAAUAAUGCAAGAAAUAUUUCACAAGUACUUCGGAAAUAGUUUAGGGUCACUCACCUCCACGGCUCAGAAAUCAUCCAUCAUAUAACAUUGCCUUGCUCAAAUCCAAGUCUUAGAUCACAAACUCAAUGCAAACAAGUUCCUUCAAAGUUCGGACAGCACUUCCCCUGAAUUUGCUAACUUUUCCAGCCAUCAUGGCUUCAUUAUUUCCUCAUUCCAACCCAAAGGUACACACACACAACAACAAGUUCAUCCAAUAGCCAUUCAGCAAGCUCCAAGUAGUACUAGUACAAGUCAAGCUAGGGAAAAGUCCGGAAAUGAAAGUUAAGCUCAAAACCAGAAAAACAGUUUUGACGUCAUUUUACGGUAAUUGUACCAAAGGUACUACGAUGGUCGGAUCAAGGUGCAAGAUACACCGUUUCGAAGCUAAAAUGCAGGGCUACAACAUUGUAGAAGGUCACUCAACCCAGUUUCGAGUGUAACCAGGUCAAAAAUGCAAGAUACCAUACCAGAAUCACAAAAACAGAUUCACAUAACGCAUUCUAGCGGAAACAUCAUAAAGCAGGCUAUCCAAGUCCAAAUCCAGAAAUUCCAAAACCAACUGAAAGCUAAGAAACAGGGUUACAUUUCAUAAGAAGGCCUCAACAACCAAUUCGGAAGCAAUUCCAGCCAAAACAAUCAAUUACAGGCGCAAUUCUUACAUUCGGGUAAAACCAGGUCAGCAAUAGUAAUUUCGACUUUCUCAUUCUACACUACUCCGAUUGACCUGAAAUUUUGUAGGAACCUCUAAAAUGUCAUUCCAUACAACUUUCAUGUUUUAAGCCAAGGCCAAUUCGGCCUCUAUCUAUGAGCUAAAAAUUCGGACAGAAUGAAGAACAUUGAAACCUAGUUUUCCACUUUUCCUUCCAAAACAGAAAUUGAUUGUAAUUAAUCACUUUUUCCACCUCCUAGAGUCAUUAAACAUCAUUUCCAAUCAUCAUACAUGACCCCAUAAUCAUAUCCAUAUGAAAACAGAAAAAUCCCCAUAAAUUAUAAAACUUCACCAAUUCAACCAAAAUCAAGAUAUAAUCCAUAAAAGUGCAUCUUAUACCACCACCAAUCAUGAAUUGAACAUCAAUUAAGGGAGGAGAGUGGUUCUUCACAACUCACCUUAGCCAUACAAGAGAUAGAGCAACAAAUCACCUUAGCUUUCCAAACAACUCCACAAAACACCUCAAGACCACUUAGCAAAGAGAUUUUAUGGAACGAUUUGGAGUUUUAUUGGUUGGAUUUGAAGAUUGAGCAAGAAAUAGAAGGAAGAAAUUGAGAGCUUUUCUUUCUUUCUUGAGCAAGAACAUUCGGCCAAGAAGCUUGCAAAAUGAAGCUUAUUUUGGUCAAAUUUUGGUAUUUAUUUAGUAAAGGUAAAGGUAAAGUUAAAUGGUCAAAGUCCAAGAUUAGAUCACAAGGUGACACUUGUCACCUUGCGUUCAAAUUAUCUUUUGUCUCUCCAAUACAAAUAUCUUAACACAUGUAAAAUAAUAUCACUUAAUACAAAAAUCCAAAGCAAGUUGUCAAAAUAUAAUGCAUUUAACGCGCACAUGCGGGUCCAGCGUUCAAAGAUACGCUCUUGAAUUUCUCAAAUCUAACCGAUACUAGAAAAAAUCAUGUUUCGAAACUAUCUUUGGCUCAGCUAAACUUAUCUGGGGAACCCAUUUCUUCUGCUAAUAAAAGAAAAUGUAAGAAAAGGCGGCGAUUAAAUAAAAUAGAAGCGCCUUGAAAAUUAGAAAAUUUUCGGGUUCUCACAAACUUAUCACUUUUCGGGGCGUGCACAGAUGCUCCCGCCUCCUUUAAUAAGAUGCCGUCCUCUGACAAUUUCGCAUCUUGUACCGAAUACAAGUCAAGACAUCCGCAAGAAUCACUGAAUAGUUCAAAACCAAACCACAAGUUCCCGGCAUCCUAAACUUCAAGGCCCUGGGAUACAGGCUACAGAGAUCUGAGUCUAAGCUCUGAUACAACUGUGACAAGCCCACCUCGCCCCUAAGGCGAACCAGAGGGUUCGGGCGGGUGCCUGCGAGCUCGUCGCCUGGACUCAGUGCGUUCACAUACAAUGCUCAAAUGAAUUACAAGAAUAAACCUCCAAUAUACAUCAAUUGGUCCACAGAAUAUACCUCGCAAGCCUCAAUAAUUACAUGUCAUAAGCGAAGGCGGAAACGAUUCUCACUAUACAUAAAAUGAUGUCCAAUCGCAAAUUUAUAACAAGAUACAUGCCAUCCAGUCGAGUGAACAAGUAUACAAGUCCUUCCUUCGCUUUGAGCCCUGUGGAGGGGAAUAAAUAUUUUUGGGGUGAGCUAGAAGCUCAGCGAGUAACCAGGAAAAUCAUUAAACAAAUAUAUUUCACAAUGUUGCAUUUCGAUCAUUUCGAUGAUGUCAUGAUUCAGAGAUCAAAUGUUCGUUUAGUGCUCUCGUGAGCCAGGCAAAUCAUAGCCCUUGAACACCCAACGCUCAAAUAGAUCAUUUAACAUUAACAUUAACAUUCAGAGGGAACCUCUUCUUGAGCCCCAGAUAAACAUGAACAUGAACCAUAAACAGAGUGGAGACGUUGGUGUCCAGCACAAGACUUUUCCAGAACUCAUUGAAGCCAAAUCAUGUCAUGAACUCACAUGCAAGCACGCAUGAUAUGCAAUCGAAUAAAUAAUGCAAGAAAUAUUUCACAAGUACUUCGGAAAUAGUUUAGGGUCACUCACCUCCACGGCACAGAAAUCAUCCAUCAUAUAACAUUGCCUUGCUCAAAUCCAAGUCUUAGAUCACAAACUCAAUGCAAACAAGUUCCUUCAAAGUUCGGACAGCACUUCCCCUGAAUUUGCUAACUUUUCCAGCCAUCAUGGCUUCAUUAUUUCCUCAUUCCAACCCAAAGGUACACACACACAACAACAAGUUCAUCCAAUAGCCAUUCAGCAAGCUCCAAGUAGUACUAGUACAAGUCAAGCUAGGGAAAAGUCCAGAAAUGAAAGUUAAGCUCAAAACCAGAAAAACAGUUUUGACGUCAUUUAGCGGUAAUUGUACCAAAGGUACUACGAUGGUCGGAUCAAGGUGCAAGAUACACCGUUUCGAAGCUAAAAUACAGGGCUACAACAUUGUAGAAUGUCACUCAACCCAGUUUCGAGUGUAACCAGGUCAAAAAUGCAAGAUACCAUACCAGAAUCACAAAAACAGAUUCACAUAACGCAUUCUAGCGGAAACAUCAUAAAGCAGGCUAUCCAAGUCCAAAUCCAGAAAUUCCAAAACCAACUGAAAGCUAAGAAACAGGGUUACAUUUCAUCAGAAGGCCUCAACAACCAAUUCGGAAGCAAUUCCAGCCAAAACAAUCAAUUACAGGCGCAAUUCUUACAUUCGGGUAAAACCAGGUCAGCAAUAGUAAUUUCGACUUUCUCAUUCUACACUACUCCGAUUGACCUGAAAUUUUGUAGGAACCUCUAAAAUGUCAUUCCAUACAACUUUCAUGUUUUAAGCCAAGGCCAAUUCGGCCUCUAUCUAUGAGCUAAAAAUUCGGACAGAAUGAAGAACAUUGAAACCUAGUUUUCCACUUUUCCUUCCAAAACAGAAAUUGAUUGUAUUUAAUCACUUUUUCCACCUCCUAGAGUCAUUAAACAUCAUUUCCAAUCAUCAUACAUGAACCCAUAAUCAUAUCCAUAUGAAAACAGAAAAAUCCCCAAAAAUUAUAAAACUUCACCAAUUCAACCAAAAUCAAGAUAUAAUCCAUAAAAGUGCAUCUUAUACCACCACCAAUCAUGAAUUGAACAUCAAUUAAGGGAGGAGAGUGGUUCUUCACAACUCACCUUAGCCAUACAAGAGAUAGAGCAACAAAUCACCUUAGCUUUCCAAACAACUCCACAAAACACCUCAAGACCACUUAGCAAAGAGAUUUUAUGGAACGAUUUGGAGUUUUAUUGGUUGGAUUUGAAGAUUGAGCAAGAAAUAGAAGGAAGAAAUUGAGAGCUUUUCUUUCUUUCUUGAGCAAGAACAUUCGGCCAAGAAGCUUGCAAAAUGAAGCUUAUUUUGGUCAAAUUUUGGUAUUUAUUUAGUAAAGGUAAAGGUAAAGUUAAAUGGUCAAAGUCCAAGAUUAGAUCACAAGGUGACACUUGUCACCUUUUGGUUCAAAACUUAUCUUUUUGUCUCUCCAAUACAAAUAUCUUAACACCUUGUAAAAUAAUAUCACUUAAUACAAAAAUCCAACAAGUUGUCAAAAAUAUAAUGCAUUUACCGCACUUGCGGGUCCCACGUUCAAAAUACGCUCUUAAUUUCUCAAAAACUAACCGAUACUAGAAAAAUCAUUUUCAAACUAUCUUUGCUCGUAAACUUUAUCUGGGGACCAUUUUCUAAUAAAGAAAAUGUAGAAAAGGCGGGCGAUUAAAUAAAAUAAACCCUUGAAAAUUAGAAAAUUUUCGGGUUCUCACACUUAUACUUUUCGGGGCGUCACAAUCUCCCCUCCUUAAAAGAAUGCCGUCCUCGACAUUCCAUCUUGUACCAAUCAAGUCAAGACAUCCCGCAAGAAUCACUAAUAUUUCAAACCAAACCCACAGUCCGGCAUCCUAAACUUCAAGCCUAGGAUACACUACAGAGAUCUGAAGCCUAAGCUCUGAUACCAACUGUGACAGCCCCACCUCCCCCUAAGGCGAACCAGAGGGUUCGGCGGGUCGCCUGCCCAGCUCUCGCCUGGACUCAGUCGUUCACUACAGUCCUCUAAUGAAUUACAAGAAUAAACCUCAAAUAUACAUCACAUGGUCCACAAAUAUACAUCCAAGCCUCCAAUAAUUACAUGUCAUAAGCGAAGCGGAAACGAUUCUCAACUAUACAUAAAAUGAUUCCAAAUCCAAAUUAUACAAGAUACAUGCCAUCCAGUCACGUGAACAAGUACUACAAGUCCUUCCUUCGCUUUGAGCCCUGUGGAGGGGAAUAAAUAUUUUUGGGGUGAGCUAGAAGCUCAGCGAGAAACCAGGAAAAUCAUUAAACAAAUAUAUUUCACAAUGUUGCAUUUCGAUCAUUUCGAUGAUGUCAUGAUUCAGAGAUCAAAUGUUCGUUUAGUGCUCUCGUGACCCAGGCAAAUCAUAGCACUUGAACACCCAACGCUCAAAUAGAUCAUUUAACAUUAACAUUAACAUUCAGAGGGAGCCCCUGCUUGAGCUCCAGAUAAACAUGAACAUGAACCAUAAACAGAGUGGAGACGUUGGUGUCCAGCACAAGACUUUUCCAGAACUCAUUGAAGCCAAAUCAUGUCAUGAAACUCACAUGCAAGCACGCAUGAUAUGCAUCGAAUAAAUAAUGUAAGAAAUAUUAUCACAAGUAUACUUUCGGAAUAGUUAGGGUCACUCACCUCCACGGCUCAGAAAUCAUCAUCAUUAUAACAUUUCCUUGCUCAUAAUCCAGAGUCUUAGAAUCACAAACUCAAUGCAAACAAGUUCCUUCAAAGUUCGGACAGCACUUCCCCUGAAUUUGCUAACUUUUCCAGCCAUCAUGGCUUCAUUAUUUCCUCAUUCCAACCCAAAGGUACACACACACAACAACAAGUUCAUCCAAUAGCCAUUCAGCAAGCUCCAAGUAGUACUAGUACAAGUCAAGCUAGGGAAAAGUGCAGAAAUGAAAGUUAAGCUCAAAACCAGAAAAACAGUUUUGACGUCAUUUUGCGGUAAUUGUACCAAUGGUACUACGAUGGUCGGAUCAAGGUGCAAGAUACACCGUUUCGAAGCUAAAAGACAGGGCUACAACAUUGUAGAAGGUCACUCAACCCAGUUUCGAGUGUAACUAGGUCAAAAAUGCAAGAUACCAUACCAGAAUCACAAAAACAGAUUCACAUAACGCAUUCUAGCGGAAACAUCAUAAAGCAGGCUAUCUAAGUCUAAAUCCAGAAAUUCCAAAACCAGCUGAAAGCUAAGAAACAGGGUUACAUUUCAUCAGAAGGCCUCAACAACCAAUUCGGAAGCAAUUCCAGCCAAAACAAUCAAUUACAGGCACAAUUCUUACAUUCGGGUAAAACCAGGACAUCAAUAGUAAUUUCGACUUUCUCAUUCUACACUACUCCGAUUGACCUGAAAUUUUGUAGGAACCUCUAAAAUGUCAUUCCAUACAACUUUCAUGUUUUAAGCCAAGGCCAAUUCGGCCUCUAUCUAUGAGCUAAAAAUUCGGACAGAAUGAAGAACAUUGAUACCUAGUUUUCCACUUUUCCUUCCAAAACAGAAAUUGAUUGUAAUUAAUCACUUUUUCCACCUCCUAGAGUCAUUAAACAUCAUUUCCAAUCAUCAUACAUGACCCCAUAAUCAUAUCCAUAUGAAAACAGAAAAAUCCCCAAAAAUUAUAAAACUUCACCAAUUCAACCAAAAUCAAGAUAUAAUCCAUAAAAGUGCAUUCUUAUACCACCACCAAUCAUGAAAAUUGAAAUCAAUAAGGACGAGAGUGCGUUCUUCACAACUCACCUUAGCCAUACAAGAGAUAGACAACAAUCACUUAGCUUUCCAAACAACUCCACAAAAACACCUCAAGACACUUAGCAAAGAGAUUUUAUGGAACGAAUUUGGGUUUUAUUGCGUUGGAUUUGAAGAUUGAGCAAGAAAUAGAAGGAAGAAAGUUGCAGAGCUUUUUCUUUCUUUUCUUGAGCAAGAACAUUCGCCAAGAAGCUUGCAAAAAUGAAGCUUAUUUUGUGUCAAAAUUUUGGUGAUUUAUUAGUAAAGGUAAUGGUAAAGUUAAAAUGGUCAAAGUCCAAGAUAAAUCACAAGGUGACACUUGUCACCUUUUUUCAAAACUUAUCUUUUUGUCUCUCCAAUACAAAUAUCUUAACACCUUGCUAAAGUAAUAUCACUUAAUACAAAAUCCCAAACAAGUUGUCAAAAAUAUAAUGCAUUUACCGCACUUGCGGGUCCCACGUUCAAAAUACGCUCUUAAUUUCUCAAAAACUACACGAUACUAGAAAAAUCAUUUUCAAACUAUCUUUGCUCGUAAACUUUAUCUGGGGAACAUUUUCUAAUAAAGAAAAUGUAGAAAAGGCGGGCGAUUAAAUAAAAUAAACCCUUGAAAAUUAGAAAAUUUUCGGGUUCUCACACUUAUACUUUUCGGGGCGUCACAAUCUCCCCUCCUUAAAAGAAUGCCGUCCUCGACAUUCCAUCUUGUACCAAUCAAGUCAAGACAUCCCGCAAGAAUCACUAAUAGUUCAAACCAAACCCACAGUCCGGCAUCCUAAACUUCAAGCCUAGGAUACACUACAGAGAUCUGAAGUCUAAGCUCUGAUACCAACUGUGACAGCCCCACCUCCCCCUAAGGCGAACCAGAGGGUUCGGCGGGUCGCCUGCCCAGCUCUCGCCUGGACUCAGUCGUUCACUACAAUCCUCAAAUGAAUUACAAGAAUAAACCUCAAAUAUACAUCACAUGGUCCACAAAUAUACCUCCAAGCCUCCAAUAAUUACAUGUCAUAAGCGAAGCGGAAACGAUUCUCAACUAUACAUAAAAUGAUUCCAAAUCCAAAUUAUACAAGAUACAUGCCAUCCAGUCACGUGAACAAGUACUACAAGUCCUUCCUUCGCUUUGAGCCCUGUGGAGGGGAAUAAAUAUUUUUGGGGUGAGCUAGAAGCUCAGCGAGUAACCAGGAAAAUCAUUAAACAAAUAUAUUUCACAAUGUUGCAUUUCGAUCAUUUCGAUGAUGUCAUGAUUCAGAGAUCAAAUGUUCGUUUAGUGCUCUCGUGACCCAGGCAAAUCAUAGCACUUGAACACCCAACGCUCAAAUAGAUCAUUUAACAUUAACAUUAACAUUCAGAGGGAGCCCCUGCUUGAGCUCCAGAUAAACAUGAACAUGAACCAUAAACAGAGUGGAGACGUUGGUGUCCAGCACAAGACUUUUCCAGAACUCAUUGAAGCCAAAUCAUGUCAUGAACUCACAUGCAAGCACGCAUGAUAUGCAAUCGAAUAAAUAAUGCAAGAAAUAUUUCACAAGUACUUCGGAAAUAGUUUAGGGUCACUCACCUCCACGGCUCAGAAAUCAUCCAUCAUAUAACAUUGCCUUGCUCAAAUCCAAGUCUUAGAUCACAAACUCAAUGCAAACAAGUUCCUUCAAAGUUCGAUCAGCACUUCCCUGAAUUUGCUAACUUUCCAGCCAUCAUGGCUUCAUUUUUCCUCAUUCCAACCCAAGGUACACACACACACACAAGUUCAUCCAAUAGCCAUUCAGCAAGCUCCAAGUAUACUUACAAGUCAGCUAGCGAAAAGUCCAGAAAUGAAAGUUAAUGCUCAAAACCAGACAAAACACGUUUGACGUCAUUUAGCGUAAUUUAACCAAAGGUACUACGAUGUCGGAAUCAAGGUGCAAGGAUACACCGUUUCGAAGCUAAAUACAGGCUACAACAUUGUUAGGAAUGUCACAUCAACCCUAGUUUCGAGAUGUAACCAGGUCAAAAAUGCAAAGAUACCAGACCAGAAUCACAAAAACAGAUUCACAUAACGAUUCUAGCGAACAUCAUAAAGCAGGCUAUCAACGUCCCAAAUCCAAACUUCCAAAACCAACUUGAAGCUAAGAAACAGGGUUACAUUCGAUCAGAAGGCUCAACACACAAUUCGGAAGCACAUUCCAGCCAAAACAAUCCAAUUACAGGCGCAAUUCUUACAUUCGCGAUAAAACAGCGUCAGCAAUAGUAAGUUUGCGACUUCUCAUUUCAUACACUACUCCGAUUGACCUGAAAUUUGUAGGAACCUCUAAAAUGUCAUUCCAUACAACCUUUCAUGUUUUAAGCCAAGGCCAAUUCGGCUUCUAACUAUGCAGCUAAAAAUUCGGACAGAUGAAGAAACAUUGAAACCUAGUUUUCCACUUUUUCCUUUCAAAACAGAAAUUGAUUGUAAUAAUCACUUUUCCACCUCUGAGUCAUUAAACAUCAUUUCCAAUCAUCAUACAUGACCCCAUAAUCAUAUCCAUAUGAAAACAGAAAAAUCCCCAAAAAUUAUAAAACUUCACCAAUUCAACCAAAAUCAAGAUAUAAUCCAUAAAAGUGCAUCUUAUACCACCACCAAUCACGAAUUGAACAUCAAUUAAGGGAGGAGAGUGGUUCUUCACAACUCACCUUAGCCAUACAAGAGAUAGAGCAACAAAUCACCUUAGCUUUCCAAACAACUCCACAAAUCACCUCAAGACCACUUAGCAAAGAGAUUUUAUGGAAUGAUUUGGAGUUUUAUUGGUUGGUUUUGAAGAUUGAGCAAGACAUAGAAGGAAGAAAUUGAGAGCUUUUCUUUCUUUCUUGAGCAAGAACAUUCGGCCAAGAAGCUUGCAAAAUGAAGCUUAUUUUGGUCAAAUUUUGGUAUUUAUUUAGUAAAGGUAAAGGUAAAGUUAAAUGGUCAAAGUCCAAGAUUAAAUCACAAGGUGCAACUUGUCACCUUUUGGUUCAAAACUUAUCUUUUUGUCUCUCCAAUACAAAUAUCUUAACACCUUGUAAAAUAAUAUCACUUAAUACAAAAAUCCAACAAGUUGUCAAAAAUAUAAUGCAUUUACCGCACUUGCGGGUCCCACGUUCAAAAUACGCUCUUAAUUUCUCAAAAACUAACCGAUACUAGAAAAAUCAUUUUCAAACUAUCUUUGCUCGUAAACUUUAUCUGGGGAACAUUCUCUAAUAAAGAAAAUGUAGAAAAGGCGGGCGAUUAAAUAAAAUAAACCCUUGAAAAUUAGAAAAUUUUCGGGUUCUCACACUUAUACUUUUCGGGGCGUCACAAUCUCCCCUCCUUAAAAGAAUGCCGUCCUCGACAUUCCAUCUUGUACCAAUCAAGUCAAGACAUCCCGCAAGAAUCACUAAUAUUUCAAACCAAACCCACAGUCCGGCAUCCUAAACUUCAAGCCUAGGAUACACUACAGAGAUCUGAAGCCUAAGCUCUGAUACCAAAUGUGACAGCCCCACCUCCCCCUAAGGCGAACCAGAUGGUUCGGCGGGUCGCCUGCCCAACUCUCGCCGGGACUCAGUCGUUCACUACAGUCCUCAAAUGAAUUACAAGAAUAAAUCUCAAAUAUACAUCACAUGGUCCACAAAUAUACAUCCAAGCCUCCAAUAAUUACAUGUCAUAAGCGAAUCGGAAACGAUUCUGAACUAUACAUAAAAUGAUUCCAAAUCCAAAUUAUACAAGAUACAUGCCAUCCAGUCACGUGAACAAGUACUACAAGUCCUUCCUUCGCUUUGAGCCCUGUGGAGGGGAAUAAAUAUUUUUGGGGUGAGCUAGAAGCUCAGCGAGUAACCAGGAAAAUCAUUAAACAAAUAUAUUUCACAAUGUUGCAUUUUGAUCAUUUCGAUGAUGUCAUGAUUCAGAGAUCAAAUGUUCGUUUAGUGCUCUCGUGAGCCAGGGAAAUCAUAGCACUUGAACACCCAACGCUCAAAUAGAUCAUUUAACAUUAACAUUAACAUUCAGAGGGAGCCCCUUCUUGAGCUCUAGAUAAACAUGAACAUGAACCACAAACAGAGUGGAGACGUUGGUGUCCAGCACAAAACUUUCCCAGAACUCAUUGAAGCCAAAUCAUGUCAUGAACUCACAUGCAAGCACGCAUGAUAUGCAAUCGAAUAAAUAAUGCAAGAAAUAUUUCACAAGUACUUCGGAAAUAGUUUAGGGUCACUCACCUCCACGGCUCAGAAAUCAUCCAUCAUAUAACAUUGCCUUGCUCAAAUCCAAGUCUUAGAUCACAAACUCAAUGCAAACAAGUUCCUUCAAAGUUCGGAAAGCACUUCCCCUGAAUUUGCUAACUUUUCCAGCCAUCAUGGCUUCAUUAUUUCCUCAUUCCAACCCAAAGGUACACACACACAACAACAAGUGUCAUCCAAUAGCCAUUCAGCAAGCUCCAAGUAGUACUUUAGUACAAGUCAAGCUAUGGGAAAAGUCCGCGCGAAAGAAAGUUAAGCUCAAAACAGAAAACAUUUUGACGUCAUUUGCAGGUAAUGUACCAAAGGUACUACAUGUCGGAUCAACGAAGUGCAAGAUACACCGCUUGCGAAGCUAAAAUGCAGCUACAACAUGUAGAAGUGUCACUCAAUCCAGUUUCGAGUGUAACCAGGUCAAAAAUGCAAGGAUACCUAGCCAGAAUCACAAAAUAGAUUCACAUAACGCAUUCUAGCGGAAACAUCAUAAAGCAGGCUAUCCAAGUCCAAAUCCAGAAAUUCCAGAACCAGCUGAAAGCUAAGAAACAGGGUUACAUUUCAUCAGAAGGCCUCAACAACCAAUUCGGAAGCAAUUCUAGCCAAAACAAUCAAUUACAGGCGCAAUUCUUACAUUCGGGUAAAACCAGGACAGCAAUAGGUAAUUUCGACUUUCUCAUUCUACAUACUCCGAUUGACCUGAAUUUUGCUAGGAACCUCUAAAAUAUCAUUCCAAUACAACUUUCUAUGUUUUAAGCAAGUCGCCAAUUCACCUCAUCUAUGAGCCUAAAAAUUCGGACAGGAAUGAAGAACAUUGAAUACCUGUUUUCCACUUUUUUCCUUCCAAAACAGAAAUUGAUUGUAAUUAAUCACUUUUUCCACCUCCUAGAGUCAUUAAACAUCAUUUUAAAUCAUCAUACAUGACCCCAUAUUCAUAUCCAUAUGAAAACAGAAAAUCCCCAAAAAUUAUAAAACUUCACCAAUUCAACCAAAAUCAAGAUAUAAUCCAUAAAAGUGCAUCUUAUACCACCACCAAUCAUGAAUUGAACAUCAAUUAAGGGAGGAGAGUGGUUCUUCACAACUCACCUUAGCCAUACAAGAGAUAGAGCAACAAAUCACCUUAGCUUUCCAAACAACUCCACAAAACACCUCAAGACAACUUAGCAAAGAGAUUUUAUGGAAUGAUUUGGAGUUUUAUUAGGUGGAUUUGAAGAGACUGAGCAAAGGAAAUAGAAGUGUAAGAAAUUGAGAGCUUUCUUUCUUUCUUGAGCAAGAAACAUCGGCCAAGAAGCUUGCAAAAUGAAGCUUUAUUUUGGUCAAAUUUUGGUAUUAUUUAGUAAAGGCUAAAGGUAAAAGUUAAUAUGCGUCAAGAUCCAAGAUUAAAUCACAAGCGUGACACUUGUCACCUUUUGGUUUCAAAACUUAUCUUUUUGUCUCUCCAAUACAAAUAUGUUAACACCUUGUAAAAUAAUAUCACUUAAUACAAAAAUCCAACAAGUUGUCAAAAAUAUAAUGCAUUUACCGCACUUGCGGGUCCCACGUUCAAAAUACGCUCUUAAUUUCUCAAAAACUAACCGAUACUAGAAAAAUCAUUUUCAAACUAUCUUUGCUCGUAAACUUUAUCUGGGGAACAUUUUCUAAUAAAGAAAAUGUAGAAAAGGCGGGCGAUUAAAUAAAAUAAACCCUUGAAAAUUAGAAAAUUUUCGGGUUCUCACACUUAUACUUUUCGGGGCGUCACAAUCUCCCCUCCUUAAAAGAAUGCCGUCCUCGACAUUCCAUCUUGUACCAAUCAAGUCAAGACAUCCCGCAAGAAUCACUAAUAUUUCAAACCAAACCCACAGUCCGGCAUCCUAAACUUCAAGCCUAGGAUACACUACAGAGAUCUGAAGCCUAAGCUCUGAUACCAACUGUGACAGCCCCACCUCCCCCUAAGGCGAACCAGAGGGUUCGGCGGGUCGCCUGCCCAGCUCUCGCCUGGACUCAGUCGUUCACUACAGUCCUCAAAUGAAUUACAAGAAUAAACCUCAAAUAUACAUCACAUGGUCCACAAAUAUACAUCCAAGCCUCCAAUAAUUACAUGUCAUAAGCGAAGCGGAAACGAUUCUCAACUAUACAUAAAAUGAUUCCAAAUCCAAAUUAUACAAGAUACAUGCCAUCCAGUCACGUGAACAAGUACUACAAGUCCUUCCUUCGCUUUGAGCCCUGUGGAGGGGAAUAAAUAUUUUUGGGGUGAGCUAGAAGCUCAGCGAGUAACCAGGAAAAUCAUUAAACAAAUAUAUUUCACAAUGUUGCAUUUCGAUCAUUUCGAUGAUGUCAUGAUUCAGAGAUCAAAUGUUCGUUUAGUGCUCUCGUGAGCCAGGCAAAUCAUAGCCCUUGAACACCCAACGCUCAAAUAGAUCAUUUAACAUUAACAUUAACAUUCAGAGGGAGCCCCUUCUUGAGCUCCAGAUAAACAUGAACAUGAACCAUAAACAGAGUGGAGACGUUGGUGUCCAGCACAAGACUUUUCCAGAACUCAUUGAAGCCAAAUCAUGUCAUGAACUCACAUGCAAGCACGCAUGAUAUGCAAUCGAAUAAAUAAUGCAAGAAAUAUUUCACAAGUACUUCGGAAAUAGUUUAGGGUCACUCACCUCCACGGCUCAGAAAUCAUUCAUCAUAUAACAUUGCCUUGCUCAAAUCCAAGUCUUAGAUCACAAACUCAAUGCAAACAAGUUCCUUCAAAGUUCGGACAGCACUUCCCCUGAAUUUGCUAACUUUUCCAGCCAUCAUGGCUUCAUUAUUUCCUCAUUCCAACCCAAAGGUACACACACACAACAACAAGUUCAUCCAAUAGCCAUUCAGCAAGCUCCAAGUAGUACUAGUACAUGUCAAGCUAGGGAAAAGUCCGGAAAUGAAAGUUAAGCACAAAACCAGAAAAACAGUUUUGACGUCAUUUUGCGGUAAUUGUACCAAAGGUACUACGAUGGUCGGAUCAAGGUGCAAGAUACACCGUUUCGAAGCUAAAAUGCAGGGCUACAACAUUGUAGAAGGUCACUCAACCCAGUUUCGAGUGUAACCAGGUCAAAAAUGCAAGAUACCAUACCAGAAUCACAAAAACAGAUUCACAUAACGCAUUCUAGCGGAAACAUCAUAAAGCAGGCUAUCCAAGUCCAAAUCCAGAAAUUCCAAAACCAGCUGAAAGCUAAGAAAUAGGGUUACAUUUCAUCAGAAGGCCUCAACAACCAAUUCGGAAGCAAUUCCAGCCAAAACAAUCAAUUACAGGCGCAAUUCUUACAUUCGGGUAAAACCAGGUCAGCAAUAGUAAUUUCGACUUUCUCAUUCUACACUACUCCGAUUGACCUGAAAUUUUGUAGGAACCUCUAAAAUGUCAUUCCAUACAACUUUCAUGUUUUAAGCCAAGGCCAAUUCGGCCUCUAUCUAUGAGCUAAAAAUUCGGACAGAAUGAAGAACAUUGAAACCUAGGUUUCCACAUUUCCUUCCAAAACAGAAAUUGAUUGUAAUUAAUCACUUUUUCCACCUCCUAGAGUCAUUAAACAUCAUUUCCAAUCAUCAUACAUGACCCCAUAAUCAUAUCCAUUUGAAAACAGAAAAAUCUCGAAAAAUUAUAAAACUUCACCAAUUCAACCAAAAUCAAGAUAUAAUCCAUAAAAGUGCAUCUUAUACCACCACCAAUCAUGAAUUGAACAUCAAUUAAGGGAGGAGAGUGGUUCUUCACAACUCACCUUAGCCAUACAAGAGAUAGAGCAACAAAUCACCUUAGCUUUCCAAACAACUCCACAAAACACCUCAAGACCACUUAGCAAAGAGAUUUUAUGGAAUGAUUUGGAGUUUUAUUGGUUGGAUUUGAAGAUUGAGCAAGAAAUAGAAGGAAGAAAUUGAGAGCUUUUCUUUCUUUCUUGAGCAAGAACAUUCGGCCAAGAAGCUUGCAAAAUGAAGCUUAUUUUGGUCAAAUUUUGGUAUUUAUUUAGUAAAGGUAAAGGUAAAGUUAAAUGGUCAAAGUCCAAGAUUAGAUCACAAGGUGACACUUGUCACCUUUUGGUUCAAAACUUAUCUUUUUGUCUCUCUAAUACAAAUAUCUUAACACCUUGUAAAAUAAUAUCACUUAAUACAAAAAUCCAACAAGUUGUCAAAAAUAUAAUGCAUUUACCGCACUUGCGGGUCCCACGUUCAAAAUACGCUCUUAAUUUCUCAAAAACUAACCGAUACUAGAAAAAUCAUUUUCAAACUAUCUUUGCUCGUAAACUUUAUCUGGGGAACAUUUUCUAAUAAAGAAAAUGUAGAAAAGGCGGGCGAUUAAAUAAAAUAAACCCUUGAAAAUUAGAAAAUUUUCGGGUUCUCACACUUAUACUUUUCGGGGCGUCACAAUCUCCCCUCCUUAAAAGAAUGCCGUCCUCGACAUUCCAUCUUGUACCAAUCAAGUCAAGACAUCCCGCAAGAAUCACUAAUAUUUCAAACCAAACCCACAGUCCGGCAUCCUAAACUUCAAGCCUAGGAUACACUACAGAGAUCUGAAGCCUAAGCUCUGAUACCAACUGUGACAGCCCCACCUCCCCCUAAGGCGAACCAGAGGGUUCGGCGGGUCGCCUGCCCAGCUCUCGCCGGGACUCAGUCUUUCACUACAGUGCUCAAAUGAAUUACAAGAAUAAACCUCAAAUAUACAUCACAUGGUCCACAAAUAUACAUCCAAGCCUCCAAUAAUUACAUGUCAUAAGCGAAGCGGAAACGAUUCUCAACUAUACAUAAAAUGAUUCCAAAUCCAAAUUAUACAAGAUAUAUGCCAUCCAGUCACGUGAACAAGUACUACAAGUCCUUCCUUCGCUUUGAGCCCUGUGGAGGGGAAUAAAUAUUUUUGGGGUGAGCUAGAAGCUCAGCGAGUAACCAGGAAAAUCAUUAAACAAAUAUAUUUCACAAUGUUGCAUUUCGAUCAUUUCGAUGAUGUCAUGAUUCAGAGAUCAAAUGUUCGUUUAGUGCUCUCGUGAGCCAGGGAAAUCAUAGCACUUGAACACCCAACGCUCAAAUAGAUCAUUUAACAUUAACAUUCAGAGGGAGCCCCUUCUUGAGCUCCAGAUAAACAUGAACAUGAACCAUAAACAGAGUGGAGACGUUGGUGUCCAGCACAAGACUUUCCCAGAACUCAUUGAAGCCAAAUCAUGUCAUGAACUCACAUGCAAGCACGCAUGAUAUGCAAUCGAAUAAAUAAUGCAAGAAAUAUUUCACAAGUACUUCGGAAAUAGUUUAGGGUCACUCACCUCCACGGCUCAGAAAUCAUCCAUCAUAUAACAUUUCCUUGCUCAAAUCCAAGUCUUAGAUCACAAACUCAAUGCAAACAAGUUCCUUCAAAGUUCGGACAGCACUUCCCCUGAAUUUGCUAACUUUUCCAGCCAUCAUGGCUUCAUUAUUUCCUCAUUCCAACCCAAAGGUACACACACACAACAACAAGUUCAUCCAAUAGCCAUUCAGCAAGCUCCAAGUAGUACUAGUACAAGUCAAGCUAGGGAAAAGUCCAGAAAUGAAAGUUAAGCUCAAAACCAGAAAAACAGUUUUGACGUCAUUUUGCGGUAAUUGUACCAAAGGUACUACGAUGGUCGGAUCAAGGUGCAAGAUACACCGUUUCGAAGCUAAAAGACAGGGCUACAACAUUGUAGAAGGUCACUCAACCCAGUUUCGAGUGUAACCAGGUCAAAAAUGCAAGAUACCAUACCAGAAUCACAAAAACAGAUUCACAUAACGCAUUCUAGCGGAAACAUCAUAAAGCAGGCUAUCCAAGUCCAAAUCCAGAAAUUCCAAAACCAGCUGAAAGCUAAGAAACAGGGUUACAUUUCAUCAGAAGGCCUCAACAACCAAUUCGGAAGCAAUUCCAGCCAAAACAAUCAAUUACAGGCGCAAUUCUUACAUUCGGGUAAAACCAGGACAGCAAUAGUAAUUUCGACUUUCUCAUUCUACACUACUCCGAUUGACCUGAAAUUUUGUAGGAACCUCUAAAAUGUCAUUCCAUACAACUUUCAUGUUUUAAGCCAAGGCCAAUUCGGCCUCUAUCUAUGAGCUAAAAAUUCGGACAGAAUGAAGAACAUUGAAACCUAGUUUUCCACUUUUCCUUCCAAAACAGAAAUUGAUUGUAAUUAAUCACUUUUUCCACCUCCUAGAGUCAUUAAACAUCAUUUCCAAUCAUCAUACAUGACCCCAUAAUCAUAUCCAUAUGAAAACAGAAAAAUCCCCAAAAAUUAUAAAACUUCACCAAUUCAACCAAAAUCAAGAUAUAAUCCAUAAAAGUGCAUCUUAUACCACCACCAAUCAUGAAUUGAACAUCAAUUAAGGGAGGAGAGUGGUUCUUCACAACUCACCUUAGCCAUACAAGAGAUAGAGCAACAAAUCACCUUAGCUUUCCAAACAACUCCACAAAACACCUCAAGACCACUUAGCAAAGAGAUUUUAUGGAAUGAUUUGGAGUUUUAUUGGUUGGAUUUGAAGAUUGAGCAAGAAAUAGAAGGAAGAAAUUGAGAGCUUUUCUUUCUUUCUUGAGCAAGAACAUUCGGCCAAGAAGCUUGCAAAAUGAAGCUUAUUUUGGUCAAAUUUUGGUAUUUAUUUAGUAAAGGUAAAGGUAAAGUUAAAUGGUCAAAGUCCAAGAUUAAAUCACAAGGUGACACUUGUCACCUUUUGGUUCAAAACUUAUCUUUUUGUCUCUCCAAUACAAAUAUCUUAACACCUUGUAAAAUAAUAUCACUUAAUACAAAAAUCCAACAAGUUGUCAAAAAUAUAAUGCAUUUACCGCACUUGCGGGUCCCACGUUCAAAAUACGCUCUUAAUUUCUCAAAAACUAACCGAUACUAGAAAAAUCAUUUUCAAACUAUCUUUGCUCGUAAACUUUAUCUGGGGAACAUUCUCUAAUAAAGAAAAUGUAGAAAAGGCGGGCGAUUAAAUAAAAUAAACCCUUGAAAAUUAGAAAAUUUUCGGGUUCUCACACUUAUACUUUUCGGGGCGUCACAAUCUCCCCUCCUUAAAAGAAUGCCGUCCUCGACAUUCCAUCUUGUACCAAUCAAGUCAAGACAUCCCGCAAGAAUCACUAAUAUUUCAAACCAAACCCACAGUCCGGCAUCCUAAACUUCAAGCCUAGGAUACACUACAGAGAUCUGAAGCCUAAGCUCUGAUACCAAAUGUGACAGCCCCACCUCCCCCUAAGGCGAACCAGAUGGUUCGGCGGGUCGCCUGCCCAACUCUCGCCGGGACUCAGUCGUUCACUACAGUCCUCAAAUGAAUUACAAGAAUAAAUCUCAAAUAUACAUCACAUGGUCCACAAAUAUACAUCCAAGCCUCCAAUAAUUACAUGUCAUAAGCGAAUCGGAAACGAUUCUGAACUAUACAUAAAAUGAUUCCAAAUCCAAAUUAUACAAGAUACAUGCCAUCCAGUCACGUGAACAAGUACUACAAGUCCUUCCUUCGCUUUGAGCCCUGUGGAGGGGAAUAAAUAUUUUUGGGGUGAGCUAGAAGCUCAGCGAGUAACCAGGAAAAUCAUUAAACAAAUAUAUUUCACAAUGUUGCAUUUUGAUCAUUUCGAUGAUGUCAUGAUUCAGAGAUCAAAUGUUCGUUUAGUGCUCUCGUGAGCCAGGGAAAUCAUAGCACUUGAACACCCAACGCUCAAAUAGAUCAUUUAACAUUAACAUUAACAUUCAGAGGGAGCCCCUUCUUGAGCUCUAGAUAAACAUGAACAUGAACCACAAACAGAGUGGAGACGUUGGUGUCCAGCACAAAACUUUCCCAGAACUCAUUGAAGCCAAAUCAUGUCAUGAACUCACAUGCAAGCACGCAUGAUAUGCAAUCGAAUAAAUAAUGCAAGAAAUAUUUCACAAGUACUUCGGAAAUAGUUUAGGGUCACUCACCUCCACGGCUCAGAAAUCAUCCAUCAUAUAACAUUGCCUUGCUCAAAUCCAAGUCUUAGAUCACAAACUCAAUGCAAACAAGUUCCUUCAAAGUUCGGAAAGCACUUCCCCUGAAUUUGCUAACUUUUCCAGCCAUCAUGGCUUCAUUAUUUCCUCAUUCCAACCCAAAGGUACACACACACAACAACAAGUUCAUCCAAUAGCCAUUCAGCAAGCUCCAAGUAGUACUAGUACAAGUCAAGCUAGGGAAAAGUCCGGAAAUGAAAGUUAAGCUCAAAACCAGAAAAACAGUUUUGACGUCAUUUUGCGGUAAUUGUACCAAAGGUACUACGAUGGUCGGAUCAAGGUGCAAGAUACACCGUUUCGAAGCUAAAAUGCAGGGCUACAACAUUGUAGAAGGUCACUCAACCCAGUUUCGAGUGUAACCAGGUCAAAAAUGCAAGAUACCAUACCAGAAUCACAAAAACAGAUUCACAUAACGCAUUCUAGCGGAAACAUCAUAAAGCAGGCUAUCCAAGUCCAAAUCCAGAAAUUCCAAAACCAACUGAAAGCUAAGAAACAGGGUUACAUUUCAUCAGAAGGCCUCAACAACCAAUUCGGAAGCAAUUCCAGCCAAAACAAUCAAUUACAGGCGCAAUUCUUACAUUCGGGUAAAACCAGGUCAGCAAUAGUAAUUUCGACUUUCUCAUUCUACACUACUCCGAUUGACCUGAAAUUUUGUAGGAACCUCUAAAAUGUCAUUCCAUACAACUUUCAUGUUUUAAGCCAAGGCCAAUUCGGCCUCUAUCUAUGAGCUAAAAAUUCGGACAGAAUGAAGAACAUUGAAACCUAGUUUUCCACUUUUCCUUCCAAAACAGAAAUUGAUUGUAAUUAAUCACUUUUUCCACCUCCUAGAGUCAUUAAACAUCAUUUCCAAUCAUCAUACAUGACCCCAUAAUCAUAUCCAUAUGAAAACAGAAAAAUCCCCAAAAAUUAUAAAACUUCACCAAUUCAACCAAAAUCAAGAUAUAAUCCAUAAAAGUGCAUCUUAUACCACCACCAAUCAUGAAUUGAACAUCAAUUAAGGGAGGAGAGUGGUUCUUCACAACUCACCUUAGCCAUACAAGAGAUAGAGCAACAAAUCACCUUAGCUUUCCAAACAACUCCACAAAACACCUCAAGACCACUUAGCAAAGAGAUUUUAUGGAAGGAUUUGGAGUUUUAUUGGUUGGAUUUGAAGAUUGAGCAAGAAAUAGAAGGAAGAAAUUGAGAGCUUUUCUUUCUUUCUUGAGCAAGAACAUUCGGCCAAGAAGCUUGCAAAAUGAAGCUUAUUUUGGUCAAAUUUUGGUAUUUAUUUAGUAAAGGUAAAGGUAAAGUUAAAUAGCGUCAAAGUCCAAGAUUAAAAUCACAAGGCAUGACACUUGUACUUUUGGUUUCAAAACUUAUCUUCCAUUUUGUCUCUCCAAUACAAAGUAUCUUAACACCUUGUAAAAUAAUAUCACUUAAUACAAAAAUCCAUAACAAGUUAGUCAAAAAUAUAAUGCAAUUUCCGCACUUGCCGGGUCCACGUUCAAAAUACUGCCAUUUAAUUUUCUCAAAAACUUACGUACUAGAAAAAUCUAUUUUCAAACUAUCUUUGCUUCGUUAAACUUUAUCUGGGGGACCAUUUUCUAAUAAAGGAAAAUGCUAGAAAAGGCGGUGCAUUAAAUAAAAAAAACCUUGAAAAAUUUAGAAAAUUUUCGGUUCUCACACUUAUUACUUUUCGGGCGUCACAAUCUCCCCUCCUCUAAAACAAGAAUUCCGUCCUCGACAUUCCAUCUUGUACCAAUCAAGUCAAGACAUCCCGCAAGAAUCACUAAUAUUUCAAACCAAACCCACAGUCCGGCAUCCUAAACUUCAAGCCUAGGAUACACUACAGAGAUCUGAAGCCUAAGCUCUGAUACCAACUGUGACAGCCCCACCUCCCCCUAAGGCGAACCAGAGGGUUCGGCGGGUCGCCUGCCCAGCUCUCGCCUGGACUCAGUCGUUCACUACAGUCCUCAAAUGAAUUACAAGAAUAAACCUCAAAUAUACAUCACAUGGUCCACAAAUAUACAUCCAAGCCUCCAAUAAUUACAUGUCAUAAGCGAAGCGGAAACGAUUCUCAACUAUACAUAAAAUGAUUCCAAAUCCAAAUUAUACAAGAUACAUGCCAUCCAGUCACGUGAACAAGUACUACAAGUCCUUCCUUCGCUUUGAGCCCUGUGGAGGGGAAUAAAUAUUUUUGGGGUGAGCUAGAAGCUCAGCGAGUAACCAGGAAAAUCAUUAAACAAAUAUAUUUCACAAUGUUGCAUUUCGAUCAUUUCGAUGAUGUCAUGAUUCAGAGAUCAAAUGUUCGUUUAGUGCUCUCGUGAGCCAGGGAAAUCAUAGCACUUGAACACCCAACGCUCAAAUAGAUCAUUUAACAUUAACAUUAACAUUCAGAGGGAGCCCCUUCUUGAGCUCCAGAUAAACAUGAACAUGAACCAUAAACAGAGUGGAGACGUUGGUGUCCAGCACAAGACUUUCCCAGAACUCAUUGAAGCCAAAUCAUGUCAUGAACUCACAUGCAAGCACGCAUGAUAUGCAAUCGAAUAAAUAAUGCAAGAAAUAUUUCACAAGUACUUCGGAAAUAGUUUAGGGUCACUCACCUCCACGGCUCAGAAAUCAUCCAUCAUAUAACAUUGCCUUGCUCAAAUCCAAGUCUUAGAUCACAAACUCAAUGCAAACAAGUUCCUUCAAAGUUCGGACAGCACUUCCCCUGAAUUUGCUAACUUUUCCAGCCAUCAUGGCUUCAUUAUUUCCUCAUUCCAACCCAAAGGUACACACACACAACAACAAGUUCAUCCAAUAGCCAUUCAGCAAGCUCCAAGUAGUACUAGUACAAGUCAAGCUAGGGAAAAGUCCGGAAAUGAAAGUUAAGCUCAAAACCAGAAAAACAGUUUUGACGUCAUUUUGCGGUAAUUGUACCAAAGGUACUACGAUGGUCGGAUCAAGGUGCAAGAUACACCGUUUCGAAGCUAAAAUGCAGGGCUACAACAUUGUAGAAGGUCACUCAACCCAGUUUCGAGUGUAACCAGGUCAAAAAUGCAAGAUACCAUACCAGAAUCACAAAAACAGAUUCACAUAACGCAUUCUAGCGGAAACAUCAUAAAGCAGGCUAUCCAAGUCCAAAUCCAGAAAUUCCAAAACCAGCUGAAAGCUAAGAAAUAGGGUUACAUUUCAUCAGAAGGCCUCAACAACCAAUUCGGAAGCAAUUCCAGCCAAAACAAUCAAUUACAGGCGCAAUUCUUACAUUCGGGUAAAACCAGGUCAGCAAUAGUAAUUUCGACUUUCUCAUUCUACACUACUCCGAUUGACCUGAAAUUUUGUAGGAACCUCUAAAAUGUCAUUCCAUACAACUUUCAUGUUUUAAGCCAAGGCCAAUUCGGCCUCUAUCUAUGAGCUAAAAAUUCGGACAGAAUGAAGAACAUUGAAACCUAGGUUUCCACAUUUCCUUCCAAAACAGAAAUUGAUUGUAAUUAAUCACUUUUUCCACCUCCUAGAGUCAUUAAACAUCAUUUCCAAUCAUCAUACAUGACCCCAUAAUCAUAUCCAUUUGAAAACAGAAAAAUUUCGAAAAAUUAUAAAACUUCACCAAUUCAACCAAAAUCAAGAUAUAAUCCAUAAAAGUGCAUCUUAUACCACCACCAAUCAUGAAUUGAACAUCAAUUAAGGGAGGAGAGUGGUUCUUCACAACUCACCUUAGCCAUACAAGAGAUAGAGCAACAAAUCACCUUAGCUUUCCAAACAACUCCACAAAUCACCUCAAGACCACUUAGCAAAGAGAUUUUAUGGAAUGAUUUGGAGUUUUAUUGGUUGGUUUUGAAGAUUGAGCAAGACAUAGAAGGAAGAAAUUGAGAGCUUUUCUUUCUUUCUUGAGCAAGAACAUUCGGCCAAGAAGCUUGCAAAAUGAAGCUUAUUUUGGUCAAAUUUUGGUAUUUAUUUAGUAAAGGUAAAGGUAAAGUAAUAGUCGUACAAAGUCAAGAUUAGAUUCACAAGGUGCACUUGUCACUUUUGGUUACAAAACUUAUUCUUUUUGUCUUCCUCCAAUCAAUAUUCUUAACACCUUCGUAAAAUAAUAUCACUUAAUACAAAAAUUCCAACAAAUUUUGGUCAAAAAUAUAAUGCAUUUACCGCACUUGCGGGUCCCACGUUCAAAAUACGCUCUUAAUUUCUCAAAAACUAACCGAUACUAGAAAAAUCAUUUUCAAACUAUCUUUGCUCGUAAACUUUAUCUGGGGAACAUUUUCUAAUAAAGAAAAUGUAGAAAAGGCGGGCGAUUAAAUAAAAUAAACCCUUGAAAAUUAAAAAAUUUUCGGGUUCUCACACUUAUACUUUUCGGGGCGUCACAAUCUCCCCUCCUUAAAAGAAUGUCGUCAUCGACAUUCCAUCUUGUACCAAUCAAGUCAAGACAUCCCGCAAGAAUCACUAAUAUUUCAAACCAAACCCACAGUCCGGCAUCCUAAACUUCAAGCCUAGGAUACACUACAGAGAUCUGAAGCCUAAGCUCUGAUACCAACUGUGACAGCCCCACCUCCCCCUAAGGCGAACCAGAGGGUUCGGCGGGUCGCCUGCCCAGCUCUCGCCUGGAUUCAGUCGUUCACUACAGUUCUCAAAUGAAUUACAAGAAUAAACCUCAAAUAUACAUCACAUGGUCCACAAAUAUACAUCCAAGCCUCCAAUAAUUACAUGUCAUAAGCGAAGCGGAAACGAUUCUCAACUAUACAUAAAAUGAUUCCAAAUCCAAAUUAUACAAGAUACAUGCCAUCCAGUCACGUGAACAAGUACUACAAGUCCUUCCUUCGCUUUGAGCCCUGGGCGGAAUAAAUAUUUUUUUUGGGGUGAGCUAGAAGUCAGCGAGUAACCAGGGAAACAUUCAUUAAACACAAUUAUAAUUUCACAAAUGUUGCAUUUCGAUCAUUUUCGAUGAUUCAUGGAUUUCAGAGAUCAAAUGUUCUGUUUAGUUUGCUCUCCGUGAGCCAGGAAUCAUAGCACUUGAACAACCCAACGCUCAAAUAGAUCAUUUUAACAUUAACAUUAACAUUCAGAGGGAGCCCCUUCUUGAGCUCCAGAUAAACAUGAACAUGAACCAUAAACAGAGUGGAGACGUUGGUGUCCAGCACAAGACUUUCCCAGAACUCAUUGAAGCCAAAUCAUGUCAUGAACUCACAUGCAAGCACGCAUGAUAUGCAAUCGAAUAAAUAAUGCAAGAAAUAUUUCACAAGUACUUCGGAAAUAGUUUAGGGUCACUCACCUCCACGGCUCAGAAAUCAUCCAUCAUAUAACAUUGCCUUGCUCAAAUCCAAGUUUUAGAUCACAAACUCAAUGCAAACAAGUUCCUUCAAAGUUCGGACAGCACUUCCCCUGAAUUUGCUAACUUUUCCAGCCAUCAUGGCUUCAUUAUUUCCUCAUUCCAACCCAAAGGUACACACACACAACAACAAGUUCAUCCAAUAGCCAUUCAGCAAGCUCCAAGUAGUACUAGUACAAGUCAAGCUAGGGAAAAGUCCAGAAAUGAAAGUUAAGCUCAAAACCAGAAAAACAGUUUUAACGUCAUUUUGCGGUAAUUGUACCAAAGGUACUACGAUGGUCAGAUCAAGGUGCAAGAUACACCGUUUCGAAGCUAAAAUACAGGGCUACAACAUUGUAGAAGGUCACUCAACCCAGUUUCGAGUGUAACCAGGUCAAAAAUGCAAGAUACCAUACCAGAAUCACAAAAACAGAUUCACAUAACGCAUUCUAGCGGAAACAUCAUAAAGCAGGCUAUCCAAGUCCAAAUCCAGAAAUUCCAAAACCAACUGAAAGCUAAGAAACAGGGUUACAUUUCAUCAGAAGGCCUCAACAACCAAUUCGGAAGCAAUUCCAGCCAAAACAAUCAAUUACAGGCGCAAUUCUUACAUUCGGGUAAAACCAGGUCAGCAAUAGUAAUUUCGACUUUCUCAUUCUACACUACUCCGAUUGACCUGAAAUUUUGUAGGAACCUCUAAAAUGUCAUUCCAUACAACUUUCAUGUUUUAAGCCAAGGCCAAUUCGGCCUCUAUCUAUGAGCUAAAAAUUCGGACAGAAUGAAGAACAUUGAAACCUAGUUUUCCACUUUUCCUUCCAAAACAGAAAUUGAUUGUAUUUAAUCACUUUUUCCACCUCCUAGAGGCAUUAAAUACCAUUUCCAAUCAUCAUACAUGAACCCAUACUUCAUAUUCCAUAUGAAAAACAGAAAUCCCCACAAAUUAUAAAAACUUCACCAAUUCAACCAAAAUCAGAUAUAAUCAUAAAAGUGCAUCUUAUACCACCACCAAUCUGAUGGAACAUCAAUAAAGGGAGGAGAGUGGUUCUUCACAACACUCACCUUAGCCAUACAAGAGAUAGAGGCAAACAAAUCACCUUAGCUUCCAAACAACUCCACAAACACCUCAAGACCACUUAGCAAAGAGAUUUUAUGGAUACGAUUUGGAUUUUAUUGGUUGAGGAUUUGAAGAUUGGAGCAAGAAAUAGAAGAAGAAUGAGAGGCUUUUCUUUCUUUCUUUGAGCAAGAAACAUAUCGUCAAGAAUGCUUGCAAAAUGAUAGCUUUAUUUUGCGUCAAAUUUUGGUAUUUAUUUUAGUUAAAGGUUAAAGGUAAAGUUAAAUUCGUCAAAGUCCAAAUUAGCAUCACAAGGUGGACACUUUGUCACCUUUUGGUUCAAAACUUAUCUUUUUGUCUCUCCAAUACAAAUUCUUAACACCUUUGUAAUUUAAUAUCAUUUAAUACAAAAAUUCCAACAAGUUUGUCAAAAAUAUAAUGCAUUUACGGCACUUGCGGCUCCCACGUUCAAAAUACGCUCUUAAUUUUUCAAAAAACUAACGCAAUACUAGAAAAAUCAUUUUCAAACUAUCUUUGCUCGUAAACUUUAUCUGGGGAACAUUUUCUAAUAAAGAAAAUGUAGAAAAGGCGGGCGAUUAAAUAAAAUAAACCCUUGAAAAUUAGAAAAUUUUCAGGUUCUCACACUUAUACUUUUCGGGGCGUCACAAUCUCCCCUCCUUAAAAGAAUGCCGUCCUCGACAUUCCAUCUUGUACCAAUCAAGUCAAGACAUCCCGCAAGAAUCACUAAUAUUUCAAACCAAACCCACAGUCCGGCAUCCUAAACUUCAUGCCUAGGAUACACUACAGAGAUCUGAAGCCUAAGCUCUGAUACCAACUGUGACAGCCCAACCUCCCCCUAAGGCGAACCAGAGGGUUCGGCGGGUCGCCUGCCCAGCUCUCGCCGGGACUCAGUCUUUCACUACAGUCCUCAAAUGAAUUACAAGAAUAAACCUCAAAUAUACAUCACAUGGUCCACAAAAAUACAUCCAAGCCUCCAAUAAUUACAUGUCAUAAGCGAAGCGGAAACGAUUCUCAACUAUACAUAAAAUGAUUCCAAAUCCAAAUUAUACAAGAUAUAUGCCAUCCAGUCACGUGAACAAGUACUACAAGUCCUUCCUUCGCUUUGAGCCCUGUGGAGGGGAAUAAAUAUUUUUGGGGUGAGCUAGAAGCUCAGCGAGUAACCAGGCGAAAUCAUAUAAACAAAUAUAUUUCACAAAUGUUGCAUUUCGUUCGGAUUUCGUGAUGUCAUGAAUUCAGAGAAUCAAAUGUUCGUUUAGUGCUCUCCGUGACCCAGGCAAAUCAUAGCAGUUGAACACCAACGCUCAAAUAGAUCAUUUAACAUUACAUUAACAUUAACAUUCAAGAGGGAGCCCCUUCUUGAGCUCCAGAUAACCAUGAACUAUGAACCAUAAACAGAGUGGAAGACGUGGUGUCCAGGCACAAGACUUUCCAGAACUCAAUGAACCAAAUCUGUCCAUGAACUCACAUGCAAGCACGCAUGAUAUGCAAUCGAAUAAAUUAAUUGCAAGAAAUAUUCACAAGUACUUCGGAAUUAGUUUAGGGUCACUCACCUCUCACGGUCAGAAAUCAUCAUUCAUAUUAACAUUUCCUUGCUCAAAUCCAAGGUCUUAGAUCACAAACUCAAUCAAACAUAAGUUCCUUCAAAGUUCGGACAGCACUUCCCCUGAAUUUUGCUAACUUUUCCAGCCAUCAUGGCUUCAUUAUUUCCUCAUUCCAACCCAAAGGUACACACACACAACAACAAGUUCAUCCAAAAGCCAUUCAGCAAGCUCCAAGAAAUACUAGUACAAGUCAAGCUAGGGAAAAGUCCGGAAAUGAAAGUUAAGCUCAAAACCAGAAAAACAGUUUUGACGUCAUUUUGCGGUAAUUGUACCAAUGGUACUACGAUGGUCGGAUCAAGGUGCAAGAUACACCGUUUCGAAGCUAAAAGACAGGGCUACAACAUUGUAGAAGGUCACUCAACCCAGUUUCGAGUGUAACCAGGUCAAAAAUGCAAGAUACCAUACCAGAAUCACAAAAACAGAUUCACAUAACGCAUUCUAGCGGAAACAUCAUAAAGCAGGCUAUCCAAGUCCAAAUCCAGAAAUUCCAGAACCAGCUGAAAGCUAAGAAACAGGGUUACAUUUCAUCAGAAGGCCUCAACAACCAAAUUCUGGAAGCAAUCCAGCCAAUAACAUCAUUACAGGCACAAAUUCUUAACAUUCGAGUGUAAACCAGGACAACAAUAGUUAAUUUCUGACUUUCUCAUUCUACACUACUCCGAUUGACCUGAAAUUUUGUAGGACUCUAAACAUGUCAUUCCAUAACAACUUAAUGCUUUUUAGCAAGGCCAAUUCGGCCUCUAUCUAUGGCUAAAAAUUCGGACAGAAUGAAGAACAUUGAUACCUAGUUUUCCACUUUUCCUUCCAAAACAGAAAUUGAUUGUAAUUAAUCACUUUUUCCACCUCCUAGAGUCAUUAAACAUCAUUUCCAAUCAUCAUACAUGACCCCAUAAUCAUAUCCAUGUGAAAACAGAAAAAUCCCCAAAAAUUAUAAAACUUCACCAAUUCAACCAAAAUCAAGAUAUAAUCCAUAAAAGUGCAUCUUAUACCACCACCAAUCAUGAAUUGAACAUCAAUUAAGGGAGGAGAGUGGUUCUUCACAACUCACCUUAGCCAUACAAGAGAUAGAGCAACAAAUCAUCUUAGCUUUCCAAACAACUCCACAAAACACCUCAAGACCACUUAGCAAAGAGAUUUUAUGGAAUGAUUUGGAGUUUUAUUGGUUGGAUUUGAAGAUUGAGCAAGAAAUAGAAGGAAGAAAUUGAGAGCUUAUCUUUCUUUCUUGAGCAAGAACAUUCGGCCAAGAAGCUUGCAAAAUGAAGCUUAUUUUGGUCAAAUUUUGGUAUUUAUUUAGUAAAGGUAAAGGUAAAGUUAAAUGGUCAAAGUCCAAGAUUAAAUCACAAGGUGACACUUGUCACCUUUUGGUUCAAAACUUAUCUUUUUGUCUCUCCAAUACAAAUAUCUUAACACCUUGUAAAAUAAUAUCACUUAAUACAAAAAUCCAACAAGUUGUCAAAAAUAUAAUGCAUUUACCGCACUUGCGGGUCCCACGUUCAAAAUACGCUCUUAAUUUCUCAAAAACUAACCGAUACUAGAAAAAUCAUUUUCAAACUAUCUUUGCUCGUAAACUUUAUCUGGGGAACAUUUUCUAAUAAAGAAAAUGUAGAAAAGGCGGGCGAUUAAAUAAAAUAAACCCUUGAAAAUUAGAAAAUUUUCGGGUUCUCACACUUAUACUUUUCGGGGCGUCACAAUCUCCCCUCCUUAAAAGAAUGCCGUCCUCGACAUUCCAUCUUGUACCAAUCAAGUCAAGACAUCCCGCAAGAAUCACUAAUAUUUCAAACCAAACCCACAGUCCGGCAUCCUAAACUUCAAGCCUAGGAUACACUACAGAGAUCUGAAGCCUAAGCUCUGAUACCAACUGUGACAGCCCCACCUCCCCCUAAGGCGAACCAGAGGCUUCGGCGGGUCGCCUGCCCAGCUCUCGCCGGGACUCAGUCGUUCACUACAGUCCUCAAAUGAAUUACAAGAAUAAACCUCAAAUAUACAUCACAUGGUCCACAAAUAUACAUCCAAGCCUCCAAUAAUUACAUGUCAUAAGCGAAGCGGAAACGAUUUUCAACUAUACAUAAAAUGAUUCCAAAUCCAAAUUAUACAAGAUAUAUGCCAUCCAGUCACGUGAACAAGUACUACAAGUCCUUCCUUCGCUUUGAGCCCUGUGGAGGGGAAUAAAUAUUUUUGGGGUGAGCUAGAAGCUCAGCGAGUAACCAGGAAAAUCAUUAAACAAAUAUAUUUCACAAUGUUGCAUUUCGAUCAUUUCGAUGAUGUCAUGAUUCAGAGAUCAAAUGUUCGUUUAGUGCUCUCGUGAGCCAGGGAAAUCAUAGCACUUGAACACCCAACGCUCAAAUAGAUCAUUUAACAUUAACAUUCAGAGGGAGCCCCUUCUUGAGCUCCAGAUAAACAUGAACAUGAACCAUAAACAGAGUGGAGACGUUGGUGUCCAGCACAAGACUUUCCCAGAACUCAUUGAAGCCAAAUCAUGUCAUGAACUCACAUGCAAGCACGCAUGAUAUGCAAUCGAAUAAAUAAUGCAAGAAAUAUUUCACAAGUACUUCGGAAAUAGUUUAGGGUCACUCACCUCCACGGCUCAGAAAUCAUCCAUCAUAUAACAUUGCCUUGCUCAAAUCCAAGUCUUAGAUCACAAACUCAAUGCAAACAAGUUCCUUCAAAGUUCGGACAGCACUUCCCCUGAAUUUGCUAACUUUUCCAGCCAUCAUGGCUUCAUUAUUUCCUCAUUCCAACCCAAAGGUACACACACACAACAACAAGUUCAUCCAAUAGCCAUUCAGCAAGCUCCAAGUAGUACUAGUACAAGUCAAGCUAGGGAAAAGUCCAGAAAUGAAAGUUAAGCUCAAAACCAGAAAAACAGUUUUGACGUCAUUUAGCGGUAAUUGUACCAAAGGUACUACGAUGGUCGGAUCAAGGUGCAAGAUACACCGUUUCGAAGCUAAAAUACAGGGCUACAACAUUGUAGAAUGUCACUCAACCCAGUUUCGAGUGUAACCAGGUCAAAAAUGCAAGAUACCAUACCAGAAUCACAAAAACAGAUUCACAUAACGCAUUCUAGCGGAAACAUCAUAAAGCAGGCUAUCCAAGUCCAAAUCCAGAAAUUCCAAACCAACUGAAAGCUAAGAAACAGGGUUACAUUUCAUAAGAAGGCCUCAACAACCAAUUCGGAAGCAAUUCCAGCCAAAACAAUCAAUUACAGGCGCAAUUCUUACAUUCGGGUAAAACCAGGUCAGCAAUAGUAAUUUCGACUUUCUCAUUCUACACUACUCCGAUUGACCUGAAAUUUUGUAGGAACCUCUAAAAUGUCAUUCCAUACAACUUUCAUGUUUUAAGCCAAGGCCAAUUCGGCCUCUAUCUAUGAGCUAAAAAUUCGGACAGAAUGAAGAACAUUGAAACCUAGUUUUCCACUUUUCCUUCCAAAACAGAAAUUGAUUGUAAUUAAUCACUUUUUCCACCUCCUAGAGUCAUUAAACAUCAUUUCAAUCAUCAUACAUGACCCCAUAAUCAUAUCCAUAUGAAAACAGAAAAAUCCCCAAAAAUUAUAAAACUUCACCAAUUCAACCAAAAUCAAGAUAUAAUCCAUAAAAGUGCAUCUUAUACCACCACCAAUCAUGAAUUGAACAUCAAUUAAGGGAGGAGAGUGGUUCUUCACAACUCACCUUAGCCAUACAAGAGAUAGAGCAACAAAUCACUUAGCUUUCCAAACAACUCCACAAAACACCUCAAGACCACUUAGCAAAGAGUUUUAUGGAAUGAUUUGGAGUUUUAUUGGUUGGUUUUGAAGAUUGAGCAAGAAAUAGAAGGAAGAAAUUGAGAGCUUUUCUUUCUUUCUUGAGCAAGAACAUUCGGCCAAGAAGCUUGCAAAAUGAAGCUUAUUUUGGUCAAAUUUUGGUAUUUAUUUAGUAAAGGUAAAGGUAAAGUUAAAUGGUCAAAGUCCAAGAUUAAAUCACAAGGUGACACUUGUCACCUUUUGGUUCAAAACUUAUCUUUUUGUCUCUCCAAUACAAAUAUCUUAACACCUUGUAAAAUAAUAUCACUUAAUACAAAAAUCCAACAAGUUGUCAAAAAUAUAAUGCAUUUACCGCACAUGCGGGUCCCACGUUCAAAAUACGCUCUUAAUUUCUCAAAAACUAACCGAUACUAGAAAAAUCAUUUUCAAACUAUCUUUGCUCGUAAACUUUAUCUGGGGAACAUUUUCUAAUAAAGAAAAUGUAGAAAAGGCGGGCGAUUAAAUAAAAUAAACCCUUGAAAAUUAGAAAAUUUUCGGGUUCUCACACUUAUACUUUUCGGGGCGUCACAAUCUCCCCUCCUUAAAAGAAUGCCGUCCUCGACAUUCCAUCUUGUACCAAUCAAGUCAAGACAUCCCGCAAGAAUCACUAAUAUUUCAAACCAAACCCACAGUCCGGCAUCCUAAACUUCAAGCCUAGGAUACACUACAGAGAUCUGAAGCCUAAGCUCUGAUACCAACUGUGACAGCCCCACCUCCCCCUAAGGCGAACCAGAGGGUUCGGCGGGUCGCCUGCCCAGCUCUCGCCGGGACUCAGUCGUUCACUACAGUCCUCAAAUGAAUUACAAGAAUAAACCUCAAAUAUACAUCACAUGGUCCACAAAUAUACAUCCAAGCCUCCAAUAAUUACAUGUCAUAAGCGAAGCGGAAACGAUUCUCAACUAUACAUAAAAUGAUUCCAAAUCCAAAUUAUACAAGAUAUAUGCCAUCCAGUCACGUGAACAAGUACUACAAGUCCUUCCUUCGCUUUGAGCCCUGUGGAGGGGAAUAAAUAUUUUUGGGGUGAGCUAGAAGCUCAGCGAGUAACCAGGAAAAUCAUUAAACAAAUAUAUUUCACAAUGUUGCAUUUCGAUCAUUUCGAUGAUGUCAUGAUUCAGAGAUCAAAUGUUCGUUUAGUGCUCUCGUGAGCCAGGGAAAUCAUAGCAAUUAAGCACCCAACGCUCAAAUAGUUCAUUUAACAUUAACAUUAACAUUCAGAGGGAGCCCCUUCUUGAGCUCCAGAUAAACAUGAACAUGAACCAUAAACAGAGUGGAGACGUUGGUGUCCAGCACAAGACUUUCCCAGAACUCAUUGAAGCCAAAUCAUGUCAUGAACUCACAUGCAAGCACGCAUGAUAUGCAAUCGAAUAAAUAAUGCAAGAAAUAUUUCACAAGUACUUCGGAAAUAGUUUAGGGUCACUCACCUCCACGGCUCAGAAAUCAUCCAUCAUAUAACAUUGCCUUGCUCAAAUCCAAGUCUUAGAUCACAAACUCAAUGCAAACAAGUUCCUUCAAAGUUCGGACAGCACUUCCCCUGAAUUUGCUAACUUUUCCAGCCAUCAUGGCUUCAUUAUUUCCUCAUUCCAACCCAAAGGUACACACACACAACAACAAGUUCAUCCAAUAGCCAUUCAGCAAGCUCCAAGUAGUACUAGUACAAGUCAAGCUAGGGAAAAGUCCGGAAAUGAAAGUUAAGCUCAAAACCAGAAAAACAGUUUUGACGUCAUUUUGCGGUAAUUGUACCAAAGGUACUACGAUGGUCGGAUCAAGGUGCAAGAUACACCGUUUCGAAGCUAAAAUGCAGGGCUACAACAUUGUAGAAGGUCACUCAACCCAGUUUCGAGUGUAACCAGGUCAAAAAUGCAAGAUACCAUACCAGAAUCACAAAAACAGAUUCACAUAACGCAUUCUAGCGGAAACAUCAUAAAGCAGGCUAUCCAAGUCCAAAUCCAGAAAUUCCAAAACCAGCUGAAAGCUAAGAAACAGGGUUACAUUUCAUCAGAAGGCCUCAACAACCAAUUCGGAAGCAAUUCCAGCCAAAACAAUCAAUUACAGGCGCAAUUCUUACAUUCGGGUAAAACCAGGACAGCAAUAGUAAUUUCGACUUUCUCAUUCUACACUACUCCGAUUGACCUGAAAUUUUGUAGGAACCUCUAAAAUGUCAUUCCAUACAACUUUCAUGUUUUAAGCCAAGGCCAAUUCGGCCUCUAUCUAUGAGCUAAAAAUUCGGACAGAAUGAAGAACAUUGAAACCUAGUUUUCCACUUUUCCUUCCAAAACAGAAAUUGAUUGUAAUUAAUCACUUUUUCCACCUCCUAGAGUCAUUAAACAUCAUUUCCAAUCAUCAUACAUGACCCCAUAAUCAUAUCCAUAUGAAAACAGAAAAAUCCCCAAAAAUUAUAAAACUUCACCAAUUCAACCAAAAUCAAGAUAUAAUCCAUAAAAGUGCAUCUUAUACCACCACCAAUCAUGAAUUGAACAUCAAUUAAGGGAAGAGAGUGGUUCUUCACAACUCACCUUAGCCAUACAAGAGAUAGAGCAACAAAUCACCUUAGCUUUCCAAACAACUCCACAAAUCACCUCAAGACCACUUAGCAAAGAGAUUUUAUGGAAUGAUUUGGAGUUUUAUUGGUUGGUUUUGAAGAUUGAGCAAGACAUAGAAGGAAGAAAUUGAGAGCUUUUCUUUCUUUCUUGAGCAAGAACAUUCGGCCAAGAAGCUUGCAAAAUGAAGCUUAUUUUGGUCAAAUUUUGGUAUUUAUUUAGUAAAGGUAAAGGUAAAGUUAAAUGGUCAAAGUCCAAGAUUAAAUCACAAGGUGACACUUGUCACCUUUUGGUUCAAAACUUAUCUUUUUGUCUCUCCAAUACAAAUAUCUUAACACCUUGUAAAAUAAUAUCACUUAAUACAAAAAUCCAACAAGUUGUAAAAAAUAUAAUGCAUUUACCGCACUUGCGGGUCCCACGUUCAAAAUACGCUCUUAAUUUCUCAAAAACUAACCGAUACUAGAAAAAUCAUUUUCAAACUAUCUUUGCUCGUAAACUUUAUCUGGGGAACAUUUUCUAAUAAAGAAAAUGUAGAAAAGGCGGGCGAUUAAAUAAAAUAAACCCUUGAAAAUUAGAAAAUUUUCGGGUUCUCACACUUAUGCUUUUCGGGGCGUCACAAUCUCCCCUCCUUAAAAGAAUGUCGUCCUCGACAUUCCAUCUUGUACCAAUCAAGUCAAGACAUCCCGCAAGAAUCACAAAUAUUUCAAACCAAACCCACAGUCCGGCAUCCUAAACUUCAAGCCUAGGAUACACUACAGAGAUCUGAAGCCUAAGCUCUGAUACCAACUGUGACAGCCCCACCUCCCCCUAAGGCGAACCAGAGGGUUCGGCGGGUCGCCUGCCCAGCUCUCGCCUGGACUCAGUCGUUCACUACAGUCCUCAAAUGAAUUACAAGAAUAAACCUCAAAUAUACAUCACAUGGUCCACAAAUAUACAUCCAAGCCUCCAAUAAUUACAUGUCAUAAGCGAAGCGGAAACGAUUCUCAACUAUACAUAAAAUGAUUUCAAAUCCAAAUUAUACAAGAUAUAUGCCAUCCAGUCACGUGAACAAGUACUACAAGUCCUUCCUUCGCUUUGAGCCCUGUGGAGGGGAAUAAAUAUUUUUGGGGUGAGCUAGAAGCUCAGCGAGUAACCAGGAAAAUCAUUAAACAAAUAUAUUUCACAAUGUUGCAUUUCGAUCAUUUCGAUGAUGUCAUGAUUCAGAGAUCAAAUGUUCGUUUAGUGCUCUCGUGAGCCAGGCAAAUCAUAGCAAUUAAGCACCCAACGCUCAAAUAGUUCAUUUAACAUUAACAUUAACAUUCAGAGGGAGCCCCUUCUUGAGCUCCAGAUAAACAUGAACAUGAACCAUAAACAGAGUGGAGACGUUGGUGUCCAGCACAAGACUUUCCCAGAACUCAUUGAAGCCAAAUCAUGUCAUGAACUCACAUGCAAGCACGCAUGAUAUGCAAUCGAAUAAAUAAUGCAAGAAAUAUUUCACAAGUACUUCGGAAAUAGUUUAGGGUCACUCACCUCCACGGCUCAGAAAUCAUCCACCAAUCAUGAAUUGAACAUCAAUUAAGGGAGGAGAGUGGUUCUUCACAACUCACCUUAGCCAUACAAGAGAUAGAGCAACAAAUCACCUUAGCUUUCCAAACAACUCCACAAAACACCUCAAGACCACUUAGCAAAGAGAUUUUAUGGAAUGAUUUGGAGUUUUAUUGGUUGGAUUUGAAGAUUGAGCAAGAAAUAGAAGGAAGAAAUUGAGAGCUUUUCUUUCUUUCUUGAGCAAGAACAUUCGGCCAAGAAGCUUGCAAAAUGAAGCUUAUUUUGGUCAAAUUUUGGUAUUUAUUUAGUAAAGGUAAAGGUAAAGUUAAAUGGUCAAAGUCCAAGAUUAGAUCACAAGGUGACACUUGUCACCUUUUGGUUCAAAACUUAUCUUUUUGUCUCUCCAAUACAAAUAUCUUAACACCUUGUAAAAUAAUAUCACUUAAUACAAAAAUCCAACAAGUUGUCAAAAAUAUAAUACAUUUACCGCACUUGCGGGUUCCACGUUCAAAAUACGCUCUUAAUUUCUCAAAAACUAACCGAUACUAGAAAAAUCAUUUUCAAACUAUCUUUGCUCGUAAACUUUAUCUGGGGAACAUUUUCUAAUAAAGAAAAUGUAGAAAAGGCGGGCGAUUAAAUAAAAUAAACCCUUGAAAAUUGGAAAAUUUUUGGGUUCUCACACUUAUACUUUUCGGGGCGUCACAUAGAUACCCCAGUAGUCCAUGCCGUAAACGAUGAGUGUUCGCCCUUGGUCUACGCGGAUCAGGGGCCCAGCUAACGCGUGAAACACUCCGCCUGGGGAGUACGGUCGCAAGACCGAAACUCAAAGGAAUUGACGGGGGCCUGCACAAACGGUGGAGUACACUCACGAGAGUAAAGGUUUAUCUUUGUGGUUUUAGUGAUUUAUUUGGCUUUAGUAAUUUAUUUCAUGUAAUUUCAUAGAGGUAAUAAACUUGUAACUAAUUUCAUAACCACGGGAGUAGGUGUGGAUUAGUUAUAAGUAUAGUUAAUUCAUUACGAGAGUAGAUUUCAUAUUUAUAAGGAAAUUACGUCAUAACUGACCAAGAUAGUAGUACUUAAUGAUUCAAAAAUUGCGCUCGUAUGAGUAGUUAAAGAUAGCAUAGUCUAAGAAGCUUUCAUUUGCUAUUUGUGACGGCCCCACCUUCCCCUAAGGCGAACCAAAGGGUUCGGCGGACCGCCUGCCCAACUCUCGCCGGGAUUCAGUCAUACACUUCAAUCCUCAAUCAAAACCAGAAUAAAACCACAGGAAAGAAUAACACAACAAUCCAAAAAUUAAGGCAAAACGUAUAUACAUUACUAUCACAAACGGGAGUACAAACAUCAAACACACAAAGGUUCUCAAUUCUUCAUACAUCCAACCCAUGCCAAGUGCUAGGGCGAAAACCAUUACAAAAGAAAUCAAAGAAUUGGACUAAGCGAUUCUAUACUGAGCCCCAUCCUUGCUCGCCUUCCCCUGUUAAGGAAAACAAAACUAAAGGGAUGAGCUAGAAGCCCAGUGAGGUUCCGAACACAUAGGCAGCAGUCACUACAUAUAACCAAUAAUUCAAGAUACAUUUAGGAUAUAAAGCAAUAAAUACCAUUAAUAAAAGGAUACGUGCUCACAGGGAGCCAUUCAUUCAUUCAUUCAUUCAUUCUCCUUUCAUGCCCUUAUUCCUCCAAUCAUUUGAAAAUGUAUUUUUGUAAGUAAAACCCUCGUUCGUUCAUUCAUUUCAUUCACCCCCUUCCCGAACAUUGGCCAGGCUCCACCAGAAUUCAAGGUAAUACUCGAGUAUACCAAACAUUCACCCAGGGUCACCAUAUCGCCGACCAAGACCGUGUCUGGCUCGAGUCAAUCGAUAACGAAGGGGCAGGGCCCAGUUCAGCCAAAAGGCUUACAUUCAUGCACAAGUAACGUUCCAAUCGUUCAAUCAUUUAAAAUGUCACAAUCAUUUAGGUCGAGUGCGAUAAAGUACACACUCGCCUAGAAAACUCAUUUUGACAAUCAUUGAAAGCAUUUAACACGCUAUCAAUCAUUCAUACAAGCCAUAUAAUCAAGAAACAUAACAAACAAGGAACACUCACCUAUUUAGGCAAAACAACGUGCAAAAUAUCCUUCCGAAUAUUACCCUCAGUCACCGAGAAAACCUAAGAUUAAAUGAGAGAGAAUAUUACAGUUGAUCUAGCAAAACAAGUAAGUGAAAUCGAAGAAAAACCGGCAAAUGAUAAGUAAAACGUAUAAAGACGACUUUAUAAUGAAAAGAGGGUAUUUGGAUCGGAGGACGGAGAUAACUAGAGUGUCAUAAACCAAACGCAAAAACCAAACUCAAAAGGGUUAUAAAAUUUCCAACGGAAAACACUUGAACCAAAGACAAGUCGAAAUCCACCAUAUAGGCUAAGAAAUAUUGUUCUCGGGAUCGUUUAUGUAGUUCAAAAUCAACUCAUAAUCAAGUAGCUAGGAUAGACUAAAUGUCUUGAUCAAAAUCAUGUGAAAAGGAGGACAACACUACCUUACUUUCACACUUAAAAUCUCACUCAAAAGUGGUUCACUUGUGGCCGAGAAAACUCUAGGUCAUACCUCUUUAUUGUGGUAAGGAGUAAGUAACGUUUGGAGUUUUAAACUAAAAAGGUAUCAUGUUUUAAAAUGGAAAACGGUCAUGGUAUUUGCCAAACGAAAGUAUACAAGUUCAAAUAGAAACUUAGCCCUCAAAUACCUUUUGAAAGAACCGAUGACGUUUUUAAUGAAAUACGUCCAACUUGGCACAAAACACAUCUCCAAAACCACUUUAACUCACUCACAUUACAAGAAAAUAAACGGACAGCAUUUUCCCCUAAAAACUUCAUUUUCUUCCUACAAUCAAAUACCCAAACUUGCAAGAGUCAAAUACAAUCACACAUUCGGUUUAUAAACAAUAAAACACGUCCAAUUAGGCUACAACACCCUUCAAUCAAAGCCAAUUAGGAGCUCAAAGCCCACCAUUAGAAAACCCCCAAAUUCAAACCCUAGAACCGGAAUUUAACCCCACAAGGGGAAAUUUUUCGUAAACAAUCGCAAUUAACAUAUAAAGAUCCCAUUUAACACCAUUUCAAUCCAUUAAUCCAAGAUCAAUCCAUGACUAUCAUCUAAAAUCAGAAAAAUACCCAAUAAAUCAUAAAUUGGACCAACUUCACUUAAAACCAUGAAAUCAUCCACAAUAUGGCAUAUUUAACCUUUACAAACCACUAAUUAACCAAGAUUAGAACCAAAAGAGAAUUUCUUAACAACUCACCUUAUGAGUUCAAGAAAGGUAGAAACUUAAGGCUUUCCCUCAAAAAACAACUCCACUAUCACCUUUAACCCACCUUAGCUAGCACUUGUACGGAGUGGUUUGAAAAUCCAACGGUGAAAUCUCAAGAUUCAAGCAAAAAAAAAAUGAAACCAAGAAAUGAAGAGCUUUUCUUUCUUCUCUCAAGAUGCACGGCUGAACCAGUAAGGAAAUGAAGAUCUUUUGGGGCCAAAGCAGUAUAAAAAGAAAAGGAAACUGGCGGUCAAAGUUGGUGGCCGCCUGUGCCACAUCACAAUCCGGCCAGAAUCUGGCCGGAUUUCCGGCCGGAUUCAAGGCAGAGGCAAAACGUAUUUUUUUUCAAAACCCUUCAACAAUCUGGCCGGCAAUCCGUCCAAGAACUGGCCGGAUUUGGGGCCGGAUUUGGCCCUUCAGCUUUUUCACAAAAAUUUUCCUCUUUCCGAGUUCGAUUGCCGCGCUCAACCGCAUUCCAACAUAUACACAUAUAUACAUAUCUCACACACAAAUACACAAAAUAACAAAACCUUCCUUUGCUUAAAACAAUUGGUUAACAAAUUUUUCACUUAAAAAGGGAAGUGAGAAUAAACCAAAAGGCUGAGAAAAUAUGAAAGGUUUAGGGUUCUCACACUCUCCUCCCCUUAAGAAAUUUCGCCCUCAAAAUUUUUUCCUUCAUUUGCUUCAGACGAGUCCGGAACUGUUUGGGUGUCUAACGCAUAAGCUUUUGCCGGCCCACUUGUCCGGCUCCCUCUUUCAUUCGCUUGUUUUGCUUUAGCUCCCUCCAGCUGCGGAAUACUACCUCCGCGUGACUGUCUCCUCGAAUAGUUGCUAACUUGGUGAUCACCACUUCCGCAAGUCAAACACUUCCGCCCUUUCCGCCAACAAUCGUUCUCGGUGUGAUUGGCCUUUCCGCAGUAGCCACAAGUCAAGGGGGAAGCCAUCCUUUGGCUUUCUGGAGAAAUCUCCCCAUGUCCGGUUUGGCUUCCUUUGGUAGACCUUUCAUCUACUGCCCCUAAUGUCCAUGGCAGGCGGGAUAACUGGUUCACUUUCUGCACUUUAAAAGGUGCUAUCGAUUCACUAGGUUCUUCAGCCACACUACCAGCUGCACCUCUUUUCCGAGUUUGGGAGGCUUUUACUUGUGCCUUUGCAUUCUCAAUUCGUUGGGCCUUCUCAAGGGCCUCCGUGAACGUAUUCACUUGAACCGCUGCUAGAGCUUCUUGGAUUUCCAAAUUCAAUCCCUGUAUAAACCGUCUCACUCUUCUCGGUUCCGUGGCCACUAAUUCGGAAGCAAACUUGGAUAGUUUAGUAAAUUUCGUUUCAUAUUCAGCCACACUUUAGGUUCCCUAACAUAACCCAAUAAAUUCAUCCUCCCUCCUUUCUUGGACUAAAGGUGGGAGGUACUUCUCAUUAAACUCCCUUAUAAAGUUCGCCCACGUCCAUACAGUCCGUUCUCUUUCCCACUUUGUUCUAAUUACGUUCCACCAUGCUCGGGCCGGUCCUUCAAAUUGGAACACCACAAAGCUUACUUGCCUUUGCUCAGUGUAGUUUAGAGCUGUGAAGAUGUUAACCAUGGUUUCUACCCAUUGUUCAGCUACGUCCGGAUCAGGCCCUCCAAGAAAUUUUGGAGGAGCAAACUUCUGGAACCUUUCAAGAGCCUUAUCCUCGCCCAUCUCAGGGUUCCGGGUUUGGUUUACGGGUAUUUGGCCUUGUUGAUCCACCAGUCUUGCUAAGAUAUCCGUCAUUUGUUGCAUUGCCGUCGCCAUUUGGUUUCCAGUCGCAACUCUCGGUCCCUGCUCUUGCUCGGCUGACGUUUCCCUUUCUGCUCUUGGUUCCGGGGCCCGCUUAGUUCCACGGCCUCGAUCACGUCCACGACUACGUCUCCCCUCCAUAUUAUUUUUCCCUCUCUUUUUUGUUUCCAAAAGGUAGUUUAGUGAAUAAACGCAGUAAGUUGACUAAAGUAACUAAAUUCUACUACACCAAAUACAUAAAUAGACAUAUACACACAUAACACACCAAGUGUUAAGGAGACGUAUCACAUUAAACAAAUAAUCAAAUGCGGUCAAUGGUACACGUGUCGAUGUUAACAUACCACAAACAAGGAUAAGAAGUAACAGUAUAAGGACAAAUCAAAAGAAAAGGAGGUAUAUCGUCCCAGUCUCAGUUAAAAUAACCCCGUCCGGUCUCUCACGUCACUUUCUAUUCACUAGAUGUCCGCAGACCUCUUAUACUCAUUCUGGCCAAACAAAGCCUAUUCAUGUUCCCAAAAAUGCAAAUCUCAAAUACUAAGCAUCGCCUCAACUCUAGAGUACUCGGGCACGAGAAUCCGAAAUAAGACAAUUCACAUCUCGAGCUGGCCAGUCCCAAGAGUAAACCAUCUAAAAUCGAAAUUCCUACCUGACGUACCUAUCUAUGAUCCUCAAAUACCACAAGAAAAUUUAAGGCCUAUAACAUCCACAACCCGUAGUUUAUGCUCGAACGAGCCCUUAGUCCUUCAUACGUAUUCACCACUUAGCCCAGGCUCACUCCGCGCAGAGACCACGCGAAGCAGGCUCUGAUACCAACUGUGACGGCCCUACCUUCCCCUAAGGCGAACCAAAGGGUUCGACGGAUCGCCUGCCCAACUCUCGCCGGGACUCAGUCAUACACUUCAAUCCUUAAUCAAAACCAGAAUAAAACCACAUGAAAGAAUAUCACAACGAUCCAAAAGUUAAGGCAAAACAUAUAUACAUUACUAUCACAAACGGGAGUACAAACAUCAAACACAAAAAGGUUCUCAAUUCUUCAUACAUCCAGCCCAUGCCAAGUGCUAGGGCGAGAACCAUUACAAAAGAAAUCAAAGAACUGGACUAAGCUAUUCUAUAUUGAGCUCCCGUCCUUACUCGUCUUCCCCUGUUAAGGAAAACAAAACUAAAGGGAUGAGUUAGAAGCCCAGUGAGGUUCCGAACACAUAGGCAACAGUCACUACAUAUAACCAAUAAUUCAAGCUACAUUUACGAUAUAAAGCAAUAAACACCAUCAAUAAAAGGAUACGUGCUCACAGGGAGCCAUUCAUUCGUUCAUUCAUUCAUUCAUUCUCCUUUCAUGCCCUUAUUCCUCCAAUCAUUUGAAAAUGUAUUUUUGUAAGUUAAACCCUUGUUCGUUCAUUCAUUUCAUUCACCCCCUUCCCGGACAUUGGCCAGGCUCCACCAGAAUUUAAGGUAAUACUCGAGUAUACCAAACAUUCACCCAGGGUCACCAUAUCGCCGACCAAGACCGUUUCUGGCUCGAGUCAAUGGGUAACGAAGGGGCAGGGCCCAGUUCAGCCAAAAGGCUAACAUUCAUGCACAAGUAACGUUCCAAUCGUUCAAUCAUUUAAAAUGUCACAAUCAUUUAGGUCGAGUGCGAUAAAGUACACACUCGCUUAGAAAACUCAUUUUGACAAUCAUUGAAAGCAUUUAACACGUUAUCAAUCAUUCAUACAAGCCAUAUAAUCAAGAAACAUAACAAACAAGGAACACUCACCUAUUUAGGCAAAACAACGUGCAAAAUAUCCUUCCGAAUAUUACCCUCAGUCACCGAAAAAACCUAAGAUUAAACGAGAGAGAAUAUUAUAGUUGAUCUAGCAAAACAAGUAAGUGAAAUCGAAGAAAAACCGGCAAAUGAUAAGUAAAACGUAUAAAGAUGACUUUAUAGUAAAAAGAGGGUAUUUGGAUCGGAGGACGGAGAUAACUAGAGUGUCAUAAACCAAACGCAAAAACCAAACUCAAAAGGGUUAUAAAAUUUCCAACGGAAAACACUUGAACCAAAGACAAGUCGAAAUCCACCAUAUAGGCUAAGAAAUAUUGUUCUCGGGAUCGUUUAUGUAGUUCAAAAUCAACUCAUAAUCAAGUAGCUAGGAUAGACUAAAUGUCUUGAUCAAAAUCAUGUGAAAAGGAGGACAACACUACCUUACUUUCACACUUAAAAUCUCACUUAAAAGUGGUUCACUUGUGGCCGAGAAAACUCUAGGUCAUACCUCUUUAUUGUGGUAAGGAGUAAGUAACGUUUGGAGUUUUAAACUAAAAAGGUAUCAUGUUUUAAAAUGGAAAACGGUCAUGGUAUUUGCCAAACGAAAGUAUACAAGUUCAAAUAGAAACUUAGCCCUCAAAUACCUUUUGAAAGAACCGAUGACGUUUUUAAUGAAAUACGUCCAACUUGGCACAAAACACAUUUCCAAAACCACUUUAACUCACUCACAUUACAAGAAAAUAAACGGACGGCAUUUCCCCCUAAAAACUUCAUUUUCUUCCUACAAUCAAAUACCCAAACUUGCAAGAGUCAAAUACAAUCACACAUUCGGUUUAUAAACAAUAAAACACGUCCAAUUAGGCUACAACACCCUUCAAUCAAAGCCAAUUAGGAGCUCAAAGCCCACCAUUAGAAAACCCCCAAAUUCAAACCCUAGAACCAGAAUUUAACCCCACAAGGGGAAAUUUUUCGUAAACAAUCGCAAUUAACAUAUAAAGAUCCCAUUUAACACCAUUUCAAUCCAUUAAUCCAAGAUCAAUCCAUGACUAUCAUCUAAAAUCAGAAAAAUACCCAAUAAAUCAUAAAUUGGACCAACUUCACUUAAAACCAUGAAAUCAUCCACAAUAUGGCAUAUUUAACCUUUACAAACCACUAAUUAACCAAGAUUAGAACCAAAAGAGAAUUUCUUAACAACUCACCUUAUGAGUUCAAGAAAGGUAGAAACUUAAGGCUUUCCCUCAAAAAACAACUCCACUAUCACCUUUAACCCACCUUAGCUAGCACUUGUACGGAGUGGUUUGAAAAUCCAACGGUGAAAUCUCAAGAUUCAAGCAAAAAAAAAUGAAACCAAGAAAUGAAGAGCUUUUCUUUCUUCUCUCAAGAUGCACGGCUGAACCAGUAAGGAAAUGAAGAUCUUUUGGGGCCAAAGCAGUAUAAAAAGAAAAGGAAACUGGCAGUCAAAGUUGGUGGCCGCCUGUGCCACAUCACAAUCCGGCCGGAUUCAAGGCAGAGGCAAAACGCUUUUUUUUUCAAAACCCUUCAACAAUCCGGCAGGCAAUCCGUCCAAGAACUGGCCAGAUUUGGCCCUUCAGCUUUUUCACAAAAAUUUUCCUCUUUCCGAGUUCGAUUGCCGCGCUCAACCGCAUUCCAACAUAUACACAUAUAUACAUAUCUCACACACAAAUACACGAAAUAACAAAACCUUCCUUUGCUUAAAACAAUUGGUUAACAAAUUUUUCACUUAAAAGGGGAAGUGAGAAUAAACCAAAAUGCUGAGAAAAUAUGAAAGGUUUAGGGUUCUCACACUAUUUUCUUGUACAUUUUAGCUCAUUUUUAUUUCCUUCAAUUAUUGAUAGUUUAAAAAAUAGAGGAGUAUUAGUAGUGUUGGUAGUUGUCCAUUCUUCACUAUGGAUUCGACCCUUAAUACCCUAUACUCAAUCACGACCUGUAUACUUGCAGAAAAUCACAUAUAAGGUAUUUAAAAAUUUAUAAAUGUAAAACUUAACUAUGGAUUGAACUAAUUUUUAUAUGCAUACCCUACACUCAUCACCAACAGUAUUGCAUGUCUCUACAAAAUAUGCAACGUGUUAUUUUGGUUUUGCCUUUGCCAUCAAAUUGCUGAAAUUUUUGAAGGUUGACAUCUAUUAAGCAUCUUCAAGCCAUCAAUCCUUGUAGUAUAUGGGUUUGGCAUAUGCAUUCAAUGGCAUUUUGCUUCCAUCAAUCAUAUUUUUGUUGUACCCUCAAUGAAUACUUUGAGAUUAUCAACACAUAUAGUACCAUCAUAGGAGAUUGGAAAUUCCUUCAUCAAAUGUGAUUUGGAAACAUUUUUCUUUUUGCUGGGAAGACUUUAAUGGCCAUUCCUUGACAAUUAGGCUGACCCCAAUGGCUUGUUCUUCAAUUAAAAUACGAGUUUAACAUGGCUUCUUAUAGCCACAACCAUUGGGAAUAUGUGAGAUUCCAUAUGGGAUUGUCGAGUAAUUUACAGAGGAUUGGGAUGGCAAUUUCAAAGGUUAGGGUAACUAAAAGAAAAUGUCUAAUUUUUUGCCAUGUAUCUUAUCCAACUUCAUUCCUAAUUUCUCGACAAACAAUUAUUCUUUUUAAUUCCACAAGGGAUGUGGGUGGUUUGUCCUAUUCUGCCCUAAGUUCACUAGUCUUCAAUGCAAAAAUUUAUAAUUUUGGUAGAUCAGCCAAAUAAGAUUCAAAUUGGCCACAUACCCCGAAUUAAGGGACUAAAUUGACUAAGAAUAUAGUUUAGCAACUAUCUUGAAUUUAGUAACAUAGUUGAGAGAGUAUAUUGGUUAUUUGCUAUUUCUUUGUCUACAACUUUUCUUCAUCUUUAUAUAUUCAUUGGAUGAAGUUACUUUCCCUAUCAAUUUGAAAACUUGAGAGAAAAGAAAGCAAAUGAAAAAUGAAUAAACUCCAAGAGGAACAACCUUUGCCUUGUUUAGUUUUCUCAGCGAAGGCAGAGGCGAAGGACAUCAUUUUAAUUUGUGCUAUAACAAUGGUACAAAGAGGGCUGCUAUUUCUAUAGGUUGAGGGAUAAUGAAUCCACAUUAUCAAGUUCAGUAGGAGAUGCUGAUGUUACAGUUGCUAUUGUUGUUUACUUGACCAUUGCCACCGCUAUGACUAAGUGUUGGUUUUUGAAGGAACCUUGUUGAAAUUUCUGUUUAUGAUUGAUACUUGAGGGUCAUUGGAGUAGAGUUGAGAGUUCGCAGCUUUAACUCCAAAAUUUUGCUAGUUUUGGUCAAGAACUCACGUCAUAUACCAUUUACCUCUUUUAUCUAGACAUGCAUGUGGUAUUUGUUGAGUUAAAAGCAAGAAAAAAAUUGAUUUUUGGAGGAAACAACAAAGCUAGAAAUUUUUUUUGAACCAUGGAGAAUGAGCUUCAUUUCUUCCAAGUUUAUUUCAAAAAUUUGUUGAGUUUUAUAAAGAAUUCAUUUCCUAUGUCAUUUACUUCAUUUAUUUUAACAUGCAUGAAGUAUUUAGUUGGAUUAAAGUAAGAAACUUGUGAUUUUUGGAAGAGAUUGAGCUGGACAGUUUUAUGGGCUAAAGAACUUGGAACUUACAAUUUUUGUUACAUUUUGAUGAAAAAAUUUAACAUGAAUGAGAAGGAUUAGACUUCAUUUCAUUAGUUUAUAGUGUUGCAUGUUAAGUUUUGACCCAAAAGGGAGGAAAUUUGUUGAAAGGAAAGCUAAACUUUCCAAGUUAAACUUUGCUAGAAAAUUUCCAAGUUAAACCAAGACUAUGAAGUCAAUUUUCCUCGCUUUAAAUUUCCAAUUUUAAUAAGUUUUAUAUGAAAAUUUUGUUGUACAUACAAUACAAUCUUUUUAUUUUGAGAAACAUAUUAAAAUAUAUUAAAACAUCCCAAUCAAAAGCCAUCUCAUUUCCCAAAAGCCGUUCACGAGGCUCAAAGUAGUACAAGUACUAAAGUUAGGUAGGAAAUGACCGGAAUGAAAGCAAGCCCUAAAACAUGCAAACAAGUACAAGGAGACUCGAUAACGAGUCAUAAACCAAUGCCAAGUAUGACCCCAAUAGGGUUCCAUAAACAUAUACAAACAUUAAAGAAAACCAGAAAUUUCGGACAUGCAAUUAACUUUGGCCCUGAAAAAAAUAGGUUUUGACUUUACUUUGCGGUAAUAGCACCAAAUGCACUACGAUUAUCGGAUGAGGGUGAAAGACCCACCAUUUCGAAGCUAAAAGACAGGGCUACAACAUCACAGAAGGUCACUCAACCCAGUUUUGAGUGCAAACAGGUCAAAAAUGCAAGAUACUUCAUCAACAACGUAAAACAGAUUCACCAAAACAUAUUCUAGCGGAAACAUCAUAACUCAGGUUCUACAAGUCCAAAUCCAGAAAUUCCAAAACCAGUUGAAAGCUAAGAAACAGGGCUAAAUUUCAUCCGAAGGCCUCAACAACCAAUUCGGAAGCAAUUUCAGCCAAAACAACCAAUUACAGUCGCAAAUCCCAAUUUCGGGUAAACCAAAACAGCAAUAGUAAUUUCGACUUUUCUCACUCUACACUACUCCGAUUGACCUGAAAUUUUGUAGGCACCUCUAAAAUGUUCAGAGCCGACUCCCGACCCCGGUGAGCCAGCGAGGACGCUGGGUCUCCUAAGGGGGGUGGAUUGGAACGAUCCCACAUCGGCUAGGGAGGAAGUCCUGGGGCUGCUUUAAUAGCCUGUCGUGGUCUUUCCCACCUGACCGAGGCCUUUUGGAGGGGUGUUGGGCUUCUUGACCUGCGGGCUUGGGCUCUUCACUUGUUGUGGGUAUAACCCCACCUCCAGGAACAAAACCCACGGCCCAAUGGGGCGGUUAACUGUGGGACAAUAUUGGUCAGGGGCGUUAGAGUUGGUACCCCAGAUAAACUGAAAUAUUAGAGAUUUUUGCGGGAUGUCUUGACUUGAUUGGUACAACAGGGAAUGUCGAGGAUGACAUUCUUUUAAGGAGGGGAGUUUGUGACGCCCCGAAAAGAAUGAGUGUGAGAACCCGAAAAUUUUCUAAUUUUCUAGGGUUUAUUUUAUUUAAUCGCCCGCCUUUUCUACAUUUUCUUUAUGAGAAAAAUUCCCCAGAUAAAGUUUAUGAGCAAAUAUAAUUUUAAAAUGAUUUUUCUAGUAUCGGUUAGUUUUUGAGAAAUUAAGAGCGUAUUUUGGACGUAGGACCCGCUAGUGCAGUAAAUGCAUUAUAUUUUUGACCACUUGUUGGCAUUUUGUAUUAAGUGAUAUUAUUUUACAAAGUGUUAAGAUAUUUGUAUUGGAGAGACAAAAAGAUAAGUUUUAAACCUAAAGGUGACAAGUGUCACCAUCUAAUUUAAUCUUGGACUUUGACCAUUUGACUUUACCUUUACCUUUACCAAAUAAAUACAAAAAAUUGAUCAAAAUAAGCUUCAUUUUGCAAGCUUCUUGGCCAAAUGUUGUUGCUCAAGAAAGAAAGAAAAGCUUCAACUUUCAACUUCCAUUUCUUGCACAAAUCUUGCAAUCCAACCGAUUAAACUUGAAAGUUUUCCAUAAAACCUCUUAGUUUGGUGGUCUUGAGGUGUUUUGUAGAGUUGUUUGGAAAGCUAAGGUGACUAGUUGCUCUAUCUCUUGUAUUGCUAAGGUGAGUUGUGAAGGACCCCUCUCCUCCCUCUAAUGAUGCUUAAUUUAUGCUUAGUGGUGGUAUAAGGUGCAACUUUAUGGAUUAUAUUGUGAUUUUGGUUGAAUUGGUGAAGUUUUAUAAUUUUUGGGGAUUUUUCUAUUUUCAUAUGAGUAUGAUUAUGUGGUCAUGUAUGAUGAUUGGAAAUGAUGUUUAAGGACUCUAUGAGGUGGAAAAAGUGGACAAUUGCAAUCAAUUUCUGUUUUGGAAGAAAUUUCAGAAAAUUAGGUUUUGUGAAGGAACAUUCUGCCCGAAUUUUUAGCUCCUAGUUAGAGGCCGAAUUGGCCUUGGCUUAAAACAUGAAAGUUGUAGGGAAUGAUAUUUUAGAGGUGCCUGAAAAAUUUCAGGUCAAUUGGAGUAGCGUAGAGUGAGAAAAGUCGAAAUUACUAUUGCUGUUCUGGUUUUACCCGAAUGUAAGAAUUGCUUCUGUAAUGGGUUGUUUUGGCUGGAAUUUCUUCCGAAUUGGUUGUUGAGGUCUUCUGAUGAAAUUUAGCCCUGUUUCUUAUCUUUCAGAUGGUUUUGGAAUUUCGGGAUUUGGACUUGGAUAGCCUGCUUUAUGAUGUUUCCGCUAGAAUGCGUUCUGUGAAUCUGUUUUUGUGAUUCUGGUAUGAUAUCUUGCAUUUUUGACCUGGUUACACUCGAAACUGGGUUGAGUGACCUUCUGCAAUGUUGUAGCCCUGUCUUUUAGCUUCGAAAAGGUGUAUCUUGAACCUUCAUCUGACAAUCGUAGCGCCUUUGGUACCAUUACCGCAAAAUGACGUCCAAAACUGUUUUUCUGGUUUUGAGCUUAACUUUCAUUUCCGGACUUUUCCCUAGCUUGACUUGUACUAGUACUACUUGGAGCUUGAUGAAUGGCUAUUGAAUGAACUUGUUGUUGUGUGUGUACCUUUGGGUUGGAAUGAGGAAAUAAUGAAGCCUUGAUGGCUGGAAAAGUAAAGAAAGAUAAGAGGAAGUGCUGUCCGAAUUUUGAAAGGACUUGUUUGCAUUGAGUUUGUGAACUAAGACUUGGAUUUGAGCAAGGCAAUGAUAUAUGAUGGAUGGUUCCUGAGCCAUGGAGGUGAGUGAUCCCAAACUAUUGUUAAAGCUUCUUAUGAAAUGUUUCUUGCAUUAUUUACUCGACUGCAUCUCAUGCGUGCUUGCAUGUGAAUUCAUGAUAUGAUUUUGGCUUCAAUGAGUUCUUGGGGAGUCUUGUGCUGGACACCAACGUCUCUACCUCUGUUUACUUGGAGCAAAUGGCUCCGGAGCUCAAAAAGGGGCUCCCUCUUAAUGUUAAUGUUAAUGUUAAAUGUUCUAUUUGAGCGUUGGGUGUUCAAGUGCUAUGACUUCACUGGCUCACGAGAGCAAUAAACGGACAUUUGUUCUUUGAAUCAUGAUAUCAUCGAAAGGAUCGAAAUGCAAUAUUGUGAAAUAUAUUUGAUUACUGAUUUUAUUGGUUACUCGCUGAGCUUCUAGCUCACCCCAAAAAUAUUUUAUUCCCCUCCACAGGGCUCGAGGCGAAGGAAACGUUUGUAUUAAAGUUCUCCGUGUGAAUGGUUGGUAUCAAGGAUCAGAGUGGCGCAGCGGAAGCGUGGACGCUUCGCUUUUGAUAUGUAAUUAUUGGAGAAUUUGAUGUAUAUUUGAGAUUUAUCUUGUAAUUUAUUUGGGGACUGUAGUGAACGACUGAGUCCCGGCGAGAGCUGGGCAGGCGGCCCGCCGAACCCUCUGGUUCGCCUUAGGGGGAGGUGGGGCUGUCACAGUGUACUUAGCCGAUUUUGAUUAUUUGAAUUAAAUGAAUGGUUUGGAUGACUUUUGAAUCAAUUAAAUGUGCAAAAGUAUUGUCUUGGGAAGGGGUGAACUUUAUCUCCCAUUUCCAAGUAAAAACUGAAAAGUUAUUAUUCCAUAGUUAUACUACUUGCGCAUAUAUUGUAAGUCAGGGGCGCACUUUACCACAUCAGGAAACUGGGCCCUAAAACCCAUUGCCAGUCGACCUAUUCGAGCCAGCACCGGGCUUGGUCGGGUUGGUUGGCAGCCUGGUUGACCCAUGGGAGAGUUGUAGGCUUCCAGGUGUGUGAAAUCAUGGUCUCAAGUAUUACCUUAUAGUGUGGUGAUUAUUAAAAUGAAUACUGAUUGAAGAUGAUUGUUUAUUGUUUCAGAGGAUAUAACGGGUGAUUGGCAGAGUGUGUGGUGAUAUUGAAUUGAUUCCCAUAAUGAUCUCGUAUCCUUUCAAUGAAUUGUGUUAUUUUAUUUCAAAAGUUUCUAUUGAGACUUGAAUUUUGUUUUGCUAUUAUUAUACUGAUAUUGUGGUUGACAAAUGAUUGUUUUAUUGUUGCUUCCUUGGAACCUCACUAAGUGAAAGUUCAACCCUUUAGUUUGUUUUUCUUACAAGAUAUGAGGGCAAAAGAAGUCAAGAUAACGAUAACUUGAAUCUAAAGUCUCUAUUUUGUAUUUAUUGUAGACAAUCUUGUACUGUGAGAAUUGGUGAGAAAAUUUUUACUUUAAUCAUGUUGGUUCGUACAUAAGUGUGAAUGUCAUGGUCAGAUUGAUGGAGUAAAUGCUGCUUUGGGAGUGUAUUGUAGUGAGUCCUAGCGAGAGUCAAACAGGCGGUCCACUAAACCCUAGGAUAUGCCUUAGGGUGAGGUACAGCUAUCACAAGUGGUAUCAGAGCCAGGUUCGCAUGGUGUCUGCAUGGGGUGAAUCUGGGCCAGUGGAUUACAGUUCUGACUAUACAAGGAACUACAAGGAACUAAAUGCCACAUUUGAUAGCAGCCACCUUUAGAGCCUAUUGUACUAAGUGCCACAUCAAGCGAGGGCCACCUCUAGAACUUGUGCGAGCCAUCUCUAGAGUUCGAGCAUGACCAAAUGGACAGUCUGAAUUUUGACAAGCUUUGCAAGGAUGCAAAGUCCUAAAGGUGAAGGUUGAGGAUGUGUCAAUGGUAAAGGAUUAUCUAGAUGUUUUUUCUGAGGAAUUAGAAUCAUUGUCUCCUAAGAGAGAGAUAGAAUUUUAGGUUCAACUGAUGCUUGAAGCAAAUUCCAUUUCUAAGACAUCUUAUCGCAUGGCACUAGCUGACCUUAAGGAGUUUUUUGAUCAACUACAAGGAGUUGUGGUAUUUUCAGCAGGGAUAUUAUCAAUUAUGAAUUAAGAUGGAAUAUGUACUUAAGACGACCUUUAAUACAAGAUAUAGGUAUUAUGAGUUUGUAGUGAUGCCCUUUGGAAUAACUAAUGCCUCGGUGUGAUAGCCCCACCUCCCCCUAAGGCGUACCAAAGGGGUUAGUGGACUGCCUGCCCAGCUCUCGCCGGGACUCACUCACUCACUACAGUCCUCAAAUAAAUUACAAUAUAAAUCUCAAAUAUACAGUAAUGUUCCACAAAUUCACAUAUCAUAAGUGAAGCGAUUCUAUCUCAAAAGAAAGUACAAACUCAAAUAUACAAAGGUCCUCAGUUCUCACAUAAUUACAAGUACAAUCGCAGUCUCAAAUAUUACACAAGAUAAAACUAAAACGCCAACUGUACUGGAGAUAAUCCAACAAGUCACACGAAGAAUUUAAUACAAGCGCCUCCUUUGCCUCGAGCCCUGUGGAGUGAAAAAAAAAUAUUUUUGGGGUGAGCUAGAAGCUCAGCGAAUAACCAGUAAAAUCCGUAGUCAAAUAAGUUUCAGAAUAGUUCAUUUCAAUGAUGUCAUGAAUCAGUAAUCAAAUGUAUGUUUAUUGCUCUUGUGAGCCAGUGAAAUCAUUGUACUUAAACAUCCAACGCUCAAAUAGGUCCAGUAACAAUGAAACAGGAAUAGGGAGCCAUUUGUGCUCCAAAUAAACAGUGAACAGUGGUGGAGACGUUGGUUCUAAGCACAAGACUUCCCAAGAACUCAUUGAAGCCAAAUCAUGUCAUGAACUCACAUGCAAGCACACAUGAUAUGCAAUCGAGUAAAUAAUGCAAGAAACAGUUCAUAAGUAGCUUUGGAAAUAGUUUGGGGUCACUCACCAACCACAGCUCAUAAUCCUCAUCCAUCAUAGACAGUUUCCUCGAUCAAGUCCAAGCUCUUCAUUCUACCAAGAAUUAACCCAAACUCACAGCGAUUAAACGUUCUCAAAGAUUGGACAACACUUCCCCUUAAAUUCCUUAUUUUUCAUCCUACAAGACAUUACAAAUCACAUCUCAACUCAAUCACAAUUACACAUACAAAUCAUAAGCUAUUAAAUACUCUUAAUUAGGGUCACAACACCCUUCACAUACAACCAUUAGAUAGCUCCAUAAUUAAUCACAAUAAAGCCCCAAUUCGAAACCCUAGAACUGCAAUUUACCCUUCAAACGGAAAUUUUCCGCAACCCAUCACAACUAAUAGACACAAGCUUCAUGUUAUACCAUAUCAAUCCAUCAUUUCAAGGCCAACCUAUGAUUAUCAUAUAAAAUCAGAAAAAUCCCCAAUAAAUCAGAAAUUGAUCCAACUUUACUUAAAAUCAUGAAAUCAUCCACAAAAUAGCAUAUCUAACCUCUACAAACCACCAAUUAACCAUUAUUAAAGCAAGAGAGAACUUUCUUCUCCAAUUUACCUCAAAACUCAAGAAAGCUAGCCACUUAUAGCUACCCUUUCAAAGAUCACUCCACCAAAAGUUUUAAACCUCCUAAACACACACUUGUAUGGAGUGGUUUCCAAAACCAUCGGUGAAAUCUCAAGAUUUGAGCAAAGAUUGAAGCUAGAAAAAUGAAUAACUUUCUCUCUUUUCUCUCUAUGAUGCACGGCCAAGAAGGAGUAAGAAAUGGAAGAUAUUUUAGCCAAAAAGCAAGAUAAGAAUGAAGAAAACAGCCAGUCAAACCAGGCUGCCGCCUGUGCCACGUCACAAUCCGGCUGGAUUCCAGGCCGAAUUCAAGGCAGAACGAAAUCCCAUUUUUUUUCAAAAUGCACCAACAAUCCAGCCGGCAAUCCGGCCAAUAACUGGCCAGAUUUGCUGCCAGAUUUGGUCCUCACCUUUUCCGCUAAAAUUUUUCGUUUCUUUUCCUUUCGGGCGUCACACUCGGCAACAUUAUAGAAUAGCAUCAUACUUUUUUAAUUCAAAUCUUUAAAAUCCUACAGUGGGUUGUUGAUCAAAUUAGCAGUAGAAUCACUUGACUCUUCAAAUCUAGAUAAGUUAUCACUUAAAUUCUCCAAAUCUCUCACCAUGUCAAGCAUCCCAUCAUUCUCUAUCUUGCCAUUCUGUGUUGUUUGAUUAUCAAGGUUAGCAUCCUUCAUAUCACUGAUGUUACUGCUUCUAGGAAUCUUUAAUUCAAAUUUCUCACUAUAGUAAAUCCACCUUGUAAUAGUCUUUAUCUAUUCUUGGAUAUAAUAAGUGGCUUUGAACCUUAUCUUGACUUUUGAUAUAGUUAUUCAAACAAUUCUCACAAGGACAAUGGAUGUCGCAUUCCUUGUCCAUAUGUUGUUGAAUGAAAUGCAUGAAUGAAUUAACACCAUUGACAUGCUUGUUUGAGAAUAUUAGCAGAUGGCUGAUUUGAAAUUUUCUUAUUGCCACAGUUAAUUCAUUUCGUAUGUAUCCAUAAAUCUUUGAAAAAUAAGUAUCCAUAAAUUGAAGGGUUUGCUAAAGUGCAGGAUAUCUAGGUCUAAAACAUUACAUGUUGCAAGUUGCAACCUUCUAGGAGAUGCAAUAUUAAAGUAGUGCAACUGUUGAACAGUUAAUAUUAGAUUUAAAUACACCACUGGAAAUUUAGAUCCAAAUGAUUAAUGACAAUGAACUUGACUCAUGAAUUGACUCUCUGAUGGGAGAUUUCAUGCUUUUAUUAAUUGGUUAUGUAAUUAGAGACAUUGGGUUAAGAGAAUGUAUUCUUGGGAGAAUUGAAUAAUAAGAAGAUGAAGGUAAAAGUGCACCGCAUAAGUAUGAGAAGCCAACUUGGAUAACAUGUGCCAAAAUAAGGGCCUAGAUUCAACUUGGUAGAUAAUUGUCAAAACCCCAAAUAUCAUACCAAUCAAUGUUUUGAAAGGCAUUUUUGGGACGAGUCUCAGGACAAAUUUUAGGGCGAGACGAAUCCCGAAUAUCCCGGACCAUUUGAAUGGGGCAUAAGUGUUGUUGGACGUUUGCUCAUCCCAUCCUACGGGGAAGACGCUAGGGCAUUUGGGCAUUUGGCGUUUGGGGCGUUCAGGACAUUUUUGUUUCUUUUUUUAAAACACUUUUGGACUUCGGCUUUACUAUUUUAUUUUCUUGAUCUUUGUUUGCUAUCCUUGUUGUUGCUUAAUAAUUUUGAAGAAUGAUUUCAUUUAUUUUUUCUUUGGAAAUAGUUUGGAAAAAAUACAAAACAAAAGCAUCCAUGACUUUGUUUCCUAUAUUUUUUCUCUUUUCCUUGAUUCUAAAAUAUAACUAUUUAUUGUUAACAUAAUUCUAGAUAGCUAAUGUAUGAAUUAAAGGUAUGUUGUGGUUUUACUUGUUAGACACUAAUAAUAUUUUUAUAAUUUUCUUAAUUUUAUCAAUUUUUUUGUAUUUAUUAGUAAUAUACAUACAUAUAUAUAUGUAUGAAUAUUGUAAUUUGUAGUAUUAUUGUAUAUUUUAUUUUAUAUAUUUAAAAAAUCAAAAUUUGUGACACUUACGCCCUACGUUUCGGAGGUGGAACUAACCAUGAAUAAUAAGAAACACAGCUAAAAUUCGCAAAAUUGUCCACUCACUCGAGGUGUCCAUAGAAGACCAAAAACUUAUAUAGCCAUAGUGGCAGUAAAAAUGUUACUUUUAGAAUAGCAAGAAAUUUACGUCCCGGAAGUGAUGGUAAUAAUAGUCUAACACUUUUAAGUUCGCAACUUGGUGUUAAAAAAACUAGGAAAUCGUAUUUAAAGUGGCCACUACUUUCGCCUCAAAAAGUAUAUGAGUUUUUGGUAAAAUUCAGCUUAUAUACUUGUGACGACCCCACCUCUUCCUAGGGUGUACCCUAGGGUUUAGCGGACCAUCAGCCCAAUUCUCGCCAAGACUCACUCACUCACGUCAAGAAAAUAGGGUGCAACCUCAAUAAUGAAGAAAAUAACAGUUCCCAAGUUUGGAACGUACAAAUACAUUCAUUUCUAUCUCAAACAUCCAUACAAUCCCAAAUAUAUCAAAAGAUUUAAGUUCUCAAUACAUUCAACCCUAAUCGAGCGACUAGCGCAAGUACAAUCGCAAACGUUCAAAAAUUAGACUAUGCUAGCCUGUACCAGUCUCACGCCUUCGCUCAUAUCCCCUGUAAGGAAAGCAAAACUAAAGGAAUGAGCUAAAAGCCCAGUGAGGUUUCCAAACAAGAAAUCAGGUAUAGAAACCAAGGAAAUGUUACAUUUAGCAAUUUGCAUAUUUUGCACAGUAAUAUCCAGUCAUUCAAGAAAUAAACACUCAAUCAUUCGAAGGAUAUGUGCUCACUUGGAACCAUUCAUUCAAGUCAUUCAUUCAUUCAUUCACCAAUCAUUUUCCUUAUCCCUCCGACAUUAGAAAACAUUUGCAAGUAAAAACUCCUCCAGUGUUCUUGACAUUCAUUCAUUGAUUUCAUUUCCUACCACUAGCCAAUUCACUGGCCAGUUCUCCACCAACCUUCGUGGUCAUACUCGAGUAUACCAAAACACUAUACCAGGGUCACCAAUCACUCGACCGAAUCCGCUUCUGGCUCGAGUCGACUGGCAACAAAGGGCAAAGGCCCAAUUUAGCCAAAAGGCUUAUAUUCAUGCACAAGUAGCAUUCAAUCAUUGAAAAUCAACUUUGGCUUGGGUCGAGUGUGAUAAAGUACAUACUCGCCCAUCGAAAAUCCAUUUAGCAAUCCUUAGAAAGCAUUUAACAUUCAAGCAAACAUUCACCAAUAGUCACAUAGUCACUUAUUGUACAAACACACAAUGGAAAACUCACCCGUCUAAGCCAAAAUAACGUCAAAAGUUUUCUUCCGGAUUAUGCCCUUGAUCACCGACAAACCCUAAGAAUAACCAAUCCCAAAUUGAAAUGAGCAAAUGUAAUUUAAGAUCCAACCAACCCUAAAAUCAAACCUUACAUCUUACUAAUAUUCACAAGAGCAAGUAACAGAAAUUUGGGCAGCAUGCCCUUUGUAUUUCGCUAUUUUCCAGCCAUUUAUGGCUUCAUUAUUUUUCUCAAUUCAGCCCCAAAACCUCACACAAAUAAUCUUACCACAAUAGCCUUUCAAUAGGCUCAAUGUCAUUCAAUUACAAAAUAAUGCUAACAAAUUGACCAGAAAUAAUGUUUAAAACAAAUAACAAAAUAACAGGUUUGAUGUCUCUUAGCGUUUCGGUCACAACCGAAGCUACGCUUAUCAGAUUGGGGUACACUUUAUACCAUUUUCAAGCUAAGACAAAGGGUUACAACUUUUAUGAAGAUAACUCAAGCCAUUUCACAAUUGAUCUAGGUCGAAUUUGCAGAUUAUAGAACUAGAAUUUCAUUGUCGGUCUGGUUAUAAGCACUGGAUUUAAAUGGAAAUAACUCAAACUACAAAAUUCCGAUUGAGACAUUUUUAGAUGCGUUGGAAAGCUAAAACAUAGGGCUAAAAUUUUCAUGUUUUGGCCAAAUACUGAUUUGAUGCGGAUCAAAGUGAAAAAUGAAGCCAAACAUGUGAAAUCUCAAAACUGUCCGCGAAAAUGAACAUUUGGCAUCAGGGGUAUUUUAGUCAUUUCACAUCCUACAGGGGUCGAAUUGAGCUUAAAUUUUACAGGAAGCUAUAUGACACCAUUUCCUACAACUUUCAUGUUUUGAACUAAGCCUAAUUUGGCCUCUAACAUGGAAUAAUGAAGCUGGUCAGAAGCAGGGCAGUUUAAUCCUAAAGCUGGCAAUUUGAUGAAUUCAAAGUUUAAAAUUCUUAUUCAUGUCUUGAACCACUACUCCAACUCCCUAUCGAAGCUUAGUAACAUCAUAUGCUAUAUAAUCAACAAGAACACAAAUGAACAACUCAAACCCUAACUCAAAAAUCCACCAUAUCCAUCAAAACUACUUAAAUAACUAUCAUUAGCCAAGAGUAUGAGUUGCUAGCCAAACUUAAACAAGAUUAAGGGAGAGAAAUAGGAAGGACACCCAUAAUACCUCACAAAGAUGCUUGCAAGAGAAAUCCACCACCUUUCCUUUCCAAACUUUAGCACACAAAACUUCCUAAUUUCCUAAGUAAGUGUUUAAUCGGUUUGGAUUUUAGAUUUUCAUUCAAACUAAGCUAAAACUCAAGAUGGAAAUGAAGUUUUCUUCUCUCUUUUUUUCUUCCUUAAGUUUGGCCACCAUAGGAGGAUAAUGAAGGAAGAAUGAAUUCCAAGAAAGAUAAGAAGCUAAGACUUGAGUUGGGUCAAAGAUAGUUGGAUGACUUCCAAGUGUCACCACAAGAUCAUUUCUCAAAUUUUUUCCUUUUCCCUUGGUUUAUAGUCAAUAAUUUUGGCCCUCUUGAGCUGAGAGACUAAUAUUUAUGCACUAAUAACAACGAUAUUAAGUUAAUAAAGUGGUGUGUUCAAUCGGUAGCGAACGGUACACGUCGGUUCAACCCGAUUUUCCUUAAAUCACGUGUACUAGUGUUUUAAUGUAUGAUUCACUAAUUUAUUAUUAUUACUUCUAAUCACACACUUUCUCUUAUCUAAAACUCACUUUUAAUCACCAAAUUGAGUACACACUCCUCACCAAUUAAUUACACUACCAAAAUACACGGAAACCCUAAUUUACCCGAACGAUGAAAGUAAAGGGAAAAACUCUUAAUUCUAUGAUUUAUUGCAACUAUGGAGAAGGUAAAUGAGUAGUAAAGCUAUUAUAAAGUAAUUUAUUCAAAAUAAAAGGGAAUUUUAAGAAAACAAGAAGAAUUUUACGAGUCCUCACAAUACUCCUACUAAGGGAAACUUGAAUACCCUAAAUAACCUUAGUUCAAUUCAACCAAGAAUCACCGCUCAAGUUCUGAUUUCACUCGCUUAACUCAUGAAAGAAAAAUUGGGCAGCAUUACCUUUUUGUUUACCCAUUUUUUCAGCCAUUUAAGGCUACAUGUUUUUCUUCAAAUCACCACAAGUAAACAUAUAAAGAUGGUUCUUAAUCUAGGCCAAAAACCAUCCAAUUGCAACUCAUUUCUAGCAAAUAAUCAUCCAAUAUCAAAGUUGAAAAUUUCUCAACAAAGCUGAAAUUUUCUCUUUUAAAGCUAAAAAGUCACAAUUAUGCCACUAACCACCUCACAAAUUCCAUAUCCAAGCUCCAUACUAACAUAAUAUAGUUGAACAACAAAAAUCAAGGCUAAAAUGGCAAAACCCUAGCUGAAAUUUCACUAAUCUACACCAAAACUAGAAUAUCAUCCAUAAUAUUUCAAGAUUCAAGGCAUCUAUACCAUAUUUGGCAAGAAUAAGGAAGAGAAAGGAAGUUGAUGAACUUAUACCUUCCAACCUUCUUGAGAAGUGAAGAACCAAACUAUUUCUUCCAAGAAACUCUCCAUUCCAAGCUUUGAUCUCAACUCAAACAAGGCAAAAUCAAGAUUGGAAGGAAAGUUUUCUCCUCUCUUUUUUUCUCUCCUUGCUCGCGGCCAACAUGAAGAAAUAAUGGGAGAAAUUUAGCCAAAAUGAAAGAUAAGAAGGAAAGAAUUGUCUUGGUCAAACACCUCUUUGAUUGCCAACACUUGGCAAUCAAGAUUCUUUCUUCUUUUUUUUCUUUUCUCACCUUUUCUUUGGUCAAAGAUUUUGGCUGGAUUAGAGGUUAAUUUAGGGCUGAUUAGAUGAAAUAAAACAAGAAGAUUAGGGUAAGAAUGUAGUGGUCAAGUGGUGUACUCAAUCGGUAACAAACGGUGCACGCCGGUUCAAGCCUAUUUUUCUUAACUCUCUUGUACUUGUGUUUUAACUUAUGAUUCACUAACUUAUUAUUAGCACUUCUAAUCACACACUUCCUCUUACCUAAUACUCACUCUUAUGCACCAAAUUUAGUACACACAUCUCACCAAGUAAUCACACUACCAAAAUGCGCAAAAACUCUAAUUUACCCUAACUAUAAAAGUAAAAGUAAACCUCUCGAUUAUAUUAUUUAGUACAACUAUUGAGGAGUAAAUUAGUAGUAAAUAAAUUAUAAAUUAACUUAUUCAAAAUAAAAGAGAAUUUUUAAGAAAAUAUGAAGAAUUUUGCAAGUCUUCACAAGAACGAUGUAAGAUUAUGCCCCCCUUUUGAUUGUUGCAAAAAAAUCGGACAUUCGUCCAUCCCGAAGUUUUUGAUUUCUAAAUGCGUGGUGUUCACAUCACUAGUUUUUAGAGAUUGUGACACAAGCUUGGUUACUGCCGGUGAAUGGCCGGCCGCUCCGGAGGUUGCUUUUAAAAAUGAAAAAUGUGAAGUUCGCGUUGAGUACCUGGAACAAAGAGGUCUUUGGUAAUGUAGCGGACAAAGUCAAAGAGGCUGAGGAAGUAGUUCGAUUGCGGGAACUGACACUGGAAGAGGAGCAAUCAGAGAGUAACCAAAUUGAAUUGAACCAAACCCAGGCACUGUUGACACGAGAAUUAUGUAAGGAGUCUGAUUUUUGGAAGCAAAAGGCCAACCUUCAGGUGGCUUCGGGAGGGAGAUGCAAAUACUAAGUUUUUUCAUGCUACGGUGAGGCAGCGAAAGGCAAGACUGUUUAUUCAUCGGAUAAAAAGGCAGGAUGGAAGCUAGGAGGAAUAUCUUAGUCAUAUAAAAGAUAUGGCAGAACAAUUCUUCUCCACAAUGUUUUCGGCAACAGAGUCUUCAAAAUUUUGGGGUGGAAUCUAGAUUGUUAAAACGUAUCCCUAAAUUGGCAAGGGAACAAGAUAAUAUGACAUUACAAGGGGUUUCAAAUGGAGAAGAGGUAAAAAAUAUCAUUUUUUCUAUGGAUGGGGACUCUGCGCCUGGACCGGAUGUUUUACUGGCAUGUUUUUUAAGGCGGUUUGGGGAAUUGUGGGGGAGGAUGUAGUUUCUGCGGUUCAGGAUUUUUUUGUUGGGGCAAGUUUGCCAAUGGAGUAUACGUCCACUCUUCUUGCACUUAUCCCCAAGGUUACGAAUCCAUCUUCCUUUUCAGAUUUCAAACCUAUUAGAUUGUGCAAUUUUAUCAACAAGAUUAUCUCCAAAUUAUUGACAUCUCGAUUGGAAGGGAUAUUAGUUAAGAUUAUCUCUCCCUAACAAAGUGCUUUUGUUAAGGGCAGACUAACAUCUGAUAAUGUUCUAUAGGCCCAGGAGAUGAUUUUCGCCAUUAGUAAGAAGGUCCGUGAUUCUAAUGUGGCCUUAAAACUGGACAUGGCCAAGGCAUAUGAUAAAGUCACUUGGGUCUUCUUAACUUCAGUGUUACGUGCGUUUGGUUUCGGAGAAAUAUUCAUUGACAUGGUUUGGCGUUUAGUCUCUAAUUGCUAUUUCUCGGUCCUUGUCAAUGGCCAGCCCUGUGGUUUUUUUAAAUCAGCCCGUGGUUUCAGACAAGGGGGCCCCCUCUCACCAGUUUUGUUCAUUAUUGCAGCGGAAGUACUAUCGCGGGGUUUAAAUGCACUACUUGAUGAACCACAUUUUAUCCCAUUUUUGGUCGACAGGAAGACUGAUCCAGUUACUCAUCUAGCAUAUGUAGAUGAUAUUAGUAUUUUCUCUUGAGGUGAUACGCGAUCUCUUUGGUGCAUGAUGCAAGUCCUUCAAAAGUAUCAGGGCUGUUCGAGCCAGUUGGUUAAUAAAAAUAAAAGUUGCUUCUUUACCUCCACUGAGUUCCUCCCAUCUAGGCAUUCAAUGGUGGCCAGGUUAAUGGGAUUCUCAUUUAAGGCCUUCUCAGUUAAGUAUUUGGGAUGCCCAUUAUUUUUAGGGAGGAAAGUUAGUUCUCUAUUUUCGGGUCUGAUUGACUCUAUUGCAAGUAGGAUAAGAGGCUAGUCGACGAAGUGGCUCUCUUUUGGAGGGCGUUUGGUUCUAAUUAAAUCCAUCCUACUCUCGAUGCCAGUGCAUCUUCUUUCUAUCCUGGAUCCCCCUAAAAGAGUGAUUAAUUAGAUUCAUAGGAUGCUUGAAAAUUUCCUAUGGGGGUCCAUAGAGGGUAAGGAGAGGCGACAUUGGAUUCCGUGGUCAAGAUUAUGUCAGCCAUUGGAGGACAGGGGAUUGGCAUUGAGGUCACUUCAUACAACGGUUCAAGCAUUUUCUUGUAAGCUAUGGUGGAUAUUUUGAAAGGGAGGGUCCUUGUGGUUAGACUUCAUGAUGGCACGGUAUUGCAAAAGCUCUCACCCGAAUCAGGUGCAUAUGUCUUCUUAUGCAUCAACUUUGUGGAAGAGAAUGCUUCGAGUAAAAACGUUGGUUGAGCAUCAUGCAAUGUGGGAUUUGGCAGCAGGGAAGAUAUCCUUUUGGUGGGAUAAUUGGUUGAGGGAUGACCCUCUUGCAUGGCGUUUCCCUCAUAUUACUGGAGAUGAAGCAGUGGCGAAGUAUUGGUUGGAGGAUGGUUGGGAUUUUGGGAUGUUAAGUAAAGUGCUCCCAAAUGAUACUUUGAAGAGAAUUGAUUCGCAGUUUUAUUGUUGGAAACAGGGUUCCCAAGAUGUUAUGCUCUGGUCUGAAAUGCAGUCUAGGAACUUUAGACUGAGUUCCGUUGUCUAGCUUAUUACCCCAGCUUCGAGCAUGUAUAGGUGAAAGGUCUACCGCUGAAAUUUCAUGCUUGGUAUGGCGUUUAUUACUCUUUAAAAUUCUGACUUCAAAUGUAUGAUCUAAAUUUAAUGUCCACGGCUCGUCACGUUGCUACUGUUGCAGUAAUCAUAAUUUGGACACAUUGCAUCAUAUCUUCUCUUUAUGGGAUACCCCAGCAAGGAUCUAAAAGGUGUUUGAAAUGCCAUUCGAGUUCUCCUUCACAGGAAAGCUGGUUCAUGACCGGUGCAUGUGCUGGUGGCUCAGUACCUCAACACAUUGGAUGGUAAGAUGGGUGUUACGUGUGGUACCGGCGGUGGUUUUAUGGCAUCUGUGGUGUGCGAGAUAUGUGUUUGUGUAUGAGAGGCAAAGUCUGUCAGUUAGAGUUCUUUCAAAAAGGAUUUUGGGUGACUUACAAGAUUUACUUAUUUCUCAGUUUCCAAAUCUUCAACGAAAUUCUAUUGGUGGAGGUUGUUCACAAUAUUAGUAAGGUCACUCUGCCCAUACAUGCACAGUAUGUUCAUUGGACUCGACCACCGGUGGGAGGUUACAAACUCAAUUUUGAUGGUUCGCGUAAGGAGAAGUAUUAAGCAGGAGGAGGAGGGAUGCUAAGGAACUCUGAAGGACGGAUGAUUUUCGCCUUUUCUGAGUCUUAUGGGAGGGUGACCUCACUGCAAGCUGAAGCUAGGGCAUUGUGUAGGGGACUUCAAAUGUGUGGGUUACUAGGUUAUGCUCCAACUAUAGUUGAGGGCGAUUCUAAAGUCCUAAUUGAUGCAAUCCAGGGGUAUGGCAGUGUCCCGAAAGCUAUGCUCCCAGUAAUCCAUCAUAUCCACCAGGUUUCUGUUGCCGGGAUUUCACAUCAACAUAUUUAUCGGGAAGGAAAUGCUGUUGCAGACGUGUUGGCAUCCUAUGGUUGUGACUCUAAUGGGUUUAGCUUAUUCCUCUCGUUCCAAUCCUUGCCAAAGUCUCUCAGAGGUCUCUACAAUGUUGAUCGGCUAGGAGCUGGAAGUUUUAGAUUUUUCAGACGGCCACAUAGGGCCAGUUGAUAGGUGAGGGGUGACAAUGCUAAUUUUACUCCAAAUAAAUGGGUAACCAAGCCCGCCCGCCAGCAUGAUUGGCGGUUUCCUAAAAAAAAGUGUGUGGAGUUUGUGAUUUUAUGGUUUAAUGGGUUUUUUCUGUAGCACAGGGGGCAUGAAAGGAACAUGAGAGCAUGGUCCUCCCUUUGUCAUUAUAGUAGGUUACAAGGGGUCCUACAUUCAUAUGUCCUUAAGCUAAAUUAAUUAGGCAGAAAAAAUGCAAAUUUUGUUGCAUUCGUUGACUAAUAGAGGUCUAAUAUUGCGGGUUUGUGUGGUGAAGAAUUGAACCUGCAAUUUAGAUUAAAAAAAUAGUAUCAAAUGAUAGUUUUAUUAUGAAAAGAUUGGAUAUAAAUCAAUUAACAAUACUGCCACUAUUUGGUUUGUUAAUGCAGGGCAUCCAUGCUCAUUAUUUUCAAUUAAGAUGUAGCAUGGUGGUAGAAUUCAAGGGAAUAAAUAUAAGAGCAAUGUUGGUAGGGAAAUAGACUAUUUUGAUCUCUUUGAUAGAAAUAGGAUGUCAAUGCAUGAGAUUAACACCAUGGUGAAAAAGUGUGGCUACAACAAUGAAGUCAUAUUCUACUAUUAGCUUGAUUCAAGAAGUGAUAUAAACCACAGAUUAAAGGAACUCUAAACUGAUGAGCAUAUUAAAGAGUUCUGUAGCUGGGUGGAGCAGUUCAAGUAGAUGGAAGUGAUAUGUGACCAUGUGCCACAAGACAAGGUGCGAGAACCCUCACUUAAAAAUAUAAGUUCUCCUAAAUUACUUGCAUUGCCCUAAGACUCAAUAAAUUAUAGCAUUUCCUUGUGUUGCAUUGCAUUGCUUUUCUAUAUGAAUUGUAAUAACUCCUUGAAUUGGUAUCAUUUUAUUUCACUAUAUGCACUGAGACCAAAUACCCUUUUAAUUGUGUUUGAGACCUUAUGUGAAAGUUUAAGGGUGCUAAUUAGACAUUUGAAACACUUGGAGGAUAGAAACAUUAUUUGGCAAAGUUUAAGGGAAGGAAUGGCCAAGAUUGGGCCAAGUGUCUAUGCCCCAACCACUCAAACAAAUUGACCAAGAAAAUUAGCAUUUUAAAACCUUUUUGGCUCCAUUUUUCCUCCUUGUUGGCCGGCUCUCUUAAGCUCCAAAGAGAGAAGAAAAAAAAUCCAUUUUCUUGCUUGAAAUCAUAGCUUGGACUUUUAGGAAAAACCAAAAGAGAAGGAACUUUAGUUAGUUGAGUAAACUAUCUUCAAGGCUUGUUUGUGAUUCAAGAUUAGAACUCUUGCUUUGGUGGACUUUUGGGUGAUUCAAGCUUCAUUUAAGAAAGGUGAAUGAUCCUUAAACCUUACCUUUAUUGUUUAAUAUCAAGUGUUUAAGAGAUUGAUGACAAACUAGAAGCUGAAUUGAUGUUGUUUGUGGUUAAACUCCUUGAGCUAAGUAAGUGGAAGUAAGGUUGGAUGUAUGGCAUGCCAUAUGUUUGAUUCUUUGCCUAAGCUUUGUUUGUGGUUUUUCUUGAUGUAGUAGCAUGUUAUGAACCCUCUUAAAGUUAGAGAUAACUCUUGGAAUGUUGUUUAAGUUAAAAUAAUCAAAGGAUGGAGGUUGGUGGUGAAUAUGAACUUGGGGACUGUUUUCUUUUCUCCUUGCUGGCCAUCCAUGAAUUGGAGAUUUUUUCUUGAUCUUUGUGACUUAUUGAACCUUAAUUAAGCUUAAGAAACUUGGCUAAACAUUAGUUUAAGCUUAUGUGUGAGUUGAUGUGAAAUGGAGCAAGUAAAUUGGUUGUUUGGCAAGGUAGCGGACUGUUUUGUUCUUCCUUGUUGGCUGGACUGCCUUGAUUCAUCUUAGCCUUUUAUGUGUUGAAUUUUAAGCUUAACUAGUGCUAUAUAACUUGAACCCUGUAUAUUAAUUUUAGGAGAUUGAAUUGGAUGAAUUUGAACCAAAAUGAAUGAGGUUAAGAAGGAGGAUUAGGGUGAUUUUUGUCAAAGUCCUGAGCUGAUCAAAACAGGAAAAUCAAUCAAUUUCCCCAGACUUUUGCUUUUGAUAAAAGAGGAACUAGAGUUUGUAUUUUAUAUCAUUGGAAAGCCUUCGAGUCUAGUUUCCAAUGCCACCAACGGCAUGUGAUUCUGACUUGUCUACAGUGAGAUAUGGCCAUUUUCCCUGGACUGCGCGUGCGCGACUGUUUUACCCGCGAAAGCCCUUUUUAACUUGAAUGAGACUUUUCUUUUGCUCAACUUUCUUACACUUGUCAAACUCAUUUUCUUAUGACCUUUUCCUACAUUUUUUGUCUAACUUGUAUGGUAAAUUGAGUCGAUUAACAACCCACUUGGUCACCUAAUGAACUUACGUUUGGGUUGGCAAAUGAAUCUAGAAUAUUAAUGACUUUUACUCGUUGCCCUAGGACUGGGAAACGAAGGUGAGGAUAACCACGGGACUUGACGGACAAACUUUGAAUUUCUUAAUAAGUGAGUGUUCCAUUGCCUCUUACCUGUCUAUGUGAGAUAUCUGAAUACUUAGUCUGUGAUUGUUUGACAUUUGAUUUGACAAACUCGAGGUGUGCGUAUACUUUAUCACACUUGACCUCCUUCAAUUCUACUGAGGCUCUGUAUACUGACAUUUUAAGAUGUGGUUUCUCUAUAUUUGACUAUACGUCGUUUGGGUGAUAUCCCAUCGACUACUGUGACUGUUUGGGGUACCCAACCUCAUAGAUGAGUCGGUUGUAUCGAGAUAGCAAGGGUUUGGUAGAGAAGACCGAUGAACCUUGGGGACUGUUUACUAAAAUUCGAAAACUGGUAUACUCGAGUAUUACCUAAUUAUACUAUUUGAGGUGUUCGGGCCCGGUAAGGGAGUUGACUAGUGGAUGGGAUUUGAAGAAAGUGGUGUUCUACGGAUAUUAUAUUCUUUAAAUGCAAACGUUGAUUGAGAGUCAACGGAUUCUCGAUACGAUCAAACUUAAGUGGAUUUGGCUUUUGGAAUCCAUCUGUAUCCUUGAAUUGAAUUGUGAUUAAAUUAUUCCAAAAUUACAUGUUGUUUACUUGUUUAUAUUACGCCUCUAAUUGGAUAUGUGCCUGCAUGUUUAUUUGGGACUUCACUAAGUUUUAGCUCACCCCACUCCCUUUUGUGUUCCUUAGCAGGUCUGUGAUGGGACUGCUGUCAAGAACUUGUGUAGUCUUAAAUCUUAUCUUGAACUUGUAUUUUGGGUUGUAAUCUUUUUGUUUAAAACACUUUACCUUUGACUCUUGUAAGUUUGAAUUUGUAAGUUUGACACAUAUUAUGUAAAUUAAGUAUGGAAUUAUAAGUUUGACAUUUAGCUCUAUAUUCUAAGUUUGGGGAGUUGGCGUGACGAUUAUAUUUCCAUUGUGAUUUGUAACCUUUACUUCAAAGAUAUUUAGUUAGUUUUCUUGGAUUGCUGGUUCAUUAGUUGACUGAGUCCCGGUGAGAGUUGGGCAGGGGCAGUUCGCUAAUCCUUAGAGUUCGGCCUGGGGUGAAGCGGAGCUGUCACAAGAGGUGCUAACAAUUCAGACCAAGACCAUCAUAAAGCCACCACAUGUACACAAGUCUAGAGUGAUAAUACAAGAAAUUGAUGAUAGAGAGCAAGUUCAAAUAGUCCAUGCAUGUAGUAGUAAAUCUACCAAAAGCACACAAUCUGUUAAGAAAAGUGGUUACAUCUCACAAUCAUUUGCUCCUUUAGAGUCGGAGGAUAGUAUUGUACAAAAAGAAGCAGUGAAUGGAACUACUAAGGAAGGUGAUAUAUCUACAAUUGCAGUAUACUUCCACUCAAGUUUUGUAGAUGGUGAACAUGUUUCCUCUAAGGCUAUUAGAAAUGAUGGAGAAGGAGACUGAUGCGGAUACGGGUGUGCAACAAUUAACUUCAACCUUGGGUCAAGGAUCCUUUGGUCCACAUUGGCGGUCCGAUGACAAGAUCAAGAUCCAAGAGGGUGAAGGAAGCUUUACGAGCCUUGAUUAUUCACCAUACAAGCAAGGAGCAAGCUAAGUUUGAAGAUUUGAUGGACCAUGAAGUUACUUUGUUCACUUGUACGUUUAAAGUGAAAGAAUGAUCUCAUACUUGUUAGCUUAGUUGGUAGUUGUUUUAAAACUGUCCCGUUUAGUAGUUGUUAGGCGUUGAGUAUUUUAUUACUUAUCGGGCCUUAUCGGAAAGCCUUAAAGAGCUGGCUCUUUAAGCUCUUUUAUGCGGACCGAAUCUCUUCCAGGUUUAUGUGGGCCGGAUUUUGCCCUAGUUUUAGCCUAUAAAAAGGCACCUCUUGUAAGAGUAAAACACAGAAUAUUACAACCAGAAAUCGUGAGGAAUUUUCCUUCAAGUUCUUAACCGAACUUACUCUUGAAUUCUUGAGUUCAUAGCUUAGGAUUCAAAUCAGACUUUAUCGAUUAGCUUGUUCCCUAAUCGUGGUGUCGCUUCAUCCAUCCUUAUUUGCUUAAGGUUGCUGAUUACCUUUGUGUGUCAGAGGUCUUGAGUUCAUGAGAACAAUCGAGUUCAAUUUCUGUUGGGAGGAAAGAUCCAACUCUGAUAAUUACAAGGUUGGGAGGUUCUAGGAGGGUCUUCCCCUAGGGUUGCCUAUAUCAGUUGGUAAUCAGAGCAUCAGGUUAAUUCUCUUUUAAUUGAAGUUGUUCAUAUCUUGUUAGUUUGUGUCUUUUGUCAAAAAAAAAAAAAACUGUAGCGAUUACUGUUCAUCGUUACUAUUCCGAAUUACUGUUCGUCGUACUGUAGCGUACUGUUCAUGUUACUGUUCAUCCGAGUCAAAAAAAAAAAUUGUUUGGGUGUUGUCUUUUUUUGUGUUUUCUGUCCAAGUUCUUGGGUCUAUUAUACUUGUGUUUGGAUUGUUAGGGUUUAAAGAGAAAAAAAAAAAGAGUCACGUACCUUAUAUUGUUUAGUGAUCAAGUUGCUAGAGUAUUGCUGGAAUUUUCUUUUGAAUAUUGCUGAAAUUCUGUUUUGCCUAUUUCUUGAGAAUUGGUUGUUGUUUCUGCAAACCCUAGACACCGCAACAUAAUUUGGGAAAAUUCUUGUGUUUCUUGAACAAAUUCUUGAAGUUCUUGGACCACCAAGUCUUGUUUUGAAAAUUCUUGAACAAUAAACCAAGAACUAGGGUUUUCUUGGAAUUGGCAUAACCUUUCAUCCGUUUUUCUUGAACUUGUUGGUGUGAUCUGAAUUUGUGUUCCUUGAAGAGCCGAAAAAAAAAGGAAAAAAAAAAUGAAAGAGAAAAAAAAAAAGGAAGAAGAGAAGGAAUUGGCUCUCAUACAAAGGAAAUCAAGUUUCCAAAAAAAAUCGUGAGUUUCCAAUUCUUGGUGGGUUCCCAAAUCUUGGUUAAUCUCCAAAUCUUGGUUGAUUUCCCAAAACUUGAGUUUCCUAAUCUUGAUUGGUUUCCAACUCUUGAGUUCCAAUCUUGAUUGAAUUCCAAAGACCCCAAACGACCUCACCAGCCCCAAACACACCCAAUUCCGUUUUCAAAACCAAACAAAACACCUUAGCCCAAAUCGCCUUGGGAGUUCUUGAGUUUCUAAAAUCGGUUGAGCUAGUUUUGCGAUCCGAUUUGACUGAAAUUUGAGGACUGGUUCGUACAUUAUGUGAGCACCCCAAAAGCACCAUUUAUACUCCAAAAUACUGACCAGAAAUUCAGCAAAGCAACAGCUCAAAGAAAAAAAAAAGUUCCAGUUUCAGGUAGAGUUUUUUGUUUUUCUAGGAUUUACAAAAUUCUGCUUUGUGUCUUAUUACUUGCUUAUAGGGUAAUUAAUUCUGGAAUUUUUGAGAGUUUGAGUUGUUUUAAGAACUUCGAGAAGGAAAAUUGAGAGUGAGUGUGUUUUCUUGAGUGAUACACGAGUGCUUUGCAAGGUAGACUAGGAUACAUUUGUUUUGCAGGUUGGACAAUAUGUCUCAAGAAGGGAACAUGCCUGAGCCGUCUGAGACCGACGUGUCACUCAAACUGGUGCUCCAAACUCUUCAACAACAAGCGGAGAGACAUGAAUUUGCGAUGGCACAAAUAUCCGACAGGUUGGCUGCCAUUGAGAUGCAAGGUACUGGAGAUAUUCCCAAUAGGGCUUCAAGUGCUCAGAGUGUUGAGCAUGAUGCGGAUGACGAGAGGUAUCAUUCUAACACUUCAUUCCGAUCAAGGAAAAGCCACAGGGAAGCGAGGGAAGGCCGAGACCGACCUAGGAGAACCGAUGACAAUCUUGGUUCCAUCAAGACUAAGAUGCCUACCUUUCAUGGGAAAAAUGAUCCUGAAGCUUACUUGGAUUGGGUUAGGCGAGUUGAGCAAGUGUUUGAAGUCCACAAUUACUCCGAAGAGAAAAAGGUGAAACUUGCAGCUUUUGAAUUUCAAGAUUAUGCAUAUAUUUGGUGGGAGCAAGUAUGUGCCACAAGAAGGAGAAAUAGGGAACAACCGAUUGCCACUUGGACUGAAAUGAAGCAAGUGAUGAGGAAACGAUUUGUACCCCUCCAUUAUACCACGGACUUGUACAAUCGAGAGAACGAACAUAAACUCAAGCAAGAGAAUGAAUCUCUCAAGAGGAGGGGUUCCAUGCAAUCUACCUCUUUAAAGCCGGUUUAUGCAAGAGGUGAUAAGAAGGUUCAUUCAGCAUUUUCUAAGACUAAACUUAGAGUUGAACGACCUCAUGCGGAGUCAUUUUGGGAGACAUAUCAACGUCUUCUACACCAAAAACAAAUGGAGUCAAAUGGAUGCUAUCAAAGUGAGUUUUCUAAGAAGGAGAUAGCUGACCCUAUUCCCAACAAAGGAGUAUCUCAUCCUAUUGAACCAUUUGUUGAGGAGGUUGAUGAUGAGAAAACAAUCGAGGGCGUUAAACUAGAUAAAGAGAUGGAAAAAUCUGAUGAGAUGAGUGGUAAAAAGGAAGAAAAGAGAGAAAGUGAGACGAUUGUGAGCAAAAAUGUGAGGGCUUAUUGUUUUUCUAACGAACUUACCUUUGCUUUAUUUAGUGUUUCUUCAUUUGUGCAGAUUAAGCAAAGUCAAGUGAAGUUAGUCAUGCCAUGCUCCAUUCCAAAGUCACUUAUACAAUUCACUAGUUUCCAUGGAGUUUGUCUUUUAGGAAUUGAAUCUAUUUGGAAUCAUCUCAUGGAACAAUUUCAAUUCAAAUCUGUCCAUACCAAAGGGGAAUCACGUCAAAUCCACCAUGAAGGGAGAAUUCCGAAAUUUGACUCUCAUUUGCUACCUAUGGGUCAUUCAUCAUCUUUACCUUCUUUUGAGUAUAAUUUCCAUCCUAACACUUGUAUUUCUUAUCCAGAUUUUGAAGAAAAGUGUAAAAGGCUAGCAAUGCCUUCUCAAAUUGAAUCAAUUGGUGAAAGGAAUGAUGAAGUGUCAAAGGGAGUUUUCACACUUAAAACUUGUUCUAUACCUUCUUACCAUUUAGUUGAUAAUGUACCAUUACUUCUUUACCCGAUUUCAAAUUUGUUUCAAGUUGAAGUUUAUUUUGUUUUUGUAGGUUGUAAAGCUGUCCACAAUUUUCCAGUUUUGAUUCAAGACUUACAACCUGAUUUCGUGCUUAUUCCAACUAAAGGUGGUGAUCUUUCAUGCUUAUUCACACAGCCAAAAGCUGGUGGCCAAGUGCUCAAUUUGUCAACUUCAACUUGUGCUAGUUCGAGUAACUCUCAUGAAGUGGAAUUCAAUUGUUUGCUACCUUAUAUGUUGGAAGAUGAGAAAUUGUGUGUCACGCAAGAUCCCAAAGCUGUCCUUCACAAGUUGUUUAGUGCCUCAUCCAUGCAACAAGUUACUCCCAUUUUAUCCAAGCAAGAUGAUUCAAAUCAAUGUCAACUAGUGCUGGAUUUUACACCUUUGCACAAUCAAGGUGUCAAUGUGAAGAUCCAUGACCAAGGACUAAUUAGAGAGUUUUGGAUUGCCACUUGGGAUUUUCACACGCCUUACACAAGAUCUUUCCUACCUUGGCGCAUGUCCUUGUUUGAGCGCUUCCCGAAGCUGACCAAACGACAUGCAACAUGGCUCGUAGUCAUUCGUCUACUUCCAACACUGCUGUCCUUUAAGCGCACCAUCGAUUUGUAGACAACUCACUUUCAAGAGGAGACUUUGAAGAUUCGAGGACGAAUCUUUUCGAGGAAAGAGGGAAUGAUGCGGAUACGGGUGUGCAAUAAUUAACUUCAACCUUGGGUCAAGGAUCCUUUGGUCCACAUUGGCGGUCCGAUGACAAGAUCAAGAUCCAAGAGGGUGAAGGAAGCUUUACGAGCCUUGAUCAUUCACCAUACAAGCAAGGAGCAAGCUAAGUUUGAAGAUUUGAUGGACCAUGAAGUUACUUUGUUCACUUGUACGUUUAAAGUGAAAGAAUGAUCUCAUACUUGUUAGCUUAGUUGGUAGUUGUUUUAAAACUAUCCCGUUUAGUAGUUGUUAGGCGUUGAGUAUUUUAUUACUUAUCGGGCCUUAUCGGAAAGCCUUAAAGAGCUGGCUCUUUAAGCUCUUUUAUGCGGACCGAAUCGCUUCCAGGUUUAUGUGGGCCGGAUUUUGCCCUAGUUUUAGCCUAUAAAAAGGCACCUCUUGUAAGAGUAAAACACAGAAUAUUACAACCAGAAAUCGUGAGGAAUUUUUCUUCAAGUUCUUAACCGAACUUACUCUUGAAUUCUUGAGUUCAUAGCCUAGGAUUCAAAUCAGACUUUAUCGAUUAGCUUGUUCCCUAAUCGUGGUGUCGCUUCGUCCAUCCUUAUUUGCUUAAGGUUGCUGAUUACCUUUGUGUGUCAGAGGUCUUGAGUUCAUGAGAACAAUCGAGUUCAAUUUCUGUUGGGAGAAAAGAUCCAACUCUGAUAAUUACAAGGUUGGGAGGUUCUAGGAGGGUCUUCCCCUAGGGUUGCCUAUAUCAGAGACGAGUGUGAUGGUGAUGAAACAUGUGAUGAGAAGGAAUCUCAACAUUGCACAAAUUAUUGUAGAGAUGAUGAAAUGUAUGAAAAACAAACUAGCUAGCAGCCUUCAAAACAGCGUGGUGAAACACAAGAAAGUCAAGCCGAUUCAACUCAGCAUGCAAAAACUUAGGAAAUGCAAAAGAGUGAAAUUGACAUUGGUGAAGGAGCAAGUGAAAGGCAACCAGGUGAACAGCCCCCAUGUAAGGACCCGAAAAUUUUCUUAUUUAUCGAAUAUUACAAAUUUACUUAAAUAUUUAUUUAUUCAUUUUCUCCGAACUAUUUAUUUCGACCAUUUAAAAUCCAUUUAUAUGGAACAACACCUCUUUUAUAUUUUACAAGCGUUUUAUUGAAAAAUUCACUUUUCAAAAAUUCGUUUAGUUCGGAACAACAAGUGCAUGUCUUUCGAGGCUAUACUUGAAUCGGGAGUGUAUUAAUAUUGGAGAAUUAAGAAUGAUCAAUGAUAGAUUAAGAAAGAUUAAUUGAGGAAUUAAUACUCGACUCAUGUGAGGACUCGCAAAAAUUUACCUAUUUUAAACUCCUAUUACUAGCUCAUUUAAUUAUUUAUUUAGCCAAUUGCCCGAAUAUUAUUUUCUAACCUUUUUAGACCUAAUUAUAUAGAUCUAUAGCUUAUUUAUAUUUUAAAGUGACUUGUUUCAAAAUUUAAUUUUUGGAAGCUCGUUAAGUAUGAAUAGUGAAUACGCGAUUAGAGUCAAUAAUCGAUUUGAAGAUACAAUAAGCUUGGAAAAAUUGGAGACUUGUACAUUAGUCUUAAAAUAGGUAAUUUUAUACUUAAGUAUUCAAGUAUUAGUUAGUGAUACAAUCGUUAUAAGAAUUUCUUGAAAAUUUCUUUUUAUUGCGCAAAAAAUCGGAAGUACGCAUUUUUACGCGCGUGAUUAAAUUGAGAAACUUUCAACCUUCAUUUUUUUGACCAUUAAGAGUGAAUAAUAAUAGUAUGAAUAUAAGUGCAUUAGAGGUUUAGUGUACAAAUGAAACAAACCUGAGAGGAAUCGAGCACAAAACGCGCGCGUGCGCGCGCGGGGAGAGAGUUGACUUUUGCUUAAUUUUGGGCCACACAUUAAAGCUUCUCAAGGAAGCCUCACUUUUGAUCAAACACUCUCUCUCUCCUCACUAAGACAUCCGGGCAUCAAGACAAGGGAAACAACUCCAAGCUCUUCAAAUUUCUUCUUCAUUUCUUGCACCAAUCCUCCACCAAAUCACACCAAAGUUUAACUACACUUAGCUAAUCACUUGGAGAGUGCAUCAAGCUAGGAAAAGGGGCUGCUUUCCACGGUCUUUCUUGAGUAUCUUUGGACCGAAAUUUCUAUUUGGUUCAUCUAAACAAGUAAGCAACGAUCAAGCCUUCAAAUCUUGGUUUAUGGAAGUUCUAUUACAUUUAUAAGCUCAUGCAUGCAUGUGGAUAGCCUUAUUUAUGUUGAAAAAUGUUGUGGGUUCUAUGAACUCCCACUUGGAUUGGAUGGACUGAUUUGAUGAAUGAUGAUGCUAUUAAUGUUGGUUUAGUGCUUAAAUUAGUGGAAUAAUGUUGGGUUGUUGGUAGAAACUCAAGGAAGGUGUAAUGAACAAAAGUGACCAUUUUACCCCUGCCAUGUUCGUGCACAUUGGUGUGAAAUUUUGAGGUUCUAAUGACUUGUUUGUGAUGUAUACAUGUUAUAUGAAUGGUGUAAAAAGUUUCAUUGAAAAAUAACAUGAUUUGGUUGGUCAAUUGUAAUGAUUUCAAAGGUUUAGCAAAACUGGAAAAUUUUCCCGGAUUGCCUAGGUAGUCCUUUUCUUUCGGCCAUAACUUUUUACUCCGAUGUCGAAAUCAAGUGCCAUUUGUGGCACUAGAAACUAGACAUUCCCAACUUUCCCAUGGUAUAAAAUACAUCUCCUGAUUCCACUUGAGUAAUCCAUACCAAUCGUUUGAACAUGAUUGUCCUGUUUCGCUAGUUCACUGGAAGCUCUGUUUUGAGCAGCAAAUUGCUGCUCAAAUAUGAGCUAGUUGUGGACAGAUUUUGAGAACGAUUUCGUCUGAGAAAUUAUAGCUUUAUGAAUCUAGUUUUCAACACCAUCAACCACACUCAAUUCCAAGUUGAAUUGAGUGAAUUGUGGCCGUAUCUCAAAACUGACUCGGUGUUUGAAAACCCUCUUUUUGGCUAGUAAACGCCUAAAUCUUGGUUGGGACUUAUUAAUUUGAAAUUCUUGGUGUUAAUCACCUGCCAAAUGUAUCUUGGAUGUUUUCUAGACAUUACCUACAUAGAUGGACCGUGUUUGAGACACUUUGUUGGCCAAACAUUUUGAAAACGGAAAACGGAAUGUACAAGGCAGAUUUGCCUUGGAAUUUUUGAAACUUUAGUGAUUUGGUUAACCAACUUCCCGUGCGUAUUUUUCUAUGAAUUUGAUAGAAGAAUAGCUCUUAUAUGUAGUAUAAUUAUACCAAAUUUGGUGCCAUUCCGAGUGCAUUUCGAUUCUCAAACAAAGUCCCAAAGUUUGUAACUUAAAUCUGAAAAUUUGCCCAACCGUCUCAAUUUUUCAGCAACUUUGAGCUACUAUAACUUGGUGCUCAAAACACCGAUUCUUGUUCCUCUUGUUUUGUUUUAAACUUUGAAUGCAACUCUAAUUGAGUUUCAAAUUUGAAAGGCUAGUUCAAAUUCUGUGAAUUUUACCGAAUUUCCAAAGUUGGUGAAAAACCAACCCCGAAACUGUCUAGCAAGCUUAAAACAGCGACUUUGAGCCAAUUUUUGAAUAUCUUCCAAUUGGAAUCAUGGAAAGGUGUCUUCUAAGAACUUUUAGUACUUUGGAAUUAGUUUCCAAAGGUACAAAAUUUUCCAAUUUUGGACUUUCAGAGAGUGAGCUAUGAUUUUUCCAAGAAUGCCGCAAAAAUUGAUAAUUCAUAACCUUCUGAAAAACUUUCGCGCAGGAACCAUCUUCAUAGAAUCCGGCCGUAUAUCCGGCCAGUUCUUGGCCGGAUAGUCGGCUAGAUUGUUCGUAAAAAUUGAAAAAAAUUUCGAUUGCUCUCUGCCUUCAAUCCGGCCAGAUCUUGGCUGGGUUGUGACGUGGCACUGUUCAUUUCUACUUCGGUCGUUCGUUUGGAAAAUGAUUUACUUUAUCUCAUACCUAUUCACUUCUCUCCAAUGAUUUUAAGAAUGAACCUUAGAUUUUCUUAUGUUCUUGACCCCAUUUCUAAAGCCUUGAUUUACAAGGAAUUUUAGGCCGUUUUCACGAUAUUUUCUAGAUUGUACAAGUGUGCGAUCUUCCGUGAUAAUUGGGGUUUAUAAGUGAUAGUUCAUUAUCAAUUACUCAGGCACCCACGAGGACUUUCAAGAGCAUCCCACGGUGAACGCUUGAAUCUCGAGUGACAUUCCUUCUUGUUUACUUGGUGAGUAUCAAGUGCAUGAUUACUUGAACUCCUAUGAAUUUAAUACAUGCUUACUUGCUAUCCAUCACUUGAGAUUUUGAAAAUGGAAUCGAGUGUGUACUUUAUCGCACUCGUUCUCAUUUGAAAUGAAUAGCUCAUGCUUGAAAUGCUGGAAUAUAUCAAAUGCUUGAUUAACAUGAAAUAGUAUGCUAUGGCUGCAUACGUCGCUGGAGUGAAUCUCCUUGACGCUCACAUGUUACAUGGGGGACGCCCAAACUCAUAGGCCGACCUUGGGACUCGAGCCGGCAUGGGCUUGGUCAGGAACCUCGGUGAGCCAUGAGAUUACAUGAUAAGCUUGAUCUAUUUGAGAGAUCUCGCUUGCCAUACGCGUGGAAUAUCGCCCUAUAAAUGUCGUGCGGGCCCGGAGUGGUAUGUACGGUGGACGGACAUGAGAAAUAAGUGGAGAUCUACGGAAUGGAAAUACCGACCCGGUUGACGGAGAGUCAUCGCGGGAAGGUAUACGAAUGACCCUGGCAAAGCAAGUGGAACUUAGCUCUUGAGAGCUACCAUAUCCUUGAAUUGUUUCUGUUUACAUUUUAUUGGAAUUGUCAAUUACUUGUACUUUAUCUAUUGACCUGUUAUUUGGGAAUGUUACUUGGACUAUCUGUUUGCAUGUGUGUUCUUGGCCUCACGAGCAUUUUGCUCACCCUGUAUAUUUGUUUUCCUUAACAGGAUUAGGCAUGGAAUAAGACUUGGAGGAACCCUUUUAAUGCACUUUUGGCUUAGGGUUUCUAAUGUAUUUUGGGCUAGACCUCUUAUUGGUUGUACUUUUGGGAACCUAAUGUAUGAUUUGGAUAUUUGAUGUACCGGGAUGUUGUAUAUUUUGGGUAUUGAUGUAACUUUUGGGAAUUUGGUGUAAGGAUUGGAUAAUCAUUAUAUAUAUUGUUAAGUUUGGAAGUUUUCCGCACUUUCUUACUUAUCUAGUGUUGUUGAAUAGUAUUGUGCUAAGCUUGAACGGAUAUUGCCAUGAGUCCUAGCAAGAGCUGGGCAGGUGUCUCGCGGAUACCCUCUGGUUCGCCUUAGGGAGAAGUGGGGGCGUCACACCCCAAGUCAGGUGGAAACUCAAGCAUCAAAAAGUUCACAUUUGAGGAGGAGUUCCAGCAACAUGAUAAUAUUGCUGUUUAGCCAUCAUCUUUUGAAGGUGCACAGUAAUCAAUGCAAGGGACCAAUAUUACUGUAGAAGGUGACAAUAAUAAUCCCAAGAAUUGUUGACGAUGACAACCAGUACAACUGCUAAGAGGCAAAUCAGAAAGCUCACACCCUGUUAGCUAUCAACCUUUGUAACCAUUUUUAAUUUCUAUUGUAAUUGUAGUUCUUGCAAUAGCUGAGUGAAAUGUUCUCUGGUAUUUUUUUCAGGUCAGGUGACUUCGACUAGAUGUUGCCACUACAACAACAAGCCAAAAAGGCCCUCAAGUGGUUGCAUCCACUGUCAAUACACAAAAGAGGAUGGUCCAAAAAAAGAGAAAAUUGAUUGAUACCGAAAAGGGCGCGACCAAUGCCAACUAUGCAUAUUUGGGCAAAGAAUCGCUAUUCAAGGUUGGGAAUUGGGCAAGAAAAUCAUUUGGGAGAGGACGCUCAACGCAAUGAUGAAAUGCUAAACAGCUUUUGUAGUAUUUUGAUGUACUAAACCAUGUGAUAGCUUUUUGUUAGCAUUUCGAAGGAGUCUUACAUGCCUUUUAUCUACCAAUUGUAAGACAAGCAAUUCUAUGAUCCAAUGCAAUGAUUCUUUUAUUGGCCACUACUUAAUCACUUGAAUGGCCUAUUUUUCUUGUCAAAUUAACCGAUUGAUCAACUACAUAACUCAUAAUUAACAUUUUUAAAGAUCCAAAGUUAACAUAAUUUGGAAGAUUCAUAAAGUCCUAUUACAUUCUACACAACAGCAGUCCAAACUACCUUCCUUCUACAAACUGGUAAUAUGCAACACUCCUUCUACACAUCAGUAAUUUGCAACCUUCCAGAAUUUGGCAUUGCUGGCUCAUGCAUCCAUAUUAAUCAUAAUGUUACAACCCCCCAAAUCAGGACAACAAUCUUUGUUAGGUUCCUUGUCCUUUACUCUUUUUUUUUUUGAGUUUCUCCUUCAGUGAUUUUAUCUCCAAUGCCAUCUCGUUUGGUUUGUUUUGCCAUCACAGAUCCUUCUCUUGCAGAGCUUCAUUCUCAGCUUCUAAUAUGUUCUUACUUCUUAAGAUGCCAGGUAGUACCUGCUUAGCCCUCUUACAAAUUUCUUCAUCAUACCAGUCCCAAUAUCUACACCCUCCAACUUGCAACAAAUUUUGCAUUUUAUCAAUCGUGUAAUAACACAAAUAUCCAUAUCUUCAUUAUCUUACCUGAUCUUGAGCACACUCAAUAUAUCUUCACAAUAGAUUUUUUUCUAUCCAUGAAGUCUUCAAAAUGGUUCUAGUUCCACACUUGUAGAAUGGGAUUGGUUUAUUGCAUCUUGCCUUGUUUCAUUGGAGUGGAUGGAAGGGAAGGAGAUUUCCCCUUGAAUAGAUGAAAGAAGAUUUUCCACUGCAUAGAUAAAAGAAGGAAUCAAUGAACUUGUAAAUCUAAUGGCACGACUUGCAAGGAAGAAAUAGGUUUGCCAUAUUUUUUUUGGACAUUUUUGCCCCCUGACAAAUAUUCCUCCACACAACAUAGCCAUGUAACAAGAUGAUUCACGGGUCAAAAUUGACAAAAUGACUCGACUGGCAUGUUUUCCUAAGUUUAGUGACCUUUUUGGCGACAAAAAAGUCUAGUGAUCAACCAAUUUCAUUUGUAAUAGUUGAGUGACCAUUUCGGCCAUUCACUUUUAUAUCAAAUUCAGUUAUAGCUUUCCUCAAAACUUUUGCUUUCUUGAAACUUACACCUGUAGACUACAUUGGUCAUGCAUAUACAAUGUAUCAAAAUCAAAACUCUAGCCUAGCAAGCAAAGAGAUCACAUAUUCAUGGAAACUUUCGACUUCAAAACUUAAUUUUCAUCUAACCUUUUACAUAUUAUUCCCUUUUCUGCACCAGUAAUCAUUCACCUCAAUCUAGUAUUAAUGUAACAACAGCUAAAAAUAAAAUAAUGGGAUAUCAAAAAUCAAUAGUUUGAAAUAUUGAUAUUGUUAGCACAAAAAAUCAAGUAGCGAAAGUAACGUUAAAAUCUCAUAAAUAAUAACAAUAAGAAAUGCAUAACAGGAAACAAAAUAUUCUAUUUCAAUUCAUUAGUUUCCCUCAGCUACAAACUUAGGACUCCAAAUCCUUGAAUAGAGAAACAUAACCACAAAUCCUAUUUUAAUUAUAAUACCAAAACAUGACUCAACCCUAUUUCCUAAACCAACUAUCAUAUCAAAUCUAAUCUAGUUACCAAAUAAUAAAUCAACUUCUAUAGCUAUUAAAAUUUUAAAUAGCUUGGUUUAAUUUUUUGUCAACACUGCCUCCCUUAAACCAAGCUCUUCAUGUAAUCAGGUUCAACGUCAUCACAAAUUUGAAUUGCUUUUGCAGCAUCUGUGGUAGUAUUGUUCACAUGCAAUUUCAAUUUAAUUUUUAUCUCCAUCUUCGCCAACGGGAGUAGGACAUACAUGUAUUUUGCACACAAUUCAACAACCAAUUUUGCUCAAAAAAAUUCAUCCAUAGUGACCCAUUGACUAUUAGAGCCUCCAUCAUGCUAUUCUUGGAUAAUAAUAAUUCACACUAUUUUCAACCAAUAAAUCAUGCUUUUCUUUUCAUCAAUAAUUUUCAAUUUAAUGAUUGCCAGUGUAUUCAUCUAUCCCACAAGUACCCCAACAAUUUCUUUAAUAUUCUCAUCCACAACAAAAUUAAUGCAUUCAUUGACAAGUUCUUCUUCAUCAAUCACCUCAAACAAAGUAUGCAAAUCAUAAUUUUCAACUAUAUCAAAAAUUUCAAAAGUCUUUUUAUCAUCAACAAACACAUCCUCUUCCAAAUUAACUUUGCAUUCCAAACCAAUUUUUGACUUAUGAUUAGAUUCAUAUGGAAAUUCUAGCACUAAAAUAUAAAAGAGAUAUAAUCAAAACCACUGAGGUGUUGAAAAGAGAUGAUAAGCCUUUUAUUUAUUUAUUUUUUUAAUCUGUGAGGACUCGCAAAUUUCUUGUAUUUUUCUCAAAAAUACCCUUUUAUUUGAAAAUUAUUAUUUAUCAAAGGCCACUACCCAAAUAUUUCACACUAAGUGUAAAUAAACCUAGAAAAUAGGGUUUUACGCUUCGGUUUCAAGUUUGGAGCAAAAUUAGGGUUUUCGCGAUUUUUCGCCGGAUGAAUUUUCGGUACAGAGUAAUAAUUAAUUUGGGGAUUAAAAGUGACUUUUAAGUGAGAAAUAAUAUGUGACUAGUGGCAAUGAGAUAAGGUUAGUGAAUUGGAAGUAAAAACCCUAGUACGUGAGUUUUUAAGAAAAACGGCGCGAACCGGCGGGUCCCGCGCACUACCGUUUGAACGCACCACUUGACCACCACUUUCUUACCACAUGAGCUCAUUAAUAUUUGAGCAAAAUAUCUCCUAAAUUCCAGCUAAGCUUGACCGAAAUUAGAGGCUGAAAAUACAAGAAAAGAAAAGGAAAUUUUACUUGGUAAGGGUUGUGACAAGUGUCACACCAUUAGAGGCCAUUGACCAAGACAUUGUCCAACUUUCUUAUCCCCAAAAUUGCACCAUUCUUCCUCAUUAUUUCUGCUGAAGAACCGUGAGAGAGAGAGAGCAAAAACAAGACAAAAGCUUCUCCAUUUCUUCUUGAAUCAAGUCACAAAGUGAGGAAACAAAGAAACUAAACCGAUUAAACUUGUUCUUGAGUGACUAGUUAGUGACUUGUGGUGUGAUUUUUGAAGGAGAGAGCUUGGGCUACUCUUAGUGACCUUUAUUCAAGGUAAGAGAGUUUAUCUUUCUAAGUUUUGCUUUCAAUUUUGUUAAAUUAAGCUUAGUAGUUUGAUUUUGUGGUGGAAUCAUGGAUGAUUAGCAUGUUUUAGAAGUUUUCCCCAAUUUAUUUGAUGAACUAGGGCUUGUGGAAAUUCUGCCCAAAUUUUUGUAUGAUACUUAUAUGUUGCAAUUGAGGUUUUAUAAGGUGUUGUGGUAGUGAUUAGACCAAGAAAUUAAGGAAAGUUGCACUAGAAACUAGAAAUUCCAGAAUCUGGAAAAUUUCCCCAACAUUCUGUCCGAAUUUUUAUCUGUGUGUUAGAGGCCGAAUUGGCCUUAGGUCAAAGAAGAAAAGUUGUAGAGAAUGACAGUUUAUAGGUGCCUACAAAAUAUCAGCUCAAUCGGAGCAACGUAGGACGUGAAAAGUCCAAAAUACCCUUACUGUUCUAAGUAUUUCCCAGCAGUCCGUUUCUUCAGUUAAGUCCAGUUUAUCACGUUUUUUGACCAGGAUCCAUUCUGAUUUAGCUCUGGGCCAAAACAUGAAAGUUGUAGUGUUCUGAAGUAGCUUUAAAAUGCCUCUAAGAAAACCUGAUUCGGACUUGCGUACACUGAGUUAUGUCCAUUACAGUGUUCUGCGGUUAAACAGCCGGCGAAUUGGUUUCUGGUUUAGUAAUUUGAGAAUUUGACUAAGUUACAUUAGGAAAUGGACUAAGUGACCUUCAUGAAUGUUGUAGCUUUAUGUCUUAGCUUCGAAAUGGCACAGGUUUCGUUUUAAUCCGAUAAGCGUAGCCUCGGAUAUGUUAUUUCCGCAUUCAUACGUCAAAUCUGUCUUUUGCUAAAUUGAAUUUCUGCACUUGUUAUUACUGUAUUUCUUAUUCUUAUGAUAUUGUGAGCCUAUGGAAUGGCUCUUGACUUGAAUUGCUUAUGUGUGAUGUUGGGUUGUGGUUGAGAAAAAAUAAUGAAGCCAAAAUGGCUGGAAAAUUAGGUAAACACAAAGGGCGUGCUGCCCAAAUUUUCGCCCGAGGGCUAGGUUUCUAUUUGAACUUGUAUACUUUUGUUAGGCCAAUACCAUGACCGGUUUUCCAUUUUAAAACAUGAUUUUCAUCCUUGGGUUCAAACAACCCUCUUCUUACUUGAAAGUCAUCUUUACACGUGUUACUCUUAAUUAGUCGGGUUUCUUUGUUUCCCUUAAAUGUUUUGCUCGAUAAACUAUAAUAUGUUCUCUUGUUCAACCUUAGGUUUCAUUGGUGAUUAAGGGUAAUAUCCGGAAGGAUAUUUUGCACGAUAUUUUGCAUUUCUAGGUGAGUGUUCCUUAUUUGAUUCUAUGGCUUGUUGUUAUCAUUUGCUAAUGUGUUAAGUGCUUUUAAUGAUUUCCAAAACGAGUUUCCUAGGCGAGUGUGUACUUUAUCGCACUCGACCUAAAUGACUGUGCAAUUUUCAAGGAUUUAAUGAUUGAAAUGUUACUUGCGCAUGAAUGUAAGCCUUUUGGGCUGAACUGGCCAUUGCCCCUUGUUACCGGUCGUCUCGAGCCAGAAGCGGACUCGGUCGGGCGAUUAGGGACUUGGGUGAACGUUUGGUAUACUCGAGUAUUACCCUGUAGGUUGGUGGAGACUGGCCAACGGCCAGGACGGGGGUGAAUGAAUGAAUGAAUGAACGAACGAACGAACGAGGGUUUAUUGAUAAACGAAAAAUGUAUUUUCAAAUAAUUGGAGGAAUAAGGGGAAAUGUCAGGAGAACGAAUGAACGAAAUAACGAAUUGCUCCUUGUGAGCCGUAUCCUUUUAAUGAAUGUGUUACUAUCGCUUUCCAUUGUAAAUGUUUCUUGACUUAUUGAUACUCCAUGUUUAAUGUAUUGGAUUGAUUAUCUGAUUAUGUGUUCGGAACCUCACUGGGCUUUUAGCUCAUCCCUUUAGUUUGUUUUCCUUACAGGGGAAGGCGAGCGAGGACGUGAGCUUGAGAUAGACUAGCCAAUCUAGUUUUGUUUCUUUUGUUUAUUUUGUAGUGGUUCUCGCCUAGUGCUUGGCACGGGCUGGACGUAUGAAGGAUUGAGAACCCUUGUAUAUUUGAUGUUUAUAUUCUCUUUUGGGUUGGCAAUGUAUAUAAGUUCCGCUUUAAGUUUGGAUCAAUGCCCUAUUUAUUCUUGUGAUUUAUUUCAAUUUUUAAUUGAGGACUGUAGCGAACGACUGAGUCCCGGCGAGAGAUGGGCAGGCGGCCCGCCGAACCCUCUGGUACGCCUUAGGGGGAGGUGGGGUCGUCACAACAGUUGGUAUCAGAGCCUGCUUCGCGUGGUCUCUGCGCGGAGUGAGCCUGGACUAAGCGGUGGAUAGGUAUGAAGGAUUAAGUGCUCGUUUGAGCCUAAGCUCUGAAUUGUGAAUGUUAUAGGCUUUAAAUUUUCUUGUGGUAUGUGAGGACCAUAGAUAGGUACGUCUGGUAGGAAUUUCGAUUUUUGAUGAUUUACUCUUGGGACUGGCCAGCUCGAGAGGUGAAUUGUCUUAUUUCGGAUUCUUGUGCCUGAGUACUCCAGAGUUGAGGCGGUGUUCGUAGGUGAGAGUUGCAUUUUGGGAACAUGAAUAGGCUUUGUUUGACAGGAAUGAGUACAAGAGGUUAUUGGAUAUCUAGUUUGCAUAGUAAGUGACGUGAGGGAUCGGACGGGGUUAUUUUAAUUGGGUCUGGGACUAUAUCGCCUUUACUCUUGAUUUGCUUUGAUACCGCUAUGACAUAACAGUGGUUUGAGUAUUGUGCAUAGGAUUAUCUGUCUAAUUUGGCAUGUAUUGGUGUAUUUGAUUAACCGUUUUCUUGAUACAUGGUGUGUUAUAUGUGUAUAUGUCAUUGGUGUAAUUGGUGUGCUAGAAUAUAAUUACUUUUGUCACUUUACUGUAUUUAUGCGUUGAAUUACCUUGGGGAAAGGGAAAAAAAAAAGGGAGGAAAAAAAAUAUAUAUAUAUAUAUAUAUGAGGAAGAGGUAGUCAUGGACGUGGUCAUGGCCGUGGAACUAAGCGAGGCCAAGAAUCAAGAGAAGAAAAGGGAAACAAUAGCUGGACAAGGACCGAGAGUGCCACUUGUACUUAGGAAUGUAUUAUGACCCAUUGUUUUGCCCGACAGACUAGCAUCCGAGUUCCAGCACUUCCGUAAGAUGACACAUUGGGUUGAUCCGUAUCAGGAAAUUUCGGUUCUCCGAGAUGAAAUAGAGGUUCAAAGGAGGCUAACCGAGUACUGGGAAGGGCGAUGGAAGCAAGAAUAUUCAGAGAAACUUGAGCUCUUACACCAAAACAUGGAGUUAAAGAGGAAAUACGAAGAGAUUUCCAAGGAGACCGUAGCAAUGGAACAAGGUAAUACUUCUAGGGGGACUCCAGAGGAAGCUCAAAGGACGGGAAUUGCAAGGCCACAACUGAAGAUCUUUCAUGCAAAGAAAAAGGGUAAAGCUGGUAGAUCAAUUGCUAAGAAGGGCCGUGGAGCGGGUGGUGUGACAAUUUGUGGUUAUUGUAGAAAAUCCAAUCAUAUUGAAGUGGAUUGUUGGAAAAAGGGAAGGAGAUGUCUGCGCUGUGGGAGCGCCGAGCAUCGAAUUGCUCAUUGCACGAUUAACUCGCGAGAAAAGAAAGGAACCCAACAACCAAUCAAGACCGACCCUGGACCGUCAAGUGGAGAAGGGACUGGAAUAAAGAACCUCGUUUCUUCUGACUCUGAAGACGGAGAAGGUACAGACCAAUGGUUACUUUAAAUUUUGAAGAGAAAAUUUUGAGGGCGAAAUUUCUUUAAGGGGGAGAGAGUGUGAGAACCCGUAAAUUGCAUUUUCUAGGUUUUCGCAAUUUUCAUGACUUGUUUUCUGCACUUUCUGUAUCCGGAACAUUUUCUAGAUAAUUUUUAUGAGUAAAUAUAGUUUUUAGAUGAUUUUUCUAGUAUCGAAUAGAUUUUGAGAAAUUAAGAGCGUAUACCGGACGUGGGACCCACUGGUGCGAAAAGUUCGGAAAAAUUCGGCCAACUAGGUUAAGUUUUGAAUACUGGAAUUAAUUUAUCGGGUGUUAAGAGAUAAGUAGAGGUUGCAAUUUUGAUUGAUAUGAGAGAGAAAAGUGAGGUAGAUAUUUAAUUAAAGGUGACAAGUGUCACCCUUGGAUUGGUCUUGAAGUAAGACCACUAUUCCUAUUCUUACCAUUUGACUUAAAAUAGCUUAAAAAUGACCAAAAAUCUUCAAGAAAACAACAAGAAGAAGCCGGCCCUCUCUUGCUCUCUUUCUCUCUCUCUUACUUCAAGCAUAAGGAAGAAAACACUUCAAUCUUGUCCCAAAUCAUCACAACUAACCAUCCAACCUUGAAAUUACUCCAUAAAACCUCUCCAAUUAGAGUUAGUGAGUGGAUUUGUGGAGUUGUUUGGAAAGUUAAGGUGGUCCAUAGCUCUCUCUCUCUCUUGUUUUAAAGGUAAGUUGUGAAGAACCACCCUCCUCCUUUAAUUGAUGCUUAAAUCAUGCUUAGUGGUAGUAUAAGAUGCAAGUUUAUGGAUUAAUUCUUGAUUUGUGGUUGAAAUGAUGGAAUUUUAUUAUUAUUGGGGAUUUUUCUGUUUUCAUAUGGAUAUGAUUAUGUGGUCAUGUAUGAUGAUUGGAAAUGAUAUUUAAGGAAGCUAGAAGGUGGAAAAAGUGAUUAAUUGCAACCAAUUUCUGUUUUGGAAGAAAAUUGAAAAAAACUAGGGUUCUUAAGGGAGCAUUCUGUCCGAAUUUUUAGGUCCUAGAUAGAGGCCGAAUUAUCCUUAGCUCAAAACAUGAAAGUUGUAGGGAAUGACAUUUUAGAGGUGCUUAAAAUAUUUCAGGUCAAUCGGAGUAGUGUAGAAUGAGAUAAGUGGAAAUUACUAUUGCUGUUCUGGUUUUACCCGAAAUAGAGAACUGCGCCUGUAAUUGGUUGUUUUGGCUGGAAUUGCUUCCGAAUUGGUUGUUGAGGCCUUCUGAUGAAAUUUAACCCUGUUUCUUAACUUUCAUAUGGUUUUAGAAUUUCUGGAUUUGGACUUGUAGAGCCUGAGUUAUGAUGUUUCCGCUAGAAUGCGUUGUGGUGAAUCUGUUUUACGUUGUUGAUGAAGUAUCUUGCAUUUUUGACCUGUUUACACUCAAAAUUGGGUUGAGUGACCUUCUGUGAUGUUGUAGCCCUAUCUUUUAGCUUCGAAAUGGUGGGUCUUUCACCCUCAUCCGAUAAUCGUGGUGCAUUUGGUGCUAUUACCGCAAAGUAAAGUCAAAACCUAUUUUUUUCAGGGCCAAACUUAAUUGCAUGUCCGAAAUUUCUGGUUUUCUUUAAUGUUUGUAUAUGUUUAUGGAACCCUAUUGGGGUCAUACUUGUACUUGUUUGCAUGUUUUAGGGCUUGCUUUCAUUCCGGUCAUUUCCUAGCUAACUUUUGUACUUGUACUACUUUGAGCCUCGUGAACGGCUUUUGGGAAAUGAGAUGACUUUUGUGUGAGAUGUUGGGACUGAUUUGAGGAAAUAAUGUGAUACGAGACGCGGAAGUUACUUCGGAUCUAGAGGAACACGAUGAAGAUUUGAUGGAGUUGAACCCGAACUUGGACCACUCAAGAACAGAUUUAACGGUAGAGGACGCCACAAUCAAGUGUGUGUAUUUGAUUGAUAAGUCAAGAACAGCCUAGGAUCAACUCUAGGAUGUUCAACUUAGCUUUCACAAGCUAAGGGAAUUUGCCACAAGGAAUGGACGAAAUUCUGGAAAUUUUAUUCAAUACUCUCAAAAACUGAAUGUAACAUGCGGCUUGAGGCUAUUAAUAGCGAGACCCCCGUACGGCUCAGCGAGGGUACUUAACUGCGGCUCAGCCCGCCGUUUGGAGCUUGAACACUCGCAUCUUCAAUUGUAAGCAGCAUUUUAGUAGUCGUGCAAGGAUGUUCCAACUCCAUUCCUUCAAUGCCCGGUUUCUCUUGGGUUUGGAUGGCACGUACCAAGGCUUGGAGGGACUCCUUGAAUCUCUUAGCUCGUGCUCGUGUCACUGGGCCUUGGGGCACCUUCACAGGGUCUACUUGUACACUUUGGGUCUCGUGCUCAACCGCAUCAUAAUGAAGCCUUAAUGGCUGGAAAAGUAAGAAAUUUAGGGGAAGUGCUGCCCGAUUUUCUAGGCCGUUUGGUUCUUUUAAGUUGGAUUUGCCUUUUGGUAGAAAUGAAAGGGCUUUUGGGUUGUUGAACCUAGGUCUUCAUGUUAUCUUUUUAUUCCCAAAAAUCAUGUUUUGUACCCUUGCAUUUGUAAUUAUUCGGCGAGGCAUACGACUAGUAGUCGAGCCUCAUGUGCAUUUUGUUUACUCGAUUAUGGAUGUGAAACCUUCAAUUGGUUUAUUUUGAUUAUUUUAGGGUUUCUUGGCGAUUAAGGCCAAUCUGAAGUAAAAACUUUUGAAGUUGAAUCGGUGAGUGUAUCACUCCCCUCCAUUGUUGUUUAACUUGAUUUCUGCUCUGCAAUCUGUUUAUUUGUUCGAGACGAGGGUGUACUUUAUCACACUCGUUCUCUUGUCUAUUCAUAUGCCAAUUUACUAUGCAAAAUUUGAAUCUGUUAUCUGUGUCUGCAUCUGUUCGGAUUUCUAUGACCUAUGAGCUCAAUCCUGUAGCUAAGUUAUUCGAGUUGGGCCGGCAAGGGCCUGGACGAUUAGAUAACGAACCACGGUAGUCUGUUCGGGGAUUUUGGGUAUUGAGACCCUUGAUUCCGGGUAUACUCGAGUAUUACCAUUUAUGUUCGAAUACGGUGAGCGGGCCCGGUAAAGGGGUGUUUGGUGGACGGAAUUCGGUGCGAAUUGAGGUCUACGGACGCGUUGGUUCUAUAUACGUUGACGGAGAGUCAACCGGUUUGGAUCAAGUAUUGCGCUGGAAAUUUGGCUCCUGAGAGCCACCUGUAUCCUUCUGAUUUGAAUCAUUAGUUACUUUACUUUACAUCUAGCAUGUGUAUCUGAUUUGUUAAAUGUGAAAUGCCAUGAUUUUCUGUUAUAUGUUUGGUACCUCAUUGAGCGCAAGCUCACCCCUUUCUGUUCCUUUUUGUUUUCCUUACAGGAAAAUAAAUACUUUUGGACUGGAUUUGACAAAUAGUUACCGAAUUGAGCUAGUUAGACAUAUCUUUUGUAUAGCUCAUUGAUUUAAACCCUAAAUAUACUUUUGGGUCCGUUUCUCUUUUGGAUUUGGCAAACCGUACAUGUAUCCACUUUUGAAUCACUUUGGUAUGCCCUUUGGGUUGUAUAUGCUAACUUUUGAGAUGUAAAUAUUUGCUUGACGUUUGGUUGGGUUUUGCCAUGUCGGUUCCUAUUCAUGGCCGACUCCGAUUUCGUUUUGUUUUAUUCUGGGAUUUUGACUUGUCUAUGCGCGUUGUACGGUCCGGAACGUAUUCGAUCGCUCUAAUUUGAACCGUUAGUCCUGGCGAGAGCUGGGCAGGCAGCCCGCUGAACCCUCUGGUUCGCCUUACGAGGAGGUGGGGCUGCCACACCCAUUCUAGGUCCUUUUCACUUAUUUUUAAAUAACAAUCACAUCUUUUGUAAACACCUUUAUUUUUCCAUCGCGAAAAAUGGGGCGCGACACACCCCUUAGCUUCGUAGCCAAUAUCUGCAUGGGAGGCCCACUAGCUGAUUCUGACUAGCAUUCUUUAACCACCCCCAGCAAGUCCUUAUGUGUGGUCCAAAUGUUCAGAAAUCGAAACGGCUUGGGUUUAUUUUCCAGGCGCGUAGCCACUGAUAACAACAACGGGGAAUGAUCCUGAUAGAUCUCUUCCCAAAAGUUGAACCAUAACCUGGUGCUGCAGUUCCAAAGCUAUCCCAUUCAACAACAACCUAUCGAGGCACUUCCAAAUCCGAGCAGUGCCUGAACGGUUAUUGCACCAGGUAAAGUUCAACCCAGAGUACCCCGCAUCGCCCACCCCCGCUACUGACAUGAAAUUCAAGAAAUCUAGCCCUUCCGAGUGUCUAAGUGGCAAACCCCCCCCCUUUUUUUCCGUUUCAUUGGUGAUUACGUUAAAAUUCCCCACCAAAAACCACGGAGCCGAAAUAGGUUUGUCCCUUAGCAAAUCACUCCACAAAACCUCUCUUUCUUGAUCCGUGCACUUAGCAUGAAUACAUGACAAAAUAAUGGGAGCAGGAAGUAAAUGAGAUUGCACUUGGAUAGUUAAAUAUUAUGCCAACUCCCCGACACUCUGGCAAGUAAACAAAGACCGAUAAAACACCCAAACGGAACCGCAUUGAUUAGUUAUGCAACAAUCCAUCCCCAAUCUCAGUCUAAUGGCAGUAAGAUUCUCCAAACCCGUCUUAGGUUCAACUAUUGCUAUCACUUGUAGAGAGUGCAAUUUCAUAAGUUUCUUCAGUCUUUUUAGAUUAGGAGCUCAAGCCACUCCUCGUAUAUUCCAGAAAAGCAACUUAAUCAUGAGAUAAGACAGAGAAAGAAUUUGCUGAUACUAACCAUGGAUCUUAGAGUUCUAUUAGAGGGGAAACCAGCCCGAAUACCGCGUGCCUUUACCUCCAAGAUCCUCCCCCGGCCCACGUCCACCUGUACCUGGCUGCCUAACAUCAUCCCCGGCUCUAAUAUCAAUGUUUCCAUCGGCGAAGUCUCCUCAUGAGCCCGCACCCUAGGACCACCACCCCUAGGAGAUAAAUUACCCGCCUUGGUAGGACCUUUUUUUUGUUUAUCAUUGCACAACAUCAAUAAUCAUGACAAAGUCCCUCUUUUUUUUUUUAUUGGAAAGUCAAUUAAUUUGAAGGCAAAAUCUAAGACUUUUCUCUACAAAUAUGCAUUGUUUGCUAUGAAACUAAGUAUCUUUUCUACAAAAAUGCAUUAUUUGCUAUGAAUCUAAGUAUCUUUGCACACAUAUAAUUUCAUCACAAAAGGUAAUCUUUUGGACUACGAAAAGGAGAAUCAUAUGAAAUAGUUGAACUUUUGGCUACGAUUUUAGAAAAUCGUCACCUAAUAUCUUUUGAGACGUGGAUUUUACGACGAUUUCGACAAUGAUAAGUUUUGUAGUUAGUUAUUAAGGAUGAUGGUUUUUGACUCUUUGGGUGCAAUGUUUUCUUGUUUAUCACACUCAACAACUAAUAGUAAACUUCCAAAUUACACUGUAGGGCUUAUUGAUUCCACAUAAGAUGCAUCCUUCCAUUAAUUAAUACAAAAAAGAUGUCAUUAAUCUGGAUAAUUAUGUGGCGCACAAAUCAAGUGGAUCCCCAUCUUUUUUCUUCAUCUUCACAAAGAUCUCUAGCCUAGAAAUUCUCUCUCAACUCAAUCAAUUCCGGAAGUAGUCUUAAUUUUUUUCUUCAAAUUUUCAUUGUCAAAAACAUUAUAACUGCAUUCUCCCAAAUUGAAAUUGAAGAGGUAUAUAAUGGGUAGAGAAAGCAUGGAAAGAAACCUAAUAAGCAUUAGUCAAUUGAUUGAUGUUAGUAGUAAUUAAUAUUAGUUGUACAAUUAACAUCAACUUUGAUAAUUCAACUUAGAUCAUCUAUUUGGCUAGGUAUAAUUAGUUAUUGAGCAAUUACUAAGCAUGAUUAGUAGUUGCUCAAUGACCAUAAAAAAAACUUAUUGUGAAACCUACAAAAUAACUUUUGGAAUUUGCAUUUGAGCUUAAAAACUUCACAAUUGUAAGUCAGAAAGUGCUUGCAUAAAGAAAAGUUUUAGUUUUGGAUGGAUUCAGAGCCUCACAAGUUCCAUUUUAUUCUAUUUUGGAGUAAAAUGAACAUUUCAACAUUUGUUGCACCAUAUUUGACUUAGUUACAUCAUAUCUAAACUUUGUUACACUAUUUUUCAAUUCAGUUACAUCCAAGAGCAAACUUGUUUGAAAUUGAACUUGUGAUGCUCUAGUCGCUUGCCACUAAGCAUGGGCUAAAAUUUGAUGCAACUAAUGUGACUUUAGAUUAGCAUUCAUGGUUCAAAAACUUGUCCGAAUCGGAGAUGACUCAGACGAGUCAUCAUGGGAACAGGGCUUGGCGUUCCACUAUCACGUCGCUAUAAAUCGAAGAUGCAAGAACCAACGAUAACUCGCUCAGACUCAGUCAACUUGGAGAAUAAAGAAAAUGACCUAUUUCAACUCGGCACAAAAUAAUUAUAUUUUCUUUGCUUCAUCCUAAAUUGAAGAAAAGACGAUGACUAUAUUCCAAAAUCAUCCCCAAAUCAUUGUAACUUUACAAAAAACUUGGAAACAAAACAACAAAAGGACUAGAGAAGAGGAAGAGAUUAAGAGAUUAGAAGGGAGAGAUUUAUAGGAAAGCAAAGGAAUAAGAGGAAGAUUGAGAAGGUGAAGAGGAGAAAAGGAGGAGGAGGAGGAGAUAAGAGGAGAUUGACAUGCACCUGAAGUAACAGCAAAGGAUUUCUCACAUGGAGACAAUAUAUUUUAGAUACAAGACUUAGACCACAUUUUUAGGGAUAUAAAAAUGUACUCUUAAGCCCUUGGAAUUCUCAAAUUUCCCAAAUAAUCCCUUUUUUUUUGGUACAAAACUGUCUUUGUCUAUUUAUUCUUCUAAAAGUAUAAUUGAUGCCUAAUUCAUUAAUAGUUCCAUAAUUUUGUAAACUUGAUUUCAGGCUUUUCAACAAUGUGACUGUUAAUGUCACUAAUAAUAUUGUUGGUAAUGUAAACUUCUUUUUGCUUUUACAUAUUUAUAUGUGAAUUUAAGAUCUUGCAGUUAACAAAAAGAAAAAAAUAGUAAAAUUUUAAUACUUAAUAUGCAAAUUUAACUAUGAUAUUGUUUCAGAUGAAUGGGAAGGCCUUUUUUCCUUUAUAUAAUCAAUUUGGACUAGACAAAAAUAGAAGGAAUAUUUGAAAAUUUUGGUACCCUACACCUGUGAACCAUUUAAUCACAAUUCCAUUUGGUCUUGGUGAAGAAUAACAAAAUUCUAUGAUAUUGUUUCAGAUGAAUGGGAAGGCCUUUUUUCCUUUAUAUAAUCAAUUUGGACUAGACAAAAAUAGAAGGAAUAUUUGAAAAUUUUGGUACCCUACACCUGUGAACCAUUUAAUCACAAUUCCAUUUGGUCUUGGUGAAGAAUAACAAAAUUCUUGCUAUAGUUUCUAUAAAAUUCUCUCAUUUACACAAUGAAGUUUUAUAUAGUAAUUAAUAUUUUAAGCAUAUUUUUACUAGUAAUUCUAGUGCAUAAGAGUAGACGACUUACUGUUUAAAAUAAUUAUUUCAAGUGACAUUUAUAUUGUACUAAUGCUUAAGAGAAAUUUGGAGAUAUAUAAUGUAUAUUUUUCAUUUUACUGACUUGUUAAAGGUUUCAGUGUCAAUGUAUAUAUAUAUAUACCAUGAUUAUUUUCUUUUACAUGAUUUUAUAUAUUUUUGAUAUUUUUUUAUGAAUUUCAAAAUACUAGAUUUAGGAAAAUAUGCAUUUCACCAAAACCGUGAUAAUUACACCGUGGUUGAUGCGAAACGGUGACAACCUCACCUUUGAACUAGACCUUGAACCAUGAUAGCAUUAAUUAACUAUAUGGCUGCCCUAAUAUUACGGCAUUAAAAAAUACUUGUCUGGCUGCCCUACUAUUACAGCUUUAAAUAGUACCCAUCUGGCUACCCUACUUUUACAGCUUUAGAAGUACCUAUCUGGUUGCCCUACCAUCACAGCUUUAAAAGGUACCAUCUGGCUGCCCUACCAUUACAGCUUUAAAAUAUUUUUUAACGUCAUCAGAAGUUUGCAGGAUCGAAUUUCAUAGAGAAAAUCGCCAAUUUAGUCCCUAAACUUUUUUUUUCCGUCAAUUUAGUCCCUAUACAUUAUUUAUAGCCAAUUUAAUCCCUAAACUUAUAUUUCGAUUCCAAUCAAGGAACUUAGCGGCGGCGCCACCUCAUAAUUUCCAUCGGCUUCCAGAUCUAGGAACCCAGAAGGGGUAUUUUAGGGACUUCCAUAUUUUUCAUAUUUCCCUUUGACUUUCAUCUUAUUUCUAUAUGGUCUUCACCUUCAACGACACCUCCCUCUCCUCUAUCACAUCAGAGCGUCUACUCCGGGCUAUGCAGAGCGUCUACUCCGUCCUCUGCUCCCUCAACCUCCAGGACAAGGUCUCCAUCACCACUGCCCACUCCCUCGCCGUCCUCCAGACCUCCUACCUCCCCUUCGCCUGCAGGUUCCACCCGGACCUCACCCCCUGCUUGACUGCCAUCCUCAACUUCCAUCUCAAGACCGGCUCCCCUUUCCUCAUCAAUGCCUACCCCUACUUCGCCUACAAGGCCAACCCCAAGCAGGUCCCUCUGGAGUUCGUCCUUUUCCAGCCCAACUCCGGGAUCGUCGAUCCCGCCACCCCUACUGUAUUUAUUCCAGUGUAAACAAUUAUAAUAAACCCCAGUUUCCUCGAAACUUUGUAAAAAAAUUAAAGAAUUUCCAUCUUUGCCUCCUCAUCAUCGGGAUGAAUUAUGCAGAGUUAUCUCCUUCAAAAGCUUGUUAAAGUGCUGGGAAGAAGAUCAAUGGGGUGCGUGCCAUAGCUGCUUUGGCAUUGUAUAAUGUAUAGUUCUAAUAUAUAGUAUAUCCAAAGCCUUACUCAUCAUUACGCACCACAUACAAUUUGUCUGGUGCUCAGCGAAGAAGGCCCGGCUUAGAUUAUGGGCGCACCAACUACGAAUGCUUUGCAAAGUUGAAUUCCUUCAGGAUUCCGCUAUAGGAAACCCGCAAGCGGGUUUCAGGCUAUUUAACAAAUUACUUAAAAAAAAAAUUUUUUUUUACAUGCAAGCUGCGUUGAGUUGCACAUGCCCAUCGGAGGGCCCUAGGAUGCCCAGCAAACCUCCCCUCUCAUCCUCACCCUUCAGGUGAGGGUUUGAGAGUAUGUGUUUGAUAUAAAUAGAACAGAAACGCAGCUUUUAGUCAUUUUACAUAAGGGGGAAACCCGCAAGCGGGUUUCAGGCAGGCUAUUUAACAAAUUACUUAAAAAAAAAAAAUUUACAUGCAAGCUGCGUUCUUCAAAAGGGUAUUUUCGUCUAUUCACUCAGGAAACCCGCAAGCGGGUUUCAGGCAGGCUAUUUAACAAAUUACUUAAAAAAAAAAAAAUUUACAUGCAAGCUGCGUUCUUCAAAAGGGUAUUUUCGAGACCGGCUGGCCCUCCAAGGGGGACACCGACGAGGCCGGAGCCACUCCGGAGAAUGCCAAGAAGUACAACGGCAACCUCAUCAACAAGCUGGUGUGCGGGAAGAAGGGGACGCCCAUGAGGCCCAACGCCGACUUGAACAUCUAUGUCUUCGCCCUUUUCAACGAGAACAUGAAGUCCAGCCCAACCUCCGAGAGGAACUACGGCCUCUUCAAGCCGGAUGACUCCUCGGCCUACUACAUUGGCUUCAACAGCACCGGUCUCCUUUCCACUUCCUCCAAUACCUCCACUACUCCUAGUAGUACUGGUAGUAGCAGCAGCAGCAGUAGUAGUGUUCCUCUUGGCUCCUCCUCCUCCUCCGGUAGCACCACUUCUUCCACAGCAGUAGUAGUAUCAUAAGAUGAAAGUCAAAGAGAAAUAUGAAAAAUAUGGAAGUCCCUAAAAUACCCCUUUUGGGUUCCUAGAUUUGGAAGCCGAUGGAAAUUAUGCGGUGGCGCCGCCGCUAAGCUCCUUGAUUGGAAUCGAAAUAUAAGUUUAGGGAUUAAAUUGGUUAUAAAUAAUGUAUAGGGACUAAAUUGACGGAAAAAAAAAGUUUAAGGACUAAAUUGGCGAUUUUCCCAAUUUCAUACCAUCAAGCUCUAAGUUGCGUAGCGAUGUUGAUGACUGCUACUUCGUGAAGUUAAAACCGAGUAGAUGUGUGCUUUUCAAGGACAAGCAGGAUAUGAUACUUCCAUGUGGUACGGACUUAAAUAAUUCUCCUUUGGGGUGCCUUGAUGCUCCAAACCUGAAAAAAAAAUUGGCAGAAUGGGGUGCCUUGAUGCUCCAAAUUUUUAUGGGCAGACGUUCAAAUGGUCAAAAAAUGGGUGUGCUAUCAAGUCGAGGUCAAGUAGUAUCACACUCGAGGUGUCGAGUUUGAGGUCAAUUACUAUCAGUGUUAUUUGAACUCGAACGAAUACAUGACAUUGAAUUCAAACUCGAUUCAACGUAAUGAAAAUUAAACUCAAGGUUGAUUAUUUUGAGGUCGAAUAAACUACAAACCUUAUUGAGUUUGAACUCGAGUUUUAUUGAAUAUUGAUUCAUGUAAAUUUAUUAAAAUAUGAACUCAUAAUAGUCAUUCCAUAAUGAAAAUAUAUAAUAUGUAAAUAAUACAAAUACUCUAUUAAGUUUGUCAAGUACUCGAAUGGUAAUUAUUGAUCCUUGGACUCGACUCGUUAUACGGAACGAAUAGUUUGAACUCAAAUUCGAAUUCGAUUUGAUCGAUUUUGAGCCAAGUAUUUGAUCAAGCUGUUCACGAGUUACUAGCGAACGAUUUGGUUUUGCCCACAUCCCUAGUUAAAAAGGUAUCUAAGGAUCUCAUAAGUUAUGUCUUGCACAAAUUUGUUCCUAAUAUAAAUUAGUAAAAUUUCGGUGUAAAUCAAUUGAGAUAUUCAAAAGUCAGAGUUUGUGCAAAGAAAUUGAAUUUGAAUGUAAAUCAAGUACAAUUGAUUAAUCAUUAUUUGGUGUAAAUAUUUUCAAAUACACUGCAAAUUACUAAUCUAUCCUCAAAAAAUUAUUUGGGGCGGCUUCUUCUGUCUGUUAAUGAUGUGAAUUAAAAAAUUAGCACGGCACACAUAUUUUGACUUCCAAUCUAGCCAAAUGUCAUUUCAGUGACAUCUUAUCUUAUAUAAUACUUAAAGAAACUUUAUGCAAUGUCCAAAAUUACUGACGUACAUUUUUGCCGCUUACACCAACUUCACGCGAAUCGACAACAACUGUUAUACAAAUGUUAUAUUAAAAUUUUAUAUUUGCCACUUAUUUGUGGCUAACACUUUUAAGCGGAGUUUUCCGUCUUUUUACUAGAUUAGUUUAGAGUAAAUUAUAUAAAUAUUACCGUUAUGACAAAAAAAAAAAAAAACAACAACUGAGGUAAGUAUAUUUUACCGCUUAUAAAAAUAUAUAUAAAUAGCAAAGGUUCUAACACUCCUUCCAAGCUAGCUAGUGCCAAGUUAUUGAGCCAUGGCAUUAUCCAGUGCCAACGCUUUUAAUUCUCUUGUCUUGAUGCAUUCCUUGUACAUCAUCCUCAUCCUUCUUCCUAGCUCUUUUGCCAGCAAUAAGUGGGAAAUUCCACAGUCAGAUGUCAAUCUCUUGGAAUUUCCACUGAAUUUAGAGUACUUGGAAGCUGAGUUCUUCUUAUGGGGUUCUCUGGGCUAUGGAUUGGACAAAAUAGCUCCUGAGCUAACUGGAAACGGUCCAGAACCAAUUGGUGCUAAGAUUGCCAAACUGGGUCCUUUCGUUAAAGAUGUUGUUGCCCAAUUCGCAUUCCAAGAAGUUGGACAUGUCAGGUAAUUUAAUUAGUAGUUGAUCAGUGCAUAAAAAAUUUUUGUAUCAUGUAUUUUUUCUUCAUUUAGUCCAGCGGAGAGGGAAAUACAAUAAAAGGUAUCUUUUCUGAGAAUCAUUAUCAAUCAUUUUGAUAGAUCUUGAUCAAUUUUAUGCUUGAAACAGGGCGAUUAAGAAUACCGUGCACGGAUUUCCAAGGCCAUUGCUGAACAUAAGCUCAGAAUCAUUUGCAACUGUGAUUAACUCUGCUUUCGGGAGAACACUGAAGCCACCUUUUGAUCCUUAUGCUAAUGACAUCAACUAUCUCAUUGCGUCCUAUGUUAUUCCUUACGUUGGACUCACAGGUUAUGUUGGAGCAAAUCCAAACCUCCAAAGUCCUGCUGCGAAAAGAGUAUGUUACAAAAUUACAACAAUCUAAGCAUCUAUUUCCCUUCUUUGUUUAUAUUUUAAUGACAGCAUUAAUCCGAAAGAGCUUAGAAACUUCAGUUUUAUACCCGAUUAAGACCUAACCAACUAAAAGUAAUGUUUUACCACUUGGUAUCUAGUACUUCGAGUUUGCCUUGAUUUGGUACCACUUACUGGACCAACACCAAAACAAUGAUUUACCCCUAAACUACCAUGGUUCAAAGUCGAGGUCGCGGUUUGGACCGUUCCACAUCGGUCUCGGCAUAUUGGUCGCGGUCUCGACGAGACGCGAAUUUUUGAAAUAUUUAAUAUUCUAAAAAUUGUAAAAAAUAUGAUAAACAAAAAUAAUUAAAUAAUUAAUAAAAAUAAUAAAAAUUCGAGUUGAUUCGGGAUGACUCGGAGUGAUUUGGUGUGAUUCAGCCGUUUCAACCCUUCACGGUGACGUCUCGAUGAGUUAAGUAUCUUGGUAUCGUUUCGUAACGGUAUUGUAUUAGCGAAGGCCGAGACGGUGACGACUCGGCCGAGUCUUCGAACCAUGUAAACUACUUUUUUUUCUCAUACAAUUUUGAUACUUUUUGUUUGUAAGAUUACAAUCUCUGAGACAAGAUCUGUCUAUAAGAUUACAAUCUCUAGACAAGAUCUAUUUAUAGGAUUACAAUUUGUGGGAUUAGGUUACAAUUUUGUUUUGUGUGGGUGCUUUGAUUAAUUUCAGCUAGUAGCGGGGCUUCUAGGUGUGGAAUCAGGCCAAGAUGCAGUGAUUAGAGCAUUACUAUUCGAGCAGGCAUAUGUGAAGGUAAAGCCAUAUGGGAUAACAGUGGCAGAAUUCACUGACCGUAUAUCAAACCUGAGGAACGAACUCGGACAUGCGGGGCUGAAAGAUGAAGGGAUAGUGGUGAAGCCAAGUGAAGGUGCAGAAGGAAGAAUUUCAGGCAAUGUUCUUGCUGGUGACAAAGACUCGCUUUCAUUUGGUCGAACACCAGAGGAAAUUCUACGAAUUGUGUAUGGAAGUGGGAAUGAGAGUAAACCUGGUGGAUUUUACCCCAAAGGAGCUGAAGGUCGAAUAGCCCGGUCACAUCUUAGAUUGAACGAGGCAUAAUUGAAUUUCAAUUGAUGAUUAGAACUGCUGAGUCUAGUAGUUUUCGUAUGGUAUUGAUGAUCAAGUAGUUCUUUUUAGUUUAAAUUU
rnacentral:lncRNA from 1 species